rnacentral:lncRNA from 1 species
CAUCCCAUUCCUCAAAGCUGCCAUCCCCGAUCAACAAUUCUUCUAACUUCUUCAACCUUCCAAUCAAAUUCACAGGAAUCCUACUUAGCCUUUCACAACCUGUCACAUCCAACAACCUUAACUCCUUGAGCUCUCCUAUUUCAUCAGGUAAUUCUUCAAUGGAUAAGCACCACAUAAGACCAAGAAUCUUAAGUCUCUGCAGCUUUCUCAACCAAAUGAGGUCCUUGCAUCCACACAUGAUCAACACCAACGAUUGAAGUUUCGUUGAUAGUUCAAGUGAUUGCAAUGACAAACGCCCUCCGUUCAGAGACAAAACUUCAAUUUCUCUCAUCCCUUCAAAACACCUCUGAGGAACAUUCAAACCAUAAUCCACUUCUAAUAAUAGAACUUUGAGCUUUGGACAUACCAAUCCUUCAGGAAGUUCUGCUAGUUUAUUGCCCAUUAACGAAAUUGUUGUACAACCUUCAAAGCUUGUAUUGCUCAUUGGCCACUUCUGCAACCCAAUGCCAGCCUUUACCAUGAAUCCAUAUUCUUCUGAUGAUGCUAUCUGAAUAGCAAAGUCACGAACCAAGUCAUGCAUUUUCACAUGUUCUCCAGUUUCAGUGCCCAACAGCAUGCAACAAUCUUUGAGGUUUUCGAUUGCCACAAAAACUCGUUUCCUUGCAUCUUCGAUGGGCUCCGCAUCUUGAUGUAACCCAUAGCCAACUGCAUAUCUCGUCAAGUCCUCGAUUGGAAUAUCAUAGUCUUCUGGAAAUAAACAGCAUAGCACGAAACAUGACUUGGUUUCCUCGAACUUCAAAUAAUCAUAGCUCAACUUAAGACAUGUAUAAGCAUUUUUUUGUUUGUCAAUUUGUUCCAUGCGCGGAAAUUGAGAGUCUUUGAGCUGUUUAGACGCUACUUCCCACUGAACUAGAGAUUUAUCUCUUAGAGCCCUUCCCACUGUCACAAGUGCUAUAGGCAAGCCAUGGCAUUCUCUCGCAACCUCCCUUGCCACUGUGUUCAAGGUAGAGUCCCCAUCACGUAAACCUGCAUUGAUUCUGAAUAAAGCCAAUGCUUCAUCUUCAGAUAAGACUCUUAAAAACACUUUUUGCUGGCACUCCAUAGAAGAACAUAUGUGUUCAAAACGUGUUGUUAGAAGAAUUUUACAACCCCUGUGAUCAUCACCAAAUGGGAUCCCUAUCUCUUUCAAGUCAAUAUCUUCCCAAACAUCAUCUAGGAUUAUAAGCAUCUUCUCCACUUCCUUCAGUCUAUGCCUUAAUCGAUCUGCUCUCCCUUCUCUACUCUUUUCUUUAAUAUCCAGACGUAACUUAUCUGCCAUUCGAUCCUGGAUGUCUGUGACAUUUGGAUUCUGGGACACCGUAGCCAUCAAAACUUCAGGAAAAAGCUGCAACUCUUUGGCUCUCCUGCCUACUUCUUUCACCAGGGUGGUUUUACCCACUCCUCCCAUGCCGUACAGUCCGAUCAUAUUGACACUGUCAUCUUUGAGAGCUUUCAUAAUCUGUUCCAAAGCUUCUUUUGACGAUUCUGAGGGCGUGAAUUCCUUUGAUGGAAGAAAUUCUAUGGGCUGAAGAUGAGCUUUGUGGGACACCGUUUUAAACUUUUCGCUAAUUUCUUCAAGUUUUCUGAGAGUCUCCGACUUAUUGGCCAGUGCCUUGCUUAACUUGAAUUGUCGCAUGCAGUUCGGACACCAAGUAAAGCAUUUGCCAUUUUUUCCUAUUUCAUUUUCCAAAGGCUUCACACCUUCAAUCUCGUUGUUUGCAUCUUCCAGCCACUUUUUGACAACUUUUUCAAUUUCUUCAGCAUUCGUUUUAGCAUCUUCGACAAUAUUUUGCAGACGUUCUUUUGCCGAAUACAGAUUCUCCUUUCGUUCUUUGAAUUCUUCAACAAAAUUGUUGAAACAGAACAUGUAACGGAACUGCCUUCCUACUGGUUCCACCAUGAGUUCUGCUAUCUUAGAUAUAAUGGAUCCACCCACACUUUCGAUAGCCAUUUUCCACCACUCUGAAAAUCAGAGAAAUAAGGAUACAGAACGCGAGAGUGAGUCACUACAAGUAAAAGAGGCACAGAGAAUGAGAAAAGGAAUUUUAUUACCUUAUUUUGGGAAAAUAUGUGCGAAAAGCACUGGUACUGAUUGCUCAAUGAAAUAGCGGGAGGAAGAAAAGGAGAAGGCCUUUAGCUCUGUAUGGAAUCCAGCUUCAAAAGCAACAAGGCAAGGUAUGAUCUAAGACGAAUGAAAGGUUCAGGAUAAUCACUUAGACGCCUCCAUGGGUGAUACCAGCUCGCUUCCAACAACAAAUGUAAUUAAUCUAAGCUAUGAGCGGUCAAUGUUUUUUUUAGUUUUCUUUUGUUUUUUUUCUUAAAAAACAGAUCAACAAGGGAAAAAACUUGCAAAGAAGUACAAUUACUGGAACGAACUCAACAAAGGAUCAAACUCAAGCAAUUAAAAGUAAUUGUCUCAUCUCUGUGUCACACACUCAAAGAAUUUCAUUACCUUAUUUUGGGAAAAUAUGUGCGAAAAGCACUGGUACUGAUUGCUCAAAGAAAUAGAGAAGGCCUUUAGCUCUGUAUGGAAUCCAGCUUCAAAAGCAACAACGCAAGGUAUAAGCAUUUUGAUGACAUAAUUAAGAUAACAUGCGUAGUAAUAUAAAGAAAGUGACAAACAAAUAAAAAUAAUAAUGUGUACAAGAAAGAAACGAAUGAAAGGUUCAGGAUAAUCACUUAGACGCCUCCAUGGAUGAUACCAGCUCGCUUCCAGUAACACAUAUAAUUAACCUAAGCUAUGAUCGGUCAAAAAAAAAAUUAGGUUUCUUUUUUUUUUAUAAAAAAAAAACAGAUCAACAAGGGGAAAAAAAAAGAAAAGACUUGCAAAGAAGUAGAAUUACUGGAAUGAACUCAACGAAGGAUCAAACUCAAGCAAUUAAAAGUAAUAGUCUCAUCUCUGUGUCACACACUAAAGGAAGGAGAGAAAAGAAGGGGAUGGGAUCACGGCAAGAAAGAAGGAGAAAGAAAGGAAUGAGACAAAGAAGGAAGAAAGUAAGGUCACGUAGGGGCCAGUCUUGUAGAAAGUUUGAGAAUUAGAAUGAAAAAGAGGAUAAUAAAGUAGUUGUCAGAAUCAAAACACAUAACAUAAGACAAAAACAGGGAGAGAGGCUAUUUGUGUUUUUUAACUGUGUUAGAGUGUAUUUUAUAAUUAUAUUUAAUUUAUAGAAAUAUUAAAUUAAAAGAUUUUAAUAUUUUUUGAUAUUUUUUUUAAAAUAUAAAAUAUUAUUUUAAUACAUUUUUAAAUAAAAAAACAUGUCACAAAACCAAAUUAUAGUAUAAAUUUAGAGAGAAAUUGAUUUUCUUGUUCAUUACUGUUCACUCAUACUCAUUUUACUAUGGAUAUUAAUUGUGGGUUUAUUGAAAAUUUUCAAUUUGAUACUCAAGUUCGUUUUUCUAUAAUUGAGCCCUUUUGAGCUCAUUUGCAUAUUUUUUAAGGAUAAGGGUUAAAUUGAAAGACAGAGAACAAAAAUGAAAAACUAGGCUAAAAUAGAUGGCGGCUCUGUAAUUUGUUUGCAAAGUUAAUUUUAGUCCCCCAUCUUUUUAAGCUAUUAAGUAAUCAGUCCUUGUAAUUUUUAAACAUUGCAUUUUGGUAUAAAAUUUCAUUUUCCUUUUUUUUUAGUUUUUUUUAUGGAGGAAAGAGAGAGGGUCGCCAGAUUUCAUCUUAGAGAGAAAAAGUUGUAGUUGGGGAAGAUUUUGGCCCCCAAAACAUAUGUUGCUUGUUUUUUAAUUGUGUCUAAGUGGUUUUUAUAAUUAUAUUUAAUUUAUAAAAAUAUUAAAUUAAUAUAUUUUUAGUAUUUUUUGGUGAUUUAAAAAAAUAUAAAAUUAUUUUAUUAUAUUUUAAAUAAAAAAUAUUUUUAAAAAGCAUGUGUCCCAAUACCAAAUUAUUAUAAUUAUAAUAUAAACUAAAAGACAUAGUCUUUUAGUAUGGCCUUUGACUUAUAGCACCGUGAAUUAGAACAAUGUUAUGAUGUCCUAACCAUAGUUAUUAAACCCGGCCCGGGGGUUGACCCGGCCAAGGUGCUGGGUCCUGAGUUUCAUGGAUCAACCAAGAAAAAAAAUUUAAACUUUUAAUAUUUUAUAUGAAAAAAUUAAGAAAAAAUCCAUGUAAAUAUAGGCUAUACAUAUUAUAAAUAAUGAAGUUUAAAAGAAUAUUUUAAAAAGUUUUUUUAUCUCACAUUAAAAAGAUAUUAUGUUAAGCUUUUAAGUUGAAAUAUUUAAACCAAAAAAGUUUUUUAUCUCACAUUAAAAAAAAUAUAACUUUUUUCUUGGAAACAUAGAGUAUAUAUACUAAUGGGUUUCAAAUCCCACAUUGAAAAAACAUAGUUUUUUUCUUGUGAACAUAGCAUAGUUUUUUUCUUGUGAACAUAGAAUAUAUAUACUAAUGGGUUUCAAAUCCCACAUUGAAAAAAAAUAACUUUUUUUUUGGGAACAUAGAGUAUAUAUACUAUAAUACUAAUGGGUUUCAAAUCUCACAUUAAAAAAGAUACUAUGUUAUCCUUUUAAGUUGAAGUAUUUAAACUAAAAGGUUUUUUAUCCCACAUUGAAAAAAUAUAAUUUUUUUUUGGAACAUAAUAUAUACUAAUGGGUUUCAAAUCCCAUAUUUGAAAAAAAAAACACCGGGUCUCGCCCGGGUUGACCCGCCGGGUCGAUCAAGUUUGGCCGGGUCAUUGCACCGGCCGAUCUUUUGACAAACUCGGACCGGUUCAGCCCCCGGGCCAACCCACCAGUCCGGUCCGGGUUUAAUAACUAUAGUCCUAACCCUUCUUCACAAAACUGAAAGAUGUUGCUUUUGAGGGUGUUUUGGUAUUUUCAUGGGAAUUCAAUUGACAUUGAUGAAUUCAUUGGUGGCGAACUGAUCUUCACAUAAAUUUUUGGCACAGUGCAAUGACUUUCUUACCCUUAAAAGCAAAAUGACAUAUACCUAUUACUUAAGGGUAUUUUGGGUGUUUCAGAUUUAAUUAUAUAGUGAAUUCACGACUCAACCCUGCAAGACCAAAAAAAAGAAACGGGUAUGCAAGGCAUUUGUGUAUUUUCCUUUUGGUUUUGUGGGUAAUUAUCAAAUUGAGGGAGGAGUUGUUGCGUCUUUUACCAGUUAUAUAAUAUCCUCAUUUCCGAGACCACACAUCAAUCAUGAAAGAGGAAAACAUGGUAAUUUUUUUUAAUCGGAUUUAUACAAGGUUCACUGAAAUUUCUACUAAAAUUUUGACAGUGUCUCUCCUAUACCGGGAGGUCUCAAGUAAUCGACAAACAACCUGUACAUUUUUAUUAUUCAUUACUCAAUCUCAUCCCAAUCAUCCUAAAUAUCAAACAUCAUAAUAUUCAAUGGUACAGCCACAAUAUCCCAAAUAUUCAUAUUAAAAAAUCAGACAUAAUUUAAUACUUAAAUAAAAGAAACAAACAUACAUGAAUGUUAGAAGUAUAUACUAAUAUAGUAGACAUUCGGUUUAAAGAAUGUUAUUACAAUUCAAGUCAUAUAGUUUCUAAGCAUCAUCAUUCGUUUAGUUCUAAAUAACACAAAAGAUAGAGAAUCUAAAAUGUUACUCUUGUUGUGAUAUGAUGGACCUGAAACAAUAUAACCUUCAAAAAUAAUUAUAUUAAAGGCAAUAUUAUCGUAAAGAAAUAUCAAACGGUUAUAUAUAUAUAUAUAAUUCCCCAUCUAGUCUCCUUCUAAUACUUCUAGAUUUAUCCCUUCAAGAAUCACUAACAUUUCCCCCUCCUUUUUCAUCCUACAAUUUUCAACCAAUCUCACAUAUUAAUGCCGAAGGAAUCAUUCCUUCAAAAUGCCGAUUCCCAUUUCAUUAGUACCAUCAACCAUUCUCCACUGAGAACACCAAUCAUACCAUUUCUUUCCAAAACCUAGGAGGUAAUGCCGACACUAAUGAAUCUCAUUAGUGUCAUUUGUCGUCCUUACCGGGAUCGACUAAUCAAGUUCGUUGUAAGUGUCGACAUCAAUGCAGCCGAUUGAUGUCAUUAACUAUUUCCAACCUGAAAUAGUUAAUCAAUUUUCCAUAACACCUUGGAAUAUUUAUGGGAAUGUCGAUGUCAAAGAUUCUUGACAUCAUUAGCUUUCACAUUAUGAAUAAUUAAUCAAGUUCCAUGGGAUUGCCAUUAUUUAGUAAACCAUAUUGGGGACCGACUAAUUAAAUUCGAGAAGUGAUUAUCAAUGAAUUCCAUUAAUAUAGUUUAUUAUUUUUAAUCAAAUCAAUUAAUCAAGUUUACUUUCAUUUCUCAUUUAUUUCAUCUUAUAUUUUCUCCUUUUGGCUUUAUCCAUAGAUAUGAAAUCCAAGAAUUGAACAUAUUACCAAAAUUACCAUUAUUUUAGGAAAGUAUACGUAUAGAACACCUACUUGCUGCAGAAGCUCAGCUCGCACUCUCUUACUGCUAUUGUGCCUCUCCUACGGUUCCUCCUGAAUCCACAGGCAUACUACAUUAUUCCUUACUCAAUAACAUCCUUGGCUAUAACUUCUAUGAAGAAACCUCUCCUAAAUUUUAUCAUUUUAGGCCUGAAUCCUCUCUAGGAUUAAGGCGACGAAUCUCUCUAGUUUUUGUCAAUGGUUUAAAUGAAUCUCCAAUUAUCUCCAUUUCCCUUUCCUCUCUCAAGACAACUAUUUUCACGUUAUAUGUAUGGCAACCUUCUUAAAUAUGACCUCCCAUGGCCAUUUAUGCAAAUUUGCCCUUUUUGUGUAAGGUGAUCAAGAACUAUUUCAAGAAGCAUACAUAUUAUUACUUCUACGAUUUUCCUACAUUUCGCAACUCCUCCUAAGAUAAGCCAUAAGCCGUACAUAUGGCCCAUAAACUCAAUUCUACCGCACAUAACACAUGAAAUAGAUAUGUGAAGUUCUCUUAUCAUCAAGUUAUCUUGCUUCCCUUAUUAGUAAACUUUCCACGAAACCUAAUUCACUCAUCAUUAUGAUACGAAAUCUCAAAACUCCCUCUCCCCUUCCUUAAUCUUGUCUUGGCCGAAACUUGGCCCAAGGGAACCAAGAGUUCCCUUCUUCUUCUUAUGUGAUAAUUAUCCUUUCUAGCUAUUUUCACAUUACAACAACACAUCAUAAGCAAUUAAUAAAGAAAAUCACAAAUUCUACUUUUCCCACUCACACCCUUAGUGCCUGACCACCUUGGAUCCUUUACCCAUUGGCUUUUCUUUGUUGUUCUUACAUAAAUUCACAUCCAAAGCAACCUAUGAUACUCUAAUUGGUCCAAUUCCAAACAAUUUUAUGUUUCCUCCAAAUUUUGUUCAAGAAUCCUAAUUUCAAUUCAAGAUAAUUACACAAGUUCUAAUCAAAUUUAAGUAAAUUCAUAUAGUUGAGUUUAAGACUCCUUACUUGGGGAUAAUCUGAAUUGAUUCUUAAUUGGUUGAAAAAUUUCAACCCCUCCUUCCUUGCAUGCAGCCGACCCUCUCCCAUUUUCUCCUCAUAAUUUCUUCACUUGUUUCUUACAAAUUCUCUUGCCAAAUGGUUUUUUCCCCUACCAACCUAUCUAAGACUUGUAAAAUCUUGAUAAACUUUGGUGUUUCUCUCUUAAAUUUUUUAUGAAAAAAUCUGGAAUUUCUCCCCUCUUUUGUGUUCAUGUCGCUGGCCUCAUGAAGGAAGAAAUGAGGUAUUUAUAACCCCAUUCUUCUUAAUUACACUGUGACCCAAUUUCUUUUUUUUUCACAAUUUGAGUCAUACUUCUUUUGUCUUUCAUGGUUUGUUUUUAAUUAAUUGAAUUUUUUUGUAUAAAUUCAUUCUCGGGGUUUACAUGCCGCUUUUUUUUUCUUAUUUUCUCUCUCAUCCUAGGAAAGCGCAUUGUCCAUAAAAAAAUUCAAUACAGUCCUUUAAUUAGUUUUGUCUUCAAAUUUGGUCCCUGGUCUUUUGAUUAGUAUUUGUUUAUUUGAAAUAAUUUAUACAAAAAAAUUGUUUUCAAUUUCAUCACCAAUGGAUUUGAGAUAAUGGGUCUAGAGCUUAUCAAGUUGCGAGUUUGAGAUAUUAAUCUAGGGUGAGGAGAGGUUUGCCCGAGUUUGCUUGGUUGUUUUCAUUCAUUUUUUAAAUAUCUUUUUUUUGUUUCAUUAUCCGAUAUUUUUUUUCCACUUUUGAUGGCACUUUUCUACAAAUGAAGGAGAAGGAGCAUUGGUGAAUCCAACUUUUAUAAAAGUCUUGUUGAGUGCUUAUGUUAUUUAACCUGCACGAGACUUGACAUUCUAUUUGGAGCUGGUUUGGUUAGCAGAUUUAUAGAAAUUCCAAGAUUUUCUCGCUUGCAGGCAGCCAAGAGGAUUUUACGGUUUGUUAAAGGCAUAUCCACUUAUGGUUUAUUUUACCCAUCUUCACAAAAUCUUGAACUUGUUGGUUAUAGUGACAAUGAUUGGUCUGGAAGUUAUGAAGAUAGAAAAAGUACUAUUGGUUGUGUUUUACUUGGGUGAAGUAGCUUUUACAUGGUCUUCCAAAAAACAAUCCAUUUUAGCACUUUCAAUUUGUGAAGCUGAGUAUGUUGUAGCUGUUUGGUUGAGCAAAUUGCUAGAAGAAGUACAACAGAAGCAAAAGAAAGCAACCAAGAUUUUUGUUGAUAAUAAAUCAGCUAUUGCAUUAGCAAAGAAUGCAGUUUAACAUGAACAAUCAAAGCAUAUUGAUAAACAUUUUCAUUUCAUAAGGGAGCACGUGAAAGAAAGAGAUGUGGAGUUGGUUCAUGUUAGGACAAAUGAGCAUGUGGCUGAUAUUUUUACAAAACCAUUAAAGAUAAAAAAAUGUUCUGUUAUUUACAGAAGAAGCUUGGAGUUAUGAUGAUGGAUGAAACAAGUUUAAGAGGGAAGAAUGUUGAUGUUUAAACUUGUUUGUUGAAAACUAAUUAUAUUGAAGUCAGUGUUAGAAUAAAAUGUCAUGAAAAUCAGUAAUGUCAUGAAGUCAGUGUUAAGAUUAAUUGAGUCAAGAGUUUAUUUAAGUUUCUUAGAGGUUUGUAAAAGACAUUCUUCAAUGUCUAUAAAGAUGUAAACAUUUAUGUUAUUGAAGGUGUGAGAGUAUCAAUUUUCAGCCUUUUAUAUUCCACCAAAAUCGUGUGUGUAAAAGUGAGUGUUCUUCUCUGUUUUUGUGUGAAGUUUUCCAACAUGCAGGACUUUAGAAAUCUGUUUAACAUUCCAUUAUUGAAUGGAUCAGGUUGUAAUGGGCUUUGAGAGGGACAAUUUAGGCAUGGUUUUUUUUUUUGGAAAUAAUACGUCUCAUAUUACAGUGAGUUCUAAGCCUUAAGGGCUACUAUCUACCUUCUUAUUCCAAUGGAUCUUCCAGUAGCAAUAAGAGCAGAAUGUUUGAAGUUUUUAUCAUACCUAUGACUGAGCCUAAGGAGAUUGAAAAGCUUGAAAAGGAUAAAAAAGAGAGUAUGAACAGAAGGAGGAAGAUAUCGAUAUUGAAAACAACAAAUAAAGGAAAGAAAUUGCAAAGUAAGAGGGCAAAGGCAGCAUCUCUUGAAAUUGUUGAUAUGUCAAUAUCUGAUGAUGGAAUUAGAAACAGAAAAGGGGCUCUUUGUUCCUUAUAGAGUGAUGGAUGUUGGUGAUCCUAUUCAACUGACUGAACAAGAUUCUCCAACCAUAAAUAAACAGAAAGUUAUUGCUUGCUGGGAGGUUGGAAAAGCCACUCUUGAACCAGAUGAAGACACUGAUUAGAUGAUUGUUUAUAGAUAAGAAGUGUGAGAAUUAGGGUGAUGGGAGGGGGCAGUUGUGACACUCCUGCUGAAGUAUGGGUGUUCUAAUCUUUUCUUAUAGGUAGUAUUAUUGCUUAAAUGCUUGUGAUUUGCUAGAAUUACCUUUAUCAGGUAAAACGUUCACCUGGUCUAUGGGAAGGUAAAACGUUCACCUGGUCUAUGGGAAACUCAGCUAGUCAUAUUGAUAGGGCUUUCUUAUCUACUGACUGGUUGAACAAAUUUCAUUCUUUCUCCUUGUGUGGUCUUGCUAAAUUAUAGACCUAUUCAUUUGAUGAUGGAUAAAACUAAUCGAGGUCCUAAGCCAUUAAGGUUCUUAAAUUGUUGGUGAUUGAGAUUUGAUUUCACGAAAGUUGUCCAGGAUUUUUGGGGUUCUGCAUGCUAUGACUUCAGUCAGUUAUGGUGGAAAUGUUGUGAAGGCUAUCAAAGUUAUUAAAGAGGCUCUGAGAUCAUGGAAUAAUGCUAUUGUUGGUAAUAUUGAAUAGAAAAUCAAGGCUUUGGAGUUGGAAGCUGAGAUUUUAGAGAGCACCAAAGAGAGCAAGGAUCUAUUUAGAAGCAAACAACUUGUCAAUGAUCUUAAUUCUUUAUACGGUAUGUGGGAAUCUCUAUGGCAUCAAAAAUCUAGAGUUUAAUGGUGCAAAUUUAGUGACAAAAACACACGUUUUUCCAUCUAUCUACCACUGCUAGAAAAAAAUGAAUGUUGUUUUCUCAAUUUCAGUAGAUGGGAAGGUUAUUUCCAAGCAAGCUGAAGAAAAGCAUGAAGUUAUUAGAUUUUACAAGGGUCUUUACUCUCUUGAAAAAUGAUGGAGGCCCUCUUGCUCGAAACUAAAUUUUCAGAAACUUUUUCCUUCUUCGACAAUUUCUCUAGAAGUUAGAGAUGUUAUUCACUCUUGAUGAGGUUAAAGCUGCAAUUUGGGAUUGUGACAACAAUAAAGCUUCCCAGUUUGAUGUUGUCACCUUUUUUUUUAAUUAAGAAAACAUAGGAUACAAUAAGGGGUGACAUCUCUAACAUGGUUAAUGAUUUUUAUUUAGAUGGUUCCUUUCUCAUGACAUUAAUAGUUCAUUCAUCACCUUAAUUCCUAAAGUUGUUGGCUCUAACAAUCUUAAGGACUAAAAGUUUAUCAGUCUCAUUAGAAGUCUCUCAAAGGUGCUAAUAGACUCAAGGGUGUUAUGCCUUAGGUUAUUGGUGAUUAUCAGAAUGCCUUUAUCAAAGGAAGACAAAUCCUUAAUGGUGUUUUUAUUGCUAACAAGAUAAUCAACCACUUAAAAAGGAGAAAACCAAAAGGUUAUCUACUCUAAAUCGAUUUCCAUAAAGCUUUUGACUCAGUGAUUUGGGAGUAUCUAGAUGAAGUUAUGGCAUGUACGGGAUUUGGCUCACGUUGGAGAGAAUGGAUCCACCAAUGUAUUUCAACAGCAAAAAUUUAUGUUCUUGUGAUUGGCUCUCCAACUGAAGAAUUCUUUAUGGAAAAGGGUUUGCAUCAACGAGACUUUUUAUUACCAUUUCUCUUGAUCAACAUAGUAGCCGAGGAACUUAUAGCAGAAUGCUGAAAAAACGGUUGUGAAUUGGGAUUUAUAGAGGGAUUCAUUGAAGAUUCAAAUGAAGUUCAGUUGCCAGCUAUGAUUAAAGCACUAAAACUAUUUUUUUCGCGAGAUGAAUUUAUUAGAGUAAAGUUUAUUUUUUAAUCUGAUUAUGAUGUUCUGGUUAACUAGAUGAAUAAGUCAUUUAAUAGGCCAUGAAGAUUUCAUGAAUUUUUCAUCCUUCCAUCUAGAUUUUCUUCGCGUUCGGUUUAGUGUCCUUUCAUAUUUUGUACGAUACUAAGCAUAUGGCCGAUGGUUUUGCAAAAUAAAGUGUGACUAGAAGUUGUGACUAUGUGACAUGGCUUUGAUCUUCAUGCUUUAUUUACUCCCUGAAACUCUGCUGGAAUUGAUUCCAAUUCAUCUCUUCUCAUCUAAUAAUUGAUGCAGUUCAGGUUGUUGGCUUACAUGGUAAUAACUGCUUGGAGUCUCUGGUACACAAGAAUUUAUAGCAUGGGCAUAAAGCUGCAUUCUUUGCUUUAGUGAUGUCCUAAUUAUAUAGUUUUUUAUUUUGGUUCAGUAUAUCUGCAGACCAUAGAUUUAGAAUUUAAGAUACGCGUGAAAAACUUUUAAGAUUUGGCUAUAUGUAAAGCAAAAUAUUUUUUAAAGUGGAAAUUUAUUUUUUGAAUUUUCAAUUUAAUUUUUAUUUUUUUAAUCUUUUUAAGAUUUUAGAAAAAACUAUGUAUUUUAAUACCAGAUCUAUAGCUUACCGUGUAUGUCUAUAGUCCGAUAUUAUACAAAAUUAUUGGAAAAACAUGCGAUAAAAUCACAAAUAUUUUGAAAUAACCCUUUGGAAAUUUUUAGGAUUUUUUUUGAAAUUAUAUAAUAUUACAUUAUUAUUAUAUUAUUAAAUAUAAAUUGGGCUGGACCCAGCCCAACCAUCUGGGCUCAGCCGAAAUGGGCCCAUCCUGACCCAGUCAGGGUGGGCCAACUAGCGGCCUAACUGACCCAUCUUUUUUUUUGGAGUUGGGCUAAGUCGGGCCGGUUAGGGUCUGACCUAAAAUAGUUUAGUCACUAGCCCAACCUAGUGAUCAAGAUGCAUGAACAAUGGAGUGUGAAUUAUAAUUCAGGCUCCAUUGUUCAUAACGGCAUGAAUUAUAAUUUAUGUUCCAUUGUUUGCAUGCAGUAGAAUAGGAAGAAGAAGAGAGUUACUUGGCAUGAAGGCUUCAACUGUGAAGAGAAGGUUCGACUGGUAGUUGAGGAGGCGUUGAUGGAGGCGACGGUGGUCGGUAUUGGCUGUGGGAUGAAGAAGAAACCUUUGGUUGAGGGGGAAGAAGGAGAAGUCGUGGUGGUGGUCCUUGUCUCCGAUGAGGGGAUGAAGUGGCAAAGGGUAUUGGGCCACCGACAACCAUGUUGUUGGUGUGGUGAUGGUAGUGGAAGAGGUGACAAAGAGAGAGAAAGAAGAGAAAAUCGUCGGCUAGAGAAGGAAAACGGGGGGCAGACUGAUUUUUAGCCAACUUUGGACUUGAGUUUUGUAACAGUCCCGACUAUUCGAUUUUAUCAAUACUAAAAGAUCCUAACAUAUACUUUUAUGAGGGUAAUUUUUUUUUUAACCAGACUUCUACAAUUUCAUGUUCUUGGGAUAAAAUUCCUAGAUCCUAGCAUUUGUCUAUAUAAAAUUUUUACCCAGGUGAAUUCAAAUUUCAUUUAGUUACAUAUUGAUGAUUUUAUUUCCUGGUAACUCACUCCCAGUAAUAUUUUAUUCAUAUUUUUGUAUUUUUUUUCUUUUGUAUUUGGUUUGUUCUAAUGCUUGUUUGGUGCUUCUAUUAAAUCUAUUCUAUAAGCACUUAGAUUGCUUUUCUGCCUAAUUUUCAACCGGGGUGUACAAGUAUCUCCUCCCUCAGGCUAUGAAAUCCUCCUUUAUUUAUAGGGAGUGGAAGAGAGACAUUUUGUUUUUUAUUGUGUUAAAUCUUGGCCCUAGAUUUGGCCCCAAAAGAUUCCAAGAAAAAUAUCAGGUGAUCAUUUUCGUGCAAGUUUUGUCAAAUUUGAUGAAAGGUAGAGGCAUUAAAUGCACUUGUAAAGUAGCUCUCUGAGCAGUUUUUUUCAGAGAAAAAUUGAAGAAGAAGAUGAAUAGUAACCACAACGGCGCUAUUUUGAUCAAGUUUAAUUCAGUCCUUCGAUUUUUUAUUUCUCUCAAUUACACCCCUAUUUCAAACUUUCAAUUUUAUACAAUUUCAUCCCUAAAAAACUUCAAUAUCAACCCUAGAUUUCAACCCGUUUUUCACAUUAGUCCUUCGUUUCAGAUUUAUGCAAGUUGAUCCUCAAUUGACCAUUAAACUUUUAAUUUUCUUCAAUUUUAUCCCUGAUUUCAAUCAAUUGGAUCCUUAUAGUUCGGUGCCAUUUACAAAUUGGUUCUUAGCUGUAAAUUUCUUCAAUUUAACCAUUAAUUGACAACAAAACUUUGAUGUUCUUGCAAUUUUAUCCAUGAUUUCAAUCAAUUGACUUGGUAAAAAUUAAAUUUGGUCUUCUAAAAUUACAAUCUUCUCAAUUAAGCCCAAUUUUGGGCUCCCAAACUUAAUUUUUCAUCAUCAAUUAAGCCCCUAAUAAAAUUAAUUUGACUCAUUUAAAGUAUAAUUAAGUCAUUGCAGCUAAUUAAAUCUUUUAAUUGGACCCAAUUAAUUUUUAACAUAAUUAAAAUUUAAUUUGGCCUAUGAUUAAAUCAAAUUGGCCUAUUAAAAAUCUAAUUAUGUCUUUAGGCUUGAUUUUUAAGUAGAUUCGUCUAAUAAUCAUUUAAUUUGUCUUUAAAUCUGCAUUGUCUCUCUAGUUUUGGAUAUAAUGAGGUACAUUUAGGUUCCUAAUCCCAUCCAAAGUUGCAGCUUGAUUUGAAAUCCUAAUAAUCCUUAUUUUAGUUAUUUUAUUUUUUAUUUUGAAAAGAAAAAAGAUGAAUUUGGGAAAUAGCUCAGAAAUGAGUUAUGACAAUGAGAAUUGUACAUUCUGUGAUUUUAUUUUUGAAGGUAUUCUUAUUACAUUUAUAAUUAUAAGAAACUUUAAAAGGUGCAAGUAAAAUAUUAUUUUCACACCACUGUUCACCCGACAUUGUGGUUUGCCACAAUGUUUUUUUUUUUCAUCCUGUUUUUAUAGGUCUAAAUUGAUAGAUAAUUUGAGUAAAUUUGUUAAGGAAGAGAAAAAUCUAAACACAAAUAAUCGAAGUGAAAAAACAAAACAUAAAAGAAGGGUGGGAGUUUCCAUAUUGAAGCUAAAAGUUCACUUUGGUCCUUCUACUUUUAAAAUAAUUACUUUUUGGUCCUUUAAGUUUUUCCACAUUUUAUUUUUGGUCCACAACUUUAUUUUUCUAUUUUUUCAUUCCCUAGUUUGAAAGAGGAGACAAAAAGUCAUUGGACUACAAUGUUAGAGAAAAACUCGAUUGACGCUGAUUUUCACCAUAAAAAUGGUCAAUUUUGGUCUUAAUAGGUUUCAUUUAAUGAAGAGAGUUUCACUGAGGUGUUUUUUGCCCUUGAAAUUGCCAAAAAAAUUAUGUUUUUUUGGGUUAUUUUAUUGGUUUAUUUACAUCAUGAGGACCAUUUUUAGAUGUUUUGGUGUGAAUGUUGUUUAAAUUUGCAUUUUUAGGUCAAAAAACGCCCUGCUUGAUUUUCUAACCACCCUUCCAAUGGUCAAGAACGGGAGAGUCUUAGUAGGUGACAUGUCGUAUCCCUUUAUCUUUUUUCAAAAACAUUUAGGGCAUUUCCAAAUAAAAAAAAAUAAAGCUCACAUAAGUGAGCCCUUUUUAAAAUGGGCUUGAUAUGCAGGCCUGACUUGCUAGGCCUAAAAAUGCCUGACCUAUUUUUUUUUCUAAUUAUAUUCUUUCCAAAGUUUUAGAUAGUUUAUUUAGUCUUUUUUAAAUAGUGGUUAUCUUUUACUUAUCUUUUAUGUAUUUAAUAUCUCAAAGAAAUUAUUCCAAUUCAUCUAUAAUGUUUUUAUGUUUUAUAUAAAUAAACUUUAUUUUCAUGACGUGUUUAUAAAAAUAAGAAUUAUUUGUUCUUGUUAAGAAAAAAAAAUGACCUUUAAGAUAAUAAAAGAAGAAGAAGAAGAAAAGUGUGCAUUAAGGGAAAAGUUGAGGUUAAAUAUUAUAUUUAUCUAUCUUUUACUUUUAUGAAAAUGAUUAUCAUUUUAUUUUAUAAUUUGUUUGGCAUUAACAACUCUUUAUGAGUUUAUUAGUUCAUAUUUUGUUAAGAUUUAUUUUGUUUCACAUCUCUCAAUUAAGAGAAUCAUGAUACAAUAAAAUGCAUUUGAAACACCAUCCCAUUUUUCUACUAUAUUAAAAAUUAACUUAAGAUCCUACAUGUGGCGCAGUGUGUUAACAACUGUUUUUGUAUUUAUUAACAUAUAUGACCCCCAAUUUAUUUUAUUAUAUGUAAACAUCAAUUUUUUUUAUUCACAAUUAUAUUUUUUUUCUCUCGAUAUCAAAAAAUACAUUAACAACACUUAUAUAUCCAUUCUUUUGUGUUGGAAAAAAUUAUAUGACCCGUAGCGAAGCGAGUUAAAUAAACACAUCAAUACUUUUUUUGUAUUUAUAAUUAGGGAUUUUUUUGUUAAAAAUACAUUUGAAAAGCAUUUAUUUUUUUUGCUAAAACACAUUUCUGACCCAUAGUGAAAUGCGAGUCUAAUAACUACUAAUAUGACUAUAGUGAGUGUCUUUUAGUAUAUAUGUGGAUGUAGAAAGCAAUGUGUUAUAUUAUUAGUUAGACAUAACUUACCUAUUCAUUAUUAAAAAAAACCAUAAAAUAAAUAAUUAUAUUAAUAGAAACCUAAAAGAGAUCGGCUGAAAUAAUAUAUUCUCUGAGUGAAAAUAUUGUGGAUUUACACAAUGAGUGUAAUGUUUACUUUUUCUUCUUUGUCCUUUUUUUAUUUAGUGAUCUUUGAUUAUGAAUUAAUUAAGAUUUGAGGUCGGUAAUGUAUUUUUAUUUGUCUUUCUAUGGUUAUCUUGCUCUUAAUAAAACAUCUUGAUAUUAGGACGGUGCUUAAUUUCACAAAAAAAUAAAUAAAUAAUUUUGUUGUUUGUAAGAAAUUGAAAAUGAGGGGAUCAAAAUUAAAAUAAAAAAAAACCCAGAGACCCUUUUUUUUUAAAAAAUAUGGUGUCAGCUUUGGUCCCUUUUUUUUUUUUUUUGCUUUUGAUCAUCUAUUUUUUUUUUAUAAAAAAAUUUGAUCUUUCAAUUUUGUGUUAAUUGAGAUUUGAAGUUGGUAAUUUUAUGUGAGCAUUUAGAACUAAAUAAAAAGCCCAUCAUUUGUUUGGUGCGCGACUUUACAAAAAAGAAUUCGAUUAUAUUGUUUGAGAAAAAUUGAAAAUAAAGAAACUAGAAUUGAGACAUGAAAAAAAUAGGAGGCCUUCAAAAAACAAAUUGUGUCAACGCCUCUAUGCCUUGUGAUUUUGACAAAUUUUCUUUUUGGUCCUUUUAGUUUAGAAAUGAAACUUUUUGGUACAAAACUUUAUUUUACUUGUAUUUUAGUUCUUGAGUUUGAGAAAGGAGAAAGAGAUUCAUUGAAAAAUUACAAAGGUGAGAGAAAAUUAGCGAAAGACUAAUUUUCAUAGUGUGAACAUAUUUCAUUUACUAUGAGAGUUAAAUUUAGAUUUCUUUUUCUGUAUCUUGCUAAAAAAAAAAGUACAUCUACCUCGAUAAUUAAUUUAGAUUCAAGUUGAUUUUUUAUUUUUAAAUCAAUUAAAUGUUUAUUUAAGAUUUUGAAUGGAUUUAUUGAGGUCCCUUUUACAUAUAGCUCACUUUGAUAUCCCCUCCGAUGUAUCCAACUCUUCAAUAAAAGGAGCAAUUUUUCAUUACAUUUAGCACAAUAUUUAUUUCUCUAACAUGUAUGAAGAUUGUCGCACCCGGCAUCGCGACGGCCUUAAAAUUUUUUACUCAAAAAAACAGAUUUUUGGCAUCAUUUUCUUAGAUAGGGAAGAUCUUGUUUAAGGAGUCGUUGUCUAAUAUUAUGGUCACCAGGAACCCUAACUAAUCAACAGAGAUCCUAUGAUACGAGACUUGUUACGUAAAAGGAAAGAUAUUAUCACCCCUUGAACAUCCUACCUGAGGUAGAUUGCAUUGCUGGUUUUGUCUUAAAUUGCUAACAGUUUGUUGGUUUAUACUAUGAUGGUUUGCUUGUAAUAUUCCUUAACUCUGGUAUCAGUGAAUAUUCAACUACGGAUACUUCCAACUCUGGCGUUGGAAGUAAUUUAUAAUUCAAUCCUCAAACUUCAAAUUUGUGUUGUCUUAAUUAAAUUCUCAAAUAUUUUUUAUUCAUUCAUUUUUUUUAUCUUAUUAUUUAUUUUAUUUUUUGAAAAUUUAAAAAUUAAGUUAUGACAAAGAUGACAUGAGUUAAAAUGAUUAUGUAAAUUAAUUUACAAAAAUGAGGCCUUUUUAUAGAGUAAUUUAUCCUAGACAAGAUGACCACGUACCCAACUCCAGUGAACUUAGAUUCUGCAAUUCUGCUUUGCUCCAACACGGACAAAAUUUGUUCAAGUCCCUUGUAUUCCAUGUAACAAAAACUUCAAGGACCAUAUUAAACUUUUCUAUACCUAAGAAAGGAUUGUAUUAUAUGAGAAUAGUUUAAUGCAUAAUAACUUGAGUCUUGCUACACAAUCAAAUUUGUUGUGGUAAGAAUAACAAAUGUGUUAAUUUAGAAUAUAAUACGAGGCAUGCACAAUUAAGAUUACAGCAGGGAGAUUUCAAGAAGUAGUUAAAUUUAGGUCAUAUUAGAAACGACUUUUGUAAAUUGAUUUAAUAUAUUUUUUACUUUUGAUUUUUUUUUAAAGUAUGUUAGUUAAAAUUGCUUUUGAUUUAUUUUUUUUUGUUAUAAAUUGGAUUCAAAACUUUGGUUUAAUAAUAAAAAAAAAUCUUAACUUUAGUUUGUGGAUUAUAUACUAAACUUUUUGUUAUUAAAGAGAGUUAUUUUGAGUCAUUUUUUUUUUGACAAAUAAUGCUUAUAACUUAUGGUUAUUUUAAUUUAUUUUUUUCAUAAAUUAUUGAUAAAAAAACAACUUUUAAGUAACAAUUCAAAGUAAAAUAUCAUAAUUUAAAUAUAUCAUGUUAAACAUGCUCUUGAUUUCCAACACCACGAGCUACAUGCUUAGAAAGAAGCAUAUGGAAAGGUUUGUAGACAGAAAACAAUUAGAAAUCAGAGGCGGAUUUAGAGGAUAGAAUAUUUAGAAUCUCUAGCAAAAGCCAGCAUGGUAUCUGCUUGAAAAAACCAUUCAACAAGGGGUUCUGCUAGGAAACAUGAUAUCAUUUAUUCAAGAUCUCAGUCAUCUUGAGAUUUGGAUGCCCAAAUACAUUCACAUGCUCAUACAAUAACAUUUAUUCAAGAUCUCGAGCGGCAUUGCUGAUGCCCAAAACCACAUAAUGCAUUAUGCAAUGAAACAGAACAUCAAACUGACAGAAAACAUGCUGAUGCAGAAAACACUCAAGUCUUAGAAAGGGAAUGCAUGAAAGUCCACACAUUAAACAUUAUGCCUUUAUUUUUGAAGGUUCACACACUUGAAAAGAAACACAAAUGGGCAAGCAAACAUACGCCCUUACUUCUGGAGGCUUGUACGAUAAUGACUGAACACACAGACAAGUCAAUAUUCUUUUUAUUUUAUUUUAUUUUUAGCAGAAAGGAGAAUGAAAGUCCACACAUUAAACAGUAAGCAUUAUGCCCUUGUUUUUGAACAUUCAGACACUUCAAAAGAACCUCAAAUGGGCCAACACUCACACUCACUUAUUUUUUGAGGUUCGCACAGUAAUGACUAAACACACAACAUUACAUUACUUAUUCACACAUGGAUAGAUAAGUCGAUAUCUUAUUUUGGGGGUUCUUGUUGGAAAAAAAUUGACAGAACAGAGGAGGGAGCACUACUCACACAAUUUUGGUGGAAUACAAUACACUAAACAAUGGUACUCUAACAUCUUUCAUUAUCAAAUCCAUACAAUAUAUAUAGACAUUAUAAAAUGUCUUUUACAAUAUUCAAGGUACUUAAUUAAUAUUAGACUCUUCAAUACUUACUCUAGAUUCAUAGUACUACUAGAUUCAUAGUAUUUCUAGAUUCAUAGUAUUUUUAAUGUGGAUGAUUAUUCAUUGAACUAACUUUAAUACACUUAAUCUUGAUAAACAAGUUUAAUAACUAACAUUCUCCCCUCUUAAAUUUAUUCCGUCCAUCUUCAUGAUUCCAAGCUUCUUCUACAAAUAACAUAACACAUCAGUCUUCAAUGGCUUUGUAAAAAUGUCUGCAAUUUGUUCAUGAGUUUUGACAUGAACUAACUUCACAUCUCCUUCUUUUAUGUGCUCUUUAAUGAAGUGAAAUCGAGUAUCAAUAUGUUUUGAACGUUCAUGAUGAACUGGAUUCUUUGCAAGUGCUAUAGCAGACUUGUUAUCAACAAAGAUUCGUGUAGCCUUGCUCUGUUUCUGCUGCAAAUCUUCCAUCAGUUUCCUUAGCCAUAUUGCAUGACACACACACGAUGCAGCAACAAUGUAUUCUGCUUCACAUGUGGAUAAUGCGACAAUAGAUUGUUUCUUUGAUGUCCACGUGAAAGUUGUUUCUCCCAUAAAGAAUGCAAAUCCAGUUGUGCUUUUUCUGUCUUCCAAGCUUCCUGCCCAGUCACUGUCACUGUAACCUGUAAUUUCAAGAUUCCAUGAAGAUGAAUAAAACAAUCCAUAGCUUGAAGUUCCUUUAACAAAACGAAGGAUCCUCUUUGCUGUCUUCAAAUGUGAACUUCUCGGCUUCUCCAUAUAUCUGCUAACCAAGCCAACUCCAUACAGAAUAUAUGGUCUGGUACAUGUUAAAUAACGCAAGCAACCCACAAUACUUUUGUAGUAUGUAGGAUUAACUAAAUCUCCUUCUCCUUCUUUAGUUAACUUGGUUCCAUAUUCAACUGGAUUGUCUGCUGGACAACAAUCUUCCAUAGCAAAUUUCUUCAAAACUUCUGUUGCAUACUUGGCUUGUGAAAUGAAUAUUCCAUUACUGCACUGCUUCACCUCUAAUCCCAAAAAAUAGGCCAUAAGACCUAAAUCUGUCAUUUCAAAUUCCUUCACCAUGGAUUGCUUGAAGUCUUGAAUCAUAGUUGGAUCAUCCCUUGUGAAAAGUAUAUCAUCAACAUAUAAACAAACAAACAUUACUCUACCUUGUAAAAUUUUCUUCACAUAUAAUGCAUGCUCAUAAGGGCAUCUUGUGAAUCCUUUCUGGGAAAGAUAACCAUCAAUUUUGGAGUUCCAUGCUCUUGGUGCUUGUUUAAGCCCAUAAAGAGCUUUCUUCAAUCUGCAAACCUUCUCUUCUUCUCCUUUUACCACAAAGCCAGCUGGUUGUUCUACAUACACUACCUCUUCAAGGUUGCUGUUCAAGAAUGCUGACUUUACAUCCAUCUGAAAUAUCUUCCAUCUUUUCUGAGCUGCCAGGGAAAUCAUCAAUCUUACGGUUUCCAUUCCUGCUACUGGAGCAAAAACAUCUUCAUAAUCAACUCUAUAUUGUUGCUUGUACCCUUUCGUUACUAAUCUGGCUUUAUGUUUUUCAAUCUCUCCUUCUGCAUUCCUCUUUGUCUUGAAGAUCCAUUUUACUCCUAUUGCAUUGUGUCCUUCGGGAAGUGUUGUCAAUUCCCAUGUAUUAUUUUUUAUGAUGGAAUUGAUCUCCUCCUUCAUUGCUUUCUUCCACAUGUCUUCUUGAUAUGCUUCUUCAAAUGUAAUAGGAUCAUUUCCUGAAAACAAGCAAAGCAUAUUAACAUCAUCAAGAUUGAUUCUUUCUGUUACAUCAUAAAUCUUUUGUAUGCUCUUUGUCUUUCUUGUUGUUGAGCUUGAAGGACCAGCAGGACUGUUAGUUGACGGGGAUGGAGCUACAUCUUUCUGAAUCUGUUCUUCAUCUAUAAUUAGUUUAUGUGGUUGAUCUUCAGAAUUCCAACUCAAUUCUUGCUCUUUAUCAAACUUCACAUCUCUUGACAUGAUCACCUUCUUUGUCAUCGGAUUGUAUAAUUUGUAACCAUGCGAGUUUUCUCCAUAUCCCAGUAGUAUGCCUUUUUACUUUUAUCUUCAAGUUUAGUUCUUUUUUCCUCUUGAUUUUGGCAUAAGCAACACUGCCAAAAAUUCUCAAAUGAUCAACUCUUGGUUUCUUCAUGCUCCAUGCUUCUUCUAGUGUGAUCUUUUAAAGUCUUUUUGUUGUAAAUUUGUUCAACAAAUACACAGCACAUACAACUGCAUCUCCCCAAAACUCUUUUGGACAUUUUUUUCUUUUAGUAUACAUCUAACCAUGUUAAUAAUAGUUAUGUUUUUUCUCUCUGAUACUCCAUUCUGUUGUGGAGUCUGUGGCAUUGUGAGCUGAUGAACAAUACCAUUUUCCUUACAAUAAUCAUCAAAAUCACGAGAAAUAUACUCUCCUCCCCUAUCUGUUCUUAAGCAUUUUAGCUUACACUUUGUUUUUCUACUAAAUUUUUAAACUCCUUAAAUUUGCCCAACACUUCUUUCUUUUCUUUUAACACAUAUACCCAUGUCUUUCCACUAAAAUCAUCAGUAAAAGUGAGAAAAUACCUGCUUCCUCCUAUUGAAGUAGGCGAAAUAGGGCCACACACAUCUGAAUACACCAAGUCAAGAGGCUGAGAUGCUCUUGAGCUCUUCUUUGGGAAUGGCUUUCUGUGCUGCUUUCCCAUUACACACACUUCACACAUUCUGCUUGUGUGCUCUAUUUGGUAUUCCAAGAACCAUUUUGCUUUUCUAUAUCAACAUAAGUGAUCCACUGUGAAGCCCGAGAAUAAAGUAUACAAAGAGGGGGAGGUUUAUAAUAAUUCAAAAUGUUGUUAUAAUAUAAUAAUAAUAAUAAUAAAAAUAAUAAAGAAAAAAGCGUGAAAGAUGGGGCCAAAAUGGAAUUAAGAAGAGAUGGGACUAUAAAUACCCAUCCCUUCUCUCAUCAAUGGUCGGCUGAUAAUAAGAAGAAGGAGGGGGGAGAAUUUCAGAUUUUUCCUUCAUCAAAACUAGGAGUAAACACCUAAAAUUAGUAUACCCAAAUAAGCCUUGGAAUUAUUAAGUGGAGGAACACAAUCGGGUGGAAGAAUUAACAAGAAGAAAAGUGAAGAAUUGGUGGAGAAAAGAGGGGGAAGAGUGGCUGACUAUAUACAAGGAGAAGAAGGCUAAGAUUCUUCUAAAUUUGUGAAGUAAAGUUUAGAUUUCCAUCCAAGUAAGGAGUUCAAAUUCCAAUUUCUAUUAAAUCAACUUCAAUUUGAUUAGAAGUUUAUGCUUUUCUUGAAUUGGGAAUUAGGGUUAUUUAACAUAAAAUGCUGGGAAAAUGCAGAAAUGAGUGAGGUUAAAUGGAUUAGAAUAAUCUAAGUGCCUAAAAGAAGAAGAAGAAAUGAGUGCAUAAAAGAGAGGAAGGGAACUUUUGGUUCCCUUGGGCACGUUCUCUUCUGGGAUACUGCAGAGAGGGAAUGAAAACUCAUGAUGUGCUUAAUUAAUUAAUUUGGUACAAGUGACCUUAAGAGGAUGUAAAAUGAGACGGGAAUGCCAUGAAUAAAGGAAAGGCAUGGCUGUGACUGAUGAGGAAGCAGGGAUUUAAGAUGAAUUGGAGAUACUUUCUCCAUUAGCAAAACAGGGCAGGUUCGUUGCCUUGUUUCCUGGGGAAAUUUGGACCUGAAAACUACAGAAUCCAGGGAGGGUCCCCACAUAGAAGUUGUAGCCGGGAGUGUUAGCUUUCCAACGAGUCUGACCUCGCCUAAUUUGGAGUCCUGGAACUCCAGAUACAGAUAAAAAUCUGAGGAGAGGUCAAGUUGCCACCCCUGUUGGCAGAUUCGGCCAAGUAGACAAAACGAUGAAAUUUAGCCAUAUUAAGGGUAGAAUUUGUUUUCUUGCCCUUCAUAAAGUGUGUCUUGAUCUUCAAAAAGAAUAAACUAUGAUCAAAAUUGAAUUUAUGAUGUCCACUUGGACUACUAAUGAGCUGAAAAGUUAAAGGAUAAUAAUGAGGAAUGUAAGUGAGAAAGAAAAGAUUAGUAAAAGAGAAAUGAAUAUUAUUUCCAUUGUUGCUGUUGCGUGUGAUAUGUGGACUAAUAUGGAAUAAUGAUUGGUGUUUGUGGUUUCAGGAGGAACCGCGGGAGGAGUACAACAACCACAGGGGAACGCAAGUCGAGCGUCUACAACAGGUAGGUAUUUGGUACCUAUAUCUCCUCUAGUUAAUAAUUAGUUUAACAAACUAUUGAAUUAUAAAAAUUUGGUGCUUAUUGAUGAGGAAAAGAAAAGGGGGAAAAGAAAGGUAUAAUGAUGAGAGAAAAAAAUAGAAUCGAAGGACUAGAUUUAGUUUAUGGGUUCUUUUGGAGAAAAUGAACAGUAACAACAAAUCUUGAUAAUGAUUGUUUCUCGAAUUUGAUUUUUCUGUCCCUGAUAUAGGAGGCUAAUGAUGCUAACCAAGCUGGUUAACAUCAGCAUUACCGGUACAUGGGAUGAGAAAUAUAAACCUUGAUUAACUAUUCGGGUUCAGAAUAGUUAAUGAUAUCGGCGGGUGACGUCGAUACCGGUAAAAUUUAUACACUUGAUUAACUAUUCGGAUUCAGAAUAGUUAAUGAUAUCGGCAGGUGAUGUUGAUAUCGGAAAAAUUUAUACACUUGAUUAACUAUUCGGUUUCAGAAUAGUUAAUGAUAUCGGCAGGUGACGUCAAUAUCGGCAAAAUUUAUAGACUUGAUUAGCUUUCUGAGGUGAAAGCUAAUGAUGUCGAGAAUUCUUGACAUCGGCAUACCUGAAAACCUCCUAAGGUAAUAUGGAACAGUGAUUUACUAUUUUAGUUUUAAAAUAGUUAAUGACAUAAAUGGUUACGUUCGUGUUGGCAUUUUCAUGAAACUGAUUAGUUAUUCUUGGGAUGGGCAACUAAAGACACUGAUGGAGGUUAUUGGUGUCAGCAACAGUCUUUUCGAUGUUAAAGGGGGGAGAAGUAGUCAACAGAAACAAUUUUUUUAAAAAACCUUUAAAAGGGGUUUAUGGUUGUAUUGAGAAUCUCAUAUGAUUUUAGUAGAUAGAUAUGCUGUUAAUUUUUCUUCUGCAGAUUACUUGUAUUUUAAUCAUUUGUUUUUAAUUAUAUGGAAAAUUUAUAUUUUUGCAGGUCCCUCUCAUUAACGUCAGGAAUAGAUUUUAAGUUCUUUGAUCCCUUUUUGUAUAAGUUAGGAACUUAAGGAUUUGUGGUGUAAUUUUGUUAUGCAGUAAACAUGUAACCUGUAUAGAAUAUUAUAUUCGUAAUAUUUUGUUUCUGAAAUAUUAAAUGUAUCAACAUAUGCUUGGGAUAUUAGAGUGUACUAGAUUGUGUUAGAAUAUUAAACUAUGUUGUGUUAUAUAUAUAUAUGAAAUCUUCGUGCUCGAAUUGGCUCUUUUGAUUAUUAACUUAUUGUGUGUGAUGUAAGAUGGAGUUUGGGAAUAAUUAUGGUCCUAAACAUAAUCUGGAAUGAAUUAUGCAGUUGAUUGUACUAAACAUGGAUGUGAUUAUGGAUGAGAUGUAAUUCUAGAUGUGUGCAGGGUACAUUGUCGAUAACUUGGGAUCUCCUAGUAUAGGGGAGACUCUGCUGAAAUUUCUAACAAAAUUUCGAUGAGAGAAAAAAAAAUUUAUGCUUCAUCUACCUUUUAUAGGGGGAAGAUUAAUGGAUAAACUAAUAGUAAAAUUAGGGCUGUUAUAGUUGGUAUCAGAGCAUUUGGUUGCAGUUUCAGGGAUUGAAAUACUAAUGUGAUUUUGGAAAAAUGUUGCAGGAUGGCUCGUACACGGCAAGCCGCAAGGGCUGUUCUGUCCCCUGUGCAAAGAAGAGAGUAUGACUCACUUUCUGGGGAUGAAACUGAAAGGGACCCAUUAAUGGGCAUUGCCUCCCAUCAAUCUGUGGUGUCGGCCCAUUCAGAGAGGGGAGAUUCAGGGGGACAUUAGGAUGACCCUAUCACUUCUCGGACAGAAGUGUCGCCGGCUGAAACACCGGGUGGCCAAGGAUCAGAAGACAGGCCACCGCCAGUGACAUCAACGGUCACCCCGAAUCCCUAUUCGGACCCCACAUUUCUCGAGCAAUGGGUUAAGGCAGUAGCAGCAGGGAUGGCUGCAGGUGCAUCCAAUUAUACUCCUCGAGCGGAAAGAGUAAUCACCCUGGUUCAAUGGGUGAAAGGCAUGCGAGAAAUGGGUUGCACAACCUAUUCAGGGGAGGAAGACGCCGAAGUAGCAGGGCAUUGGUUGAGGAAGGUAGAAAGGGUUAUAGAUCAGAUGCAGGUGCUAGAGGAAACCCGAGUAGAUUGUGUGACCCAGUUGUUAACGGAGAGUGCCCACUCCUGAUGGGAGACCAUUAGAGAAAGAAGGGCAGGAGAAGAUUUGAGGUGGAGAAACUUUCGAGAAGAAUUUGAGGAACGGUAUUACUCCUAGCAGCACCAAAAAGAGAAAGAGCAGGAGCUGAAAUUAAUUUUGGUGGGAGACCAUUAGAGAAAGAAGAGAAAGAAGGGCAGGAGAAGAUUUGAGGUGGAGAAACUUUCGAGAAGAAUUUGAGGAACGGUAUUACUCCUAGCAGCACCAAAAAGAGAAAGAGCAGGAGCUGAAAUUAAUUUUGGUGGCUAUACAGUUUCAGUCGAUUCGAGAGUUAAUGCGAGCUGCUCAGGGUAUAGAAAGAGUAAUGAAUGACACACCAAGGCCAACAAGUGAACAGAGUCAGACCACGAGAUUCAAAAGAAGGGAUUUCACACCUCCUAUAGGGAGGAAUCCUCCUCCGAAAAAAGGAAAGAGUGGGUCAUCAUUCGAGCCAUUAUCGAAAAAAGGGGGGAGUUUUGUUCAUGGUGGGAGUUCAUGAGGAGUUAGACGAGUUAAUGUUGGGGGAUCCGUGGGAGGUCAGACUCGCCAAGGGGCAAGUGUUAUAGGGGGUCCAUGGAGCAUAGAGGACCUGUCUACCCGAUAUGCAUGAGAUGUAAUCAGAAACACCCCGGGGAUUGUUCAACCACACCAGGAAAAUGCUAUAUUUGUAGAGGGGAAGGGCAUCGAUGGAGGGAUUGCCAGUAUUUGGUAAGAGGUUGUUUCCAUUGUGGGGAAACGGGUCAUAGAAAGAAAGAAUGUCCACAUAGAGUCACUGAAGGAGUACAUGGACAGGGGAUGGCUACCCAAAGCCAGCAACAGUCAGUGACAUUUGAUCGGCCUGUACGGCCUGUACGACCUACUCAGUUAGGGGCAAGUGCUAACAAAGGCCGACCCAGAUUCCAGGAGGAAAGGACUCGGGGCAGGAUAUACCAUAUGACCCAGGAAGAUGUGGGGGCAAUGCCAGAUGUCGUAGCAGGUACACUACAAUUGAGUUUAAUACAAGUUUAUGCUUUAUUGAUCUUGGGGCCAGUCAUUCUUUUGUGGCCCACCGAAUUACUAGAAAUUUAAAUGUGUCACCAAGUAGAUUGAAUGUGGGAAUGGUAGUUAGUACACCUUUGGGGAAAAAUAUAAACAUUGAUGAGGUAUACAAGGGAGUGAUACUAAACAUUGAGGGGGCAGAGCUAAGGGCGGAUCUCAUGCCUUUAGCAUUAGAUGAUUUUGACUUGAUACUGGGAAUGGGUUGGUUAAAUAGAUAUAGAGCACGAGUAGAUUGUUUCACAAAGACUGUAAACCUCCAAGAUGUGAGUGGAAAAAAGGUAGUAUACAGGGGAGAGAGGAGGGCAAUUCCAAACUCCAUAAUCUCGGUCAUGACGGUCGGAAAACUGAUUAGAAAGGGAUGCCCUGCCUAGUUGUCUCAUGUGAGAGAAUUAAAAAAGGGAAGCAUAGAAUUAACAAAUAUCCCUAUUGUAAAAGAAUUUCCAGACGUGUUUCCAGAGGAAUUACCAGGACUACCUCCAAUCAGGGAAAUUGAGGUUUCCAUUGAGACUCUUCCAGGAGUCAACCCUAUAGCACAAUCCCCUUAUAGAAUGGCCCCUAUAGAACUAGCCAAAUUGAAGAUCCAGCUUCAGGAGUUGUUGGACAAAGGAUUCAUAAGGCCGAGCAAUUCACCUUGGGGAGCCCCGAUGUUAUUUGUAAAGAAGAAGGAUGGUACAUUCAGGUUAUGUAUCGAUUAUCGUCAACUGAACAAAGUGACGAUAAAGAACAAGUAUCCGCUACCACGGAUAGAUGACCUGUUUGAUCAGUUGAAGGGUGCGAGAGUAUUCUCGAAGAUAAAUCUGAGAUCGGGGUAUCAUCAAUUAAGAAUCAGAGAAUAGGACAUACAGAAGACUGCCUUUAGAACUCGUUGUGGCCAUUAUGAAUUUUUAGUAAUGCCAUUUGGGUUAACUAAUGCCCCUGUAGUAUUUAUGGAUCUAAUGAAUCGAGUGUUCUGGUUUUAUUUGGAUAAAUGUGUGGUAGUGUUUAUUGAUGAUAUACUGGUAUAUUCAAGCUCUUAUCUAGAGCACGAGAAGCACUUGAGGAAGGUGUUAGAAAUAUUGAGAGAAAAUAAAUUGUAUGCGAAAUUGGAUAAAUGUGAGUUAUGGCUCAAGGAGGUGAUAUUUUUGGGACAUGUUAUCUCAGCUGGAGGAAUAUGUGUGGAUCCAGGAAAAGUAGAGGCAGUUCUAAAGUGGGAGAAGCCUACAAAUGUGGCUGAAAUUCGAAGUUUCUUGGGCCUCGCAGGGUGUUAUAGGAGGUUUAUUGAAGGAUUUUCUACAAUAGCAUCGCCUCUGACCAAGUUGACUCGUAAAGAAGUAAGGUUAAAUUGGUCAAAGGAAUGUCAGGAGAGUUUCUAGGAGUUGAAAAGAAGGCUUACAUCAGCCCCCGUUUUGGCCCUUCUAGAACAGAAGGGUUCAUUGUUUACAGUGAUGCCUCAAGCAGGGGUUUGGGAUGCGUAUUAAUGCAGCAUGGGAAGGUGAUCGCAUAUGCUUCCAGACAGUUAAAGCUGCAUGAAGUGAAUUAUCCGAUCCAUGACUUGGAACUUGCAUCAAUAGUAUUUGCCUUACUAGUAUGGAGACAUUACUUGUAUGGAACACAAGUGCAGAUUUUCACCGACCAUAAAAGUUUGAAGUAUUUAAUGUCGCAAAAGGAAUUAAACAUGCGGCAGAGGAGGUGGGUGGAAUUGAUAAAGGACUAUGAUUGCAUAAUUGAUUACCAUCCUGGCAAAGCCAAUGUAGUGGCGGAUGCAUUAAGUCGAAAAGGGAAAGCAGUGAUGGGUGAUACAGAAACUUCAGAACAAGGGAAUGUGAGGGAAUUAAAAAGGAUGGGAAUACAAUUAAGUGUGGGUCCUGAAGGGUCACUACUAGCUCAUAUGAAGAUCAGAUCGGUGUUACGGGAUAAAGUUCUAGAAGUUCAGUUGGCGGAUGAGGGUGUAAGGAAAAUCAAGGAAAAGAUAAAGCAAGGCAAAGAGUUAUUCCUUCAAGUGUUGCCAGGAGGGUUGGUGGCGAUGGGAAAACGAGUUUACGUGCCUGAGAAUAGGACCUUAAAGGGUGAGAUAUUGAAGGAAGCUCAUGAAUCUUGGUUUGCAACCCAUCCUGGGAGUACCAAGAUGUAUAGGGAUCUCAAGGAGUAUUACUGGUGGCCAAAUAUGAAGAAGGAGAUAGCGGAAUAUGUGUCAAGAUGUGGGAUAUGCCAAUAGGUGAAGAUAGAACAUCAAAGGCCGGCAGGAGAAUUACAACCACUACCAAUUCCAGAAUGGAAAUGGGAAAAUAUAGCCAUGGACUUUGUAACCGGAUUGCCAAGGGGGAAAAAGGGCAAUGAUGAUAUAUGGGUAGUGGUAGAUCGACUGACAAAGUCGGCUCUGUUCUUGCCCAUCAAAAUGACAGACCCCGUAGACAAGUUAGCUAAAUUAUACGUGAACGAAGUGAUUAGACUACACGGAGUGCCUAUAUCAAUGGUGUCAGAUUGAGACCCGAGAUUUACCUCGAGGUUAUGGACAUGCUUACAAUGAGCUUUGGGAACCGAGGUGAACCUGAGCACGGCAUUUCACCCCUAGACAGAUGGCCAAUCUGAAAGAACUAUCCAAACACUUGAAGACCUUCUAAGGUCAUGUGUGCUAGAGUUUGGGGGAAACUGGGAAGACUUGUUACCGUUGGUAGAGUUCACGUAUAAUAAUAGUUACCAUGCUACUAUCGGGAUGGCUCCAUAUGAAGCCCUUUAUGGGAGAAAAUGUCACACUCCGAUAUGCUGGGAUGAAAUUGGAGAAAGGAAACUCCUGGGUCCUGAAAUGGUACAAAUAACAUCUGAUAAAGUAAGGGUGAUUAGGCAAAGAAUGAAGGAAGCUCAAGAUAGACAGAAGAGUUAUUCAAAUAACCGGAUGAGACCUUUAGAAUAUCAAAUAGGGGAUAGAGUAUUCUUAAAGGUGGCACCGUGGAAGGGCAUCAUUCGGUUUGGAAUGAAAGGAAAGCUUGCUCGGAGGUACAUUGGCCUAUUUGAGGUGAUAACUAGGAUAGGGCCGGUUGCUUACCGCUUGAAGCUACCGACACACCUAGAGAAGAUUCACAAGUUAUUCCAUGUAUCACUAUUACGGAAGGCGGAAGUGGAUCCUUCCCGAGUGUUACCUCCAAUUCCUAUGGAAGUAAAAGAAGACUUGACACUCGAGACCAGGCCAAUCAAGAUCAUGGAUCGGAGUGAAAAAACAUUGAGGAAUAAAAGAGUAUCACUAGUCAGAGUGUUGUGGAGGAACUCACAAAUUGAGGAAGAAACGUGGGAGAGAGAAUUAGAGAUUAAGGAAAAAUACCCCCACCUAUUCCUUGAGUCAGGUAUGCAGUUUAAAUUUCAUGGACGAAAUUUUUAUUAGGAGGGAAGAAUGUGAAGCCCGAGAAUAAAGUAUACAAAGAGGGGGAGGUUUAUAAUAAUUCAAAAUGUUGUUAUAAUAUAAUAAUAAUAAUAAUAAUAAUAAACUAGAAAAAAGGGUGAAAGAUGGGGCCAAAAUGGAAUUAAGAAGAGAUGGGACUAUAAAUACCCAUCCCUUCUCUCAUCAAUACCCAUCCCUUCUCUCAUCAAUGGCCGGCUGAUAAUAAGAAGAAGGAGGGGGGGAGAGUUUCAGAUUUUUCCUUCAUCAAAACUAGGAGUAAACACCUAAAAUUAGUAUACCCAAAUAAGCCUUGGAAUUAUUAAGUGGAGGAACACAAUCGGGUGGAAGAAUUAACAAGAAGAAAAGUGAAGAAUUGGUGGAGAAAAGAGGGGGAAGAGUGGCUGACUAUAUACAAGGAGAAGAAGGCUAAGAUUCUUCUAAAUUUGUGAAGUAAAGUUUAGAUUUCCAUCCAAGUAAGGAGUUCAAAUUCCAAUUUCUAUGAAAUCAACUUCAAUUUGAUUAGAAGUUUAUGCUUUUCUUGAAUUGGGAAUUAGGGUUCUUUAACAUAAAAUGCUGGGAAAAUGCAGAAAUGAGUGAGGUUAAAUGGAUUAGAAUAAUCUAAGUGCCUUAAAGAAGAAGAAGAAAUGAGUGCAUAAAAGAGAGGAAGGGAACUUUUGGUUCCCUUGGGCACAUUCUCUUCUGGGAUACUACAGAGAGGGAAUGAGAACUUAUGAUGUGCUUAAUUAAUUAAUUUGGUACAAGUGACCUUAAGAGGACGGAAAAUGAGAUGGGAAUGCCAUGAAUAAAGGGAAGGCAUGGUUGUGAGUGAUGAGGAAGCAGGGAUUUAAGAUGAAUUGUAGAUACUUUCUGCAUUAGCAAAACAGGGCAGGUUCGUUGCCCUGUUUUCUGGGGAAAUUUGGACCUGAAAACUACAGAAUCCAGGGAGGGUCCCCACAUAGAAGUUGUAGCCGGGAGUGUUAGCUUUCCAACGAGUAUGACCUCGCCUAAUUUGGAGUCCUGGAACUCCAGAUACAGAUAAAAAUCUGAGGAGAGGUCAAGUUGCCACCCCUGUUGGCAGAUUCGGCCAAGUAGACAAAACGAUGAAAUUUAGCCAUAUUAAGGGUAGAAUUUGUUUUCUUGCCCUUCAUAAAGUGUGUCUUGAUCUUCAAAAAGAAUAAACUGUGAUCAAAAUUGAAUUUAUGAUGUCCACUUGGACUACUAAUGAGCUGAAAAGUUAAAGGAUAAUAAUGAGGAAUGUAAGUGAGAAAGAAAAGAUGAGUAAAAGAGAAAUGAAUAUUAUUUCCAUUGUUGCUGUUGCGUGUGAUAUGUUGACUAAUAUGGAAUAAUGAUGGGUGUUUGUGGUUUCAGGAGGAACCGCGGGAGGAGUACAACAACCAUAGGGGAACGCAAGUCGAGCGUCUACAACAGGUAGGUAUUUGGUACCUAUAUCUCCUCUAGUUAAUAAUUAGUUUAACCAACUAUUGAAUUAUAAAAAUUUGGUGCUUAUUGAUGAGGAAAAGAAAAGAGGGAAAGGAAAGGUAAAAUGAUGGGGGAAAAAAAUAGAAUCGAAGGACUAGAUUUAGUUUAUGGGUUCUUUUGGAGAAAAUGAACAGUAACAACAAAUCUUGAUAAUGACUGUUUCUCGAAUUUGAUUUGUCUGUCCCUGAUAUAGGAGGCUAAUGAUGUUAACCAAGCUAGUUAACAUCGGCAUUACCGGUACAUGGGAGGAGAAAUAUAAACCUUGAUUAACUAUUCGGGUUCAGAAUAGUUAAUGAUAUCGGCAGGUGACGUCGAUACCGGUAAAAAUUAUAAACUUGAUUAACUAUUCGGUUUCAGAAUAGUUAAUGAUAUCAGCAGGUGACGUCGAUAUCGAAAAAAUUUAUACACUUGAUUAACUAUUCGGUUUCAUAAUAGUUAAUGAUAUCAGCAGGUGACGUUGAUAUCGGCAAAAUUUAUGAACUUGAUUAACUAUUCGUUUCAAAAUAGUUAAUGAUAUCGGUGAGUGACGUCGAUAUCGGCAAAAUUUAUAGACUUGAUUAGCUUUCUGAGGUGAAAGCUAAUAAUGUCGAGAAUUCUUGACAUCGGCAUACCUGAAAACCUCCCAAGGUAAUAUGGAACAGUGAUUUACUAUUUUAGUUUUAAAAUAGUUAAUGACAUAAACGGUUACGUUCGUGUUGGCAUUUUCAUGAAACUGAUUAGUUGUUCCUGAGACGGGCAACUAAAGACACUGAUGGAGGUCAUUGGUGUCAGCAAUAGUCUUUUUGAUGUUGAAGGGGGGAGAAGUAGUCAACAGAAACAAAAAUUUUUAUAACCUUUAAAAGGGGUUUAUGGUUGUAUUGAGAAUCUCAUAUGAUUUUAGUAGAUAGAUAUGCUGUUAAUUUUUCUUCUGUAGAUUACUUGUAUUUUAAUCAUUUGUUUUUAAUUAUAUGGUAAAUUUAUAUUUUUGCAGGUCCCUCCCAUUCACGUCAGGAAUAGAUUUUAAGUUCUUUGAUCCCUUUUUGUAUAAGUUAGGAACUUAAGGAUUUGUGGUGUAAUUUUGUUAUGCAAUAAACAUGUAACCUGUAUAGAAUAUUAUAUUCAUAAUAUUUUGUUUUGAAAUAUUAAAUGUAUCAACAUAUGCUUGGGAUAUUAGAGUGUACUAGAUUGUGUUAGAAUAUUAAACUAUGUUGUGUUAUAUAUAUAUAUGUAUAUGAAAUCUUCGUGCUCGAAUUGGCUCUUUUAAUUAUUAACUUAUUGCGUGUGAUGUAAGAUGGAGUUUGGGAAUAAUUAUGGUCCUAAACAUAAUCUGGAAUGAAUUAUGCAGUUGAUUGUACUAAACAUGGAUGUGAUUAUGGAUGAAUGUAAUUCUAGAUGUGUGUAGGGUACAUUGUCGAUAACUUGGGAUCUCUUGGUAUAAGAGAGACUCUGCCGAAAUUUCUAACGAAAUUUCGGCGAGAGAGAAAAAAAAUUUAUGCUUCAUCUACCCUUUAUAGGAGGGAAGAUUAACAGAUAAACUAAUAGUAAAAUUGGGGCUGAUACAUCCACAAUUCAAAUGUCCAUAUCGCAGAUGCCACAAAUUCUUCAUGUUAGAGAUUUCUGCCUUAAAACAUUUUGACAGAUAUAUGCUAAGAUCCAGAGGGAACAUCCUAUUUCUAGUCAUUUUAACUGAAGCAAUUGCAGCUCCAGACUCAUCAAAAAUCUUCAAAUUCUUGUCUUUCAUCUGCACUUCAAAGCCUUUCUCUAGAAAUUUCCCCAAACUCAGAAUGUUGUUUUUCUUGUCUGGAACAUAAAAAACUUCUGAUAUGAACUUCUGCUCACCAUUCUUAAGUUCAAUAAGAAUUCUACCUCUUUCUUCAACUGGUCUUUGAGAAAGAUCUCCAAAGGUAAUGUUACCUUUAUAACUUUCAUCGAUAUCAACAAAUGCUUCCUUCAUACCACACAUAUGAUUUGAUGCUCCUGUAUCUAGAUACGAGGUGUUGAAGUUGCUGCCAUCAAAUUUUCCACAGGCCAACAAUAAUGCAGGCUCUUCAUAAUCAAUUUCUUUCUCAGCAAAGUUGACAUUCUUGUCUUCAAAUUUGUGUUGUGAGCAAUCUGAAGCAAAAUGACCAUACUCUUUACAAUUAUAACAUUGUACGUUUGCAUGAUUAUUCCUCCAAUUUGAAUAUCCUUUAUGACUUCUUCCUCUGCUUCUGCCACGGCCUCUGAAAUUAAAAUUUUGAUUUCGUGCUCCAUGAGAUUCUUGAUUUCGGAAUGAUCUUCCUCCUCUUCCUCUUCUAUGAAUGAACCUUCCUCUUUGAAAUGCUCCUCUGCCAGAUUCAUUAACAUUCUUCACAGUUAACUUUGUCUGCAAUGCUUGUUGAAGAGAUCUACCUUCUCCUCUUCUAUCAAUUUUCUACUCAUGGGCUUGCAGAGAUCCUAUUAAUUCUUCUACUGUCAGAUCUUCCAAAUUCUUUGAUUCUUCAAUUGCUACGACCACAUGAUCAAACUUUGAAUCCAAAGACCUCAAAAGUUUCUCCAUCACACGAACAUCAUCAAUAUUUUCACCAUUCCUUCUCAUCUGGUGAACCACAGAGAUUACUUUUGUGAAGUAAUCUGAAACUGUCUCAUUACUUUCUUUACUCAACUUCUCAAAGUCUCCUCUCAAUGCUUGCAAUUGUACCCUUUUUGUCUUUUUAACUCCACUAUAAGUCUUGUUAAGCAUUUCCCAUGCCUCCUUUGACGUCUUUGCUGGUGCCACCAUCUCAAGAGUUGCUUCAUCAAGUCCUUGAUAAAUGGUGAAUAACGCCUUAUUAUCCUUCUUCCUUGAUUCUCUCAAUGUUUGUCUUUCUGCAUUACUCAUUGCUGCCUCUUCUCUUGUUGAUUUUGGUUCAGUAUAACCAUCUUCAAUUAACUCCCAUAACUCUUGUGAUCUUAGUAGUGCCUUGUAUUGAAUACACCACAUAUCAUAGUUUUAUUUGGUAAGACGGGGAAUAUGAAAUUGAGAAUUGUUGUUGUUGGAAGCCAUAUCUACUCUUAAGCUCUGAUACCACUUUGUUGGAAAAACAAUGACAGAAUAGAGAAGUGAUCACUACUCACACAAUUUUGGUGGAAUACAAUACACUAAACAAUGGUACUCUAACAUCUUUCGUUAUCAAAUCCAUACAAUAUAUAUAGACAUUAUAAAAUGUCUUUUACAAUAUUCAAGGUACUUAAUUAAUAUUAGACUCUUCAAUACUUACUCUAGAUUCAUAGUACUACUAGAUUCAUAGUAUUUCUAGAUUCAUAGUAUUUCUAAUAUGGAUGAUUAUUCGUUGAACUAACUUCAAUACACUUAAUCUUGAUAAACAAGUUUAAUAACUAACAUUUGGUAAAUAAGACUGUUACGAUGUGAAGCCAAUUUGUAUCCCAUUGCCAAUGAAACAGUAGGAAUUACUUACUACCAAUCAAAAACAUAUUCGCAGCUCCACAGCUCAAAAACAUGAAUCUCCGUGAAAUCGCCUAAGCAACAUUACAUUACAAUACAUGGGUAAACAAGCAGAUACCGUUAUUCACACAUAGUUAGAUAAGUCGAAAUCUUCUUAUUCCAUGUAACAAAAACUUCAAGGACCAUAUUAAACUUUUCUACACCUAAGAAAGGAUUACAUUAUAUGAGAAUAGUUUAAUGCAUAACAACUUGAGUCUUGAUAUACAAUAAAAUUAGUUAUGGUAAGAAUAACAAAUGUUUGAAUUUAGAUUAUAAUACGAGGUAUACAUAAUUAAGAUUACAACAAGGAGAUUUCAAGAAGUAGUAAUUUGAGUUUGUGGUUAUAUACUAAUUAAAAUUUUUGUGGUUAUAUACUAAAUUUAGUUUGUGGUUAUAUACUAAAUUUUUUGUUAUUAAAAAGAGUUAAUUUGAGUCAUUUUUUUUACAAAUAAUGCUUAUAACUUAUGGUUAUUUUAAUUUAUUUUUUUCAUAAAUUAUUUAUAAAAAACAACUUUUAAAUUAUAAUUCAAAGUAAAACAUCAUGUUAAACAUGCUCUUGAUUUCCAACACCACAGCUUAGAAAGAAGCUAAUCAUAUGGGGGGAGGCGAGCAAGAAAUUACUGUUCUACAGUAUGGUCUGAGAUUUAAAAUAUGUCAGCUUUAGGUUUCACAAGAAAUUAGCGAGGGUAGCUUAAUCUGGUAGGAAAACAUGCUUAGAAAGAAGCUGGGGUUGGGGAUACUCUUAGCUAAUGAAAACAGCUUCAAAUCCAACACAAAAGGAAAAGAAAAAUCAGUGAGGGAAGCAUUUUUGUAGGAUUUUGCCAGAAUAAAAUGCAGAGCCUAGCAAUUAACACACUUGUUCUGAAAACUUCACAACUUUAUUGAUCAUUAUAGGUCUUAUUUAAGCAAUAAGAGAAACAAAAAUGCAAGUAACAAGCAGCUCAAUCUGCUAUUGUUACGUAAAAGAAUUUAAGAAGAUCAUAACAAAAUACAGAAGAUUUAUGUCAAUGUCAAUCUUAACAGAUUUUGACAAUUUCAAAUCAACAAGUGUUUUAUUAAAUCUAAAACUCUUAUCAGCAUCCACAUCAGCAGGCUCCACAUCAGUAGCUUCUUGAGACAUCAAUUCAACAUUCCUCUUUGGCUUUGAAGCUGCAGAUUCCAAGUCUUUGUCUUAAGAAGUCAUACUUAGCUUUAGGAAGUGGCUUAGUCAGAAUAUCAGCAUUUUAAUUUUCUGUUUUGCAGUAGAUCAGUUGUAUUUCACCUUCUUUUUGUACUUCUCUUUGGAAAUAGAGUUUCAUUUUAAAGUGUUUCAUUUUGCCAUGAAACACAGGAUUUUUUGCGAUUGAAAUUGCAGCUUGAUUGUCUACAAGUAUCCGUGUGCUUUCCUUUUGCUCCAUCUGCAGAUCAGCCAUCAAUUUUCUAAUCCAAAUGGCCUGAUUCAUGGCAUUAGUAGAUACUACAUACUCUGCUUCUGCUGUGGAUUGAGCUAUGACUUCUUGCUUCUUAGAGCUCCAUGAAAAAAUAACAGAUCCAAAGCUAAAACAAUAACUUGAAGUACUCCUUAUGUCAUCAACACAGCUGGUCCAAUUACUGUCAGAAUAACCAUGGAGUAUGAAGUUUUUAACUUGACAAAACCUCAAUCUAUAGUCAAUUGAUGUAUCUGACAAUUCUUUUUGCUGUUUGAAAAUGAAUUUCACUUGCACAAUGCAUAUACCUUGAAAGUAUACUUGUAGCAUUCAUAAUGUCUGGUCUUGUUGCAGUGAGAUACAUCAAGCAUCCUAUUAAGGUUCUGUAGAGUUUUUCAUCAAUCUUUGCAACUCCAUCUUCUUUGCAAAUUUCUCCUUUUGAUUCAUUGGUGUUUAUGUUGGUCUGCACUCUUCCAUGUUGAACUUCUUUAAAAUCUCUUUGGCAUAUUUUUGUUGUCAUAUGAAGAUUUCAUUCUCCUUUUGUUUAACUUCCAUGCCAAGAAAGAAUGUCAUCUUUCCCAUGUCAGUCAUCUCAAAAACAUCCUCCUUUUCUCUUUUGAACACAUCAAUCUGCUUCAUGUUACUUUUUGUCACAAGUAAGUCAUCCACAUAAAGAGAAACCAUAAGUAAUUCAUCAUUUACUUUCCUGAGAUAGAGUGUAAAUUCACUUAGAUUUUUGUAAAGCCUAAGUCUAAAAAAUGUGUAUCAAUCCUGCUAUACCAAGCCCUUGGUGCUUGCUUUAAACCAUAAAGAGCCUUUUUCAGUAGAUAUACUUUCUCCUCUUCUCCUUGAACGACAAAACCUUCAAGCUGCUCCACAAAUAUUUCCUCCUCCUAAAUAUCCAUUUAAGAAAGCAGAUUUGACAUCCAUUUGAUGUAUAAUCCAGCCAUUUUGAGCAGCAAGAGCAAGUAGCAUUCUUAUAGUAUCAAGCCUAGCAACCAGAGCAAAAGUUUCAGAGAAAUCCACCCCAAACAUCUAAGCAUAUCCUUUGACAACAAGCCUUGCUUUGUAUUUGUUUAUAGAACCGUCAGCGUUAAACUUGGUCCUAUAAACUCAUUUGACUCCUAUAGCCUUUUUAUAUGCAUCCAAGUCUGAUUUUUCUCAAUCAUCAUAAGCUCCUCCUUCAUUGCAGUCAUCCAAUGUUGAUCUGCAACAGCUUCUACAUAUCCUGUAGGUUCAAUUAUUGCAACAAUGCAACUCUGAUAGAUAUCAGAGAGUAAUCUGGUUUUUGUAACAGAUUCAUCAUCAAUGUCAGCAUUCUCCUCUUGGAAUUCAAGCUUAUUAUUCUCCCAGUUCUAGCUUUCUGACUCAAAGAAUUGGAUGUUCCUGCUAACAAUUACUUUGUUGUCUUGUGGAAGAAAUCCUAUAGGCUUUUGAAAUUGAACUGUAGCCUACAAAGAUCCUAGGUUCUGUCUUUUUAUCAAGUUUGUCUCUCUUAACCUGCGGAAUAUAAGAGAAACAAAGACAUCCAAAAGUUUUUAAAUUCUGAAACUUUGGUUUAUAGCCAUACCAUGCUUCAAAUUUUUCAGGAACUGUGACAAGAAUUUUUUGAACAAUUCUAGAAUAGAAAUCAGUACCAAGAAGCCUUACUUUGUUUACAAUGUCAAGAAGUCUGUCAUAGUAAUCCUUGAUGGUUUCUGAUUCCUUCAUUCUUUGCAUCUCAAAUUCUCUGAUUAGAUUUAGAACUUGCAUGCCCUUCACUCGUUCAUUUCCUUCAUACUCCUUUUUCAGGAAGUUCCAAAUUUCAUUUGUUGUUUUUAGUGUCAUAAUUCUAGUGAAGAUUGAAGAAGAAACAGUUGCAAAUAAGUUAGCUUUUGCCUUUGAUUUCCUUUGCUUACACUCGUGAUUUUUCAUUUGAGCUAUAGUUGGAUUGUCAAGCAAAGGAGGAACCUCAUAUGCAUUUUCAAUGGCUUCCCACUGAUCAUUAGCAUCAAGGUAAGCUUCUAUUUGAACAACCCACACUUCAUAAUUUGUUCCAUCAAACACUGGUGGUGCCAUCACAAUCACAGAGGCUUCUGAACUCAUUUUGCAUUGGUUGGGUUUUUUGAAAGAUGAUAAGUGUUUAAGCUCUCAACCUCACAGAUCUCUCAAGAAAGAAAUAGGCUCUUAUACCAAUUUGAAGGAUUUUGACAGAAUAAAAUGCAGAGGCUAGCAAUUAACACACUUGUUCUGAAAACUUCACGACUUUAUUGAUCAUUAGAGGUCUUAUUUAAGCAACAAGAGAAACAGAAAUGCAAGUAACAAGCAGCUCAAUCUGCUGUUGUUACGUAACAGAAUCUAAGAAGAUCAUAACAAAAUAAAGAAGAUUUAUGUCAAUCUUAAUAGAUCUUGAUAAUUUCAAAUCAAUAAGUGUUUUAUUAAAUCUAAAACUCUUAUCAGCAUCCACAUCAGCAGGCUCCACAUCAGCAGCUUCUUGAGACAUCAAUUCAACAAUUUUUCUACAGAUUGUGUCCUACAGUAUGGUCUGAGAUUUAAAAUCUAUCAGCUUUAGGUUUCACAAAAGCUACCAGAUUAGGCAUGUAGCUUAUGAAAGGGUUUGUAAGCAGCAAACAAAUAGAAAUCAGAGGAAUAUUUAGAAUCUCUAGCAAAAGCCAGCAAGGUAUCUGCUCGGAAAAGCCAUUCAACAUGAGAUUGUUCUGCUAGGAAAACAUGAUAUCAAACUUUUGAACAAAUAGUACAGCAUCAAGUCCAAAUAUAUUCAUAGCUCAAAGACAUGAGUCUCUCCAUCUUCUUUCCACCCCUUAUUUCUGGUCCACUCUCUAUUAAUGCUUGAAUCUUCAGCUACUUCGGAUACCUGUAAACCAAUUCAAGCAUGGCAUGCUCAUUUUAACUUGUAAAUCUUAUUAUUGAGCGAAACAAGAAACAAAUACACUAAAAAGAGAGGCAAGAAAUCAAGUCAAAUCAGCAGCACCUCUGAUUGAGCACUCAUUGAACCAUCUGGUGUAGUAGCAAAUUUUGUGGUCAGCUUUGGACAUUGAAGGACCUUGAACUUCUCCAAACGAGGGAAUAAGAAAUAAUCACACCAUCCGAAACUAAAACAGACAAUACUUGAUAAUUGUUCUAGCGACAGCUCCCACAGAUUAGGAAGCACCAUCUCCUUCUCAACGUUGACAAGUGAAGCAUGAUCUUCUUGCCCAAAUACUCCCAAUAAUUGAGAUGAUUUUGUUACUCUAAGUAUUCGGAGAUUUGGGAGACCUGAAGCCAUGGCUAUUGGGAAGAGGCUCUUCAACUUGUUGCAUUCUCUUAUCUCAAUUUGACGCAAUUUGGGAAAGCAUAAAGAUCGGAGAUGAUCUCCUAACAAUAUCUGGUCGUUUUCAUCAUCAUCCUUAGCAAUGAUUUGCUCUAAUUCGUCACAGGACAAUAUCUUUAGAACUUCCAGUUGAACUAGACUGACAAUCAUGCUACAUGUGAAUACAUGUGUCAGUCUCUUACACUUAACCACCUCCAAAGUAGUCAAUUUGCUCAGCACAAGACCCUUCCAUAUACACCUAAUGUCAGGCACCAGCAGGAAGCUCAAGCGUAAUGUUUCCAAAUUUGUCAACCCCUGCAUCGAAAGAAAACAAGGAUACCAAAUUGUAAGAUAUACUUCCUAAUAAAUUUUGUGCACUUUGGAAUAUGUAACAUAUAUUGGUAAAUAGAUGUUUCCAAGUACAAUUUUGGUAACAUGUCAGGCAGGGACUCCAAGCAUUAUAUUUCCAUGUAUAAUUUUGAUAAAUAGAUGAACGAAUUGUCCCCAAUACUUCAGCCAAAAACUUAUCAACAAAAGGAUAUAAGUAGACAUGGCAAUAGGGCAUGGGAAUAUGAAAUCAGAAGUUGCAGGACUGAAAGAGACUCAAUAAUUAAUUUCUUACUUCUUAAGCCCUGCGUCAAGAGACAGGGAAUGAUACAGUUAGACAACUCCUUUUAAAUUUAGUGGAUGGCUAAAGGAUUUAUCUCCACUUAUCAAUUACUUCAGUUUCAGAAAUUUAAAGGAAGAAAUCAACUGGAUGGCUAAAGGAUGGCUAAAGGAUUUUACUCAAUAAUUAACUUCGUAUUGAAAAGGAAAAAAAAAAGGAAUUUUGUGCAAAGAAAAUUUAAAUUAAAAAGGAAAAAAAUUGUUGGAGAAAUAUAAAGGACGUACCUGGAGCUGUGCAAACAAAUUUCCCAAUUCUUUGUGGCCAUCAAUUUCUAGAAUUUGCAAAGAAGGCAAUUGGGCAGCAAAAUUCUUUGGACCAAAAAAGCUGCAAUUUGAAAGAGACAAUCUUCUUAGCUUAGGGAACUUGAUGGUGGCAUCUCUGUAGAGACAAUCUUCGACACUGAAAAAUAUUUGCUUUAAAUUAUGAGCUUUAAAAAUCCGCAUCUCUUCCAGGUUCAGAAGACUUGGAGACACAGAGACAGGGAGCACAUAUUCCAGUUUACCACAGUCUUCUAUGAAGAUAUUUUUUAAUUUUGGGAAGCCAGGGGACUCUGGAAUUAUUUUCCUUUCACCAUCCUCUUCUUUGAUAAUAUGCUUCAAUUCACCACAAUCACUUAUGUCAAGUCUUUCUAGCUUUGGUAGACUUUGAGCGAGGGACGCUGUGAAGAUAAAUGUCAGUUUGUCGAGAGAAUACAAAUCCAGAAGAUUUAGAUUUUGGAGGCUGACAUGUCUGGUGGGCCCCUUCCAGAUGCAUUUGAGCUCAGGUAACCAUAACAGCUGUAACAGUGUUAUAGAUGACAGCAACGGCAGCUCCUUCUCCUCACUGCUUCCUUCAUCAUCCUCACCCAAUUCAAAUACCUCCUCCACUGAUUUACAGCUAUCAACAAUCACCUCCUUUAGAUUUUUCAAAACUUGCCGCAAUUUUGCUGGAAACAGAGUGAAAACAUCCCCACAAUCCCUCACUUUUACAAAUUCUAAUUUAUGUAAGAAGCCUUUUUGGGUCAUCUGAUUAGAGUGCAAUUCUAUAUUUUUUAAACCCUCUAAACUCUCAAAAGCAAUUUGAGACACCGUAGGAAACAACUGCUCAAAUAUCUUCGCAUUUAAGGAUGUACCUCCCAAAAUUAAUCUUGUCGAGGUUGGGUAUCGUCCUGCCUCAAACUGAUCCCUAAGCUUUAUAUCAUAUUCUUUAGCAUUCCAUAAUUUUAUAUCAUAUUUGAGCAAGCUGGGAAAAACAAAAUCUCUGGGAAUGCAUUCAACCUUCGGUAUCCUCAAUGAUAAUACAGCUAAAUGAGACAACAAGUUUAGUUCUUUUAGGCUUGCAUUCAUUCCUCCUGUGCUGUCACAUCCAUCAACAUCCCAUCCCUCAAAGCUGCGACCCCCAAUCAACAGCUCUUCUAACUUCUUCAACCUUCCAAUCAAAUUCACAGGGAUCCUUCUUAGCCUUCGACAACCUCUCACAUCCAACAACCUUAACUCCUUGAGCUCUCCUAUUUCAUCAGGUAAUUCUUCAAUGGAUAAGCAAUGUAUAAAACCAAGAAUCUUAAGUCUCUGCAUCUUUCUCAACCAAAUGAGGUUCUUGCAUCCACACCAGAUCAACACCAACGAUUGAAGUUUCGUUUAGAGUUCAAGUGAUUGCAAUGACAAACGCCCUCCCUUCAGAGACAAAACUUCAAUUUCUUUCAUCCCUUCAAAAAACCUCUGAGGAACAUUCAAACCAUAAUCCACUUCUAAUAAUAGAACUUUGAGCCGUGGACAUACCAAUCCUUCAGGAAGUUCUGCUAGUUUAUUGCCCAUUAACGAAAUUGUUGUACAACCUUCAAAGCUUUUGUUGCUCAUUGGCCACUUCUCCAACCCAAUGCCAGCCUUUACCAUGAAUCCAUAUUCUUCUGAUGAUGCUAUCUGAAUAGCAAAGUCACGAACCAAGUCAUGCAUUUUCACAUGCUCUUCAGUUUCAGUGCCCAACAGCAUGCAACAAUCUUUGAGGUUUUCGAUUGCCACAUAAACUUGUUUCCUUGCAUCUUCAAUGAGCUCCUCAUCUUGAUGUAACCAAUAGCCAACUGUAUAUCUCAUCAAGUCCUCAAUUGGAAUGUCAUAAUCUUCUGGAAAUAAACUGCAUAGCAAGAAACAUAACUUGGUUUCCUCGUGCUUCAAAUUUUCAUAGCUCAACUUAAGACAUGUAAAAGCAUUUUUUUGUUCAUCAAAUUGUUCCAUGCGCGGAAAUUGAGAGUCUUUGAGCUGUUUAGACGCUACUUCCCACUGAACUGCAGAUUUAUCUCUUAGAGCCCUUCCCACUGUCACAAGUGCUAUAGGCAAGCCUUUGCAUUCUCUCGCAACCUCUCUUGCCACUGUGUUCAAGGUAGAGUCCCCAUCACGUAAACCUGCAUUGAUUCUGAAUAAAUCCCAUGCUUCAUCUUCAGGUAAGACUCUUAAAAACACUUUUUGCUGGCACUCCAUAGAAGAACAUAUGCCUUGAAGACGUGUUGUUAGAAGAAUCUUACAACCCCUGUGAUCAUCACCAAAUGGGAUCCCUAUCUCUUUCAAGUCAAUAUGUUUCCAAACAUCAUCCAGGAUAAUAAGCAUCUUCUCCACUUGCUUCAGUCUCUGCCAUAAUCGAUCUGCUCUCCCUUCUUUACUCUUUUCUUUAAUAUCCAGACCUAACUUAUCUGCCAGUCGAUCCUGGAUGUCUGUGACAUUUGGAUUCUGGGACACCGUAGCCAUCAAAACUUCAGGAAAAAGCUGCAACUCUUUGGCUCUCCUGCCUACUUCUUUCACCAGGGUGGUUUUACCCACCCCUCCCAUGCCGUACAGUCCGAUCAUAUUGACGUUGUCAUCUUUGAGAGCUUUCAUGAUCUGUUUCAAUGCUUCUUUUGACGAUUCUGAGGGCGUGAAUUCCUUUGAUGGGAGAAAUUCUAUGGGCUGAGGAUGAGCUUUGUGGGCCACUGUUUUAAACUUUUCGCUAAUUUCUCCAAGUUUUCUGAAAGUCUCCGACUUCUUGGCCAGUGCCUUGCUCAACUUGAAUUGUCGCAUGCAGUUUGGGCACCAAGUAAAGCAUUUGCCAUUUUUUCCUAUUUCAUUUUCCAAGGGAUUCGCAGCUUCAAUUUCGUUGUUUGCAUCUUCCAGCCACUUUUUGACACCUUUCUUAAUUUCUUCAGCAUUCCUUUCAGCAGCUUCGACAUCUUUUUGCAGACCAUCUAGUGCUAAAGCAAGGUUCUCCUUUCGUUCUUUGAAUUCUUCAACAAAAUUGUUGAAACAGAACAUGUAACGGAACUGCCUUCCUACUGGUUCCACCAUGAGUUCUGCUAGCAUAGCUAUAAUGGAUCCACCAGCACUUUCGAUAGCCAUUUUCCGCAGGUCUGAAAAUCAGAGAAAUAAGGAUACAGAACGUGAGAGUGAGUCACUACAAGUAAAACAGGCGCAGAGAGAAUGGGAAUAGGAAUUUCAUUACCUUAAUUUGGGAAAAUAUGUGCGAAAGGCACUGGUACUGAAUGCUCAAUGAAAUAGCGGGAGGAAGAAAAGGAGAAGGCCUUUAGCUCUGUAUGGAAUCCAGCUUCAAAAGCAACAGGGCAAGGUAUAAGUAAUUCCCAUUAAAAAUGCAUUUUGAUGACAUAAUUAAGAUAAUAUAGAGCCAGUGACAAACAAACAAAUAAAAAUAAUAAUAAUAUGUACUCACCUAGCAAAGAAAGAAACGAAUGAAAGGUUCAGGAUAAUCACUUAGACGUCUCCAUGGAUGAUACCAGCUCGCUUCCAACAACAAAUAUAAUUAACCUAAGUUAUGAUAGGUCAAAGUUCUUUUUAGUUUUUUUUUUGGUUAAAAAAAAAAACAGAUCAACAAGAAAAAAGACUUGCAAAAAAGCAAUUAAAAGUAAUUUUCCAUGAUGACUAUCUCUGUGUCACACACUCACGUAAUAUGAUUGACCUAUUACAUUAUUUAAAAAAAAAAAAAAAAGCUAAAAGAACUAUGUUUUUGAUGGCAUUCAGAGUCUCUCUUUUGAAUCUCUCUUUUGUGGUUUUAUUUUAUUUCAGUCCUUCAAGUCUUUUUCUUUUGCUAUUUCAUCGAGAUGCUUUGCUCUUGAGUUGUUGUGCUUGCCCUCGAAUCUGCAUUAUGGUUUUAAAAAUCAGUUUAAUCAGUUUUUUAUCUCGAUUUGGUUUUCUCAGUUAAUUUUUCAUUGGUUUUUUCAGUUUUCUCAGUUAAUUGGUUUUUUUAACACCCCUACCCCCUAGGUAUAUUCCAAUAAAAUAGUUUACAUGGAUUCUAACUGACACUUGUGAGUUAAAGCAGUAAUUCCCAUUAAAAAUGCAUUUUGAUGACAUAAUUAAGAUAAUAUAGGGACAGUGACAAACAAAUAAAGAAAAACAAGGUGUAAAAGUACUCACGCAAAGAAAGAAACGAAUGAAAGGUUGCGAUAAUCACUUAGACGCCUCAAUGGGUGAUACCAGCUCGCUUCCAACAACAAAUAUAAUUAACCUAAGCUAUGAUCGGUCAAAGUUUUUUUAGUUUUUUUUUUAAAAAAAAAAAAACAGAUCAACAAGAGAAAAGACUUGCAGGAACGAACUCAACAAAGAAUGAAACUAAAAGUCUUUUGUGGUUUUAUUUUAAAAGUCUUCAUUCCUCUUUUGUGGUUUUAUUUUAUUUCAGUUCUUCAAGUUUUUUUUUUUUGCUAUUUCAUCGAGUUGGUUUGCUCUUGAGUUGUUGUGCUUGCCCUUGAAAAUUAUAAUUACAUAUUAUAAUUACAAAUUUCAGUUUUUAAAAAAAAAACAAAUUUAUGAGAAAGGACGAAUAGUACAAUGUGAGCAAAUGAAAGGAGAAUUUUAAAUCUUUUUGUGACAUGGUGACAAGCUAAUCCAAGGAACCAAUAAAUUAUCGCCACUUGCUCAACCUUAUCUGCACAUUAAGAUAGGGGAAGAAAGUAGAGUAAGGGAGGGACGUGGAAAUAGAAGGAGAGGUUGAGGGAGGCUGCAGAAACGGAAGAAGACAUUGAAAGAUCGGAGGAGAGUAAAGAUAAAAAUAUGAAUAUGUGAUGUCCUAUUUCUGAUAAAAAUACUCUGCUUUUAUUUCUUUGAAUGGGAUUUUUUUCUCUUUUAUUUGGAAUUUCUUUGGACACUUUAAUAAUAUAAUAACCAAAAAAUUUUAAAAUAUUGAUGAAAUUAUUAUUCAUUCAAACACUUUAAUAAUAUUUUGAAUUUUAGUUUUUAAGAGCCAUGCUUGUUUGAUUUUAAAUUUUUUUUUUCAUGCUUUUGCAAAUAAGGCAGGAAAGGAGGACCUGAAAUCACGACAGCGAAUUAAGAAAAGAAAUAGCGUGUUUGUUUUUUAUUUUUUUUUAAAAUAAUUUUUUGUAUCCUAAAAUAAUUUUUAAAAAAUAAAUAAAAUAUUAUUUUAAUAUAUUUUAAAAUAAAACAAUAUUUUAAAAAACAACUACUUAUUCAAACACUUAAAAUAAAAACCUUAAAAUCACGGCAUGCAUGAUAAAAGGAGAAAGAAAGGAAUGGGAAAAAGAAGGAAGAACAAAAAAAAACCCCUAAACUCACGGCAUGAUGGAAGACGAAAGAAAGGAAUGGGACAAAGAAGGAAGAAAGUAAGGUCAUGUAGGGGGGCAGCCUUGUAGAAAAUAGGAGCUGAAAAUUAAUAUGAUAAGGAGGAUGAUAGAGUGGUUGUCCAAAUGAGAGUGAUAUGACUUAUCUCUAUUACUUUCCCUCAAUUUUCUAGACAAGAAAAAAGAGCCAAAACGUCAAGAAUUUCAGUAGAAUAAAAGAAGAGAUUAUUACUCGAUCAAAAACAACUACAAAACAAUAAACAGAACCCUCUUUCUCCUCUUUCAGUGUUCAAAAAAAACAAAGAAACGUAAAAGAGGACUUUUCAAAGUCAGCUAAGUAUAUGGCUUAUUAUAUUCAUAGAGAGAGGCGGAAUUUUAUGAGCCAUGCAAUAUAUCUCUUUUUUCUUGGCAACCAAACACAACCACAAGCCCAAAUGAAAACAAUCUUGACGAAUUCCCACCAAACAAUUCAACUGUUGCUGUAAUUGAGAUUUUCAGUUAUAUGUAAUUUUUGUGGUCCAAAGUAUAAAUAAUUUUCUUUUCUUUCAUUUUAUUAACUUAAUUUCGCAUAUGAAAUAUUGAGUCUUUUGUUUUUUCAGACACAGAAUUGAAUCCUUUAUAUAUAUAUAUUCUUAAAACCAUAUUUGAAUUCUAAGUUCCUCAGUGAAGGAAUAAUAAAGAUUGUUGCAUGUACAAAUUCUCCUUCAAAAAACAAAUAAUAAAGUCCCCUAUGUUAAUGAAGAUUUAAAUAUUAUAACUUAGCCCCGUACUUUAUUAAAACUAAUUAUUUAGUCCUUAAAGUGUCAUGGAUAAUUAAAAAGUCAAUUAACUAGCGUGGACCGCCGUCCAUUUACUAUGUUUUUCUCUAAAAAAUGCCUUCCUUCCUAAUGAAAUUUCCCCAACUGCAUACUUUUCUUUUCCUUAUUAUAUUUUCAAGAAUGAAGAAAAAAAAUAUUAAUUAGAAAAGAACUAAACAAUAUGUAACUUUAAAAAUAUAAGAAUUAAACAUAUAGUUAUUGAAACUAUGGGAUUGAUUCAUUAUUGUUAUUAAAUUAUAGAGACUAAAUUAUAAUUUGGUUAAGUGUGUGCGUGGAGGAGUGUUUGCAAAUACGAUGCGAUUUGUAUUGUUUUACCUGUUGGUAUAAUUAAUAGUCCAAAUAAUGCGACCACCAUUUUAUAGAAAUGAGCACAAUUGUUUUAGAAUAUUUAUAAAAAUUGACUUAAAUCAAUCAAAUAAAAUGAUUUUUUGAGUUUGUUAAACAAUUUUAAUCAAAAAAAUAAAACAUAAAAUAGAAUUGAAUCGGUUGGAUAUAACCAAACUAAAUUAAAUAAAAAAACUAAACCAAACUAAAUUGAAAGAAUCCAUUAUAAACUAGUGGUCCCUCUAUAAUUUUAAUAAGGACAAAUAUUAAAUAUACUAUUUAACUACAUGGUUAUUAUAGAUUUUGCACCCAAUUUAUGUUUUAAAUUAAUUUUAUUAGUAAACUAUUUUGAUUUCUCAAUUAAGUAUAUUGUUACCAACUUUUGACCCCACAAAAAAUAAAAAAAUAAAAUACAGGAGAAAAGUACAAAGAGCAAGCUUUAAAGAUUGUGAAGUUGAUGGUAGAGGACCAAGAUGACAAGUGAAAAAGUUGGAGACCAAAAUAUAUAAGAUUUACAAAAUCAGCAACCCAAUUCUGAUUGACAAAGAGCCUAAUUUGUGAAAAUAUUUUUAUUUUAGAUAAAUAAAUACAAAUUUAAAUGGCUAAGGACUUAAUGAGAAUUUUGGGAAGGCUUAAUUAAUUUUAUUAAAGACUUAAUUGUAAAAAAAAUCAGUUUUUGAAGUCAAUUUGGGUGUUAAUUGGAAGAAAUUAAAAUCUAAGGACUUAAUUGAUUUUUUAAGAAGUUUAAUUGGACGAACCAAGGGCUUAAUUGUAAGAAUAUUGAAGUUUGAUGGGAAAUUAGGGAUUUGAUUGAAUAAAUCUAAAACCAAGGACCUAACUGAAAAAAGCACAUGAUUGUAUGGACUGAAAUUAACUAAAUUAGAGGUCAAAUUAAAAGGAAUUGAAAUUUUAGUAGUCAAUUAAAGCUGAAAUUGAAUAAAUUAAAAAAUCAUGGACUUAUUUGUAAAAGGUAAUCAUAAAAUAAAAUCAAAUUCCUAAUCAAUUUGAUGAUAGGGACCGGACCUCACGCUUUACUUUCAACUUCUUGGCCCAGCCCAACUAUAACUAACUUUCCCGCUGAUCUUCAUUCCCGCCUUUCCAAUUUAUUUUUUUAUUUUCCGAGGUUACCUUCUGUUUUUCCUGUGUCAGUUUGGAUUGUUUGAAAUUACUAGUUUCUUUAAUAAUUUCUACCACACCCUUUAUUGAAGGGGAAAUGUUUUUAGAUCUUUUCCCAUGUGGGAAGGGGGUGACUUCCUUGUUUCUUGUAAAAUACUACGCAUGAACUGUAUCAGAUGUUUAUUCCCGUUCAAAUUCCCGCACUUUCCAACUUUUUUUAACAUAAAAUUUAUAAAAUUUGUCUAUGGAGAGAAUCAAUGCUUCAACUUGACUUGUGAUUUGCUUUAAUAAGAUUUUUUUUUAAUAUAAAAAACAACUUUUAAAUUAUAAUUCAAAGUAAAAUAUCAUAAGAUUAUUUUAUAUUGAAAACCGAAUUCAAUCGACUAGUUUCGCUUCUAUUCAUUUCGGUUUUGACACGGUUCAGUUCGGUUCAGUUCGGUUUCGGUUUGAUUCGAUUAUUUUAUAUUAAGAAACAAAAACUAUAUUAUUUUUUUGGGUUUUUUUUGCCUUUCUAAUGUGCUUGGUUUCGAUUUGGUUUGGGUUUUUUUUGUUUGGGUUUUUUAUUUUUGUCAGUUUGGUUCAGUUUUUUGAUUUUAGACUUAUGAAACCGAAACCGAACUGAAUCAAAUACUUUUAAAAAAUUCUAAUCAGUUUAAUCAGUUUUUUUUAUUUGGUUUUUUCAGUUUUUUUUAAUCAAUUUUUCAGUGUUUUUUCUUACCCCUAAUUGUUCGAAUCAAAACACAUAAAAGUAGGACAAAAACAAGGAGAAAGACUAUUUGUUUUUUUAACUAUGUCAGAGUGGUUUUUAUAAUUAUAUUUAAUUUAUAGAAAUAUUAAAUUAAUAUGUUCUUCGUGGUUUUUUUAUGAUUUAAAAAAACAUUGAUGAUUUAAAAAAAUAUGUAUGUAUAAAACAUUAUUUUAAAUAAAAAAUAUUUUUAAAAGUAUGUGUCGCAAUACCAAAUUAUAAUAUAAAUUAAAAGAGAAAGGGUUUUAUGUUCAUUACUAUUCACCUAGACGCAUUUCAUUGUGGAUAAUAAUAGUAAUUUUUUAGAAAAAUUUCAAUUUAGCACUCGAAUUGUUUUCACAAUCGAGCCUUUUUAGCCAAAAUUAGAGCCCAGUUGCGUAUCUUUUUUAAGGAUGAGAGUUAAAUUAAAAGACAGAGAACUAAAGUGAAAAACUUGACAAAAUUAUGUGGCAGCUCUACAAUUUGUUUGCACAGUUUAUUUUAGUCCCUCAUCCUUUUAAGCUAUUAAGUAAGCAGUCCCUAUAAUUUUCCAACAUUACAUUUUGGUACCAAACUUUAUUUUUCUCUUUUUUAAGUUUUUUUUAGGUGGAAAAGAGAGAGAGAGGGUCGCCAAAUUUCAUUUUAGAGAGAAAGUUAUAGUUGGGAAAGAUUUUGGCUACCGAAAUGGUUGAUUUUUGUGUCAAAUGGUUCAAUAUGAUUAAAUGAAUUAAGAUUAGGUGUUUUUUUUACCUUCAAAACACAUAAAAAAAGGAUCUGAACUCUAGAAAAUUUUUGGUUUUAGGGUGAUUUUUUAUGUUUUUUUAAGGCCAUAUAUUGGUUUAAUAAGGAUUUAAGGGUGUUUCAUAGGUAUUUUUGGGUAAAAAAACAUAUUGAAAAUAGGUUUUUUGGUAAAAAAAUCAAGCAUUGUUUUCCCAGCUACAUUAGUAGCCGAAUUCCAUGGACACAUAGACAAGGCGUCGUCUAUAGAGACAGAUACAUCAUUUUUUUUCAAAUAUUAGGGGAGAUGGCACGUCGUCCACCCAUUAACUUAACAAAAAAAAAAUUAAAUGCUUGUGCGCAUGGGCCUGAUCUUGCAGGUCCGCGCACAUGCCUUUGAUGGGUGGGCCAAGCACUAGGCCUGACUUUCGAGACCUAGCAACGUCUGACCUCAUUUUUUUUUAUUAUUAAUACCUAUAUAUAUAUAUAUAUAUAUAUGUAUUUGAAAAUAUUUUUAAAAAUGAUGUUUUCAUUAAUACCCCAUUUCUUUGAUUUUUUUUUGCCUUAUUUAGCCUUCAAUUAUUUUUAAUUAUGUUGGGUAUGUUUAAUUUUUUAAGAAGUUACUAUGAUUUAUUUGUAAAUUUUCUAUAUAUAUUUCAGAUGGAUUAAGUAUUUACUUCUUAUAAUAUUUUGAAUAAUUGUAGCCUUACAUAAUAUUUUUUUUUCUUUUUAUGUUAUUCAAUAAAUUUUAUGUAUGUGUUGAUUUCUAUUACAAAUUAAUUUUAGUAAAUAAAUUCAUUAAACAUAACCAUGAUCAUUUAUUUAUUGGUAAUGACUUUGUUUUUUCAUUUAUUUAUAUAAUGGUGAUUUAUUUAAUUUGAUGCGUGCAUAAGUUUUUUAAUUUAUAUUUAGGAUUUUUUUUAUUGUAAGAAAACACGUUCAUAAAUUCUUAUUCUUAUGAUAUCAGUUUAAUCCUUAUUCUUAUGAUUUUUUAUUUUUUUCCUUAUCCUUUUAUAAAAGUUUUUUUUUUUGUAAUUUCACCAUUCAAUUUAAUAUAAUGGUGUAUUUGUUUUUCAUUUUUUGCUUCUUUUAUAUAUAUAUAUAUAUAUAUAUUCCUGUUUUGGGAAUAUUGUUGCCUCUCUCCUCUUUUUUUUCAUUUUAUCAGCUUUUGCAUGUGGAAUAUGGAGUCUUCUAUUUUUUCAGCCACAUAAUUAAAUCCUUUAUAUAUUCUUAAAACUAGAUUUGAAUUAUAAUGAAGGAAUAAUAAAGAUUGUUGUAUGUACAAAUUCUCCUUCAAAAAACAUAUAAUAAAGUCCCAUAAGUUAAUGAAGAUUUAAUUAUAACUUAGCCCUGUAAUUUAUUAAAAUUAAUUAUUUAGUCCUUAAAGUAUCAUGGAUAAUUAAAAAGUCUAUUAACUAGUGUUGACCACCCUCCAUUAAUUAUAUUUGCAACCCUAUAUGAUCAAAUAACAGUAUUAUAUUUUUUAAACCCUUCACUCUUAUAAAAACAAUUUAAUGAUUAUAAAUAGGAAAAAAAUAGAAAAAAUAGGAUUAAAUAUUUUUUAGAAAUUACAUAUUAUUGUUUUAGUUUUUUUUCUUAAUUAGAGAUAAGUGAAAGGUUAAUACAACUCCUAAUAAUUAGUUUCAUGUAAAAAAUAAAAAUAAAAAUAGAAAAUUUUACUAAUAAAGUUAAUAACAUUUUAAAGAUAUUUUAAUUGAAUUAAAUAUUUCAACACAAAAUUUAUGUUCUUAUACAGUUAUAUAUCAAUUCUAACAAAUAAUAUGAUUUCUAUGUUUAAAUUUUGGUAUUAAUAACGCAGACAACAAUGAGGGAGUUAAGAUUUUUAGAUAAAAAAAUCAUUAAAAAAUAAAAAAAAGCUAGUACAUUUGUUACAUAACUAAAAAAAUUGAUUUUUUUCUUUAAAUUAAUUAUUUUACAUCGUUUUAAUAUUUUAAUGUUAAAAAUAAUUUUUUAAGAUAAAAAAAUAUUUUUUUAUAUAUUUUCAAAAAGUAUUUUGAAAAGUAAUUAUUAUUAUUUUUAAAUUUUUUUGCAAGUAUUAACAAUCAUAGUUUCUACUUUAAAAUAUGAAUAUGUUACAGAAAACUAAGGUAGCCGGUCAUGUAGGCUCAAAGAACCUACUACAGCUGGCCUAACCUAAAUUUCUCAGUACAAGUUGAUUAUGGAAAAGGCACCACAUUUAUUUUAGGGGUUGUUCGCAUGCCUUUUAAUUGGAGUUUUGCAUAUAUUUUUGAAAGGUUUUUUUAUUAUUAUUUUAACUUGAAUUUUUUUUUUGUGUUUUUAGAUUAUUUUGAUAUUUUAAAGUUAAAAAUUAAUUUUAAAAAAUAAAAAAAUAAAAAUUAUUUUAAUCAAUUUCCACACAAAAAGCAUGUUGAAAAACAUCUACCACUCUACCACUGCUCUAAACACCCUCUGACAACAAAGUAAUGCAAGACAUGUAAACAGAAGAGGUUUGGUGAGCAUAUUGGAAUUUGAUCAUCAGUGGCUAUGAACUGAACUUGGAGCUCUUUCUGAGUUAUCAUAUUAGACAAAGUAGAGGUCGAAUUCAACAUCCUCCAUGCAAGCAUGAAAAACCAAAUUCAUUAUGAGAUAUAUAUCCCCAAGAUUAUCACAUCAUAAAAAAGAGGAGUAGUGGUCGAAAUCCCUAAAUCUAUAAAAACAAAUGAAAAUAUACUUGAUAUGUGUAUGUAUGUUAUGAUGAGGAAAUGAACAUGCAUAGUAACUAUUAUAUGUGUAAUGAAUGAAUAUGGAUUGCCUAUAACAUUUUGCUUGAAGGAAUCAUGACCAAAGACUUCUUUGUGAUUCAGGAGAAGCGACUAGGAUUGUAUCUUCUGUUGGAGGAGGUCACGAGACAGGUGGAGCAAGUGCGUGGUUUCCCCUCCCCUUUACGCUUAUGCAAUUUAAAGUCUUCCUGAUGAAUGCAAUUACAAUAAUGUUAUGUUCAAUGUAAAUAAAGUAUGGCAUAUUAACAAGAUUAGUUUUGGCUAAUGACGUCCAUAAUAGGAUCGUCGGGAAAUGAAUUACUAGGUUAGCUUCAGCUAAUGACAUCCGUGAUAGAAUUGCUAGAAAAUGAAUUACAAGCUUAGCUUCGGCUAAUGACAUCAGUGUUGGGACGCCUGAGAACAAUCGAUAAGGCUCGAUUCUUAAAGGGUAUUCGUGUUUGGAUGACUUGGGAAAAUUGAAAAGCAUAAUUGCCUAAAAAUAUCAAGGUUGGACCAUGCAAAGUAACUCGGUUCAUGCAAGAAAAUAAGAGUAUUAAAAUUAAGGAUAUGCAAAUGAUAUCUGAUUGGGUUUUAUAUGAUUCAUAAGCAAAUUAUAAGUUUAUUAUUAAAAUUCUUAUGGAAUCGAUAGAAAAUUUAUGCUUUAUUUGUAUACAUUACAUGAUCAUUUAUAUCUCUUUUGUCAACAUAAUGGUAUGCUUAUUACAUUGGUAUUGUAACACGUUCAUCUAAUAUCCAGGGAGCUCAUUAGUUUAGGGGGUGUUUGCCCCGCAUUUUAAUUUGAGUUUUGCAAAUUUUUUUUUGAAUUUUUUUUAUUUUAAAUUGAUUUUUUUUUUGUGUUUUUUGAUCAUUUUGACAUGUUAAAGUCAAAAAUAAAAUUUUAAAAAUAAAAAAUAUAUUAUUUUAAUAUAUUUUCAAACAAAAAAUAGUUUUAAAAAUAACAUUUAUUAGGUUCCAACACCCUUUUAGAACAAAGGAAUGCCAAAUGAGUAAACAAAAGAGGUUUGAUGAGCAUAUGAGCAUAUUGGGAUUUGAACAUCAGAGGCAAAGUAAAGGUCGAUUUCAACAUGCUUCAUGUAAGCAUGGAAAACCAAAUUCAUUAUGAGAUAUAUAGCCACAAGAUUAUCACAUCAUAGUAAAAAGAGUAGAGAUCGAAAUCCCUAAACCUAUAUAUAUAAAAAAGAACUAAGCAAUUUUAUCUCGGCAACAAAAUUGACAAUAACUUCAUGCUCAGCCUUGGUACAAACUAUAUUAGCACCUCUACGCCUUGAGAUUUUGACAAAUUUUUUUUGUUGUUUUAGUUUUGAAAUAUAACGUUUUGGUACAAAACUUUAUCUUACUUGAUAAAAAAUAAAAAGAAAGAGUUGUCGAAAAACUAUAUAAAAAAAAGAAUGUUAAUGAAUGACAACUUUUUAAUGAUGAAACUUGUUUUUAAUGUGAAUGGAUUUUAUUUAACAAUUAGAGUUUUAUUUCAGUUUUUUUUCUUUAUUUUACUGAAAAAAAUAAAUCAUGACUCGAUAAUUAAUUUUGAUUUGGAUUGAUUUUUUAUUUUUAAAUCAAUUAAAUUUUUAUUUAGAUGAAUGGUUAAAUAAGAUCAUUUUAAUGAAACUCACAUCUCGAUUAGUCAAUUACUCUCUUUUCUCCGUUUUCUCACCACAUUUCCUAUCUCCUCUUAACAUUCAAUAACUAAAAAUAUGAUACAAAUAAAGUUUUAAGAUUGAAUCAUAAAAUUUUAAAACUACAGAAUUAAAUAAAUUUGAAAAACCAAAAUUUCAAGGACCAUAUUAAACUUUUAUGCUAUUAAAGGAUUGCAUAAUAGGAGAAUAGUUCAAUGCAUAAUAACUUGAGUCUUGCCCACAUUAAAAUUUGUUAUGGUAAGAAUAACAAAUGUUUUAAUUUAAAAUAUAAUAUGAAGCAUAUACAAUUAAUAUUACAAGGAGAUUUCAAGAAGUAGUUAAAUUUAGCUAGGUUAUAUCAUAUACGACUUUCGUAAAUUGAUUUAAUAUAUUUUAGAGUAUCUGCUCGAAAAAACCAUUCAACAUGAGAUUGUUCUGCUAGGAAAACAUGAUAUCAAACUUUUGAACAAAUUGUACAGCAUCAAGUCCAAAUAUAUUCACAGCUCAAAGACAUGAGUCUCCAUCUUCUUUCCACCCCUUAUUUCUGGUCCACUCUCUAUUAAUGCUUGAAUCUUCAGCUACUUCGGAUACCUGUAAACCAAUUCAAGCAUAUAUGGCAUGCUCAUUUUAACUUAUAAAUCUUAUUAUUGAGCGAAACAAGAAACAAACACACUAAAAAGAGAGGUAAGAAAUCAAGUCAAAUCAGCAACACCUCUGAUUGAGCACUCAUUGAACCAUCUGGUGUAGUAGCAAAUUUUGUGGUCAGCUUUGGACAUUGAUGGACCUUCAACUUCUCCAAACGAGGGAAUAAGAAAUAACAGCAUUCGAAACUAAAACAGACAAUACUUGAUAAUUGUUCUAGCGAUAGCUCCCACAGAUUAGGAAGCAUCAUCUCCUUCUCAACGUUGACAGGUGAAGCAUGAUUUUCCUGCCCAAAUACUCCCAAUAAUUGAGAGGCUUCACUUACUCUCAGUGUAUUGAGCUUUGGGAGACCUGAAGCCAUGACUACUGGGAAGAGACUCUUCAACUUGUUGCAUUUUCUAAUAUCAAUUUGACACAAAUUGGGGAAGCAUAAAGAUUGAAGAUGAUCUCCUGGCAAUAUCUGAUCCUUUUCAUCAUCAUUAUCCUUAGCAAUGAUUUGCUCCAAUUCCUCACAGGAAAAUAUCUUUAAGAUUUUCAGUUGAACUAGACUGGCAAUCAUGCCGCAUGUGAAUACAUGUGUCAGUCUCUUACACUCAACCACCUCCAAAGUAGUCAAUUUGCUCAGCACGAGACCCUUCCAUAUACACCUCAUGUCAGGCAUGGAGUCCAAGUAUAAUUUUUUCAAAUUUGUCAACCCCUGCAUCAAAAGAAAACAAGGAUACCAAUUUAUAUGUGAAUUGUUGUUAGAUAUAAUUCCCAAUACUUCAGCCAAAAACUUAUCAACAAAAGGAUAUAAAAGGGAAUAUGAUUGCGGGAAUAUGAAAUCAUAAGUUGCAGGACUGAAACAAACUCAAUAUUGGCAGAUUGAGGUUUAUCUUCCUGUUCAAAUACUUCCAUUAAUUGGGGGAAGAGCCUCAAUUUCACUCAAACUGGGAAAGCAUAAAGAUUGAAAAAUCACAAUUUUUAAAUUUAAAUUACUUCAGUUUCAGAGAUUUAAAGGAAGAAAUCACAAUGAAUUGAAGGAAGAAAAUUAUUGGAGAAAUAUAAAGGAUGUACUUGGAGCUGUGCAAACAAUUUUCCCAAUUCUUUGUGGGCAUCAAUUUUUAGAUAUUGCAAAGAAGGCACCAGCAGGAAGCUCAAGCGUAAUGUUUCCAAAUUUAUCAACCCCUGCGUCGAAAGAAAACAAGGAUACCAAUUUGUUAGAUAUAAUUCCUAAUUAAUUGUGUGCACUUUGGAACUAUAUAAUUUUGGUAAAUAGAUGAACUACUUCAGCCAAAAACUUACCAACAAAAGGAUACAAGUAUACAUGGCAACAGGGCGUGGGAAUAUGAAAUCAGAAGUUGCAGGAAUGAAAGAGACAACUCAAUAUUAGCAAAUGGAGGUUUAUCUUCCUCUUCAAAUACUUCCAAUAAUUGGGGGAAGAGCCUCAAUUUCACUCAAACUGGGAAAGUAUAAAGAUUGAAAAAUCUAGGUAGGAUUUCAUUACAAUAAUUAAUUUCUUACUUCUUAAGCCCUGCAUCAAGAGACAAGGAAUGAUACAGUUAGACAACUCCUUUUCAAUUUAGUGGAUGGCUAAAGGAUUCAUCUCCACUCAUCAAUUACUUCAGUUUCAGAAAUUUAAAGGAAGAAAUCAACAUGUAUUGAAGUUGACAAUUUAAAUUAAAAAGGAAAAAAAUUAUUGGAGAAAUAUAAAGGACGUACUUGGAGCUGUGCAAACAAAUUUCCCGAUUCUUUGUGGCCAUCAAUUUGUAGAAUUUGCAAAGAAGGCAAUUGGGCAGCAAAAUUCUUUGGACCAAAAAAGCUGCCAUUUGAAAGAGACAAUCUUCUUAGCUUAGGGAACUUGAUGAUGGCAUAUCUGGUGAGUGCUUCUCCUUCUACACUGUAAAAUAUUUGCUUUAAAUUAUGAGCUUCAAAAAUCCCCAUCUCUUCCAGGUUCGGAAGGCUCGGAGACACAGAGACAGGGAAGACAUAUUCCAGUUUAUCACAGUAAGAUAUGUUGAUAUUUUUUAAUUGUGGGAAGCAAGGAGACUCUUCUCUGAUAAUAUGCUUCAAUUCACCGCAAUUUCUUAUGUCAAGUCUUUCUAGCUUUGGUAGACUUUGAGCGAGGGACGGUGUGAAGAUAAAUGUCAGUUUGUCGAGAGAAUUCAAAUACAAACGAGCAAGACUUUGGAGGCUGACAUGUCUGGUGGGCCCCUUCCAUAUGCAUUUGAGCUCAGGUAACCGUGAUAGUGUUAAAGAUGACAGCAGUGGCAGCUCCUCCUCCUCACUGCUUCCUUCAUCAGACUCACCUAAUUCAAAUACCUCUUCCAAUGAUUUGCAGCCGUAAAUGUUCACACUCAGAUUUUUCAAAGCUGGCAGCAGUUUUGCUGGAAACGGAGGGCGAACAUCCCCACAAUCCCUCACUUGUACAUAUUCUAAUCUUUGUAAGAAGCCGUUUUGCUGCCCAUGGACGGCCAUCUUAUCAGAGAACAAUAUUAUAUUUUUUCACUCUCAUAAAAACAAUUUAUAUGAUGUAUAAAUAGGAGAAAAAAAUAGAAAAAAAAGGAUUACAUAUUAUUGUUUCAGUUUUUUUCUUAAUUAGAGAUAAGUUGAAUAAUAAUUGGAUUUUUGCGAAAAAAGGUUACCACAACUCCUAAUAAUUAGUUUCAUGUAAAAAAUAAAAAUAAAAAUAGUAACUAAUUAUAUUUUUAUUUUAGUUAUAUAAAGUUAAUAAAUUUUUAAAGAUAUUAUAAUUGAAUUAAAUAUUUGAACACAAAAUUUAUGUUCUUAUAUAUUAAAUCUAACAGAUAAUAUGAUUUCUAUGAUUAAUUGGUGUUAUUAAUAACGCAAACAACAAUGAGGCAGUUAAGUUUCUUAUAUUUAUAUAUGUUAGAUAUUAAAAAUCAUAAAAAAUAAAAAUAAAAAUUUAUGAUCUUAUAUUUGUGGAUCUGUUUGAGAUUGUGGUGGCGAUGGCGGUUUAAAUUGCUUUUUGCUUAGAAAUACAUCAAAAUAAAGUUUUUUCAUUUUUUAAAAAUCAUUUUUGACAGGAGCACAUCAAAACGAUUUGAAAACAUAAAAUAAUUUUCAUUUAAAAAAAAAAUUAAAAUUUUUGAAAACAUUAUUCCUACCGCAUUCCCAAACACCUUCUAAAUCUAAAAGAUAAUAUGAUUUCUAUGAUUAAUUUUUGGUAUGAAUAAUGCAAACAACAAUGAGGCAGUUAAGGUUCUUAUAUUUAUAUAUGUUUAGAUAAAAAAAAAGCAUAAAAAAUAAAAAUAAGCUGUGUCAACCAAACUUGUAACUAUGUUGUAUAAUUAAAAAAAAAUUAAACUUGGAUUUUCCUAGCAUUUAUCAAUUACUUUACUUUUAGAAAUUUGGAGGAAUAAAUUAUCGCAAUUGACAACUUGAAAUAUAAAUUACGUACUUGUAGCUGUGCCAACCAAUUACCCACUUCUUCGUGGCCUUGAAUGGUUAAUCUUUGCAAAGGCAAUUGAGCAUCAAAAUUCCUUGGACCUAAAAAGCUGUAAUUUGAUCUGAGCGCAGAGACAAUUUUCUUAGUUGAGGGAACUUGAUGAUGCCAUCUCUGUUAUGAGACAAAGUGACUGGGAAGACAUAUUCCAGUUUAUCACAGUAAGACAUAUUCCAGUUUAUCACAGAUCCAACAACCUUAACUCCUUGAGCUCUCCUAUUUCAUCAGGUAAUUCUUCAAUGGAUAAGCACGACAUAAGACCAAGAAUCUUAAGUCUCUGCAGCUUUCUCAACCGAAUGAGGUCCUUGCAAUUACACGAGAUCAACACCAACGAUUGAAGUUUCGUUGAGAGUUUAAGUGAUUGCAUUGACAAACACCCUCCCUUCAGAGACAAAACUUCAAUUUCUUUCAUCCCUUCAAAAAACGUCUCUGGAACAUUCAUACCAUCAUCCAGUCCUAAUAAUAGAACUUUGAGCCGUGGGCAUACCAAUCCUUCAGGAAGUUCUGCUAGUUUAUUGCCCAUUAACGAAAUUGUUGUACAACCUUCAAAGCUUUUAUUGCCCAUUGGCCACUUCUCCAACCCAAUGCCAGCCUUUACCUCGAAUCCAUAUUCCUCUGAUGAUGCUAUCUGAAUAGCAAAGUCACGAACCAAGUCAUGCAUUUUCACACGUUCUUCAGUUUCAGUGCCCAACAGCAUGCAACAAUCUUUGAGGUUUUCGAUUGCCACAGAAACACGUUUCCUUGCAUCUUCAAUGGGCUCCGUGUCUUGAUGUAACCCAUAGCCAACUGCAUAUCUCGUCAAGUCCUCGAUUGGAAUGUCAUAAUCUUCUGGAAAUAAACAGCAUACCACGAAACAUGACUUGGUUUCCUCGUACUUCAAAUAAUCAUAGCUCAACUUAAGACAUGUGUAAGCAUUAUUUUGUUCGUCAAUUUGUUCCAUGCGCACAAAUUGAGAUUCUUUGAGCUGUCUAGACGCUACUUCCCACUGAACUCGUGAUUUACCUCUUAGAGCCCUUCCCACUGUCACAAGUGCUAUAGGCAAGCCUUGGCAUUCUCUCGCAACCUCCCUUGCCACUGUGUUCAAGGUAGAGUCCCCAUCACGUAAACCUGCAUUGAUUCUGAAUAAAUCCCAUGCUUCAUCUUCAGGUAAGACUCUUAAAAGUACUUUUUGCUGGCACUCCAUAGAAGAACAUAUGCCUUGAAGACGUGUUGUUAGAAGUAUUUUACAACCCCUGUGAUCAUCACCAAAUGGGAUCCCUAUAUCUUUCAAGUCAAUAUGUUUCCAAACAUCAUCCAGGAUUAUAAGCAUCUUCUUUCCCUGCAGUCUCUGCCAUAAUUCAUUUGCUCUACCUUCUUUACUCUUUUUGUCAAAAUUCAGAUCUAAACUAUCUGCCAUUCGAUCCUGGAUGCCCGUGACAUUUGGAGUCUGGGACACCGUAGCUAUCAAAACUUGAUCAACAAGCUGCAACUCUUUGGCUCUCCUGCCUACUUCUUUUACCAGGGUGGUUUUACCCACCCCUCCCAUGCCGUACAGUCCGAUCAUAUUGGCGUUGUCAUCUUUGAGAGCUUUCAUAAUCUGUUCCAAAGCUUCUUUUGAAGAUUCUGAGGGCGUGAAAUCCUUUGAUUGAAGAAAUUCUAUGUGCUGAGGAGGAGCUUUGUGGGCCACUUUUGUAAACUUUGUUUCUAAAAGUUUUCUGAAAGUCUCCGACUUCUUGGCCAGUGCCUUGCUUAACUUGAAUUGUCGCAUGCAGUUUGGACACCAAGUAAAGCAUUUGCCAUUUUUUCCUAUUUCAUUUUCCAAGGGCUUCGCUCCUUCAAUUUCGUUGUUUGCAUCUUCCAGCCACUUUUUGACACCUUUCUUAAUUUCUUUAGCAUUCCUUUCAGCAGCUUCGACAUCUUUUUGCAGACCAUCUAGUGCUAAAGCAAGGUUCUCCUUUCGUUCUUUGAAUUCUUCAACAAAAUUGUUGAAACAGAACAUGUAACGGAACAGCCUUCCUACUGGUUCCACCAUGAGUUCUGCUAGCAUAGCUAUAAUGGAUCCACCAGCACUUUCGAGAGCCAUUUUCCACAGGUCUUAAAAUCAAAGAAAUAAGGAUACAGGACGUGAGAGUGAGCCACUACAAGUAAAACAGGCGCAGAGAGAAUGGGAAUAGGAAUUUCAUUACCUUAAUUUGGGAAAAUAUGUGCGGAAAGCACUGUUACUGAUUGCUCAAUGAAAUAGCGGGGGGGAGAAAAGGAGAAGGCCUUUAGCUCUGUAUGGAAUCCAGCUUCAAAAGCAACAAGGCUGUAUGGUAUAAGUAUAACAAUAAAAUAGUUUACAUGGAUUCUAACUGACUCUUGUGAGUUAAAGCAGUAGUUCCCAUUAAAAAUGCAUUUUGAUGACAUAAUUAAGAUAAUAUAGAGACAGUGACAAACAAAUAAUAAUAAAAAAAAUAAUGAGUAAAAGUACUCACCUAGCAAAGAAAGAAACGAAUGAAAGGUUCGGAUAAUCACUUAGACGUCUCCAUGGAUGAUACCAGCUCGCUUCCUCCAACAAAUAUAAUUAACCUAAGCUGUGAUAGGUCAAAGUUCUUUUUAGCUUUCUUUUUUAAAUAAAAAUAAAAAACAGAUCAACAAGAGAUAAGACUUGCAUAAAAGUAGAAUUACUGAAAGAAACUCAACAAAGAAUCAAACUCAAGCAAUUAAAAAUAAUAGUCUAUGAUGACCAUCUCUUAUCACACGUUCAGGUAAUAUGAUUGACCUAUAACAAUAUUAAAAAAACAAAAAAAAAGCUAAUAGAUGGUCGCCACGUGUUCAACUUUAUCUACCAUUAGGAAAGGAUAGAAAGUGGGAGAGAGAGAGGUUAAAAGGCUUAAAAAAAAAAAAACAGAAAUAAAAGAAAGGUUGAGAUAAGAGAGGGACGUGGAAAUAGAAGAAGAGGUUGAGGGAGGCAGAAACGGAAGAAGACAUUGAAAGAUCGGAGGAGAGUAAAGAUAAAAAUAUGAAUAUGUGAUGCUCGUUUAUCUAUUUGAUUGGGAUUUUUUUGUGCCAUUGAUAAAAAUACUCUAUUUUUUUUUUAAUCUCUUUGAUUGGGAUUUUUUUGUGUCUCUUUUAUUUGGAAUUUCUUUGGACACUUUAAUAAUAACAAAAAAAAUUAAAAUAUUGGAGAAAUUAUUGUUCAUUAAAACACAAAUUUACUUUGGACUACGAUAGUAUUUUUCUUUAAUUUUGAGUUUUAGUUUUUGAUAGCCAUACUCAUUUGAUUUUUUUUUAAUUUUUUCAUGCUCUUAUAAAUAAUAUAGGACAUGAGGACCUGAAAUCACGGCAGCGAAUAAGGAGAGAAAUAACAUGUUUGUUUUUUUAAAAAAGUAUUUUUUAAAAAACUUAAAUUUUAUUUUUACUUGAAAUUAAUUUUAAAAAAAUUAGUUUGAAAAUUAAUAUGAAAAAAAGGAUAAUAGAGUAGGUGUCCAAAUCAAAACACAUUAACAUACACUACCAGAAAAUCGGCGAAAACCAACGGAAUUACCGACGGAAUGUUUUCAUCAGUAAUUUUUACCGACGAAAAUAAUUCCGUCACCAAUUAUGUCGGUAUAUACCGACUGACAAUACUCGUCGGCGAUACGGUCGGUAUAUACCGACAAAGUACGUCCGUCGAUAUAUACCGACAGUAUCACCGACGGAUUAAAUAGUUUUUUUGGAAAGUUGCAAUGGCGUGAUGACGUAGAUUUUUUUCAGAUGAUUUUACCGAUGGAAUGACCGAGGGAUUCAAACUGGGAUCUCCGUACAGUGACGUGGCACUGUCACCGGCGGACUCACCAACAGGUAUACAGACGGAAUGUGUCCGUCGGUGAUUCCAUCGGCAAAAGUGAAUAUAUACCCACUCUGCCGACUCUCUUGCUCUAUUUCUCCUCCUUCUUCCCCAUCCCACCUCUCCCCUCUCAAACUACAGCCAACCACCCAUCCCAACUCUCCCCCUCUUCUCAACACAAGCACUCAAGUUUCUUAUACUUUUGUACGUGGUCACAACAUCUGUUCUUGUGGAUUUUAUCAUUUUUUGUAAGUAAAUCUAUCCUGUUUAGUUUUAACAUUUAAAUGUGAAUUUUAUUGUUUUUUUAGUAUAUGUUUUUUUGUUAACGUAUGUGCUUGUUUGAUUGUUAUUUGUCAAAGAAACUUGUAGUAUGAAUGUAUAAUUUUAUAGUUGUUAUAGUUUGUUUUAGAUUUUGUCAAAUUAUAUUUGUUUGUAAAUUAUUGAAACUUUGUUUGAAUUACACCGAAUUAGAUGUGUUGUGAUGAAAUAAAUAAUAGCUUGUUUAACGGGUUCAUUUUAAUUUUUAUCAAUUCCAUUGUGAAGUUGUGAUUUCCGUAAAUUUAUAUAUGUAUAAAUUUGUAUGGACGUUGAUAGUUGAUAAUUGAUAAUGGAUAUUUAACAUAAGUGUUUUUUUAGUUUGUUGGAUAAUGUCGGGGCAAACCAAUAUUUUUGUUAUGUUUAUUUACGUAAUAUAGUUAAUUAAUACAUGUUGUCGUCAUAAUUUUAUAGAGGUUCGAUAGAAGUCAUGGAUGAUCGUUCAUGGAUGUAUCGGGACUCACCCCAAGGAUUGCGAAGGAUGGAUUAUUGUAACGGGGUUCAGGGUUUUAUUAAUUUCGCAAUAUCUAUCCCGAUGAAUUUUACUGAUGGCGGUAUUAGGUGUCCAUGCAGGAAGUGUAAAAAUAAAAAGUUUCUGCAUCAAGAUGUUGUAACGAUGCAUCUUCUAAGCAAAGGGUUCAUGGAGGAUUACCUGUGUUGGUAUGCACACGGAGAACUAUUUGUUCCUAAUGAGAGCAUAGUAGAAAGGGCGGUUGGGUCAACUUCUAGUGCUAGCAACAUGCAUGAAGUUGGAAAUGACAAUAGUAAUCCUUACAGGAAUAUGGUUAUGGAUGCAAUGAAAAUGAGUGAAGGUAUUGUCAGUGAAUGUCCAAUUAUAGAAGAAGAACCUAAUGCAGAUGCAACAACGUUUUUUGACCUGUUGAAAUAUUCCGACGAACCAUUAUGGGAUGGCUGCACGAACCACAGUAAAUUAUCAGCUGUAGCACAAGUGUUCCCCAUCAAGUCAGAUCACGGGUUGAGUGGGGCCGAUUAUGACAAAAUUAUCGAAUGGGCGAGAAGCAUUUUACCUGAAGGAACAGGCUGAAAGAGAACUUUUAUGUUGCCAAGUCCAUGAUGAAACCCCUCAGGUUAGGAUACUAGAAAAUUGACAUGUGCCCUAACUUCUGCAUGUUAUGCUACCUUGAAAAUACUGAGUUGACCGAGUGCAUGACAUGUGGGCAUUCCCGUUACAAACCUAGAACUGACAGAGGAAAGACUCUCAUGGCAUUUAAAAAACCUAGAUACUUCCUGUUGUAACCCAUUUUUGGGUUCCCCCCAUAAAAAUAUAAAUAUAUAGCCGGAAGAAAUUAGAAAAAAUAAUAAGAGGUGGGAGUGCUCAGAAAAUGGUUGGAAAAUUGGUCAAUGAGGUUAAAAAUACAAAGAUUGGAGUUAGGACAGUAUAUUCUUGAAGGAUGAGAGCCCUAUUGAGAGGGGAAUUUUGAAAUUUGAGGAGAAAAGCCCAAAUUUGGAUGUUUAUGGACUUAAUUGGAUUUUUAAAUGAAUUUAUAGGGGAUUUGAUUGUAAGAAAAAUUGAUUUUUAAGUCAAUUUGGGUUUUAAUUAGAAGAAAUUUAAGUUCUGGGGCCAAAAUAUAUUUUUUAGGAAUUUAUUAGGUCAAAUCAAGGGCUUAAUUGCAUAAAUAUUGAAGUUUAAGGGCCAAUUGGAGACUUAAUUGAGAAAAUCCGAAAUCAGGGACCAAAUUGGAAGAGGCGCGUAAAUGGAGGGGCUGCAAUUAUUCGGUUCAGGGGCCUAAUUGAAGAAAUUGAAAGUUUAUUAAUCAAUUGAGGGCUCAAUUGCAUAAAUCAGAGGCCAAGGACCAAAGUGAAAAACGCGGCCAACUAUAGGGGCGGAGACCGAAAUUGGCAGGGAUGCAAUUGAAGGAAAGAAGAUAAUUGAGGGCUGCUUUGCAAAUUGACGCGUUUUGGCGUCUUGCUGGACUUAAAUGAAACGGCGCGUUUUGCCUAAAACGACGCCGUUUCAUGCCAAAAACAAAAAAAAAAGAAGAAGAAGAAGAUCGGAACGGUGUCGUUUUGAACGACACUGUUCCUCUUUCUUCCUCCCAUGGACGUGCAGCAGGGGAAGAAAGCAAAAUGGUGGGUUUUUCUUCUUCACGUGUGCUGCCUCUCUCUUGACCGCAUGCCUUGCCAGAAAACCGAGGGAGCCGCACCUCGCCAGCCACGCCCGCUGGCCGACCACCCGCCGCGCGCCAUGCAGAAAACAGGGGAGUAACGUCUCGACAGCUGCACCCGAAUGGCCGACCAACCGCCGCAGCCCCUGCCCCCCAUGUGCAGCCAUAAAAAGCCCCGCCUCUUGGCUCUAUAAAUAGACCCAAGAACACAGAAGAAAAAAAAGGAGGAGAAAGGGAGGAGACCCGGAAAAAGAAAAAAAGAAAAAAAGAGAGAGGACCGAAAGAAGAGGAAAUAGAGAGAAACAGAGAACAGAACCGAAUAAAAAGGGAACCACUGAUAAACUCAAACGGAGAGGAAGGAAAAGCUUGAAACGGGGUAGGAUACUUGACAACAAACCGGGAGGAUAAAGGGAAACCACCGAAAACGAAAGAAGAGGAAGGCAUACGGAGGAGAAGGGAAGAGCAGUAACCUCACCCUCCACCGUUUGAAAUAGCAGCACCGCCGCUUGGAGCCGCCGUCCGUGAGCCACGACACCGCCACCGGCCUCCACCACAGCACCACCAGCGAAGCAUUCCAAUCAGCAAGCCAUCGCCUCCUCCGCGCCAGGUAAUUCUUCCUCCCCCCUUGUUCUGGUGUUUAUUUUUUUCCUUCUCUGCAUGCAGAACGAGUAGCGUUCUGCAUGCAGGGGGGGGAAUUAAUUCCCCCCGCCCGUUUGGUCUGGGCCAGGCAGAUCCUGGCCCAGCCCUGUCUUCUGGGCCGGGUCUGGCCCAGAGAAGAAUAUCAGUUUUUUUGGGCCGAGAUCGGCCCAAUCCAUUUUGGGCCGAAAUCGGCCCAACAUUUUUUGGGCUGAGUCCGGCCCAGUUGGUUGGGCCGGACCAGCCCAACCCAUUUAAUAUUAUAUAUUUAUAUAUUAUAUUGUUUUGUAUUAUUUAUAUAUGUAUACAUGUUUUAAAACAAAAAAAAACAAAAAAAUAAAAAAGGGUUCUUCAAAAAUCAUUUAAAAAAUAUGCGAUUUUGUUGUAAUUUUAUUACUGUAUUUUGAUCAAUGUCGGUUUGUAUUUUUAUACGGUAAAGAUACAAAUCCGGUAUUAAAAUACCCGAUUUUCGUCAAAACAUCAAAAAAUACAUAAUUACAAAAAAAAAAAAAUGUUUUGUUUUCAUGCAUACGGCCUAGUCUCUCCAAUAUAUAUAUAUAUAAAUAUUCUAACAUCAUAUUUUCACACAACAAAGGAAAUUUCAAAACAAUAUAUGUAUUAGCAUGCAUUUUGGCUUUAAUAACCAGUUUAUUCAAGCCAUGAGAACUUGGCCAAUAUUUCAAAAAUUCUAAAAAAAUCUUUUUGUCUUCUUUUAGUAUUUGGGAUUACGAAUUUAUACGUAAAACGUAUUCCUGAUAUUAAAAAUAUGGGUUUUUUUACAUAGACAUUAGAACGGUUAGGUUUUACCCGAUAAGAUAAGGACCUCCUUAUUGAGGAGGACUUUUCUUGAACCAUAGACGGACCAACAUACAUAGACGUUAGAAGGAUUAGGUUUUACCCCUUAAGAUAAGGACCUCCUUAUUGAGGAGGACUUUUCUUGAACCAUAGACGGACCAACAACUAGGAAACACAACGAGACCUUGAAUUUUAUCAGACAAAUAAACAAUGCAGCUUACUUUAGGUAGGGCGUACUUGGGGUGCUAAUACCUUCCCUUUACGCAACCAGUCCCCGUACCCAAUCUUUGAGACCAGUUAGGGUUCCUAGUGACCAAAAUACUAGGUGGCGACUCCCAUUCCAUUUUCCUACCAACAAAAGACUAUUUUCUUGUCUCCCCACAUUUACCAGAUAGAUACCAUACACACUUCCUAGAUUCUAAAAAGUGGAAUUUUCGCCGCGACGCCGCGCACCCCGCGACACUUCCCAAUCACACCUAAACUGCAAAGGUUAUUCAUGUCACCAAGGACUGUUGAGCACAUGACAUGGCACCAAUCACAUCAUGUGGUUGAUGGAGUGAUGGUGCAUCCUUCUAAUGGCAAAGCAUGGAAACACUUUAACAGUGUGCAUCCUCACUUUUCAGCUGAAUCGAGAAACGUGUGUCUUAGGUUAUGUACAGACGGAUUCAACCCAUUCGGGUCAUUUACUGCUCCUUAUUCUUGUUGGCUGGUCAUACUGACGGUUUAUAACUUGCCAUCAGGGAUGUAUAUGAGGCUGGAGUUCAUGUUUUUAUCUAUGGUCAUACCAGGUCCGAGCAGUCCGGGGUGGAAUAAAGAUGUUUGUCUUUGACCGUUGAUUAAUGAGUUGACGCAGUUGUGGUCCUCUAGAGCUUUGACUUAUGAUGUCUCGAGGAAACAUAAUUUUGUUAUGAGAGCGGCUUUGAUAUGGACUAUCAAUGAUUUCCCAGCUUAUGGAAUGGUUUCUAGUUGGAGCACGCAUGGAAAACUAGCAUGUCCAUACAGUAUGGAGAACAACAAGGCAUUCACGCUAACAAACGGGGGUAAAGCUUAUUUUUUUUACUGUCACCAUCGUUUCUUGCCACCGAAUCACAGGUACAGAAAGAACAGAAAUGAUUUCUUUGUUGGUAGAGUUAAAAAGGAUGUUGCACCCCGCGUAUUUCUGGUGAAGAAUUGCAUGAUGUUGUGUCAGAGUACGGUGACAUUGUGUUUGGUCUCCAAUUAGAUAAGCUGAAGUUUGCUGGUUUUGGUUUGACCUAUAAUUGGGUGAAGCAAAGUAUCUUUUGGGAGCUUUCUUAUUGGAAGAUCAAUCUUCUUCGCCAUAACCUUGACGUCAUGCACAUUGAAAAGAACAUGUUUGAGAACAUUUUCAACACCGUCAUGGAUGUGAAGAGGAAUACAAAGGACAACAUCAAGGCUAGAUUGGAUGUAGUGUUCUGUAACCGAAAAAAUAUGGAGUUGGUUUGUGAUGGGUCACGAGUCGCAAAACCAAGAGCAAGCUUUGUGUUAGAGAAAAACGCACAACUACUAGUCUAUAAAUGGCUUAAGAGUCUGCGUUUCCCCGAUGGACAUGCCUCGAACAUAUCAAGGCUGGUUAAUACGGAGGAAUGCAAAUUAUAUGGAAUGAAGAGUCAUGACUGCCAUGUGUUAAUGUAAACACUCAUCCCAUUAGCUUUUCAUGAUUUGUUGCCAAAGGGGAUAUGGGAUACACUCACGGAGAUCAGUCAUUUCAUGAUCAGCCUUUGUUAAACUUAAAAACUUGCUUACUUCUGCUCUGUCAUUCAACCUCCUGAUUGGUCAUUACCUUUUGAAAUAAUGUGUGAUGCUAGUGAUUAUGCUGUAGGUGCUGUCUUAGGACAAAUAAAAGAUAAGAAACACUAUGUGAUUUACUAUGGAAGUAAAACUUUAAAUAGUGCUAAAAUGAAUUACACUACCACUGAAAAAGAAUUACUUACAGUAGUAUUUGCAUGUGACAAGUUCAGAUCUUAUCUUGUUGGCUCACCUGUUGUCGUUUUUAGUGAUCAUGCAGCAUUGAAAUAUCUUCUCUCUAAGAAAGAUUCUAAGGCUAGAUUGGUGCGGUGGAUUUUGUUACUUCAAGAAUUUGAUAUCACAAUCAAAGACAAGAAAGGCACCGAAAAUAUUGUCGCAGAUCAUUUGUCAAGAUUGACAACCGAUUCAAGAUCUGACAUCACACCAAUCGAUGACUACUUUCCUGAUGAAUCUUUAUUUUCUGUCUCUACAAUACCUUGGUUUGCUAAUAUUGUUAAUUUUCUUGUUUCAGGACAAUUGCCAGCUCAUUGGAGUACCCAAGACAAAAGAAAGUUCUUGAACGAAGUGAAGAACUUUUAUUGGGAUGACCCUUAUUUAUUCAAAUAUUAUCCUGAUCAAAUAUUUCGAAGAUGCAUUCCUAACAAUAAGGUAAGUAGUGUCAUUAAAUUCUGUCAUUCUGAGGCAUGUGGGGGUCAUUUCUCAUCAAGAAAGACAACUGCAAAAAUCUUACAAAGUGGAUUUUACUGGCCCACCAUGUUCAAGGACUCACAUGCAUUCUGCAAUACUUGUGAAAAUUGUCAAAAGUUGGGAUCUAUUUCAAAACGUCACAUGAUGCCUUUAAAUCCUAUUCUUGUCAUUGAGAUCUUUGACUGUUGGGGUAUAGAUUUCAUGGGUCCAUUUCCACCAUCAUUUGGUUUCUUAUACAUAUUAGUCACAGUAGAUUAUGUUCAAAAUGGAUAGAGGCAAUUCCAAGUCGAAACAAUGAUCACAAAAUAGUGAUAAAGUUUUUGAAAGAAAACAUUUUAAGUCAAUUUGGAAUCCCUCGAGCCAUGAUAAGUGAUGGUGGAACACAUUUCUGCAACAAGCCAUUUGAGUCUUUAAUGAAGAAAUAUGGAAUCACAUACAAAGUUGUCACCCCUUAUCACCCUCAGACGAGUGGACAGGUAGAACUUGCUAAUAGGGAGAUCAAACAGAUUUUGGAGAAAACAGUGAACCCUAAUCGGAAAGACUGGUCUUUAAGACUUAAUGAUGCACUUUGGGCUUAUCAAACGGCUUAUAAAACAUCAUUAGGUAUGUCACCUUAUAGACUAGUCUAUGGAAAACCUUGUCACUUGCCUGUGGAACUUGAACAUAAAGCUUAUUGGGCUAUUAAAGCUUUCAAUUCAAACCUUGAUGAUGCUAGUCAGUUGCAAAAAUUAAAAAUAAAUGAGCUUGAGGAAAUAAGAAAUGAUGCAUAUGAAAAUUCAAGAAUUCAUAAAGCAAGAAUCAAAGUGUUUCAUGACAAGAAAAUACUGAAAAAAACAUUCAAUGUUGGUAAAAAAGUCUUGCUUUAUAAUUCUCGACUCCAUUUAUUUCCUGGAAAACUAAGAUCAAGAUGGAGCGGUCCUUUUAUUGUGAAACAUGUGUAUCUAUAUGGAGCCUGUGAUAUCAAGAAUCCAAAGAAUGGCAAUGUUUUCAAGGUAAAUGGACAUCGUUUGAAAGUUUACUUUGACAAUUUUUUAGUUGAACAUGACUCUAUUGAAUUGGGUGAUCCUGUAUAUAAAGAUUGAUUCUUUUUUUUCUCACAUUGUUUUUAUGUUUUUUUUUGUGUGAUUUUUAUUUUGCUAGUCUCUUUCACCCCGGUCAAAUGGUGGAUAACGGUACUCUAUGACUCUUAAGUCGGUUCUUUCAGUUUCUCAUGAUAACUGAUAUCUGUGUAUAUAUUUGUGCAAUUCUUUGCUCUUUCUCCUUUCUUUUCCCGCUCUGCCUCAGAAUGCGAUUACAAAAAUUUACCGUGCUAGAUGUGCAAGAUUGAGGUUGUUAAUGAAUCAUGGAUUUCCUGAAGAUAUUCACUGGCUGAUUGAAGCAAAGGUCCGAUUAUUAGGUGAGUCCUCCAAUUCUUUCAUUUCAUACAUGCCUAGAACAGGUAAAAGCACUUUUACAAAGAAACGCCGUGCAAAACGACUGAAAGUCUGUCACAGAUGUGCCAGAUGGACUUGUAAUGCAACAUGUCGUUCUUUAGGAAUGGUAUCUGUAAAUCGUGAAUAUAAAAUACAAUUCAUUAAGGAUGGCCUGAGUAAAGGAUCUUUAGAUAAUCUUCUAUUGAGUCUUGAGACACACCCUAGUGGAGAUGUGCAUCGUGCAAUUCAUGAUUUAUGGCCACAAUUCCAUAAAGAACAUGCUCGACUUAGUCUUGGGAAUCUGACUAAAAAAGACCCUGUUUGCCAGUUUUUAAGAAAACUAGAUGGGAAGCCUAUCCCCGACCCAUAGAGGGCGUUUAAGCCGUUCUUGGACGUAAAACCAAGGAAAGAUGUGAGCCACAAUCACAACUACAUGUACAUACACAUGCUUUUUCAAAAUAAAUAAAUAAAUAGAGAGAGAGAGAGACUACAACUGGCUUAUAUAUAGGUGGUAUGAUUGUAUUUUCAAUUUCUCAUCUAUAAAUUCUUCUCUUCCUUCCCUUCAUUUCUACUCAACCCAUACAUUCAUCAAAUAUAGAAGUGUGUAGAAAUGGCAAGUUCCUCAAGUCAUCACAUAAGAAAUAUUUGUGUUUUUUGUGGAUCCAGUCCUAGGAAAGAAAAAGAGUUUUUAGAAUCAGCAAAUCAUCUUGGUCAAGUACUAGCUGAGCGAAAGAUUCAUUUAGUGUAUGGAGGAGGCAACCUUGGGUUAAUGGGGGGAGUGUCAAUAGCUGCAUUUUUAAGAGGUAGUCAAGUUUUGGGGGUUGUCCCCAAAGCUUUAGCACAAGGGGACAUCAUUGGAAAAACAAUUGGAGAGGAAUUACAGGUCCCCACAAUGUCUGAUCGAAUGAAUACAAUGUUUAACCAUGCUGAUGUCUUCAUUGCCUUACUAGGUGGUCUGGGCACAUUGGAAGAGAUCUUUCAUAUUUCCUCUUGGGCCCAACUGCACAUUCACCAUAAACCCAUAGGUCUGUUAAAUGUUAAUGGUUUUUAUGAUAAGUUGUUGUCUUUUAUUGAUCAUGCUGUGGAACAAGAAUUUCUAACAUCUUCGACACGACAAAUCAUAAUCUCUGCUGCUACUGCUGAACAAUUGAUUGACCAACUACAAUCUUUCAUCCCUGUAAUUGAUCCCUCCAUGAGUCGCAUAAAUUGGUCAACUAAGGAAAGCCGUAAAAAGCUUAGAUUGGAUUUGAGCCUUCGUUUGUAAAAACUUUGUGUCUUUUGGUUUUAUUAUUAUGUUUUGUUGUUUCUUAUAUUUGUUUAAGUGUGUUUCAGGUUUGUCAGUGUUCGCUAUUUCAGGUGAUGUCUUCUAUACUCUAUCUUUCUACCUUAGGACAUUGAGGACAAUGUCACAUUUUGGUUGCGGGGAAAGGGUAGUAGUUGAUAUAUUUUUUUAAAAAAAAACUAAUUGUGUUUUUUUAUUUCAUUAACUAUUUGCAAAACUAUUGUUACUAGGAUGAUAGAGUAAAAGGAGUUCUUUUGUUAAAGUGACUCUUGAGACGCAUCUUAGUAAACAUUCUUAACAAGGUCUAUCAGAAUACUUCUUGAAAUAUUCAGGUUUACAAACUCUCGUAUUGUUAUCACUUGAUUCUGCUCAUAUGCUCAUUUAACAAGUAUUCUUAACUCUUCAUUUUUACACACACUUUAACAUAUGAUUGUGGGUUGCACAUUGGAUUAUUACAUUAUUUAUGUUCUUUUGUUAAAGGUAACAACUAAGGAAAAGGGAUAGUAUAUAAUUUGUAAAAAAAAAAACAAAAAAACCAAAACAAAAAAACAAAAAAACCAAAAAAAAACAAAAACAAAAACAAAACAAAAAAAAUAAUAAAAAUGUAGAUAAGUUUGGUUUCGUAGCCUCCCUAACCUAAGCAAUAAAAAAAACAAAAAAAAAACAAAAACAAAACAAAAAUAAUAAUAAAAACGUAGAUAAGUUUGGUUUCGUAGCCUCCCUAACCUAAGCAAUUAAGCCCAAAGGGGUGUUUUAACACUUAAUACCCUAAAGUCAACUGACUUGGGAGCUAUUGGCCCAACACUUGUUACAUGGGUUGAGGAGAAAAGCUUAAGGGAAUCAAACAUUGCACUAUCUACAUAUCAGUAUCUGCAACCCGAGUUACUAAGCUUGUAGGAGUGUCUCAACACCUAAUGCCCUAAGACCAACUAGUCUGGGAGUCAUUAGCCGAAAGCUUGUUACAUGGGUUAAAGAUGCAUUGUGUUUUAAGUUAUAUGUAUAUAUAUUUAAAAAAAAAGAAAAAGAAAAAAGAAGAAAAAGAUAAUAAUCAUAACCCAAGGAAGUUAACCUUAAACAUUAGAACAAAAAUUUUGUUUUCUUCCAAGUAAAGCCCCAUAACUAUAUGUUGAUAUUUUGAGCACAAAAGAAAGGUUUAUUAAUAUCUUGUUUAAGAGGUAUUGAACAGAUAUAUGAAUUUAAUGAGAGUUUGUUUAUCUGGAUAGAUUAAUGGAAGUUGAAUGAUGAAUGCCUUGCUUUAUGGAAUUUGCAAAUUGUUUUUCUAUUUUAACGCUUUGAUUACUAGGGACUAGUAAUAAGCUAGUUGGGGGGGUGUUAGUACUUAAAAGUGCAUUUUUAUCACGGUUUUAUAUCAUCAUUUUGCAAUUGAAGUAUCAAUAACUCUUUAACUAAAGCAUAUACCUAAUAAUAUAAGAUACCUUUAAUUUAUGGUAAAUGUUCAUCUUAAAUGCAGGUCUAUCACAUAAAUGAAAGGAUUGAUUGAUGAGUUUAAGUAUUGAAAUUGAAAGGCAAAGAGAGGGCCCAACUUAGAAAAAAGAUGUUGGUGUAGUCCAAACUGGAACACUGUUCGGUAAUUGGGUCAUAUCUCGAGUUCUAGAUGUCCAAAUGACCUUAAUUUGUUGGACAGAUUUGGUAAGACAUAGGCCUACAACUUUCAUGUGGAGUCCAAGAUUUAAAAAGGUCAUUUUCAAGUCCAAAUUAUAGCAACAACAGAGAAGUCUGAAUCUGUUCUGCAGCCCAGACACUGUUCAAUGUUCAGCCCAUAUCUCAAGUUUUAGAAGUCCAAAUGACCUCAAUUUGUUUUCCUGGAAAGAUAAGAAAAUUUCCUAUAACUUUCAUGAGUAUAGGUGGUUCCAGUUCUGAUGCUAGCAAUGACGUUUUAUUCAGACAAGAAGAUAAGGAUUUUCACCAAGUCAAGAGUUGGCCACCCACUCAACAAUUAGUCAUCAAAUCAAUAGUUCCAAAUUUUGGCCUAUAAAAGGAGGCAUUUGCCAUGCAUUUAGGGGCUUGGUUAUUCAGAUCAAGAACUUGCUCUUGCUCUCUCUUGACACGAUCAAAGAGUUGAUGUCUUAUUCCAAGUGCAGGAGUGUCGAAGUAAUAAAUAACCCGGCAAGACCGGGGUCGAACCACAGGGAGGUCAAUUAUAUAAAUUACAAAUAAAGAGAAAGAUUUGAAGAGAAUAAUAACAUAAAAGGAGUUGAAGAGAGUUUUGGGAUGUGAUAUUGGUGUAAGGAUUAAACAAUGAUAAAACAGAUGUCAAAGUUAGAGGAUUCGCUAAUGGUAUUUCAAAUAAAUAUAAUAUAAACUCUUUUUAUUACUCAAUUGGAAACCACACACAAAGGAGGUUCCAAUCGGAUGAUUUAUCGUUAUUAGCUCAUUAUAAAUUAUUAACAUGAUCAUAUUAAUCAUCUUAUCUAAGUAACACCAUACUUAUAAAUAUCAUCAGGCAUUCAUGUUGCUAGCUUAUGUUAACAACAAAUCAAGUUCCUAUCAUAACAACGAUGUCGGCCGAAAACUAUGAAGGACCAAGCAUUUGAUGUACCAAGUGUUAUACAACACAAAUCUAGAUUAACCAUUUAACAAGCAAGGUAUUAAAGAAUUAGUAAGAUAAAAAGAUAAGACAUGCUAAUAACAAUUUUUCUUGGAUAUAAACAUUAAAGUCCAUGUUGAGUUUAUAUUAUACCUAUUCUAACACCAUUAGUAAAACCUUUUCACCUUGACAUAAUUAACUUAGCUAAACAUAAUGAAGAAGAAAAACAUAAAUAAACAAGAUAAGAACAUGAUUAUGAUAUAAGUUAACUAAAUAUAUGAAAGGAAAUGAAAAAGCAUAAACAAGAGAUUAAUAUAACAUGAAAGAAAACUUGAACAUUACAAAGAUAUAAAGAGAGAAAGUAAGAACAUGAUUUUGAUUUGAAAAAUAAUAUGACUAAAUACAUGGCAAAUGCCUCCUUUUAUAGGCUAAGAUUCAGAAUUAUUGAUUGGUUGACAAACUAUUUGGUUGGUGGCCAACCAUUGAUUUGGUGGCUGGUUUUUGACAUUGGUGGCUGCUGGUUAUUGACAUUGGUGGCUGGUUAUUGAUAUUGUUGGCUUGCCAAAACAUCAUUGCUAACAUCAGAAUUUGAGCCAUUUGUUCCAUGAAAUUUGUGGGCAAUUGUCUCAGCUUUCCAACAAAAAAAACCAGAGCUCAUUUGAACAUCUAGAACUCAAGAUAUGAGCUGAAAACCAAACAAUGUUUGAGCUGCAGGACAGGUUCUGACUUCUCCGUUGUUGCUAAGAUUUGAACUUGAAAAUGGCAGAAUUAGGUCUAUGUCUUAUCUUUCCAUCCAUAUAAAGUGGACCUAAAUCCGAGUUCUACAACUCCAGUUAUGAUCAAAUAACCGAAUGGUGUUCCAGUUUGGAAUUGAACCAGCAUCUCUUCUCUUAGCCUAGUCCUCUUUUUGUCUCUCCAUUUCAAUAGUUAAUCACAUCAAUCAAUCCUUUGAAUUGUGAGAUAUACCUGCAUUCAAAACAAGCAUUUACCAUAAAUUAAAGAUAUAUUGUAUUAGUAGACUUGUUAUUAUAAAACAUGGUUUAGUUAAGGAAUUUAACGAUACUUUAGUGCAAUAUAUUGAUAUAAAGCCUUAAUGAGAAUGCACUUUUAAGUACUAAUCAUCUCUCUUUAUUUUUUUUUUGUAAUUCUUAAGUUUUGCUUUCAUUAAUAUCUUGUUUAUGCUUUUCAUUUCCUUUCCUUUACUUAGUUAACUUGUAUCUUAUUUAUGUUCUUGUUUUGUUUAUUUAUGUUUCUCUUCUUCAUUAUGUUUAGGUAAGUUUAUUAUGUCAAGGUGAAAAGGUUACACUAAUGGUGUAAGAAUAAGUAUAUUGUAAACUCAACAUGGACCUUAAUGUUUAAUAUUAACAUGUCUUAUCUUUUUAUCUUACUAAUUCUUAAUACCUUGCUUGUUAAAUGGUUAAUCUAGAUUUGUGUUGUAUAACAUUUGGUACAACAAAUGCUUGGCACUCUCAUAGCGCAACCGUAUGGUAUUACCUACACCUGUGCUAUGAAAGGAACUUGAUUUGUUGUUAACAUAAGUUAGCAUCAUGAAUUCCUGACAAUAUUUAAAAGUUUGGUGUUACUUAAAUAAGAUUACUAAUAUGAUCAUGUUAACAAUUUAUAAUGAGCUAUUAAUGAUAAAUCACCCGAUUGGAACCUCCUUUGUGUGUGGUUUCCAGUUGAGUAAUAAGAGUUUAUAGUAUACUUGUUUGAAAUACCAUUAGUGGAUCCUCUAACCUUGACACUUGUUUUUAUCAUUGUUUAAUUAUCACAUUGAUCUUCCAUCUCAAAAUUCUCAUCAACUUCUUCUUCUUCUUUAUUAUUAUUAUUAUUAUUAUUAUUACUAUUAUUGUUGUUAUUGUUGUUGUUGUAUUAUUGUUGUCUAUAAUUUAUACAAUUAACCUCCAUGUGGUUCGACCCCGGUCUUGCCGGGUUAUUUAUUACUUCGACACUCUUACACUUAGGAGAAGACAUCAAUCUUUUGGUCGUGUCAAAUACCAACAGCCUCUUACUUAUCGGUAUUGUACCGAGAGUUGCAAAACAAUUACGACAUUUUUCCACCCUCACCGACGGGCAUACCGACAGAAAGGUACCCUUCGGUAUUUUACCGAGAGUUGCAAAAAAAUUAUAGUCCCUGCCACAUUCACCGAUAGAUAUACCGACACAUUCACCGACAGAUGACGCACAUUCCAACUCGCAUGACUAUCAGACUGCCUGGUUGGUCGGCACAUUUACCGACGGAUUAGCCGAUGGCCCCGACAUAUCCAAUGCGUGUGUGCUCUGACACGCAGUUACCGACGGACAUCAAAAAAUCUGGAGGGAUUUUCAAAAUUUUAGUGCGAAUUUCAAAAGAAUACUGACGGAAUUUAAUGUCACCGCCCAAAAAAAUAUUAUUCUAUGUCCAUUGGUAAUUUCAUUAGUAAACCUACAGUAUAAAACCGACCCCCCCCUCCGCGGUUCAUUUUUUCCCGGCUCCUCUAAUUUCUUCUCUUCUCCUCCUCUUCUCCUCUCAGUAUCAAUCUUUUGCUCUUGUUAUUUUGUAUUUUUAUUGUUUUGAUUGUAGUUUUCAACAUAUUAAAAGGUAUGAUUCUCCUUUCUUUAUCUUUGUAUUUGUUUACUUUUUUUUCUAAUUAUGAUUAUUUUUGUGGUGUUCUUUGUUUUGUGUAUUAUUUGUAGAUAAAAUCUUGAAAUCAACACACUAUAAGGUAAACAUUUUUCAUUCCUAAAGUCUUUAGUUUUUGCUUUUGGUUUGUUCAAUUUAUUUUAUUUUUUGUAUUGCUAUAAUAACUGAAAAAUUUGUUAAAUACGAAUUGUUAUUGUUGAAUUUACCUUUAAAAUGUUAAUUGAAAUAUUUAGUUAAAUUUAAUUAGUUUAUCUUAAUUUUAUUAUAUUAUUGCUUGUUAUGUUUUUUAUUAUUUUGAUUAAUUUUAAUUGUUAUUUAUCAAUUUGUAUAGAUGUUAGUUGAAAUUAUAUAGAUGUUGAAUUUCUAUAGAUGUUAGAUUGUAUUGAGUUGAUUUUGCAAUAUUUGUGUAAUUAUCAAGAUUUGCAGGUUUGACUGUGGGUAGUCUCUAGUAUAGUGCUGCUGAAUUUUUUUAAAUAAUCGAGUUAAUUAUGUAAUUAUUCGUAUAAAUUUGUGUAAAUGUGUUGAAUGAAAAUUUAAUUAUUUUUUUGUUUGAAUUGUAAUAAUUAUUUGAUAAUUUAGUCUCUUUUAAUUGUUAUUGUUGAAUUUUCCAUGGAAAUGGUAAUUGGAAAUGAAGAAUUAAAUUACAUUGUUUUAUCUCAAUUUUAUUCUGUUAUUGAUUGUUAUGUUUUUUAUUAUUUCCAUUAAUUUUAAUUGUCAUUUAUGCAUUUCUAUAGAUGUUAGUUGAAAAUAUAUAGAUGCUGAAUUUCUAUAGAUGUUAGGUUGUAUAUAAGAUUUUCCAAUGGAGUCAAUUGGUUUGUGGUUAUUGUAAAGAUUUGCAGGUUUGAAAACUGUGGGUAGUCUCUAAUAUAGGGGAGGUGCUACCGAAUUUGUUUUUAAAUAAUUGAAGUUAAUUAUGUAAUUAUUCGUAUAAAUUUGUGUACAUGCAUAGAAUGAAAUCUAUAGCACGUCGUCAGCAGACGGUUGCAGCUAAUUCUUCUAGCAGCAAGGAAGACCUAUCCUUAGGUGCUGAUCACAGCGAGGCAUCUGCACCAACUAGUGAUGCUGCCUCUUCUAGUGUGGUUUCAUAGCGCAGAGACGGUGUGCCUUCACAACGGGGUCAAUUCACCCACAAGUACUAGGCACAAUGAAAGGAUGACCUCUCAAUGUAAGUUUGUUUAGGUUUUAGUUUUUUUUUAUACUUAUAACAUAAUUUAUGAACAACUAAUUAAUAUUUUUAGUAAAUUUUAUUUAAUUUUAGGUUCACAAACAUUGAGGCUGCCAGGACAAUAACAUCGGUAUUUAAAUCGUCGAUGGAGAUUCCAUUGUUUCAAUGGAGUCAGGUUUACAGACAUCCUGAGUGGAAACCUAAUAUCAAUGCAUGGUUUCGGCAAUUUUAGGUCGGUGUUAACUUUUAAUUUCCAACUUAUUUUUAAUAAAUUAUUUUUAUAAUUUUAUAUCUUGUACUAUUUUUAUUUUAAAUGAAUUAUUUAUAUACACAGCAUAAAUUUGAGUGGGAUAGCAUGGACAACAAUGUUGUGAGGAGGGUAUGGGUGAAUCACACGGCAACUAGGUAACAUCGAAAAUAAUAUUUAUUUUUGUUUUAUAAUUUUAUGUUCUAAAUUCUAAUUUCUUACUAUGGAAGUAGGUUGCGUGAUUUUUGGUAUGACACCCAAAAAAAAUCAAAAAGAUAUGCGAGCGAUAACGGUCUUCAAGGAUGGAAUGAGGUGGCGGUUUGGCGGGAAUUCAAACCGCCAUUCAUCUCGGGAGAUAUAUGGACGACAUAUAUUGAGCACGUGACGUCAGAGUGGUUCUCACAGCGCUCACAGUCCGGCGUCGACAACCAGAAUUGGCAAAUUCAUGGUUCGGUGACCACGCGCACCAGCGGCUCCAUCCCAUUCAGUGCACUUGCGAAGUGGAUGGUAAGAUUAAUUAAAAUGAAAUAUAUCGUUAAUUAAUUUGUUGUUGCUUAUAAAUAUAUUUAACUUGCAACCUUUUUUUUCCUUACAGGCUGCGUCUCUUGGACGUUAGCUGAGUCCAAUGGAGCUGUUUGUAGAGACGCACGUGCGGAGUCAAGACCGCCAAAAGGGGGUGCAGCAGUUCGUGGACAACCGUGCUCAACACUUUGUGGUAUGUUCGGUCAAUCAUUUUAUUUCAUAAGUUAUUAUUUUCUUGACUUGAAUGUGAUGAUUUUUUUUUCAAAUUUUUAGGAGACCUAUAAUAGUCGGUUGAGGGAGAGAUAUGGGGACGAUCCUUCGACCCAUCCGGAUUUGUGGAUGGAGGUAGGAUUGUCUGGUGGACCCGAUAAAAAUCGGGUCUAUGGGCUCUCCAACACUACGACCAAAAACUUGCGGUCGGCCCGUAGUGUCUCAACCGUUAAGAGCUCUCCAUCAGCAUUGAGCACCUAGUCUGAGGAGUUCAUGGCCUUGAAACAACAAUAUGAACGACUCUCAACGGAUUAUGAUCAGCUCCGUCAAAUGGUCAUGGAGAUUAGAUCAAGGAUGGGUGAUAAUACAUGUGCAGCCCCUUUUUAGUCGUAUGGUCCUAGGAACAACGAGCGUCCUCCUCCAGCUCCACCGUUAUUCUAGUUUAAUUUUGUUUUUUAAACACAUUAAAUUUGUAAUGAAUAUUUGGAUGAAUAUUAUUUAACAUUAUUUUUAUAUUUUUAAUGCUUAAUACAGUUUUAUUUGGUUAUUAAGUUUUUUUUACUAUUAAUAAAUAUUUUUUUAAUGUUUCAAAUAAAUACCGACGAAUUUCGAGACGGAAACCGACCGUCAGUAUUUUACCGAGAGUUGCAAAAACAUUACCACCUAUGCCACAAUUACCAACGGAUAUAUUCCGUCAGUGUUUACCAUUACUAUUACCGACGGAAUAUAUCUGUCGGUAUUUGACAGAGAGUUCUGAAAUAUUUACCGCCCAUGCCACAAUCACCAAUAGAAUAUCCGUCGGUGAUUACCGUUGAAAAGACAGACGGAAUUAUUCCGUCAGUAAAGUUCUCGUAGGAAAUUUUUAUUACUAACAACAUUAGCAACGGAAUGAGAAAUUACUGAUGAUCAAUAUUCCGAUGGACGGAUUCUGUCGGUGAUGCCGUCGGUAAAAAUGUUACCGACGGUUUUCGUGCCUCCCACCGACGGAAUGAAUCCAUCGGUAAAACUAUUUAAUGGUGUAGUGAUAGGACAAAAACAGGGAGAGAGCCUAUUUGUUUUUUUAACUGUGUCAGAGUGGUUUUUAUAAUUAUAUUUAAUUUAUCAAAAUAUUAAAUUAAUAUUUUUAGUGUAUUUUGAUGAUUUAAAAAAUAUAUAUAUGUAUAAAAAAAGUAUUUUAAUAUAUUUUUAAAUAAAAAAUAUUUUUAAAAGUAUGUGUCACAAUACCAAACAGCUACUAAAAUGAUUAAUUUUUGUGUCAAAUGAUUUCAUAUGAUGAAGGGAGUUAAGUUUAAGUUUUUUCUUACCUUGAAAACACCUAAACAAAUAGAACUAAACUUUGAAAGAUUUUUUUUUGUGUCGAAUUGAUUAUGGAUUUUAAGGCAUUUUGUUUUGUUUUUAGUUUUUAGUUUUUAGAGGCCAUAAAUUGGUUAAAUAAGGUUCCAAAAGUGUUUCCUCGGUAUUUUGGGUUAAAAUGGGUUGAAAAAAUAAAAACAUUGUUUUUCCAAUCACCAUAAUAGUUGAAUUCUAAGCAAUUAUAGACGACGCGUUAUUUGUCAAGAUAGACAACACAGUCUAAUUUUUUUUGUAAAUAAUGGGGCGAACAACCCCAUUAACUCAGGAAAAAAAUAAAGGCCAAGUGCGGAUCUUUUCUUUAUGAGCUAGGCAUGAGGCAUGGUUUACUAGGCUCACAACGCCUGAUCUCAUUUUUUUUAUUUUUUUAAAUUACUAUUUUUUAUAUGUAUUUUUUAAAAUGUUUUUUUGCAUUUAUGUUUUGAUUAAUACUUUUUUUGGGAUUUUUUCUAACUUAUUUAGCUUUUUUGAAAUAAUGAUUAUUUUUUAAUUAUAUUAUAUUUAUAUGAUAUUUAAGAUGAAUUAAAUCUUUAUUAAUAAUAAAUAUAUAUUUACAUAAAUAUAAUAAUACCAUAUAUAACUAACCAAUGGAUUAUAGAUGAUAUUAAACUAACGUUAUUGAUGAUGUGAGAACUCAAUCCCAUUCCAUUUCAGCUCAAAGGUGCAAGAAAGUUUUUUUUUUUUUUUUUGAUCAAAUGUUAGAAUUUUAUAGAUCAAAAAGCAAUAUUAGCUGGAAAACCAGCAUGCCAAAAAUACAUAUGUACAGAACAAGCCAGUGAAAACAGGCUCCCAACAAGUGCAAACAAAAAAUAAAACCCAGAGAAACAAAACUUCUCAUACAUAGAGAGAAGGUAACCUCACUACAAGUGCCAAGAACCCAAAGAUAUAGGUGCCAAGAAUAACCGAGGGAACAGAAAACCACAAGCCAUCAAGACAAAAAUGCUUAACUACAUUUACCAAAAAUUCCAAAAGCCAUGGAUUGAGACCACGGACAAAAUCAGGUGGACCCGACAGCAAAGAGAUGCACGUGUAGCCAAUCUGCAUGAACCAGAAGCAACAUUUCUCUAUGGAAAAACCAUAACUGAGAGUACUAUCUUCAAAAUUCCAACACCCAAAAAUAUAUGAGCGCACAGCCACCCGAAGACAAAGCCUGGAGGGCCCAGAGAGGUGAACUUGAUGUGAUGAACAUACCACAAGAGCAAGCAUCGCACUUCCUCAUGCAGUCACUUAGGCUGAGGCAUGUGUAUAUUGAAUUCUUUGAUUCGAACAGAUCCAUUAUCCCGCUUGACGAACUGGGAGAUGAAAAAGAAAAAAAACCAUGAUUAAUAAAAAAGAGAAAAAGACUAAUCAAUGGUUUAAUUUUCAACUUCGAACAACAUAGUACAUACAUUGCAAAAGUCAUGAUUUUUAUUUAUAGAAUUUUGAUCUUUCUUAUUGUGGAGAAUUUCCCAUUUAACUUCAUCAACAUAUAUUAUGCUAUUAAUUAUAAAAAAAAUGAAGAUUUGAACUCGUAAUUAUUAUGAAUUUGUUAAAAUAUAAAAAUAUCUCAAUUUAAAAACUUAAUCUCACAAAUAAGAUUUUAAAAUAUUAUUUAUAUUAUUUUUUAAUACUAAAAAAUAAAUAAUCGUGUUCUUUGCCACUCUCUUGAAACUAGUGAAAACUAUUUUUCUGGGCCAUCAAACGUGGGAGAUUUUUUCCUAGAAAAACAAGAUAGGUUAUUGUCAAUCAAAAGAUUAGCGUGACUUUACACAGCUACCAUACUUGUUGACUAAUUAAUAUUGAAUUCAAGGCUUUGAUUUAGUAAAAAUCAAGUUGGUGAAAUCUCGACCAAGCCUAAUAAACCAAAAACUAUGUUUUUUUUUAUAUAUAAAAAAAUAAUAAUAAUAAACCUAACCAUCUAUACUUUUCCUUCUAAAUAUUCAUACCUCUUCAACUUUAUUAAACAUUUCAUGAUAAUCACUUGAAACAACAAGAGAGGAUUACCAUACGAGCUGCCAAUGAAACACAGUCAAACCAAGAAAAAUCCCAAAUGGCAUAAAAUGUCCAUGCAUUUCUCCAUAGACUGCGCAGGAUAUAUAGCAUAUGAUUUCCAUGCAUGGUAGGUUAAGGUUUGCUCACUUGAGUCAAAUUCCCAAGCAAGUCAAAAGGCAAGGAAGUAAGUAGUGAUACUUGAAUUAUUUACUAGUACAAUCUUGGAGGCUGCAACACGAUCUUAACUAAGAAAAUUGAUCGAGUAAUUAAUUGUCUAGCUAGUCUUAAAACCUUAUAUUAUAUUGGGUCAUUUUCGUAUUAUACAAGCACACGUACGUACGUCUAGUUAACUUGUUUGAAUUUCAUUUGGUCUCCGAUAUUAUUCUCCCAAAGUUUGUAAGCUUAUCAUUUUAAUAAUCAAAAUUACUUAAUUUGAUAAUUAGUCAACCACACAUUUUGAAUAUGGUUAAUUAAAUGGUGAUGUGAGCUCCAAUUGCAUUGAUUUAUACAAUCUUGAAGUGAACGGUGUGGUCGAGAUUCUUUAAUAUACUCAUACAUGAGAUUCUUUAUAUAUAAUAUACUUAGACAUGAGAUUCUUUAUAUAUAUAUAGUAAUGGAUUUCUUUGAGUAGUCUACAUAUUAAUUGAGAUUAGAUUUUUUUUCCUCCAGUGAUCUUAAUUGUGUAUCUACUACAUUUGUUUGAUGUGUCUCGAUGAAUUUCAUAAAUUUUCUUGAAUACUAACUCUAAAUUUUGAAUAUAAAAAGUCAAAAAAUAAAACAAAUCCCUUUUAAAAUGGCGAAGAGAGCUAGAUAUGUGGAAUGUGCAUCUUUAGAAUUCAACUUAUCAUGUCGUUGAAGGGGAACAAUCUAAUGUUUUGGAACCACCUAUGUGAACUUGGCAUAUAUCAAUAUACCUACUUGAAUUAAAGGGGUUGACCAGAUUGAUUGUUAAGAGGUUUUUUUUUUUUUAGAUUUAAGUUUUAAGGCUAACAUCUAGGAGAAUUUAUUAAAUUCUUUUGACAAUAUUAGGCUAAUAUAGGAAGUAUGAAGAAAUUUAAGACAAUGUUUUACAGAAAGAAAACUUCAAUCGUAUCCCUGUUCUGUUGUUCUAUACAUGUAUAUAUAGCAGGAAAUUAUGUGGCAAGGAAAGACAAUCUUGCACAUAAUUUCUCCAAGAAUCUCGCUAGGAUUUCAGACUAAUAAUAACAGAGCAUAAAAUCAUGUCUAAUCUAGGUAACAAAUAAAUUACAUUAGGGAAUAUUAUAAUACUGGAAUAUCUGCAGAAUCUCUGUAUCAAUAGUUGUAGCUGGAAUAUCUUCUUCAAUAUCUGUUGUAUUUUCUGCAGUAUCUUCAAUACUCCCCCUCAAGCUGGAUCGAGCGGAUUGGUAGAUCCAAGCUUGCUCAACAACUGGUGAAAUUGAGUAGAUGACAGCGCUUUUGUGAGCACAUCAGCUAAUUGAUAAUGAGAAUGAACAUACUGGGGUUGAAUAAGUUUGGCUUGAACCUGUUGAUGAAUGUAGUGACAAUCAACUUCGAUGUGCUUUGUACGUUCAUGAAAUACCGGAUUGGACGCAAUAUGCAUGGCAGCUUGAUUGUCACAAAACAAUGUCAUGGGAGUAACCCCAUGAAAACCGAAAUCAGCAAGAAGUUGUUUAAGCCAUAUCAAUUCGCAGGCAGCAGAGGCCAUAGCACGAUAUUCUGCUUCAGCACUUGACCGAGCGAUGACAGAUUGUUUCUUACUUUUCCAGGACACCAAAUUACCACCAACAAACAUAUAAUAGCCAGUAGUAGAUCGAUGAUCAAGAGAGUUUCCUGCCCAGUCAGAAUCAGCAUAUCCCAUGAUGUUGUUAUGACCAUUGCGAGUCAUAACUAUGCCACGACCAAUGGUGCCUUUCAGAUAUCGCAAGAUACGUUUGACCAUACCAAGAUGUUGAACUGUUGGAGCAUGCAUAUAACCACUGACAAGACUGACAGCAAAUGUAAUAUCCGGUCGAGUGAUUGUUAAGUAAAUGAUUUUUCCAACAAUUUGUUGAUAGUAAGUGCAAGAAACAAGAGAUUCACUGGAAGAGUCCAAUGUUAAUUUGCUGUCUAAAGGGUUGGCAACAGGCUUCAUGUGCAGCAUAUCAACAUCCUGCAAUAAAUCAAUGAUGUAUUUACGCUGAUUGAGAAAAAAUCCUUUACAGGAGGCUGCCAUUUCAAUGCCUAAGAAAUAUUUCAAUGAACCAAGAUCUUUGAUCGGAAAUUGCUGUUGGAGAGACCGUUUAAGCUGGGCUAUGGAAGCUUCAUUACUCCCGGUUAUAAUAAGAUCAUCGACAUAUAUCAGUACAACCAGUAUGAUCAGAAACAAUUUUAAUGAACAAGGAGGAAUUUGCCGAGCUUCUUGUAAAACCGAGACUCUCAAGAGCAAUGCUUAAUUUUGUAUGCCAAGCACGAGAGCUCUGCUUCAAGCCAUAAAUAGAUUUGUGAAGCUUGCAAACCAACAUAGAGUUUCCACUGUGAGGAUGUCCGGGAGGAAGUUUCAUGAACACUUCCUCUUCAAGAUCUCCAUGUAAAAAUGCAUUGCUGACAUCCAUUUGGAAGAGAGGCCACCCCUGGUUGAUAGCAACUGAAAGUAAAACUCUAACAGUGGUCAUCUUGGCCACAGGAGCAAAUGUCUCCUUGUAAUCAACACCAAAUUUUUGAGUGAAACCUUGUGCCACUAGACAAGCUUUGUGGCGAUCAACUGUCCCAUCUGAUUUAAACUUUGUCUUGAAUAUCCAACGACAUCCAACAGCUUCCUUUCCAGCAGGUAAUGAGACUAUAGUCCAUGUGUGAUUUUCAGUAAGAGCCUUUAAUUCUUCAUGCAUGGCCUGCUGCCAUACAGGUUGUGAUUAAGCUUCUUUAAAGUUUUUCGGUUCAUGAACAUUGGAUAUAGAGGUAAGGAAUGCACUAUGUGUUGGAGACAGUCGAUGAUAAGACAUAAAUUUGGAAAUAGGGUACCUCACGUUGUAGGUGACAUAGUCUUGCAUGCGUGAUGGCGGUUGACGUGUUCAAAUAGAAACUCUUCUAGUGACUGGCAGAGCAUCAAGAGUACCAGGCAGUUCUGAGUUACUGAUAUGGUCAAUUGUGGAAUUGCUGGAAUCAAUGGCAAACUGGAGGUGAAUCUGUUGGUCAAUCUGCAGAAUAUCAUUGCUGGGAUUAGAUGCAGGAUUAGUUGCAGCUGGAAGUGGAUGUUGUCCCAGACCAUCAUUGUUGGAUGUGAAUCCAGUGGAAGACUGAGUGUGUUGGUCCGGAUUGGGAAGAACACAAUCAAUACUAGGAACAGUAGACGGAAGAUGAUUAGUGUUCUCAAUACUGGGCAAAGGAAAUUUUUUUGACAAAACUUCUCCCUGUUUUCCUGCAGUAAAAUAUGGUGUGCCUUCAAUAAAUCUAACAUCUCUGGACACAUACAAUUUCUUCAACAACGGGUCAUAACAUUUGUAUCCUUUUUGGGUUGUAGAGUAGCCCAAAAAAAUACACUUGCUUGCUCUAGGAUCUAAUUUAUCCCGGUGAGUAGCUGAUAAAUGCAUGAAACAAGUGCAGCCAAACACCUUGAUGUGUGAUAUAUCCGGAACCUUAUUCUGCAAAACUUCAAGAGGAGAUUUAAAUUUCAGCACUCGACUGGGUAAACGAUUAACAAGAUAAACAGCAGUAAGGAUUCCAUAUGACCAGAAGUGUUUUGGAACAUUCAUUUGAAGCAUGAUGGCACGAGUUUUUUCAAGCAGAUCACAAUUUUUGCGUUCAGAUACCCCAUUCUGUUGAGGUGUACCAACACAACUAGUCUGAUGCACAAUUCCGUUAGAAUGUAAAUAUUUUGACAUGUCUUUGGACAUAUAUUCGGUGCCAUUAUCAGAUCAAAGGAUUUUAAUAUGAGCAGAAUACUGAUUAAGGAUGAAUGAAUGAAAAUCCAUAAAGCAAUCAAAUACGUCAUGUUUAGUUUUCAGCAGAUACACCCAAAUGACUCUAGAGAACUCAUCGAUGAAAGAGACAAAAUACUUAAAACCAUCAAUAGAAGCAUAAAAGGGUCCCCAUACAUCUGAAUAAAUAAGUUCAAAAACAUGAGUGGUUUUCGACUUCGAAAGGGAAAAAGGAAGUCGUGUAGAUUUCGAAAAAUGACAAAUCUCACAAUUGAGAGGUUCUUGUAUUGGGACAGAUUUUAUUUUAUUGAGAACAAACUCUGAAGGGUGCGCUAGCCGACGAUGCCAUAAGAGGUGCUCAUGUGAAUGAUUAAUGGUUGCUUGAAAACUCCUGGGAACUGGAGAUUUAUGAGAGAUAUAAUAGAGACCAUGUAGAAAAAAUCCUUCACCAAUCAUCUUCUUGGUGACAAGAUCCUGAAACACAACCUUGGAUGAGGUAAAAAUUACUUCACAGUUGAGAGUAGCUGUAAUUUUACUAAUAGAAAGCAAUUGAAAUGGGAAAGAAGGUAAGAAAAGGACAUCUGAUUCUAUCUUAUUAGACAAUAGGUUGAUCUUACCUUUUCCCUUAACAUAAGCAUUUUUUCCGUUAGCAACAGACACAAAAGUGGGACGAACGAAUGAUUUAAAAUCAUGGAUGCUGGUUAACUUAUUUGACAUGUGAUCAGUGGCACCAGAAUCAAUUAUCCAAAGAUCAUGCAAAUUUACAAGUUCUAACGCAGUCAUGAAAGCAAGCAGUUUACCUUGACUGUUUUUCGGGUCUGUCUCUGCUAGAAAAUCAGCAAAGUGGCUAAGGAGUGCAGCUGAUUGCUUCUGGUCCUGACUAGUUUGUUGAUCAGGUGACUUGCCCUGGACUUGCUUGUCUUGCAAAUAAUUUGCAAAAUUAGAUAUCAAGGUUCCCGGAGUAGCAGGAAAAAUCUCGGUGUGGUUGGAAUUAUUGUGGGCAAGGUAUGACUUAGAAUUGUUUGCACGUCUUGGUUGCCUCUUGAAAUCCUUUGCAAAUUUAGGCUUGAGUUCGGGGUGUAGAAGCCAGCAACGAUCCACAUGAUGACCAAUAUUGUGACAGUAUUGGCACUUGGAAUCAGGUCGUUUCCCUUUGUAAGCUUUAUUCUUAGAUAGUGACCUGUACUGACCAUGAUCAGCAUUUCUAGAACUCAUGUCUUGCGACAACAACUUGGUUUGAUAAGCACGAGUAUUCGAUACACCAGCUUCCCGAGUCAUUACUUUUCUGCGUAUUUCUUCACGUUGAAUGGUGGCACACACUGAUAUAAAAGUGGGCAGUUCUGGGUUCAUUAGAAUGUGGCUUCGCAGAUCUUCAAAAUCUGGACUGAGACUCGCCAAUAGCUGAAAAAUUUUGUCCUCCUCAGUCUUUUUCGUAGUAUGGUGGCAUCUGUAGUGUGAGGUCUGUACAUUUCCAAUUCAUUCCACAAGUUUUUAAAACUACCCAACAAUUGAACAAAAGGUUUGUCUUCUUGGUGAAGGCUGACAACUUCACGAUGGAUCUGGAAAAUCCUGGCAGAAUUGUUUUGAUUCCCAUACAUGUCACGAAUAGCAUCCCAUAGCUCAGAAGAUGAUUAUGAGAAACUAAAUAUUUCAGCAAGGUUUCUUUCCAUGGAGUUGAGAAUCCAUGACAUAACCAGUUGGUCUUUGGACAACCAUGCUUCAUAUUCCGGAUCGUUCACUUCAGGAGAAACAGUUGAACCAUUGAUAAAGCUCAAUUUAGAUCUUCCACCAAGGGCAAUGGUUACAGCCCUUGACCAAGGAAGGUAGUUGAACUCAUUCAAUAAUACAGAGCUUAAUUUGUGGAAGGUGUUUGUGUCGUCUGAGUAACUAACUGGUGUAGAGAAUUUGGAGCCAACAUCAAUGGCUUCUUUCAAGUGGCCUUCCAUGGCAGCACAACUGACUCUGCCUAUGGUAAACAAAAAAUUCAGAGAACCUGCUCUGAUACCAUGAAGAAAUUUAAGACAGUGUUUUACAGAAAGAAAACUUCAAUCGUAUCCCCAUUCUGUUGUUCUAUACAUGUAUAUAUAGCAGGAAAUUAUGUGGCAAGGAAAGACAAUCUUGCACAUAAUUUCUCCAAAAAUCUCGCUAGGAUUUCAGACUAAUAAUAACAGAGCAUAAAAUCAUGUCUAAUCUAGGUAACAAAUAAAUUACAUUAGGGAAUAUUAUAAUAGUGGAAUAUCUGCAGAAUCUCUGUAUCAAUAGUUGCAGCUGGAAUAUCUUCUUCAAUAUCUGUUGUAUUUUCUGCAGUAUCUUCAAUAAAGUAUGUAUUUAAAAAUCACUAAAAAAUUAAUUUUAGUUUACAUGCAAGUUAUCCGUCAGAAAAGAUAUAAGUCAUUUGUGUAAGUUAGGGAAACUUCUCAUAUAUUAUAACUAGAUUAUUUCUUUUAAUAUGCUGUAAAUCAAAUUAAAUUUUUUUAAAUGUAAAAAAAAAAUAUUUAAGCCAUGAAAAACUAUUUAGCAUUAUUAUUAAAUCUGGUUUAGUGUGUCAAACUUGAAAACUCCUGACCAAACUCCUUAUAUAGUCAUAUUUCAAAAUAAAUCAUGUAAAAUUGUUCUAACGUGAUCCAGUUGACUUGGUGGAUAUAAAAAUAAAAAAAUAAAAGAAAAAAUAAUGACCAAACUAAAAGUAGAGAGAGAGAUCAGGUGUGCGAGUCUAAAGACAACAUGGAUAAUUAGUAAAAAAACAACAAUAAAAACUUAAUGUUGAAGGAUGAAACUUGAGGGAGAAAAAAAAAUACAUGACAUGUGCGUGAACUUGGAUUAUAACACCCAAAAAAAAAAUCUUAGUUGUGUAAAGAUAUCUUAAGCCUUUAACUUAGGAAAACAAAAUGAAAAUUUUUUUUUCCACAUUUAAUAUCAGUAAUCCAUAUUGGCAUUUUAAUCUCAUGGUUAAAUUCAAUUAGUUAUUUAACACAUUCAUAUACAUUACAAAUAUCAUAUAAUGAUGAUUGAUGUUUUUAAUUUUUAUCAAAAUUUCAGUAAAGUCUCAUUUAUCCAGGUAACCAGACAGUUCUUCUCUUCUUCUAAAAACCUGCAUAACGAUCCAGGAGAGUUUCAAAUCCCACACAUAGCAAUUCAUAUCUAGGUAUUGGGCCUCAAGCCAUUCAAUCAAUCAAUCAAUCAAUCAAUUCAUAAUAGUACACAUCUAUUGAAGUUCAUUGAGUACAACAUUAUAAAUACUUAUUCAUAUUACAAUCCUCGUUCAUUUGAAUUACAAUAUACUACUAAGAACUCACCUAAUAUUGUAACUAAGAAAAUUAGAGUCUUGUCUUAACAUGUGAUAUUCCAUAUCAUGAACAUGCAAAACAUAAAAAUUUAAAUAAGAUAUCUAUCACAACACAAUUAAAGUAUGUUAGAUAUAACAUGUACAUGAUUUUUCAUGGAACAAACGUCCAUAAUUUCUUUUGAUAAUAACAUAAUCGACUCAUUUGUCAUAAUCUCUACUAACCUUGAGUAUUGUAUAGUCACUUCAUCAAGGUAAUUCCAAGCUUUAUCUUCUUAUCCAGAAGUUAUAUCUUGUUCAUAAAUCCAUCCUAGAAACUUUAUCUAUCGAAGCUUACCAUAAGGUUUUAUUAAUGGUAAAGGCCUAUUCCACUUAUCCUACCAUAUACUAUUAAUUUAUCAAGGGUAAAUUAUCAUUUGUAAUCUUUGCUCUAUAUGUUCCUUAAGGAAUCCAAUCCUUUACUAGUAUCGCCCUACAAUUUUAAAUAAGUAUAAGUAAUGAUUCAUCAAUUUCUAUUUUCUAUAAUGAAUCUUUAACAUUGAUUUAACUUGAUUUAGUUUGAGCUAACAUAUCAUUAAUCGUUCAUCUUACAACAAACUUUUAUGUACACAUGUCUUCACAUGCAUCAAUACACUUAUUUGUCCCUUGGAUUGACCAUCAUAUUGCUUGAAAUAUACAAGCAUAGAUGUCCAUGUUCUUGUCCCAUUGGGCCACCAAGAUAAUUCUCAAAUCUCUUUCCAUGUUGUAAUCAAAUCAGUAUAUAUUUAUGCCUUUUUACAUCUGUCAUAACCCAUUUUUGGGUUAUUCCCCAAUUCACAUUUUUUCCUCUCUCUUAAAAAAAAAAUAUAUAUAAUACAAAAAAAUCAAAAAAAUAUUAUCAAAAAAUAUAACAGUGAAAAGAGAAUGCCAGAACGCUCAGAAAAUAGUCAAAAUUUGGUUGGGGAGUUUUAAAAAUACAAAAAUUAAAUUUUGGCAGUAUUUUACUGACUGAUGAUAGCCCUGUUGACAAAGAAAAUUCAAUUUGAGGAAGAAAAGUCCAAAAUUAGAUGUUGGUGGACUCAAUUCAAUUAUAUUGAAGGUUUAAUUGAAUUUAUGGAGGGUUUGAUUAUAAGAAAAAUUGAUUUUGGAGUUAAUUUGGGUUUUAAUUGAAAGAAAUUAAAGUUCUGGGGUCAAAUUAUAAUUUUUGAGAGUUAAUUUGGUCAAAUCAGGAGCUUAAUUGUAUAAAUAUUGAAGUUUGAUGGCCAAUUGGGGACUUAAUUGAAGAAAUCCGAGACCAAGGACCAAAAUGAAAAACACGCGCAAAUUGAAGGAUUGGCUUGAAAUCUGGCGCUUUGGCGCCAGUUUUUUCAUUUAAAUGAAACGGCGCGUUUUAAUCAAAACGACGUUGUUUCAUGCGUUUAAAAAAAAAAAGGGGGGGGACAAAACGGUGUCGUUUUGAGGCGGCACUGUUUCUUCUUCUUCUUCCCCUGGACGUGUAGCAGGGGAAGAAAAAGUUUUGUUUUCUUCCCCUUGGCUCUUCCUCCCCACGUGCUCUGUUACAACCAAAACCGGACACCACCUGCACCUCCUCAUGAUGAGAAAGCAGAGAAGUCGUGCCCUGCAAGCGACGCCACCAUUGGCCACCUCAGCCGGCGCCGCAGCGGUGCAGGAGACGUGCGCCCCAUGCAUGAGCAGCAAUGGGAUGGGGCAGGGUCGACCCCGCUCCCCCUGCCCCUAUAAAUACCACCCGAAUGCAGGAGAAAAAAAAGAGAAAAAAAACGGCAGCAAACGGGGAGAGAAACCGAAAGAGAGAGAAACCGACCAAGAGAGAGAGAAACCGAUCGAGACAGUAGAAACCAAAAAAAAACAGGGGAUAUCGACAGGGAGACUGAGAGAGACAGUCGGGGAGAAGGAAGAAAAAGGAUAGAAAGGAUAAAACCAGCGGGGAAAGAGGAAACGAUCAUUAUCUCUACACAACGGAAGCACCGCUGCUUUCACUGGGUUUCACCGUCACCGCCACCGCAACGCCACCGAGCACAGUCACCAGCACCACCGUCAGCUCAGCCAUCCGGGAUCAUCACCUCAGGUAAAUUCCCUUCCCCUCCUCACGCCGUUCAUUAGUCAUCUUCCUGCCUGCAGAACGUGCACUGUGCACUGUGCACGUUCUGCUCAUGCACAGUAACCAGUCAUGGUUUUUUCCUUCUCCGGCGGGCUGGAACAUCAGCCUAGCCCACGCGGCUGGGCUGAGUCCAGCCCUGUUUUAUGCGGGCUGGAACAUCAGCCCAGCCCACGCGGCUAGGCUGAGUCCAGCCUUGUGGCUGGGCCUAGUCCAGUUUAUUCUAUUUAUUAUUUUUUCCUUUUUUGUUCUUGUGUGUUUUUUUUAAUUAUUAUUAUAUUUCUAUGUUUUUUUUAAUUUGUGAUUUUCCCACGGAUUUUUUUAUGUCAUUUAGACUAAGAUUGGUCUGUAUUUUUAUAUCAUAAAAAUACAAAUCCGGUAUUAAAAAUACCCGGUUUAAAAAAAAAACUUUUGUUUUCAUGCAUACAGCCAAGUCUCUCAAAGCUAAAAAAUCAUAUUGUAUUUUUAUACAAUAAAGAAAACUUCAAAAAAAUAUAUAUAUUAUUUUAGCAUGCAUUUUGGCUUUAAUAACCGAUUUAUUAAAGUCAUGAGAACUUUGGCCAAUAUUUCAAAAAAUAAAAAUAAAAGUAAUAUUUUGUUUUGUUUUAAUGUCUGGGAUUACAAAUUUAUACGUAAAACGUAAUCCUGAUAUUAAGAAGGUAGUUCUUUUAUAGACAUUAGACCGGUUAAGUUUCGCACUAUAAGAUAAGAACCUCCUUACUGAGGAGGGCUUUUCUUGAACCAUAGACGGACCAACAUGAUAAGACCUUAUAUUUUUUAUCAGACAAUAAAACAAUGCAGCUUACCUUAGGUAGGGCGUAUUUGGGGUGCUAAUACCUUCUUUUUAAGCAACCAGUCUCCGUACCCAAUCUCUGAGACCAAUUAGGGUUCCUAGUGACCAAAAUACUAGGUGGCGACUUCCAUUUCAUUUUUUACCGCUAAGAGACAACGAAUUCCUUGUCUCAUCAUAUUUUCCAGAAUAGAUAGACAUACCACACAUGAUGAUGAUGAUUGAGGGUGGAUGAUCGCCACACACGUGCGACAAAAUGGCGACUCUACUAGGGACCUUGUGGACUAAGCAUUGUUUUGUCUGGUUUUUUUCUUUGGUUUUAUGUGUGUCAUUUUUAAGAUGAAUUUCCUUUAGUUAUUUGCUCAUAUGCUUUAGAUUUAUACAUAUUUGUUCAUGCAUUAUAUAAUUGUGUCAUGCAUCAUUCAUUUUAUAUGAGAGUUUGUACUGAAAAGCUUUAAGUUAAGUGGGGGACUAACAACUUACCUUACGACUUUUAGUCAAGGUUUAAGUUUGUGUAAACCCCAACUCUUCGCUGAGUGCUUAGACUGGUAACAGUUGGUACACGUGCCAUCUCAUUGCCUACAAGCCCCCAUAUUGCCUUCACGAGGGUGAUCACUGGGACAACAAGAGACCCUUUUGAGACCAGGUAUAAAGCCACCCAUCCUGUAAUGGCCUGAAACCUAUCGCUAGAGUCUGAACUCCCUAAUAUGCAUAUAUAUACAUUUGCACCCAUAUGCAUACAUCCAUUCAUUUGUAAAUAACAUACAUACAUACAACAGGUUGAAAUAUAGGUCCCUAACGAGUCUAUAACACCCGACUUCAAGCGAGAAAAAUGGAAGAUGAAGAACGUGCUCACCGUGAUGCCCAUUUUCAAGAAGAUUUGGAGUCUCUGAAGACAAGCGUGGCUCGCCUUACUAGCUUACUCGAGCAAACACUGAGAAAUGCCUCUGGUGAGGGUCCUUCUAACCGACCGGUCACCUUUAAUCAGACUCCAAUAACAACUCAGCCCAAAGAAAGAAUGAGUGAGCAUGGUCAAGAGCCUCAACAUAAUCCAGCGUUUGUGCAGUCAACAACACCUGUACCAGCCCCGACAGUCAUGGAUGCAUUUGCUAACGAAUCCCACCAGGCCAAGUCAUCUGAUAGCCUUGAUCAAGAAAAGAUAGCGGCGCUAGAAGCCAGAAUCAAAGUCAUUGAAGGGGUAGACUUAUAUGAUCCAGUACGGGCAGUGGAGAUGUGUCUAGUCCCAAAUGUGGUUGUCCCGAAGAAGUUUCGUGUUCCUGAGUUCAUCAAAUAUAGUGGAACACAAUGCCCCAUGACUCACCUCAGGUCUUAUUGCAAUAAAAUGACAGAAGUAGUACAUGAUGAAAAACUACUGAUGCAUUUUUUUCAGGAUAGCUUAAGUGGGGCAGCAUUAAGCUGGUACAUGAGAUUGGACAACACAAAGAUCCGGAGAUGGAAAGAUCUUGUUGAGGCUUUUGUCAAGCAAUACAAGUACAAUAUGGACAUUGCUCUUGAUAGAACUAGCUUGUCCAAUCUAGGAAAAAAGGACAAAGAAAGCAUAAGGGAAUAUGCUCAAAGAUGGCGAGAAUCAGCUGCUCAAGUCCAUCCUCCACUUCUGGAUAAAGAGAUGGUCACUUUAUUUGCCGACACACUUAAAGCGCCAUAUUAUGAGCAUGUGAUGGGCAGUUCGGCUCAACAAUUCACUGAUGUAGUGGUAGUGUGCGAACGCAUAGAGCAAGGAGUCAAGAGUGGUAGAAUUCCUGCACCCAUCGAGAAAAAAGGCUUUGAAAGGAAGGAGGUCAACCAUAUUGAAGAUGGCUACAAGGGUAGGAAAAACUCAUCCCAAAACUACCACACUCUAUCCCAAAUUGCCAACAUCAAAAAACUUGAGCCCUUUCAAGCCAAAAGCCAAAUUGGAAAUUACCAAAGGGUCCAAGAACAAUUACCUCCAUUACCGCUCCCCCUGAAUGAAAUGUACCAGAAGUUAUUAAGCAUCGGGCAAGUAGCUCCCGAACCUCUGACGCCGGUGCAACCACCUUAUCCCAGCUGGUACAAGCCAGAGCUCACUUGCGAAUACCAUGCUGGUAUUGCUGGACAUAGUAUCCAAACUUGCAACGCCUUCAAAAGAAAACUUUUGCAAUUAAUCAAGGCAGGGUGGAUAGAAUUGGAAGACACUUCUAAUGUGAACACGAACCCUCUACCUAAUCAUGCUUGAAGUGGUAGAUCAGAAAUGCACUAGUGAUGGAAUCUUCGGGAAAUCUAGAAGCACCGACGAUUUAGGUGGGGUGUGAAAGAGGCAGCAUAAAUUUUAAAGGUCUCGGAUCUCGACCAUAGUUUUUGUCCAUAUCGUCAAGGAGUCCUCUACAAGAGUUGUUGUGGGGAAGCUAACCUAAGAGGAGAUUUGCCAAAAUGAAAGGAUGAAGCUUGCCCUAUUAUUGUCUUUUGUUUGAUCAUGUCUGUUUUAACUUGUUUCAGUCUUGUUGGUAACUUGGCUCAUAAUGCAACAAGACUUUCUUUGUCAAAAGAGCCUUCGUGUUAAUAAGAUCAAGUGUUUUCCUGUGUUCAUAACAUGUUUUCAUUUUUGUUGUUGUUUCAUGUAAAUAACACUCUGACCACAAUAUUUACUCACAAAACCACUGCACCAAGAAUCCUUCAGUGUGUUUCCCUUUUCUUCCAAAUUUUUUUUUCGAGAAUUCAAAGUUUAGUACAGAAACAAAAAUCAUUUUGGUGUUUGUUCAAAACUGACGAGUACUGAAAAUUCAAGUGAUUCCUUAGAAAGGUAACCAUACACCAAAAAAAAAACCCAUGAGGUGACUCCAAAGCUGAGUUUUAUUUAAAUGAAUAAUCACUUGGCAUACUCGCAUGAAAGCAAAGCUUACCGAUCCAAAGUGCAUGUGUUUGAGACGAGGAAAGACAAUUUUUUGAUAAUCCGUUCACGAGGCUAAAAUAUAUCAUUUGCAAUCCCCUUUUGAGCCUAAUGCUUUUCUUGAGAUAAAUAACAUUGGUUAGGAUCACACCCCACACUGGGGGGCAAGUGCGAGAGACAUAGCAAAAAAAAAAAAACCUCAAUGUUUGAAAGUGCCCAAGCAACACUGGGAGCAUAAAAGAAAAUUCUCAAUCAUCAAAGGUGCCCAAACAAAACUGGGGGGCAUGAAGAAAAAUCCAAAAUAUCUGAGCUUCAAAAAAUAAUAAUAACUGAUAUGAUGAUGCUCGACCAAGUGAAGAAUGAAGAGAAAGAGCCCAAGCCCGACAAUAGGGGGCAUGAUAGACCAUUUCAAAAAUAAAAAUGAAAAAAGGUUAAAAAACAAGCACAAGUGAUCCUUAGUCUUGAAAUCCCUUAAAACACCUUUUGAGCUUGUAAAUAUCCUUUUUUCUUCAUAACCAACAGCCCAAGCCUACAUUAUGUGCCUAAUCAAGCCCUUUCUGAUCAAAGGCAAGCAAUUUGGAUCGGUAGGCAGUGCUUUCUCAUGCGAACCAAAUCGUUAUUCAUGCAAAUAAAGUGAAUGCUUUGAACACUGAUUCUUUGAAACCCUCAAAUUAAAUCUGAAACUUUUUUGACCAACCAAAUGUCACUUCACAUUUUCAACAAAAGCAAAACAAAGAGUUUUCAUCACUUCUGAAAACCUCUUCAUAGGAAUCACUUGAAUUUCUUCGAAAUGAGUUUGCUUUGAAUCGAUGUUGAAAUGAUUUCUGUGUCUGGAAUAGCUUUGAAAUUCCAAAAAUUCUGCAUGAAAACAACUCCUUGUCGAAAAAACCAAAUCUUCCUUCAUAUAGCCUCAUCCCAAACCCGAAUUAAAUACUUGGGGCAUGAUCAAGCUGGGGGGAAAAUAAAAAUGCAUGGUACGGUUGGCUCUAUUAUUCCCUUCCUAAGGAAAAUGUCGGGCAAAAUUGGCAACCCUUGAGAUAAAGGGGCGGAGGACAAAGACGUAUGAUGAUAUCAAGUCUUUUCUAGAGGUCAAGGUCACAAGAGAUGACUCGAGUAAGCAAGAGCGAAAAAGCCAUCAAAGUCUAUUUGCCAACACUCCAACUUUUGAGAAAAGAAAGACACCAUGAAGAAAUGGGGACCUAUAUUUCUCAGGUAAGUAUACAUGCAUAUUGAUCAUAAUGCAUUGCUUUCAACAUUGUCAGAUCUGUGUUUCCUCAUCACCUUUUGGGUAGUGCGUUUUCUAACCCUACCUCAUUUCGAGUGCGCCUUUGUGCCCUCAUCCCUUAGGUAGUGCGUUUUCUAACCCUACCUCCUUUUGUGUGUGCCUUUGAGCCCUCAUUUCUCAGGUAGUGCGUUUUUUAAUCCUACCUCUUUUCAGUGCGCCUUUGAGCCACCAUCCCUUAGGUAGUGUGUUUUCUAACCCUACCUCCUUUGGAGUGCGCCUUUGAGCCCUCACUUCUCAGGUAGUGCGUUUUCUAACCCUACCUCCUUUCGAGUGCGCCUUUGAGCCCUCACAAACAUUUUUCUGGGUAAGUCACCCAUUACAACGCGACCAACUCUCCAUGUUUUUUUACCUGGGUAGGUCACCCAUUACAAUGAGACCACUCUUCCUUUUUCUACUUGGGCAGGUCGCCCAUGAAAAUAGACCAGGGUAAGCGCGAGUGUGUGGGCUGGUCGCCCCUGAAAAUAGACCACUUUGAGUAUGCUUGGGCAGGUCACCCAUGAAAAUAGACCACGACUAGUGUGAGUGUGUGGGCAGGUCGCCCCUGAAAAUGGACCACUUUGAAUAUGUGUGGCCAGGUCGCCCAUGAAAAUAGACCGGAGUAAGUGUGAGUGUGUGGGCUGGUCGCUCGUGAAAAUGGUGAUCGUUUUCUUCAAAAGGGUCAGGUUGCCCAAGAUAAAGUGAUCGUUUUCUUUUUUUCUUCUUUACAAAACUUACUACGCAAAAUCUUUGCUUCGUAAGCAUUGUAAAGAGGGGGGCAACUGUCAUAACCCAUUUUUGGGUUAUUCCCCAAUUCACAUUUUUUCCUCUCUCUUAAAAAUAUAUAUAUAUAUGUAAUACAAAAAAAUCAAAAAAAUAUUAUCAAAAAAUAUAACAGUGAAAAGAGGAUGCCAGAACGCUCAGAAAAUAGUCAAAAUUUGGUUGGGGAGUUUUAAAAAUACAAAAAUUAAAAUUUGGCAGUAUUUUACUGACUGAUGAUAGCCCUGUUGACAAAGAAAAUUCAAUUUGAGGAAGAAAAGUCCAAAAUUAGAUGUUGGUGGACUCAAUUCAAUUAUAUUGAAGGUUUAAUUGAAUUUAUGGAGGGUUUGAUUAUAAGAAAAAUUGAUUUUGGAGUUAAUUUGGGUUUUAAUUGAAAGAAAUUAAAGUUCUGGGGUCAAAUUAUAAUUUUUGAGAGUUAAUUUGGUCAAAUCAGGAGCUUAAUUGUAUAAAUAUUGAAGUUUGAUGGCCAAUUGGGGACUUAAUUGAAGAAAUCCGAGACCAAGGACCAAAAUGAAAAACACGCGCAAAUUGAAGGAUUGGCUUGAAAUCUGGCGCUUUGGCGCCAGUUUUUUCAUUUAAAUGAAACGGCGCGUUUUAAUCAAAACGACGUUGUUUCAUGCGUUUAAAAAAAAAAGGGGGGGGGACGAAACGGUGUCGUUUUGAGGCGGCACUGUUUCUUCUUCUUCUUCCCCUGGACGUGCAGCAGGGGAAGAAAAAGUUUUAUUUUCUUCCCCUUGGCUCUUCCUCCCCACGUGCUCUAUACAACCAAAACCGGACGCCACUUGCACCUCCUCAUGAUGAGAAAGCAGAGAAGUCGUGCCUUGCAAGCAACGCCACCAUUGGCCACCUCAGCCGGCGCCGCAGCGGUGCAGGAGACGUGCGCCCCAUGCAUGGGCAGCGAUGGGACGAGGCAGGGUCGACCCCGCUCCCCCUGCCCCUAUAAAUACCACCCGAACGCAGGAGAAAAAAAAGAGAAAAAAAACGGCAGCAAACGGGGAGAGAAACCAACCGAGAGAGAGAGAAACCGACCGAGACAGUAGAAACCAAAAAAACCCGGGGAUAUCGACACAGAGACUGAGAGAGACAGUCGGGGAGAAGGAAGAAAAAGGAUAGAAAGGAUAAAACCGGCGGGGAAAGAGGACACCGAUCGGUAUCUCUACACAGCGGAAGCCCCGCUGCUGUCACUGGGUUUCACCGUCACCGCCACCGAGCACAGUCACCAGCACCAUCAUCAGCUCAGCCAUCCAGGAUCAUCACCUCAGGUAAAUUCCCUUCCCCUCCUCACGCCGUUCAUUAGUCAUCUUCCUGCAUGCAGAACGUGCACUGUGCACAUUCUGCAUGAAGGAAGAAAAUAAUUAGCCGGUUACUGUGCAUGCGCACAGUAACCGGCUAAUUAAUUAACUGGUUAUUGUGCUCAUGCACAGUAACCAGUCAUGGUUUUUUCCUUCUCCCACGCGACUGGGCUGAGUCCAGCCCUGUUUUAGGCGGGCUGGAACAUGAGCCCAGCCCACGCGGCUAGGCUGAGUCCAGCCCUGUUUUAGGCGGGCUGGAACAUCCUAGCCCACGCGGCUGGGUUGAGUCCAGCCUUGUGGCUGGGCCUGUAUCCAGUUUAUUCUAUUUAUUAUUUUUUCCUUUUUUGUUCUUGUUUGUUUUUUUUUAUUAUUAUUAUUAUUAUAUAUCUAUGUUUUUUUUAAUUUGUGAUUUUCCCACUGAUUUUUUAUGUAAUUUAGACUAAGAUUGGUCUGUAUUUUUAUAUCAUAAAAAUACAAAUCCGGUAUUAAAAAUACCCGGUUUUCAAAAUAAAAAACUUUUGUUUUCAUGCAUACGGCCAAGUCUCUCAAAGCUAAAAAAUCAUAUUGUAUUUUUAUACAAUAAAGAAAACUUCAACAAAUAUAUAUAUUAUUUUAGCAUGCAUUUUGGCUUUGAUAACCGAUUUAUUAAAGUCAAGAGAACUUUGGCCAAUAUUUCAAAAAAUAAAAAUAAAAAAAAUAUUUUGUUUUGUUUUAAUGUCUGGGAUUACAAAUUUAUACGUAAAACGUAAUCCUGAUAUUAAGAAGGUAGUUUUUUUAUAGACAUUAGACCGGUUAAGUUUCGUCCUAUAAGAUAAGAACCUCCUUACUAAGGAGGGCUUUUCUUGAACCAUAGACGGACCAACAUGAUAAGACCUUAGAUUUUUUAUCAGACAAUAAAACAAUGCAGCUUACCUUAGGUAGGGCGUAUUUGGGGUGCUAAUACCUUCCCUUUACGCAACCAGUCUUCGUACCCAAUCUCUGAGAUCAGUUAGGGUUUCUAGUGAUCAAAAUACUAGGUGGCGACUCCCAUUCCAUUUUUCACCGCUAAGACACAAAGAAUUCCUUGUCUCAUCAUAUUUUCCAGAAUAGAUAGACAUACCACACUUGAUGAUGAUGAUUGAGGGUGGAUGAUCGCCGCGACGCCGCACACGUGCAACAACAUCAUAAAACAACCACCCUUUUCUAUAUGAAUACAUCAUCAAAACUGCCUUCAUUCAACUACACCGCAUUGUACAAACCAGUUCUUUAUUAUAACUCGUUUUACUAUCAUUACAAUCCUUAGAGUUCUCAUGCAUAUGUUGUCCAAAAUAGCAUUUGAAAUGCAUCCCAUUGUUGUUCCCCUAAUAGCUCUCUGCUCAUAUAAUAUGUUGUCAAAAUAGCCUACAAAUUACACUUUGAUACAGCUCAAAACAUAACACAUUUAGUAAUAUUAGUCAUCUUCCCUGUGACUGACUACCCAAUAGAUUCUAAUAUCGUUAUUGUCUAAUACUACUAGUCUAUUAACCCUAAAACACCCUAAAAGAACACAAACAAAUGGGUUUUUCUUUGUUUAGAAAUUUAUUUUCAAGUCAUUUUCAUCUAGAAAACACCAUAAAAACAUCCCUAAAUCAUCCAUUAACUCUAAAACACCCCAAAAUAACACAAAAAAUAAAAAUCAAACUAAUCAAGAAAAUCUUAAUCGAUCCAAUCUACUUUUCAAGCAUUGUUAGAGAAAAUGUCACCACUAUUUAAAAACUCAUCAUUAAAUGAAACUUGUUGAGACUAAGAACAACAACUUUCAUCGUCGAAAAGUGGUCAAACCGACAACUUUCUCUUCUUUUUUUGAAAGAUGCAUGCGUAUAUUAUUUAAACGCCAAAGUCUGGCGGGAGUAGUACAGAAGCUACACAAUAUCUUACUAUAGCAAAAAGCCAUAUAUAGGAUGAAGCGCAGUCUAAGAUAAAUAAAAGCAAAGAAAACCAUAGAAUAUCCAUCCGAAUGAGCUCAAAGCUAAACAUUCCUCUACAAAACAAAACAGAAAUAACUCAAAGACAUAAUGGCAGAAGACACAAGAGUAAGGCCACAGAAAAAUGGUGGAGUCAAAGCCAGGCAACAAAUUCACUUGAUCUUCGCACUCCUUGUUUAGCCAUGCAGUCUGCCAUGCAAUUACUUUCACGAAAGAUAUGGGAGAAGGUGAUUGAACUUGUCGCACCCUCGCGAGCGGAGCGCGGCGUCGCGGCGACCCUCGAUUGAUUUCGGGUGUUGUAACCUAUUUUUGGGUCCCCACAAAAUAUAUAUAAAAAUAUAUAGCCAAAGGAGGUUAGAAAAAUAACAAGAGGCAGAAGCGCUCAGAAAAAGGUUAGAAAAUUGGUCAAGGAGGGUAAAAAUACAAAGAUUGGAUUUUUUUGACAGUAUAUUCUUGAAGGAGGAGAGCCCUGUUGAGAAGGGAAAUUUGAAAUUUGAGGAGAAAAGCCCAAAUUUGGAUGUUUAUGGACUUAAUUGGAUUUUUAAAUGAAUUUAUAGGAGAUUUGAUUGUAAGAAAAAUUGAUUUUUAAGUCAAUUUGGGCUUUAAUUAGAAGAAAUUUAAGUUCUGGGGCCAAAAUAUAUUUUUUAGGAAUUUAUUAGGUCAAAUCAGGGGCCUAAUUGCAUAAAUAUUGAAGUUUAAGGGCCAAUUGGGGACUUAAUUGAGAAAAUCCGAAACCAAGGACCAUAUUGCAAAAGGCGCGUAACUUUGGGGCCGAAGGUGAAGUUAUGUCGGGACUAAAUUGCAUCAAAUCAGAAGUUUUAGGGUCAAUCAGGGAAUAAUAUUGAACGAAAUUGAAAGUCGGAGGACUAAAUUGAAAAUUGGCAAAGAAAUCCCUAUUUUUAUCAAAACGGCACCGUUUUGCACUUAAAAAAAAAAAAAAAAAAGAAAAAAAAAAAAAAAAGAGAAAAGGCAGGAACCAGGCGACGCGUCGCCCGGUACUGUUCACUGUCUUCCCCGCCGAGCUGCCCGAGUGGCCGACUUCCAGGCGUGUUUGCUGCCUCGUUUGGCCCCCAAAUCCGACAAAGCAUGCACCAACAUGUCCACCUGGAACCCAUUUAUCCUGGGGAGUGGUCCGGUCGGGUCAAAAAGGUUUGGAACAGCUUCGUUUUUUGGCCCGAAUCGUGCACCUCGGGCAGUCUGCAAAUUUGGCAGUUCGAGGUGCACACUUUGAACCAACGGUUUGAAUUACUCAAGGCGAAUCAAGGGCUGGGACGUUGUUCCCAUUGAAGACGAGAUUACUCUCUGUCCGGCCCUAUAAAUAGGAUCAAUUUUCAUGCUCAAGGGGUUGGCAAAAGAAGAGCUCAAAGUUGGCACAAAAUAAGCUUUUCUGCCCGGUUUUUCCUGCAAACAGCCUUCCCUUUCUUUUUUUCUCUCCACCGUAGUCCAGCUCCCCUUCACAGACAACACCCACCGUUUCCACAUCUCCCAAGACCAGCACUCAUUUUCCUUCCUUCUCCCACAGCCCGGUCAUCAACAGACAGCCCUCAUUUCCAGCUUCUUUUCCCAAAUCAGAGCAGCCUCCUCUGCAUUCCCCCAUCUCCCUUUCACUCGCCCCUCUCUUUGACAGAACAGGAUCCCCUCACUCUCUCAUUUCCAUCGCCAGGUCUCUCCUCCAUUCGGCCCCAGCAGCAGUGACGUCCCUCUCCAUCCCAGCUGUUCCCUUCCAUCGGCCUCCCUCCCCGGCCAAAUCACAGCAGCCCCAUUUCCCUUCCAGCCGCCAGCCACACCUGGAGAACCCCAUAACAGCAGCCGAGUUCCUCCACCACAGAGCCGUCCCCAUCAUCUCCUCAGCAGCGACAGCCUCCACAGAAGCAAGCCUCCGCCUUCCAGCUUCUUCGCCGGCCAACAACAGUCUUCCUUCCUCCAGCGACGCCCAGCAGCAACCGGAGUAGCAGCUCCUUCCUCAGUUACACCGACAGCUCCAGCCGAGAGCUUUCCUUCUCCUCUGCAGGAAUCGGCUCCUUCUUCUUCUAGCCGGGACCAGUGCAUGCCAGUGAAACCACCAGCCUCCACCGCAGCACCGCCGACAUACCAGCGACGCGCCGCCGCCUCCACGCCAGGUGCUCUUCUCCCCCCUCUCUGCACAUUGUUUGGUUUCGUCUCCUGCAUGCAGAACGAGCAUGCAGGAAGGGGGGGGGAAUAAUUCCCCCCGUUUGUUUUUAAUUAGGCUGGGCCAGAUUGGUUUUGGCCCAGCAAUGUGGUUUCCUCCUGUGGGCCGGACUGAUCCUAGCCCAGCCCUACUGGCUGGGCUGGUUCCGGCCCAUGAUAAAACAGACUUUGUUUGGGGCCGAGAUCGACCCAAUAUCUUUGGGCCCGAGAUCGGCCCAGCCCGGCCCAAUUAUAUAUUAAAUGUUAUGUAUAUUAUAUUGUGGUUGUAUUAUUUAUAUCUGAUAUAUAUAUAGAAAAAUUAAUUAAUUUCCUCGAAAAUUAUUUCAAAAAUAUGUGAGUUUAUGGUAAUUUUAUUACUGUAUUUUGAUCAAUAUCGGUUUGUAUUUUUAUACUGUAAAGAUACAAAUCCGGUAUUAAAAUACCCGGUUUUCGUCAAAACAUAAAAAAUACAUAAUUACAAAAAAUGUUUUGUUUUCAUGCAUACGGCCUAGUCUCUCCAAUAUAUACAUAUAAAUAUUUUAACAUCAUAUUUUUCACACAACAAAGAAAAUUUCAAAACAAUAUAUGUAUUAGCAUGCAUUUUGGCUUUAAUAACCAGUUUAUUCAAGCCAUGAGAACUAGGCCAAUAUUUCAAAAAUUCUAAAAAAAUCUUUUUGUCCUCUUUUAGUAUUUGGGAUUACGAAUUUAUACGUAAGACGUAUUCCUGAUAUAAAAAAUAUGGUUUUUCAUAGACGUUAGAAUGGUUAGGUUUUACCCGAUAAGAUAAGGACCUCCUUAUUGAGGAGGACUUUUUCUUGAACCAUAGACGGACCAACAUACAUAGACAGUUAGAAGGAUUAGGUUUUACCCCUUAAGAUAAGGACCUCCUUAUUGAGGAGAACUUUUCUUGGACCAUAGACGGACCAACAUACAUAUACAUUAGAAGGAUUAGGUUUUACCCGAUAAGAUAAGGACCUCCUUAUUGAGGAGGACUUUUCUUGAACCAUAGAUGGACCAACAACUAGGAAACACAACGAGACCUUGAAUUUUAUCAGACAGAUAAACAAUGCAGCUUACCUUAGGUAGGGCGUAUUUGGGGUGCUAAUACCUUCCCUUUACGCAACCAGUCCCCGUACCUAAUCUCUGAGACCAGUUAGGGUUCCUAGUGACCAAAAUACUAGGUGGCGACUCCCAUUCCAUUUUCCUACCAACAAAAGACUAUUUUCUUGUCUCCCCACAUUUGCCAGAUAGAUACCAUACACACUUCCUAGAUAUUAAAAAGUGGAGUUUUCGCCGCGACGCCGCGCCCCCGCGACAUCGGGGUCUUUUGUUUUUGUGAAUAAAGGAGUCGCCACCUAGUAUUAUGGUCACUAGGAAACCUAACUGGUCUUUCAGAGAUUCUAAAGGCAAGGGACUGGUUGCGUAAAGGGAAGGUAUUAGCACCCCUAGUACGCCCUACCUAAGGUAAGCUGCUUGGUGUUUGGUUUGUCUUAUAAUUGUUAUGGUGUUAGUGUUUUCUAAUCCCAUCAGUUUUCUAGGUUUUGAUUCAAACUAAAAUUAUUAGGGUAGAAAUCCAAGGAAGUUCCAUGUGCUUUAAAAGCUCAUUUUCCCCUUAGUUUUUCAAGAGUUUGCGACUCGUAAAUCGCAAGGAGGAGGGACAAAAAAUUAGAAAUCUAGGGUGCUUUAAAAACCUAUUUUUUGUCUUAGUGUUUUAUACUCUCACAUCUCGUAAACCGUGGAAUAAAAAAUUGAAAUGUCCUCGAUUAUAAUCAAGGCUUCUUUCAAGGAUUUGUGCGGAUUUAUUACUCCCAAUAAUAUUUUGGAUAUUCGUCCUUUAAGGAUUUCUUUAUCCAAACAUUAGCGGUGAAUAAUAGAUGAAUUCCUCCCAAAAUAAGAUUUUUGUAUUUUUUUGGAAUAUUGGCCAAUACCCUUUGGAGUUUUACAAACAUGUUGUAAAAUCCAGAAAUGCAAGAAAAUAAUUUUUGUGUUUAAGAAAUCCAUGCGGAAACACAUUUUUAAAACUUCAAAUAUUUGUUUUUUUAGAGGAAAUUCAAAAAAAGAUGUUAGGGUAUUGGCCGUAUGCAGCACACAAUAAAACAUUUUUUUAUAUUUUUUUAUCAAAACACAAACAUCACGGAAAAUAUUCACCUAUUCUAAAAUUCGCAAGAAGCUUAAAACAAUUAAUCUCAAAUAAACAAGGUUCAGCACACCAAUUUAAAACACAAGUCAGUGUGCACAAAACAUAUAAAAAAACAAAGUCCUGAAGCUAACAAAAAUUACAACAUGAACCGUGACCCCCCUGCAAACUCAAAAAAAGAAAAACAAAGAUGGCUCUUCGAACCCAACCCGGUUACUGGCCCAAACCAGUAACCGGUUCGGCCACUGUUGCAUGCAUAUGCAUGCUACAGUGGCUAGAUAAUUAAAUUUGCAAAAGUGACAAGAGUGCAGGGCGCUUACCUGAUAGCUGACGGGCGAAGAUGAUGCUGCAGUUUCUUGCGCAAAACCGGUCAUCACUGAUUCUGAAGACAAUGACGACCGCUGGUAACUGGUGUUGGUCUCUGUCUAUCUCUUCUUGCCGACGCUUUCUCUGGAGACGACGAAGACGAUGAUGAAGGUGUGAUGUGCUGGCGAAAUGGAUGUUCUUCCCUCUGUGUUUUCUUGCUCCUUCUCUGUUUUCUUGUGAGCUGCUGCUUCGGCUAAUACCUAUGAAAGAAAACGUUGCACCGCUGGAGGAGAAGAAAACUGGAGACAGAAACGAAGGGAUGAAGGCGAUGGCGAGGGCGUGCUGGUUGGUCCCUCUGUGUUUUCUUCUGUUUAUGUUCUUUCCUUCUGCUCGUCCCUGUUGUGCUCUUCUUCGUCCGUUUGUUUCUAUGAUUUUCUUUCCCGUGCUUCCCCUGUUUCUCCCUCUGUAUUUUCUGUUCAUCCUUCCUCUCACUCGCGUCCGUCUUGUCUCUACUGAGAAGAAAUGCAUGGUUGUUGUUGCUAUGGCUGGCAUGCUCACGGUAAGAGAGUGAGGGUUGGUGCUUACGGGUGCUCUCGGUGAGAGGGAGAUUAGUUCGGGAGGAGAUGGUGGUCAUGGUUUGGGGAAGAUGGUGUGGGUGUACAUGGGAUGCUGGUUUGAGUAACAACCGGGGCUGCUGAGGGAGGCUGGGAUGAUUGGAGAUGACGGGUCCGGCUAAAAAUGGGGAGGUGAGUAGCGGCUUCUGUAAAGAUAAAUUUAGGUUUAGGGUUUUGUAUUACCCUUAAUUUUUUUUUUUGUCUUCAAACUGCUCCCUUUUGAAUUUUCUUCCCCCUUUGCAUAUGGCUAGAUGUUUACUUAUAUAGAAAAUCUCUACACGUGCUAUUUAAGGAAAUAUUGCAAUAAUUAUUGUAGAGAUUGUCUUCUAUAACCAGCACCAACAAAUCCUAUAGAUAUGGUAUUUUAUAUUGCAAUGAUUAUUUUCCAUAACCAGCACGAAUCAAAUCAUAUAUCUAUGGUAUUUUAUUUUGCAGUAAUUAUAUAUGAUUCAAUAAUUAUCUCCUUGACAUAUUGCUUCCUUGAUAUUAGCCAUGAUGCUCUAUGUUAUCGCCACAUGUAAACCCUUAUUUUUUAUUUCUAUUUUUAUUUUAUUUUUUUUUAUUUUUGAAAAAUUAUUAAAACAUGGGUCAAAAUUUGGGUAGCAACAGAACUGACAACUUUCUCUUUCCUUAUCAUUUUCCAAUGAGUCUCUCUCAUCUCUCUAACUCAAGGUUGAGAAUGAGGAAAAUAUAAUUUUAGACUAAAAUAAAAAUUCUAAAAUUUUUGAAAUUUAUUAUGUAUUUUUUUUAUGUUUUACAUUUCACUCCUCUCACUUUUAAUUGGUCUUUGUUUUAUCAAAAUUUCAAACCAUCAUCAUAUUUAAUCAGGCUAUAAAAAGAAUCAAUGGAAAAAACAAAUUUUGAAGACAGAAAUUAAAAAAAAAAAAAAAGGGACGGAAACAAAAAAAGAAGUAGUUUUUUUAGUUAAAGCUGAUGGUUUCUAGCCAACCAAAAAAAAAAAAAAGCAAUGAGUGUUGGGGUGCCACGUGUAAGGAGCCCAUUAAGUAUGUGGUGGGUGAAGUCAGCUAGAGCUAAGCAUCCAUUUUUGGUGGGGUUUUUCUGGUUAGAUUUGCCUGUUGGAGGAUCGUCGCAUGGGAUUAUAUUUGGUUGUAAAGGAAAGUGUCAAUUUAGGAGCCACCAACCAUCGACAAGUUAGUGAAAAUGGUGUCAAGUGCCGCACCCACCACCUCCUUCGAUCAAUCACCUCAUCAUCCAUGUAAUUAACCCUCUUUUGAUCUAUCACUUUUACGUUACUAAACACUUCCACUUCUAUUAGACGUGUGGAAGAUCUAUCACUUUUACGUUACUAAACACUUCCACUUCUAUUAGACGUGUGGAAUGAUUCGAUUUCUAGUUUUUUUAUUUGUGAAUCAAAUUAAGACUUGAAGCUAGUAGAUGGAUGUGUCUAAUCAACUUUUUUGGAUCCAAUUUCAUGAAAAUUUUUAUCUCAAAACAUCAUAGAAAUAAGUUGUAUAUCUUAAAGGAUAUCUAAUAAAAUCUUAAAAGUUGGGAGUUAAAGAUAUAAUUUAUAUUAUAUUUUAAUAUAUUUUUUAAUUAAAAAUUAUUUUAGUUUAAAAUUUACAAAAGAUUAUAUUAUCUUAUACAUAAAAAAAUAAUUCAUAACUGUUUGGUUAUUAUGUAAAAAAUUUAAACUUUUAAAAUUAUAUAAAUUCUUGCUCUUUUUUUAAUAACCUUUCGGAUUGUGGUGUUUCGUGGGUAAAUAAAACAUGAUGAAAUAUAAUAAGAAAGAAUUUGGCUAGGAAAAAUACAAAGAUGACAUAUCAAAUCUAUUUAUUUAAUUGAACAAAACUAUUUUUCUUUCCAUCUCACAUGUAUAUCAAACAAUGAAGGAUAAAUUAGAAAGUGGACUUGUCACUAAUCAAAUGUAUAUAUUAUGAUCUUUAUUUUCUAAGAUGAUAUAUUAGGAUUUUUAUUAUUAUUAUCGUGGGUGUUCGGGUUAGCUUGUGUGUACCUCGACUAAUCUCACGGAUUUUAAAAUUAACGAUCAUGUAAGCUUUCAAUAAUCCUGAGAUUUGUAGAAUUCGAACUGAUAAUAUCUAAAAAAAAAUCUAAAAUCUAACUAAUUAAAUUAUACUUUUUAUAAUUAAUAUAUUUGGAGUUUUGAAUAACUAAAAGAGAUAAAAGAGGUGUUGUUUUCAUUUUUAUUUUCAAAUCUAAGAAAAAGGGACAGGUCAUCUUGGUUGGUGUGAAGGGAAUAAAUUAAUUAAAAGCUUAAUUGUCAUAAUUAUGAACAUAAAGUACUUCCUAAAUUUUGGGUGAAUAGUCAUAUGAUAGAAAACGUUAGGAGCCACACGCGAUCAUGUAGUGGCUAAGGCAUCAAGGUGAUAGAUUCCUUUCCCUUGAUUGUGUUCACACUUGUGCCUUUAAACCUAAAGAUUCUAUAUCAAACCGUGUUCACACUUAAUCCACCUAAAGAACCGCUUUUAGCUUCGGCUUGGUGGCGGGCUUAGCACCAUCCAUUAGCCGGAUGGUCUUAUCAUCACAUGAGAAACAUCAUUCAAACCAAAAUUAUUAAGGACAUGUUUGGUGCACUAGUGCACUGGUUUUUUUUUAUAUAUAAAAUUUUGAAUUAAUUUUGUUUUAAAUUAUUUUUUUAUAUUUUUAUAUUAUUUUAAUAUGUUAAUAUCAAAAAUAAAUUUUAAAAAAUAAAAAAUAUUAUUUUAAUGCAUUUUAAACGAAAAGUACUUUGAAAAAUAAUAUUCACCACUCUACCACUUUCUCAAAUAGAUUUUAAGAUUUUUUUUUGUUCAAGUAAGCAUUUUGAAAAAAAUAUUAUUUUAAUAUAUUUUAACCUCUAUCUCUUUGAAAUGUAUUAGAAUAUUUUUUUUUAUAUUUAGCAUAUAUAUCAAAAUUAUUGAAAAGUACAAAACAAUAUUAAUUUAUAUAUUUUUAAAAUAAAUAUGCUUUUGAAAUAUAACUAAAUAUAGNNNNNNNNNNNNNNNNNNNNNNNNNNNNNNNNNNNNNNNNNNNNNNNNNNNNNNNNNNNNNNNNNNNNNNNNNNNNNNNNNNNNNNNNNNNNNNNNNNNNAAAAAUGUAUGAGCACAUAUGCAUGCAUAUAUAAAGAGAUAAAAAAAAACAAUAAUUAGUUGAAACACGCACCUUGAUAGAGACAUAAACGAAUGAUUAUGAAUGGAAGGUUCACGAUCACUUAGACACUCGCGCACCUUUCUAUCGAUCGAUUCCAACCGCAAAUAUAAUUUUUCCAAGGAGUUAUGUAUGUGAUGCUACUAUAUAGUUAUAUAUGGUCUCUCAAGGAUUUUUUUUUUUUUUUUUUUAAUGAUGAUCGGGGAAAAAAACUAAACACUUGAAAAGCAAAUAUAAUUGAUUAAUUGAAUGAAAAAUCCUAUGUGCCACCUCCAAGGAUCAAAUCUAAGCUAGCAUCUAUAAGUAAUCUGUUUAUGAAUAUCCCUUUAUCACACUCAAGGAAUAAGGACUAUGAUUUACCCAUAUAGAAGAAAAAGAGACAUUCCUUAUUUCAAAUUUGAUUUACUUAUGAAAUAAGACUGUUACAAUGUGAAUCCAAUUUCUAUCCCAUUGUUACAAAAGCUUCUUGUGAUGAUUUUGAGGGUGUAAAUUCCAUUGAUGGAAGGAAUUCUAUGUCUUGAAGAGGAGCUUUGUGGACACUGUUGAAAACUUUCUUUGUAUUUUCUUCAAGGUUUCUCAAAGUCACCGUCUUCUUUGCCAGUGCCUUCCUUAACUUGAAUUUUUGUAUCCAAUUUGGACACCAAGUAAAGAAUUUGCCAUGUUUUUCUAUUUCAUUUUCAAAACAAUUCACAGCUUCAAUUUCGUUGUUCGCAUCUUCCAGCCAUUUGCUGACAUCUUUCUCAAUUUCUUCAGCAUUCCUUUCAGCAGCUUUGACAUCAUUUUGUAUACGAUCUAGUGCGAAAGCCAGGAUCUGCUUUUGUUUAUUGAAUUCGACAAAAAAAUCGUUGAAACAGAACGUGUAACGAAACUUCCUUAUUGCUGGUUCCAGCAAGAGUUCUGCUAUCUUAGAUAUAAUGGAUUCACCAACAUUUUCGAUGGCCAUUUUCUGCCGGUCUGAAAAUCAGAGACAUAAGGAUAACGACUGUGAGAGUGAGUCAUUACAAGUAAAAUAGGCAUUGAGAGAAUGAGAAUGAAAAUUUUAUUACCUUAAUUUGCGAAAAUAUGUGCGAAACUCAUUGGUAUAAAUAUAGCGAGGAACGAAACGAGAAGUCCUUUAGCUCUAUAUGAACCCAUCUUUGAAAGCAAGAAGGGAAGGUAUAAAUAUAGCAAUAAAAAGAUAGAAAUAUACUUUAUUUAUUUUUGGAAAAAUUACCCUAGUAUUUUAUAGUUUAAUUGAAGUUAUAUUUGCUUACCGAGUUAGAAAAAAUAUCUUCUAUAUCCUAAACUUUUAAGCGCUUGUAAUAAUUUACAUUCUAUAUCUAGCAUGAAAAAAAAAAAUCAACAAAAAUUAUCUGAUUAUUUAUAAAUUUGUUAACAGUUUUCAUUUAAUGUCCAAGAAGAUCAUGUUGUGUUAAAAUAACAAAAAUACCAUAAAAACACAAAUUUGGAUCUAUACAUUAACACAAAAAGAAAAAUAUCACCAUCCAGUUAAGUUAAAUAUCAAAUUUAUUGAACUGAAACUUGUGAGGAAUAUAUUCCAUAUUCUGGAGAAUAUACGGAUGAGUCAAAGUCGCUGAAUCAAAAUUCAUGCUUUAGAGAGUUUUGAAUGCUUUACAGGACCAGUGAAAUAUUGAAGUGAGGAGGGUUCAUAUCGAUUCCAUAAAGUUAAAAAACAGAUCAACUUUUCUUACCCUACUCAUAAACAACGUUGGCAAAUUUACAGCAGAUCCCAUAGAAAUAACAUUCUUACACCCCAACAAGUCAGAUCCCAUUCUUACACACCAGUUGCUGAGUUGCUGGAGCCAAAUUCGGGUAACAAAUUAUCAUAACCAAAUGAUCCAUUUCGGCUCGGAGGCUUCGGUUUUGUACCAGUCAUCAACUGGUGCUCUUUGCUUUGCAGCCUUCGAGGAAGAAGUAAAAGCCUACAAAAAUAUCAUCAUCAUUAUUAACAGAUGAACUAGACCCGUUUAACCCACCAAAAUAUAUCAUCAUUAAAAGAUGAUUUCGCACUCGUAUUUUUUAGUACUGGAAAACACAAAACCAUAACCGAAAUCAAACCCAGUGCUAUUUUGUUUUUAAUUCUUUUGAAAAACAUCAAAAAUGUCAAAAUCAUCAUCAAAAUUCUAUAAUUUUGAAUUGCUAAAGAGAGUUUCGUGAUAAUCCAUGAAUGACCUAUCAAAAGAAUUGGAAUUGUAGGUUAAUUUAGAAGAAUAUGAGGAGGGUUUCUGGUUUGAUGAAGGGAAAUUCAAAUAACUAAACUGGCUAUAUGUUGAUGAAACAUGCAACAGAUUCCACCACCCAGCAGACAACAACAUUGAGAACAAAUCCGUGUGAGAAAUCAAUUUUAAUAGUAAUUUUAUUUUUUAAUUUGAGAGAAAUCACAAAUUCUUCACUGUUUAUUACUGAAAAAAAAGAGAGGGGGGAAGAAAUGAUGUCUUCAGAUGUUUCUGAAUUAUAGGAUGCUAGGGUAAUUUUUUUAUAUAUAAAUAGAAGAUAGUGUUAAAAAAUCAAAGGGAGCUUUUACAAGAAUACUAUUAUCUUUUUUCUUUUCUCAAAAUCAAUAAAAAGAAUUUCACUGAGAGAAAAAUAGUAUAUCAUCAAUCUAAUGACUGCAUUUAUCUUUAGAAUGUUCCAAAGGAACAACUUUAUGUUAAGAAGAGGAGAAAUAUUAUAAUAAAAUAAUUUUUAUUGAUUCAAACUAGUGUUAUAGACUCUUGUGAGUAAAAGUGUCAAUUCUCAUAAAACAAAUUGCAAUUUGAUGACAUAAUUAAGGUGGUAAGACUAAUACAGAGACACUAACAAACAAAUAAAAAUAAUAAUUUGUACAAAUACUCACCUAGCGAAGAGAGGAACGGAUAAAAGGUUCACCACGGUCAAUUUUUUUUCUUUUUUUUGGUUUAUUAUUAUUUUUUUUUUUGAAAAUGAUGAAUAAUGGGAAAAAAAAGAAGAAGAAAAACUUGCAAAGAAGCACUUAUAAUGGAACAAGGUUAUGAUGACAAUCCCUGUAUCACACUCUCAAAUAAUAUAAUAUAUCCAUUAUAUUUUGCAUUAUAUAUAUAAACUAAAAGAGUUAGGCUUUUUGAUGGCAUCCAAGUGUAGUUGCUUUUUUCAUCCCGCUUUUUUUGUUUUAUUUUAUUUCAAUCAUUCAAUUUUGUUUCUGCUAUUUUAUCAUGCUUCGAGUUGUCUUUUUCAAUUUGAUUUGGUGCCAGCUUGGGAAUCACCAUUUUAAUUGUGGUUGUGAUUUCUAAUUGUUUGAUAGUAUUUCAAAAGCAGAUAUUAUAGCCUCUUCUAUAUGUUAUUUUUAGAAGUUACAAUUUAUAGCUUUUCAAAAGCCAUAAUUGUCUGUUUGUUUCUGCGUUUAAAAAGCGUUUUUAAAAAAAAUUAAAUUUUUUUAAUUUUUUAUUAACUUUAAAUUAAUAUGUUUUUAGUAUUUUCAAAUCAUUUUGAUGUGCUGAUGUCAAAAAUAAUUUUAAAAAAAUAAAAAAAACAUCAUUGACAUGCAUUUUAGCAUGAAAAGUUAUUUGAAAAACAACCGCAACCACAUUGUCAAAUUUCCAAAUAGAUUCUUGAUAGAGGGUUGUUUUGAUCUUGAGUGUUGUGCUUGCAAAGGAAUUACAAUUACUUUACACAUUAUAAUUAUAAAUUACUGCUUAAAACAAUUAAGAGAAAGGACCAAAAAUAUAGUGUGAGCAAAUGAAAGGAUAAUUUUAGAUUUUAUUGUGACAUAGAGAUUAGGUAAUUCAUCAAAGUUGGUAAUAAUAUACUGUGAGCAAAGGAACCUGCUCGAAAAAACCAUUCAACAUGAGAUUGCUCUGCUAGGAAAACAUGAUAUCAGUAUCAAACUUUUGAACAAAUAGUACAGCAUCAAGUCUCAGUCAUCUUGAAAUAUGUCGACAACAAGUCACAUAAGCAUAUACAAUAGAAACAGAGCAUCGAACUGACAGACAAAACAUAAUGAUACCCUUAUUAACACAGAAAACUUACUGAUAGAUUAGUCGAUAUCUUCUUUUCGGGGUUCUAUGGUAAAUAAGACUGUUACAAUGUGAAGCCAAUCUCUAUCCCGUUCCCAAUGACACAGUAGGAAUUACUUCCCACCAAUCAAAAACAUAUCCGCAGCACCACAGCUCAAAGACAUGAAUCUCCGUGAAAUCGCUAUUGAGGAGUUGAUCAUGGAACAACCAACCAACCUUGCCUGAAGCAAACAUGAAGAACAAAGACCAUCCAUGCAUAUUUAAUUCACCCAUUAAAAGUUGAAGGAUAAGGACAGAAGAUAAAUAAUCGUAGCCAUGUUACCUAGUCAGGGCAAGGAUGAAUUAUUAGAGCACGUUUCUCAAAUCCCAAUCCCAAACUAAUCAUUUCUCUUCAUUUUGUUGUGCUCAGCGAAGGAACUACCUAAGCUUACUGAAAGUAUUUAAGUGAAGAAAGAAAGUAGGAAGAAGGUUAAAGACAGCAAACAGAUGUGUACUGUUUUAUUUGAACUGAAAAGAAUAGCUUCCAACCAUUCUCCACGUUUCGCUUUUCUUCAAGUAUUUUCACCAAAAUAAAGCUUCAACCUUUAAAUUUUUGCUUAUAAAGUCGAGAUCCAAGGGAUUAUUUAAGAUUUUAUGGGAAGCAUUUCACAUAUUUUAUGUUUUUUUUUUUUGAAAUAUUGUUAUAGACAUAGAAUCAACAAGAUUAUGUGACAUUCUAUAUUGAUUUUGUGAUAUUUUAAUCACUAAAAAUAUGGGUUUCAGAAAAAUAAAAACCACAUAAAAAAUUAAAAAUUUUCAAACCAACCCAAUCCAACAUAUUGAUCAGUUUUGGUUUGGUUUGGUUUGGUUCAGAUAUUUUUUAGCUGAAACAAUUAAUAACCAUUUUCAAAAGGUAACUAUUGACAAGCCUUUCACCGAAACCAUGCUCAUUUAUGCUGAAUCAAUCCAAAUCAUGUUCAGGUUGCUAACUCAAACUAACACAAUCCAAAAUUGAAUGCACACAGACUCUGGGUUGUUUUAGUUUAUUGAUUUUUAGAAAUGUCAAACUGAAACCGAACCGAAAUAAAUGAAUAUUUCUAAUUAAGACGCCCAAAAUACUGAAAAAAUGAUUGGUUUUGUUUAGUUUAGUUUGGUUAUAGGAGAUACCCUUGACAAUCUGCUUUUUCACUCGACCUCAAACAAUAAGCACUAUUAUUAUGUCUUUAAGUGAAUUACUAUAAAGUAUAAAAAUAUAUGUGGAUAAUUGAAAAUUUGCUUAGAGUUGCUAAUAAUUCACAACAGCAACAACCAACACGACCAGGUAAUGCUUGGGAAUGGGAUCAUGUAAUGCCCGGGAGUGGGCCUUGGUGCACAAUCAUGAUUGUAACCAUGAUUUAAAAUCAUUUCCACACCAUCCAAGACAAUUGGUAUUGGAUUGCUAGCAACAAUUCAGUUUAUAAUAAUAAUAAUAAUAAUAAUGUUGAUUCUUUUAUCUCCUACUUAAUGCAAGUGUCCAUCGUGUGCUGAAAUUGAUUGUUUACCUCGUAUUUCUUUUAAAGGUAGAGAUUUCUUGGUGGACAAUGGGAAAAAGUAAUCGUGUGGUUAUUUUCCAUAAGAGUCAUUCGAGUAAAUCUCACGGUCCUAACUAUCAACCUCUAAGUAGUCAUCUCCCUCAUCCUAACUUUUUAUUUCCUAAUAAAAUCUCACGGUUUUCCAUUAUGUUCAAUGGAAAAGUUGACCUUGCAAAUGGUGCUCUAAGGAACCAAGUCAUCCUAGAACUAAUCAUCCACCUAAUCUCAUCAACUCCUUGUUGCACAAACAGCUUGUCUCAUUUAAAGGGGAUUUUAAUUAUGAACAAACACCAACUCCUUGUUGCUCAUUUAAACACAGUUUUGCAUUACCUAGAACUGACAAGGCCUAAUAUCUGUAAAGGAUUAUACUGGUCAAUUUGGAUAGCGCGCAACAAUAUGAUCUUCGACUCCAAAACUCCAGACUGGGAUGUGAUUUUUGACCUCACCUUUCAUCGGUUGGCCUUUUGGUUGAAGUUCUCUGUUAAAAAUUUCAGUUACAAAAGUUCCGAUCUUUAUAGAAAUCCUGAAUGUAUAAUGAACUGGACUAACUAGUCGGGGUUGUAAAUUCCUCGCUCUCUUUAUGAUUUAAUUCCCCCCUGUAAUCUUUCUUUUUUGCAGCCCUCAUCUUCUUAAUGGGGUAGCCUAUUUAUAAUAUACUCGAUUACUAUAAAAAAAAAGAACUGACAAGGCCUAAAAUCCCAGACAUAGAAUUUUGUUUUAAAGGAACUUCAGGACUUCUAUAUAGGAUGCUUGACCUCAUUAAAGACAAACUGAAGACAUCCAUAACAUAAAUUAUCUUCCUUCAUUAUAGAGGUUCUGAAUGUUUUUCCUAAAUCUCAUGAUAUGGCAUUCAACACAUCAAACUUCCAACUUCGCAUUCUUAUGCAAACUACAACUGCAGAAGGCUCGUACAUGUAGGGGAGAGGUAGGAAGAGCUGCAACAGCUGUCACAUCUAUUGUUAUGCUGUUCAGAGUUUCUAUCUCAUCAUCCAACCUGCCAAAAAUAUAAAAGAUCAUGUGCAGGAAUUUGAUCUCAAAGGGAUGGUUGUUCUAUCCACAAAAUUAGCUAACAUAUGACUAUUUUAUUCAACUACCAUUUCAGGAUAUGAGUUCUCCUAGCCACACUCAAAAGAGUUCCUAUUCCCUAGCCGCUAUAUGAACAAAGCACCUAAAAAAUUAAUCACCUACCUAAUCUAAUUCAGGAAAAUUUAGUCAAAAUCUCCUACAAUGAAACGAGUUAUUUCAAUGCAUUGACAGGAAAUUCAGGUAAACACACACACACACCUGAUCAUAAAUUUCCUCAAGAAAUUCUGAAUUGUAACAUUGGUAAACAAAGAGUGACAAUAUCAUCACAUUAAAAAUGCAUUUCACUCAAAACAAAUAAUAGCUCAAGAAAACAAAAUUGCAAGAAGCCAAUAGAGAAUAAAGUAAGCAGUCCAUAAACAAGAGACAGAGAGACAUUGUUCCAAUAGAGAAAAGUUAUUAAAACCCAACAACUAAAACUGAGAAAGAAUCAAACCAGUGAGUAACUAAUCCUUUUAAAGCAUUCCAAGAAUGGCAACCAAAUGUAACAUAAUCAACCUGCAAAAACAAACACAAAAAGAAUUAGAAGAAGAAACCCCAUUAGUUAAUAAGUUAAAACAGCAGCAAAAAGACUCAAAUUCUAGCUAUUUGGACUUGAGAAAAAGCACUGAACCCUCUGUGAAAAUGCCAUGAAAGGGGUGCUAAGAAACCAGGAAAAUAAAAACUUUUAAAAUGGUGUUUUUACAAAGCAAGAAAGACGCUAGGAAGCAAGCAAGCAAGCCAGCCUACCUCACGAACUCUGUUUGUUAAUUGUUAUUUUCUCCUUAGAAGUGAAAACAAAAAAAGAAAAAAAACACAGAGCACCCAGAAAAUCUAGUCAGAAAUAUUUUAUGUUGUUGUCUUGGAGAGACGCAGAUACCGAGGACCAGUUGUGGGGCUACCAUUGGUGAACUAGCAAGUGUGUGAAAUAACGCAUAUUACAGUGCGCAAUGAUGGAGUGAGUCUGGGUGGACAAACUUUUGGUGGUACACGUGGUGCCUAAUGAUUUGACGGCUAUGGAGAGAAGUUACAUGAGGGAAAUAAGAUGGAAAAAGUGGCCUCUCUAGAUUUUGGAAAUGUUCUCCGAAGAAAGUGUUGUAACCCAAUUUUGGAUUUACCAAGAUUUUUUCAAAUGUUAUUUUAUUUCUAUUAUUAUUUAUAAAAAUCCAAAAAAAUUAAGAAAAAGGAAAAUUCAAAAAUAUAUUUUUCUCGAGUCAACCGCAUCUUUCCAUAAGAACCGAUUCCACCGGGUCAAUACAGGUCAAACCAUGUCGGCCAAGUAAAAAAUGAGUUUUCGAGUCAAAACCGCCAUUUUCGGUCAAAACCGAGUCCACCGAGUCAAUACGGGUCAAAACAUGUCAACCAGGGUAAAAAAUGAGUUUCAAGCCGUUUCGGGUCAAAACCGUCAUUUUCUGUCAAAACCGAGUCCAUCGAGUCAAGACGGGUCAAACCAUGUCGACCAGGGUAAAAAAUGAGUUUCAGGCCGUUUUCGGGUCAAAACCGUCAUUUUCGGUCAAAACCGAGUCCACCGGGUCAAUACGGGUCAAACCAUGUCGACCAGGGUAAAAAAUGAGUUUCAGGUCAUUUUGGGUCAAAACUGUUAUUUUCGGUCAUUAAAAUUGAUUUUUAGCGGUUGAUUCAGGCUUUUUCUAAUACUGAUUUGAAUUUUUAACUUUACCUAUAUAAAUAUUUAUUAUUAUACAUAAUAAAAACAAAAGUAAUACAAUUUGUCAGCGGGCAGUUGCGCCGAAAGCAGGUGAUCCAUUUUUUCUUUAAAGCAGAUCGAUGGAUGAUUUUGAUGUCCCCUCUCAUUGGCUAUAAAUAGCGAGUGACAGUACGCUAGAAGAGGAGAAAAAAGAGGAAAAGAAAAAAAAAGAAGAAAAAAGAAAAAAAUAAAGAAAAGAAUUGCAAACACUAUUCACGUUUUUUUACUAUUUCUUCAUGCGGGUAAGAUAUUGAUUUUUAUUAAAAACAAUAUGGAAAAUACCAAAUAUAUCCUAACCGUUAGAUCUAAUAGUGUUUAGAACUGAACCGUUGAUUUAAUAGGAUACAAUAGGGCUGACCACACCAGAUUAAAACCCAAACACAUCUCAGCCCUUGAAAUAAUCUAAGCUUUGAUCCCGUUGCGCCACGUCAUCCGGUGUACCGAGAUUUCGGUGCACCGCGUCGCACCCGAUCCCACCUCUGUUCAUCCGGACCGUCCGAUCAACCUGCAGAUCAAGCCAAUCACAGUCGCACGAUCUUUUCAUCAGAAAUCCAACGGAUCACAGGCUUCAGCUGCACCGGUGUACCGUGCUAGCGUUUGCACCGUAGUAUAAUCCAGAGCAUCUCUCUCCUCUCGCCGGCGACUCCCUCUCUCUCCUCCGAUCUCCCAUCUCCCGCCAUCGAAAGCUUCCAAACCACCACAGAAAGGUCGUUAUCAUCAUAUAAAGCAAAACCCCGGCUGGUUUCAGCGUUUUCUCCGCCCCAUUUAGCCGGAAAAGGGCCGCGAUCGUCGGCCGCCACCGAAGCUUCAAGUCGUCGAUUAUCGCUCAUCAGCCAUCAACGACCGUCAAGACCACCACCAUAAGAAUCCUCGACAUCAGAUCUACCAGGAUCGACCAUCGGUUGGCCAGAAAUCUCGCCGGAAAAUCUCCCCGCCGCCAACAGUAGCCGCGCGUGUGCCACACGCGCCGCCAGUGGCAUUUUCGUAAUUUUCAGAGAAAUUCGAGGGUAUUUCAGUAUUUUACCUAUACAGUGACACUCAAGUAAUUUUUUGGGUUUCUGCUGGUAUUUUUGAUAUUUUUUUCAUAUAUAAAUGCUUGUAAAUUUUCUUGCAUGUUGUAAAAAAAUACAAAAACCAAAGUCGACACGUCUCUUUUUUUUAAAAGGACCGAUGUCAAAAAUGUAAAUACCAAAUAUGGCUUAUGUCCAUUAUUUGUUUGGUAACCCAGACGUAAUUCUCCUUUUUAGGGUUGAAACGUCAUAUUUUAGACAAGUCUCCUAAUUUUUAGGGACUGAUGUCAUUUUUAACGCGUCUCCUAUUUUUAGGGACCGACGUUAACCAUUUUUUUAAAAAACAAAUUACCAAUAAACCCAAAAUAUAAUGGAUUAUAUCCAUUAUUUCUUUUGGUAACCCAGACGUAACUCUCCUUUUUAGGGAUAAACGUCAGUAAUUCAGACGAGUCUCCUAAUUUUUAGGGACUGAUGUCAUUUUUAACGUGUCUCCUAUUUUUAGGGACCGACGUUAAUAAUUAAAAAAAUUUUACAAAUAAGCCCAAAAUAUAAUCGCAUUUGAAUCAAAUAAAAAACACACAAGUAAGGGUAACCUUUCUUUUGAAAGGAUGUUUUAAGGGUGGUGUCUACCUUCCCUUAAUCAUAACUAACCCCGUAUCCAAAUCUCUGGGACCAGUGUAUAAUUUGGGAUUUCUAGUUCCCUCAAAUUACUAGAUGGCGACUCCAAUAAAAUCUUUGUUUUCCCCCAAUCGAGAAAAAAACCUUUUUUGUUAAAUAAACAAAAAAACAAAAAAGCGGGAGCCGUCGCCCGACGUCGUGUAUCGACAGAAUGGCGACUCCACUGGGGACUUUAGGGUUGAGCCAACUGCUUGUGUUUGCUUUUCAUUUGCUCUUUCUUAUUGCUAUUUAUUUUUGGGCAUUUAUUUUAUUUGCAUUAUUUAUUUUAUGCAAUAUCUACUGUGAUUCUUUUCAAUUUUUCAUAUCGUCACAUGCAUACAUGUUAUUUAUGUGUAUUCACACACUUCACGGUGAACCCAUAAAAGCUCUGGACCCGAGCUCGUCCUGUUUAAGGUUAGAAAAGAGAGAUUCAAGUGGCAAGUGUGACUUAUGUCCAUUGAUGCUCAUUUGGACUUUCGCUUGGAUUGUAACUCACCCUAUGCAACUAGUAUUGUGGAGUUUUUCUCCCCUACUCAUGUUGUAUAAGGUUAAGAGGCCGAUUACUUCACGAGUAAUUCGGGCAAUCUAAGAACCAAAAAAUAUCUUUAAGGAUAGACUAAACUGAGCCAAACCUUAUGAGCUAGAUCCUAUCAAGUAGGAUAUACCCAUUAGGACACGAACAAAUGUCAAUGCAUGAACAUACAUGUUCAUAUACAUUUCAUGUGCUCAUUAAAUCUCCACCGAUCCUUACAGGAAGUGUGAGAUGGAAAAAUCCAUUACUAUUGAGGAAUUUUUGACCAGAUCAGAAUUGAGCCAGCAUGAUGAAGGGGAUUGUUUGCCAUCAGAAUAUAAGUCUCAGUUGCCAGAGCAUGUUAAAUUAGAUGACAGACCACUUGGUAUAGGACAACUGCUAGGCUGCUGGGAAAAGUUAUCCUCUCAUGAUCAAAUUAUUUUUCAGAAACAAUAUGGGGAUCUAUCACAUUUACUGAAAAUUAGGGUCCAACAUGCUUGUUUUCAGGCCAUGAUAGGGUUUUGGGAUCCAGAAUAUCGAUGCUUCACUUUUGAUACUAUGGAUAUGACUCCUACUAUUGAGGAGUAUGAAUCCCUGCUAAAUUGGCCAAAGUCAGAAAAGGUGUACUUUUACACACCUAUAGAGCAUGCACUUUCUAACUUUGCUUGGAUUACCCAGACAGACUGUCAACUAGCAAAAUCACAUGCUACUAAGCAAAUAGCCAGGGCUGGUUUUGGAACGUAUUAGAAGUCAUAUUCAAGAGGAGAUUACAUGAUGAAAGCAAUGAGAUUUGAUUGAGAAUUUUGGCCUUAGGCAUAUAUGGUUUGGUUCUUUUCCCAUCUGCUGAGGGAAUGAUCGAUUUUGAGGUUGUUAAUGUAUUUAAAAAUGUGGUGACCCUUAAAAUUAACGGCUACAUCAAUAUUGGCAGAAACUUUCUCAUCCUUGAAUUAUUGUAGAAAAGCCAGAAUGGGUCGUUUAAGAUGUUGUUUGCAAUUAUUGUUUGUCUGGACUAUGAGUCAAAUGAGUGAGGGGAAGAUUUCAGGUUUGGUUGGCACCUCAUGACAUCUUUAUUCUCAGCUGGAGAAUUUUGCUGAAAAACACUUGCAUGAAGUAGGAAGAACCACAUGGGAAUCAAUGUUUCUAAGUCUAANNNNNNNNNNNNNNNNNNNNNNNNNNNNNNNNNNNNNNNNNNNNNNNNNNNNNNNNNNNNNNNNNNNNNNNNNNNNNNNNNNNNNNNNNNNNNNNNNNNNNNNNNNNNNNNNNNNNNNNNNNNNNNNNNNNNNNNNNNNNNNNNNNNNNNNNNNNNNNNNNNNNNNNNNNNNNNNNNNNNNNNNNNNNNNNNNNNNNNNNNNNNNNNNNNNNNNNNNNNNNNNNNNNNNNNNNNNNNNNNNNNNNNNNNNNNNNNNNNNNNNNNNNNNNNNNNNNNNNNNNNNNNNNNNNNNNNNNNNNNNNNNNNNNNNNNNNNNNNNNNNNNNNNNNNNNNNNNNNNNNNNNNNNNNNNNNNNNNNNNNNNNNNNNNNNNNNNNNNNNNNNNNNNNNNNNNNNNNNNNNNNNNNNNNNNNNNNNNNNNNNNNNNNNNNNNNNNNNNNNNNNNNNNNNNNUGUGGGAUCUAACAUGAGCAGUUAUUCCAAGGACUACCGAACUGGCAACAUUUUAUGAAGAUUUCAAGACCUCAAAGAAAUUAUUGGAGUCAGUGAAGAAGGCAUGGAAACAUCAUGGUAGGGUUACUUCUGCUAAGAGAGUAGAAGGAAAAACAACUGAAGGAUAUCCAAUAAAAAUCAAAUUUCUCCCCAAAUCGGUUCAAGUUCCUGUAGGUUUGGAGUCCUCAGUGAGAACUUUCUUAAGAGAAUCUGAUCUGGUCUAUUCCUCGUCAUAAGGAAACCUUGCAACAAAUAACAAGCAUGCAUAAAACAUAUGGCAUUUUGCAUCCAUUUGUGCAUUUCAUUCAUUUAUCAAGCAUGCACACGUUUGACACAUACGUUCCCCUACCUGAGGUCUAAUGGACUGAUGAAGAUGGAAAAUCAAGACAAGGGUUAGCUAGAGGCUCGUUAUCAAAAGGAAGUUGAGAGCAUUAAAGAUGAAGUAGCUCAACUCAUAAAUUUAUUUGAAUAAGUGUUGAGCUUCAAGAAUGGAAAGGGAACGUCUGCACAGUCUCUUGUGUGGAACACUACUUGUCCACGUUCCAUUGAAGUUGCACCUCUCCUUUUUCAUCAUGAACAAUGACAACAAUGUCUUCAGUCAUCAAUUAAUGACGACAGCCCUUGUUCUCGUUCAACUGCACUGAUAGUCGUUCAAAGCCUUCACAUAUUCCAAGAGCACAUAAUAGUUGCUAGCUUUCUGUUCCUGGUGCAUUGGCCUUCUUUCCAGACAUCUCUAUUAUGAACACCAUUCCGGUCCAGCAGCAUGGGAUGCUGAUCUGAGAAAAAUAAGAGCAAACAUUGCAACUUUAACAAAGCAGAAUUCCUACUAUAGGUGUUUGUUUGAUGUACUGCCAGUGAGGAAUCGAAGAGGAGACAAAAGGGUUUCAGAUUCAUCAUUUUCUCUCCCAGUUGAGACAACGCAUGAUUCCACACGUUGGCAAUGGUGGUGUUGCAUAUUUCUGUGCGUUACUAAGAUCACCUGGCUGUUGGAAAGUUUCUACCAAUCCACAAAUAACCACAACAACGUUGGAAGAUUUACAUGAUGUUGUGAGGAUUGUCGAAAGAAUUGAACAAGCUACAAAGAGGGGAAUGAUUGAAGAUUCUGCCAAGGAUUCUAGAACAAUAAUGAGAAAUGAAUCAAAGGAUGACUCUGACGAUGGGAAGCCUUAAUUAUGUGGUCCAACCAGGUCUCACUGUAACAUCAAUUGCUCAAAUGUCUUUGCCACGAUUGACAUACCUCAACCACUCGAGUUUGUCUACUACAUCAAAGCUUUGCGGGCCGCAGCCCUUUGAAUCCGCCAAUUNNNNNNNNNNNNNNNNNNNNNNNNNNNNNNNNNNNNNNNNNNNNNNNNNNNNNNNNNNNNNNNNNNNNNNNNNNNNNNNNNNNNNNNNNNNNNNNNNNNNCAGUCUUGGCUUACAUGCAAUUUUUUUCAUCUUAGGGAGUAAGCUUCCACAGAGAGGAAGUGUUCUAUGUUGUCUAGUUCUAGAACAAAACAUCAGAUGAUUUGGUAAAGAUGAAUAUCAACAGCAAAAUGAAAAGCACUCUUCACUUACUAGGUGUGCCAAAGCGGUUUAACUGGGCUUUCAAAUACAACAAACACCAAAGAUUUUUUGAAACACUUUAAAACGGAAAAACAAACAAAACCAAAACCGAGAUGCAACUAAAGUGCCUUUUCUAAUGUGCACUGUUCUAAAAAUCAAAGAAAACAAGAGAAGAAAAAAUAAAAGCACGAAAAAAGGGUAAGAGCACUGUUUCAUGAACAAAGAGAUCCAAUUUCAUGCUACACUGGGAACUGAGCCAUGAGAAAAACACAUCAAAGAACCUGAUAGUCGAUUUAUUAUUUCUCAGCAACUUCCUUUAUCAACUAGAGUUUAUAACAAUCUACCACAACAAUGAUUCUGGCUACUUUUUGAAAAAAAAAAAGAAAGAGAGAAAAAUGGGGGCUCAACUUGAUGUUAUAUAGCUUGCUAUCCAGCAUAGCUUUGCAAAGAUUAAAGAACUGAUCAGUUGUUUGCACAUUUGAAAUNNNNNNNNNNNNNNNNNNNNNNNNNNNNNNNNNNNNNNNNNNNNNNNNNNNNNNNNNNNNNNNNNNNNNNNNNNNNNNNNNNNNNNNNNNNNNNNNNNNNGCGCCUUUGAGCCCUCACCUUCCAUUUUUGGGUGUGCCUUGAGCCCUCAUCCCUUUGGUAGUGUGUUUUCUAACCCUACCUCCUUUUGAGUGCGCCUUUAAGCCCUCACCUCCAUUUUGAGUGCACCUUUGAGCCCUCAUCCCUUUGGUGGUGUGUUUUCUAACCCUACCUCCUUUUGAGUGCGCCUUUGAGCCCUCAACUCCUUUUGUGUGCGCCUUUGAGCCCUCACCUCCAUUUUGAGUGUGCCUUUGAGCCCUCAUCCUUUUGGUAGUGUGUUUUCUAACCCUACCUCCUUCUGAGUGCGCCUUUGAGCCCUCAACUCCUUUUGAGUGCGCCUUUGAGCCCUCACCUCCAUUUUGGGUGCGCUUUUGAGCCCUCAUCCCUUAGGUAGUGCGUUUUCUAACCCUACCUCCAUUUUGAGUGCGCCUUUGAGCCCUCAACUCCUUUUGAGUGCGCCUUUGAGCCCUCAUCCCUUAGUAAAAGAUACAUGAAUAUCAUUGGGGGAUUUUGUGCCAUUCAGUUGAACAGUUGCAAGAAUUUCAAGAAUCAAGUUGAGUUUGUGCAAAAUGACGUCAUCAACCAUAUUGUCACCUCAACAUCCUCAGAUUGACAAGUGAUCGAAAUGCUUGGCAAAACACAGAUAUCGCCAGAAAAGCUGAUCCAAGAAGAGUGUUAAACUGUCGAUCCUUUUUGUUAUGAGUUUUGUCAUUCUGCAUUAUAUUUUGGGAUCACAUCUCAUCUUUUAACGAAACAUGUCUUUUCUUUGUCCCUUUGUUGUUCUGAACGCAUGAGAUGUUUCUUUCAAAGGUUAUUUACAAAAUAUUUUGAUCAAGCUCCAACAUGCGUUUAAGAUUAGUCAAUCUUGAAGAUUAAAAUUAUUUUACUUGAAUGACUCGAUGCUUGUUGAAAUGACAUGAGGUGACCAAGAAACUUUUGAGCUCACACAUGAAAUUGAACCACACACUGUAUAGCUAAGUUUUAGCAGUAUGCAUAAUGACACGUAGUGGAUUCAGUAGUUANNNNNNNNNNNNNNNNNNNNNNNNNNNNNNNNNNNNNNNNNNNNNNNNNNNNNNNNNNNNNNNNNNNNNNNNNNNNNNNNNNNNNNNNNNNNNNNNNNNNAUAUAUCUAGUAAACAAAGUGCUCUUUCCCCAAAACCAAUUCAUGAAAUGGUUUUCAUCUGAUGCUCAAUCUGAUCAAAUUAAGAUAUUCAGAGUGCAAUCACUGGUUUAAAUCUUUUCUUUUUGUAGAUAGAAAGUGUGUCCAGGAAUCUUAGUCCUAAAUUCGUUCUCUAUAUUUUAUCUCUAACUGCCAAUCAUUCUUUUUCUUUCUUUCUCCCUUUAACAUCAAAAACAUUAUAAUAAAGAAUUCCAUAGCAAUCCCUAAAUUCUCCUGCCUGUGGCAAUAAUGUUAAGUUUCCGGUAUGAGACAUGGCUGUGAUUAGCAAAUGCUCUUCAAUGUUUAAAGACAAUGUUCUCCGUUUUGUUGAGAAUCCUAGACAAAACCUUCCAUCUCAUAUCUCACAUUCACCAUGUUUUCAAUAAACACCUGCAAGACAAUUAGUUUCCCUUCCAAUGGAGGUUACAGAAAUGGAGAGGCAGAGCCUUGAAACAUGCUGAAAUGUUAAUUUCAAUUAACUGAAAUUGGGAUUGGAAUUCCAGUCUUUAUAAUCAGAGAUUCAUCCCUUCAUCUAUUAUAGCAUUUGAAGCAUUUAACUUGACAUGAAAAUUGAAAACAGCUCCAGGCAUCAAGCAGAAGUAACCAAAACACUAUGUUAAUAUUUCUGAACUUGGAAUAUAUCCAACUAAAAAAUAAAAAAUUAAAACAAGACAAUCGUGGAAAAACUGUAAAUAUAAAACAAGUUAACAUACCCUCUCUAUCUAAGUGGUGGCACCAACAUUGGCAUAUAAGGAAUCACCAUGUGCCUAGCCUGUUUGGAGAAACAACAUUUUUAUGACUUCUUGUGCAAGAAAAAAGAAUGAAAGACAAACAUCUGCAACUUAAGAGGGACCAUGGAAAUUGCCUACUAAUCUUAUCUGUUUCAGCUCUAAUAUCUAGAAACUAAACUAUCUGCUUUGAAAGUAUAUGGCACCCCGACACAAGUUCAUGUCAUAAAGGAUGAUAAAAUAUGAAAACUAGAUAUCACUAGAAGAACAAAAUUUGACAGGGUUACUCACAGUUUUCUCUAGGCCUUUGAGGACUAGUGGGUCACAUUGAAUAACAACAUAUUUUUUCACGCCCUUCCUGUUUAAGAAAAGGCCAUUGUGCAUCAGUUAGAAGCAAUUACAAGGAAGAAAAGAUAAAUUGAGCUCAUCGAGUCAAUUAAAGAAUGACUCCAUACUUGUUUACAUAUGACACAGUUCUGAAUGUAUGUACAAAUGCAGGUCGAGGUUCAGAUGGACUAUCAGCUAACUGAUCACAGGGAGGCUGUAUAUAAGCUGUUUGUAACAGCAAUUCAAUUAGACGGCUUCCAACCUGCAAAGUGCAAGGACAGAAAUCAAAUUCGUACACGAUACAUUUGUUCAAGAAAAUUAGCCUUUAUCAAUGAUUACAAGCACACAUACCUUAGCCCUAGCAUCUGCAUUACAUGGUUUUGAAUCAUCCUUCCACUUCACAAUCUUCCUCACAGCUGGCAGCUUUUGUUUUUUAAUCAAAUCAGUUACCUUUUUUCUUAGGUUUUCUUGUUCCUCCAUGACAGCAGGGGAUUCACCUUCUACACCAUUCUUGCUAUCAUUAGCCUUAAGCGGGACCGUUUGUGACCCCUUCAAUCUUUCUUGGGAACUUACUUAGUGAAGUAUUAUUCACACGAUACUAUUUCUGUAUACAUUGCAGAUCAGUGAAACAGUGAUAGCUGAAUAGAUCACGGUGACUAAAAUGGCAGCAAAGUACGAGAUUGAGAGGUUCAAUGGGAGCAAUUUCUCACUGUGGAAAAUGAGAAUCAAGACAAUUUUAAGGAAAGACAAUUGCUUGGCAGCAAUUGGGGAUCGGCCCGCGGAGAUCACUGAUAAUACAAAAUGGAAUGAGAUGGAUGGCAAUGCUAUUGCUAACAUACAUUUAGCAUUAGCUGAUGAAGUAUUAUCAAGUGUGGCGGAGAAGAAAACAGCUAAGGAGAUAUGGGAUACUCUGACAAAGCUAUAUGAGUCCAAGUCCUUGCACAAUAAGAUUUUCUUAAAGCAGAGACUUUAUACCCUUCGAAUGGCAGAAACCACAAUGGUGACUGACCACAUCAACACAAUAAGAACUCUAUUUUCACAACUCACUACGUUAGGUCAACAAAUAGAGGAAAAUGAACGUGCAGAGCUUCUACUUCAAAGUCUUCCUGAUUUGUAUGAUCAGCUCAUUAUCAACUUGACCAAUAAUAUCCUCUCAAACUAUUUAGUCUUUGAUGAUGUUGCAGCCGCUAUCUUGGAAGAAGAAAAUAGGCCCAAAAACAAAGGAGACAGAAAUAGUUCAAACCAAGCAGAGACAUUGUUGGUGUCAAGAGGAAGAUCAACAGAGCGUGGCUCUAGUGGGAGUCAAAGGUAGGGGAGGUCCAAAUCAAGAAGUAAGAAGACUGUGAAAUGCUACAACUGUGGCAGAAAAGGGCACUUCAAAAAGGAUUAUUGGUUUAAAAAAGGUAUAGAGAACACUGCAGAGUCAUCAAAACCUCAAGGAUGUGUUGCAAUCACCUCAGAAGAUGGAGAGGUUUUAUAUAGUGAAGUAGCGACAGUCUCUACAGAUAGAAAAGAGCUCACUGAGGUUUGGUUAAUGGAUUCAGAAGCAACAUGGCAUAUGACUCCUAAUCGAGAUUGGUUUCAUACAUAUGAACCCAUCUCUGAAGGCUCAGUGUUCAUAGGUAAUGAUCAUGCUCUAGAGAUUGCUGGCAUUGGCACCAUCAAAUUGAAGAUGUAUGAUGGCUUAAUUCGUAUUAUUUCAGGAGUACGACAUGUGAAAGAUUUGAAGAAGAAUCUUUUAUCCGUAGGACAAUUUGAUAGUCUUGGUUGUAAGAUUCGAAUAGAGAAUGGAAUCAUGAAAAUUGUCAAAGGAGCGUUGGUGGUUUUAAAGGCAAGAAAGAUAGUUGCAAAUUUGUUUGUGUUAAUGGGAGAAACACAUCAUGAGGCAAAGGCAUCAAUCGCAUCAGCCAGUCCUGCAGAAGAGAAGAUGAUGAUGUGGCNNNNNNNNNNNNNNNNNNNNNNNNNNNNNNNNNNNNNNNNNNNNNNNNNNNNNNNNNNNNNNNNNNNNNNNNNNNNNNNNNNNNNNNNNNNNNNNNNNNNNNNNNNNNNNNNNNNNNNNNNNNNNNNNNNNNNNNNNNNNNNNNNNNNNNNNNNNNNNNNNNNNNNNNNNNNNNNNNNNNNNNNNNNNNNNNNNNNNNNNNNNNUAUCCUUGGGAGGAGCAAGAUACUUUGUAUCAUUUAUAGAUGACUUCUCCAAUAGAUGUUGGGUGUAUCCAAUUAGAAGGAAGGCAGAUGUGCUUGCAAUCUUUAAAACCUUCAAAGCACGGGUAGAACUUGAAUCUGGAAAGAAGAUCAAGUGUUUGAGGACUGACAAUGAAGGAGAAUAUACCUGUGAUGAAUUUGAUAACUUCUGUCAACAUGAAUGUAUCAAAAGGCAAUUCACAAUGACAUACACUCCACAACAAAAUAGAGUGGCAGAGCGGAUGAACAGAACUCUAUUAGAAAGAACAAGAGCAAUGUUGAAGGCUGCAGGUCUAGGAAAGUCAUUCUGGGCAGAAGCAGUCAAUACCGCUUGUUAUGUGAUAAAUCGAUCUCCAUCAACUGCAAUUGAGCUGAAGACACCAAUGGAGAUGUGGAUUGGGAAGCCAGUUGAUUAUUCUCGAUUGCAUAUAUUUGGAAGUCUUGUGUACGUGAUGUACAAUACUCAAGAAGUUAGCAAGCUGGAUUCAAAAUCCAGAAAAUAUGUAUCAUUAGGAUAUGCUGAUGGAGUGAAGGGGUAUCCCUUGUGGGAUCCUACUGCCCACAAGGUAGUCAUCAGUAGAGAUGACGUAUUUGCAGAAAAUAAAAUGCAAAUGGAAGAACAUAAUAGCAUUUUAAAGUAGACUACAGCAGUCUAGAUGGAAAAUACUCAAAAUCAUACUUCUUCUGAAGUUGCACCAGAGUAUGAAAUAUAAGAACAAAUACAGUCUGAAACUCCUGAAGUUCGAUAGUUGACUCGUAAGAAGACCACCGGCUUGACACUCAGAAUAUAUUACUGAGAGCAACAUUGUGUACUGUCUUCUAAUAGAGGAUGGAGAGCCAUCAACUUUCACGAGGCUAUCAAAAGCACAAAUGUAUCUAUGUGGAUGACAACAAUGCAAGAGGAGAUUGAAGCUCUACAUAAAAAUAACACUUGGGAUCUUGUUCCGCUACCACAAGGAAGGAAGGCCAUUGGCAACAAAUGAGUUUAGAAGAUAAAACAUGAUGGCAAUGAUCAAGUGGAGCGGUAUCGUGCAAGAUUGUUGGUGAAAGGAUAUGCUCAGAUAGAAGGAAUAGACUUCAAUGAGAUAUUUUCCCCGGUGGUAAGACUUACUACAAUCAGAGUAGUCUUAGCGAUGUGUGCUAUAUUUGAUCUUCACUUAGAGCAGUUAGAUGUGAAAACUGCAUUUCUUCAUGGAGAACUUGAAGAAGAAAUUUAUAUGCUCCAACUAGAGGGUUUUGCUGAAAUAGGCAAGGAGAACUUGGUUUGCAGGUUGAACAAAUCUUUAUACGGUCUCAAACAGGCAUCGAGGUGUUGGUACAAGAGAUUUGAUUCCUUCAUAAUUAGCCUUGGGUACGACAUACUUAGUUCAUACCAUUGCACGUAUUACAAGAGGUUUGAAGAAGAUGAUGAUUUCAUCAUUCUAGUGUUGUACGUGGAUGAAAUAUUGGUAAUAGGCCCCAACAAAGAUCGAGUCCAAGAAUUAAAGGCACAGUUGGCUAGGGAGUUUGAUAUGAAGGAUUUGGGACCAGCAAACAAGAUUCUAGGGAUGCAAAUUCACCGAGAUAGAAGUAAGAGGAAGAUUUGGCUUUCUUAGAAGAGCUAUUUGAAGAAAAUCUUGCGACGCUUCAACAUGCAAGAUUGUAAGCCAAUUUUCACCCCACUUCCUAUUAACUUCAAAUUAUCCUCAAGUAUGUCUCCUAGCAAUGAAGCAGAGAGGAUGGAGAUUGUUGCUACCCAAUUUUUGACCCAUAUUUUGAUAAAUUUUCAAAUAAAAAAUAAAAAAAAUAAUAAUAAGGGUUUACAUGUGGCGAUAACAUAGAGCAUCAGGGCUAAUAUAAAGGAAGCAAUAUGUCAAGGAGAUAAUUACUUAAUCAUAUAUAAUUACUGCAAUAUAAAAUACCAUAGAUAUAUGAUUUGAUUCGUGCUGGUUAUGGAAAAUAAUCACUGCAAUAUAAAAUGCCAUAUAUAUAAGAUUUGUUGGUGCUGGUUAUAGAAGAUAAUCUCUGCAAUAAUUAUUGCAAUAUUUCCUUAAAUAGCACGUGUAGAGAUUUUCUAUAUAAGUGAACCUCCAGGCAUAAUAAUAAAUAAAUAAAAGAUUCAGAAGGGAAUUUUUCAGAAAAAGGGAGCUAAACAAAAAAAACCCUAAAGAUAAAAAGAACCCUAAACUCGUUUUCUCUCUUGGAGCCGUUCCUCCCUUUAGCCGACCAAAUCCUUUCCCUUCCCUUGGCUAAAACCUAAACAAGCCGCCUCCCAACACGAUUUUUCCAACAUCCCGGCAGACAAACCUCUCUCCUCUCUCAGCCGGUCAAACAAAUCUUCGCCCUGCCAUUUCCUCUCAAUCUUCAGCCUGCAGCACAACAGCCCCAUCUCCCUUCUUCUCUAAAACCACCGCAGCCGCACAUUCUCCCUUUUAUCUCCCCGAUUGCAACUCCCCUUCACUGCCGCCACAUCCACAUCAACAUCCCUCGGCCACUCCAUUUUUUCCUAGCUCCAGAACCAGUCAAAAGAGACCGGCCCCUCAGCCAGCCGAUCUCUCCCCUUUCCUCCGCCAAAACAGCCUCCCAGACCCACAGAACUGGCGCAUCAACUGCCCUUCUCUGCCAUUUCAGCACCUCACCACAGACGGGCCAAAACCAGAGAGAAACCCCCUCAUUUUCCUCCUCCUUUGUUGCAGCUUCCCUUCAUCCUCUCACAGACGCCGUCCCUCUCCUCUCCCAGCAGACCCAAACCGGCCACCAGCAGCUGCACAGCCGUCGACAGAAACCCAUUCGCCAGCCAGCCGCCUGAAACAGAGAAGAAGGCGAAACCAAGAGAAAAGCAGAUCCAAACGGAAAUAAACAGAUCCGUGAACAAGAAAGAAAAAAACUAAAAUCAACUGCUUGCUGCUUUUUUUGGGUGUUUUGCAGGUCACCGCCGGCGAGGAAGGGAAGAAGGGAUGAAGCCAAGCCAGAUCCUCCCAUCCCCUUGUUUUUUUCUUGCGGCGGCGCGUGGUUCACGCGCCGCCACUGUUCCUGCAUUCCUAGAAGUGUUCCUCGGCCAUUCCUGAAUAUUUGGGGGUCUAUUUUGCAAUUUUUGAAUUGUAUAUUAUGUGUUUAGAUUUGUUUUGAAUUUAUGUUAUUUGUAAUUAAACAUGGGUGUAUAAAAAAAACAUAAUAAAAAGGGAUGUGUGUGUGUGUGUUUGUAUUUUUUUUUAUGUAUGUCAUUUAAUUAUAAAAAAAUCAAAAAGAUAAAAAGAAAAUGAAUUUAAUUUUUUAAUUUUUAUAUGAUCAGGUAUCAGAAGGAUAAAUAAAAUCCUGUUGUAUUUUCCGUGAAAAUAUAAGAACAUGUUUCUAUAUAUUUUUUGGGAUUUAAUAACUGAUUUAUUAAAGCCUUAAGAAUUUGAUUAACAUGUGUUUUUUUAUUGUGAUUAAAUGUAAUGUUUGUAUUUUUGACAAAGAAAAUAUAAAAAAUGUUUUUUUGUGUGUUGCAUACGGCCAAUACCCUAACAUGUUUUGAACGUUUUUUUUAUAUAUAUAAAAAAAAACAAAUAUUUGAAGUUUUGAAAAUGUGUUUUCGCAUUGAUUUCUUAAACACCAAAAAUUGUUUUCUUGCAUUUCUGGAUUUUACAACAUGUUUGUAAAACUCCAAAGGGUAUUGGCCAAUAUUCCAAAAAAAUACAAAAAUCUUAUUUUGGGAGAAAUUCAUCUAUUAUUCACCGCUAAUGUUUGGAUAAAGAAAUCCUUAAAGGACGAAUAUCCAAAAUAUUAUUGGGAGUAAUAAAUCCGCACAAAUCCUUGAAAGAAGCCUUGAUUAUAAUCAAGGACAUUUCAAUUUUUUAUUCCACGGUUUACGAGCCGUGGGAGUAUAAAAUACUAAGACAAAAAAAUAGGUUUUUAAAGCACCCUAGAUUUCUAAUUUUUUUGUCCCUCCUCCUUGCGAUUUACAAGUCGCAAACUCUUGAAAAACUAAGGGGAAAAUGAGCUUUUAAAGCACAUGGAACUUCCUUGGAUUUCUAUCCUAAUAAUUUUAGUUUGAAUCAAAACCUAGAAAACUGAUGGGAUUAGAAAACACCAACACCAUAGCAAUUAUAAGACAAACCAAACACCAAGCAGCUUACCUUAGGUAGGGCGUACUAGGGGUGCUAAUACCUUCCCUUUACGCAACCAGUCCCUUGCCUUAGAAUCUCUGAAAGACCAGUUAGGUUUCCUAGUGACCAUAAUACUAGGUGGCGACUCCUUUACAAACAAAACAAAGACCCCGAAACCAAUCGAUGGUCGCCGCGACGCCGCGCUCCGCUAGCGAGGGUGCGACAGAGAUAUCUCGAGUACCGUAUGCAUCAGCAGUGGGAAGUUUAAUGUUUGCCAUGAUAUGUACAAGACCAGACAUUGCACAAGCAGUGAGAGCAGUUAGUCGAUACAUGGCAAAUCCUGGUAUAGAGCAUUGGAAUACUAUUAAGAGGAUCUUGAGAUACAUCAAGGGUACCUCAAAUGCCGCAUUAUAUUAUGGAGGAUUAGAAUUUACUGUUAGAGGUUAUGUUGACUUAGAUUUUGUUGGUGACCUUGAGAAAAGAAAAUCCACUACAGGUUAUGUGUUCAUAAUUGCAGAAGGAGUUAUGAGCUGGGUCUUUAAACUUCAGAUUGUUGUAGCGUUAUCCACAACAGAAGCUGAGUACAUGACAACUACACAAGCUUGUAAAGAAGCAAUAUGGAUGAAGAAACUUAUGGAGGAGCUCAGGCACAAACAAGAGAAGAUUCCUUUGUAUUGUGAUAGUCAGAGUGCCUUACAUAUUGCAAGGAAUCCAGCGUUUCAUUCAAGAACAAAACACAUAGAUGUUCAGUAUCACUUUGUUCGCGAAGUAGUGGAAGGUGGAAGUGUGGAUUUUCAGAAGGUUCAUACAAAGGAAAACCCAACAGAUGCUUUGACCAAACCAGUCAACACUGAUAAGUACAUAUGGUGCAGAUCCUCUUAUGACCUAACAGAAACGUAAGCAACAUGAAGAUUGUUGUAACCCAAUUUUGGAUCCACCAAUAUUUUCUCAAAUGUUAUUUUAUUUCUAUUAUUAUUUAUAAAAAUCCAAAAAAAUUAAGAAAAAGAAAAAUUCAAAAAUAUAUUUUUCUCGAGUCAACCGCAUCUUUCCAUAAGAACUGAUUCCACCGGGUCAAUACAGGUCAAACCAUGUCGGCCAAGUAAAAAAUGAGUUUUCGGGUCAAAACCGUCAUUUCUGGUCAAAACCGAGUUCACCGGGUCAAUACGGGUCAAACCAUGUCGACCAGGGUAAGUUUCAGGUCAUUUUGGGUCAAAACUGUUAUUUUCGGUCAUUACAAUUGAUUUUUAGCGGUUGAAUCGGGUUUUUCUAAUACUGAAUUGAGUUUUUAAUUUUAUCUAUAUAAAUAUAUAUUAUUAUACAUAAUAAAAAAUAAAAUAAAAAUAAAAUAAAAUAAAAUAAAAAAUUGUCAAACGGGCAGUUGCACCGAAAGCAAACGGUGAUUAAAAAAUGCCGAAAGCAGACGGUGAUUAAAAAAUAAAAUUUGUGGAAAUUUAAGGUUUGUAUGUCCCCUCUAAUUGGCUAUAAAUAGCCAGUCACAGUGCGACAGACGGAGGGGGGAAGAAAAAAAAAGAAGAACGAAGAGAAAAAAAAGACUAUUCAUGUUUUUCUAUUAUUUCUUCAUGCGAGUAAGAUAUUAAUUUUUAUUAAAAAACAAUUUGAAAAAUACCAAAUAUAUCCCGACACAUCUCAGCCCUUGAAAUAUUCCAAGAUUUGAUCCCGUUGCGCCACGUCAUCCGGUGUACCGAUCUUUCGGUGCACCGCGUCACACCCGAUCAAACCUCCGUUCAUCCGGACCGUCCGAUCAACCUGCAGAUCGGGCCAAUCACAGCCGCACGAUCUUUCCAUCAGAGAUCCAACGGAUCACAGGCCUCAGCUGCACCGGUGUACCGUUUCAGCGUUCUCACCGUAGCGUAACCCAGAGCAUCUCUCUCCUCUCGCCGGCGACUCCCUCUCUCUCAUCCGAUCUCCACUUUCCGGCCGUAUCCAGCCUCCGAACCACCACAGAAAGGUUUCUCCCCUGCUGUAAAGAAAAACCCCGGUGGUUUUCAUCGUUUUCUCCGCCUCAUCUGGCCGGAAAAAGACCGCGAUCGUCGGCUGCCACCGAAGCUUCAAGUCGUCGAUUCUCGCUCAUCAGCCAUCAACGACCGUCAAGACCACCACCAUAAGAAUCCUCGACAUCAGAUCUACCAGGAUCGACCAUCGGUUGUCCAGAAAUAUCGCCGGAAAAUCUCCCCGCCGCCAACAGUAGCCGCGCGUGUGCCACACGCGCCGCCAGUGGCAUUUUCGUAAUUUUCAGAGAAAUUCGAGGGUAUUUCAGUAUUUUACCUAUACAGUGACACUCAAGUAAUUUUUUGGGUUUCUGCUGGUAUUUUUGAUAUUUUUUUUAUAUAUAAAUGCUUGUAAACUUUCUUGCAUGUUGUAAAAAAAUACAAAAACCAAAGUCGACACGUCUCUUUUUUUAAAAAGGACCGAUGUCAAAAAUGUAAAUACCAAAUAUGGCUUAUGUCCAUUAUUUUUUUUGGUAACCCAGACGUAAUUCUCCUUUUUAGGGUUGAAACGUCAUAUUUUAGACAAGUCUCCUAAUUUUUAGGGACUGAUGUCAUUUUUAACGCGUCUCCUAUUUUUAGGGACCGACGUUAACCAUUUUUUAAAAAAACAAAUUACCAAUAAACCCAAAAUAUAAUGGAUUAUAUCCAUUAUUUCUUUUGGUAACCCAGACGAGUCUCCUAAUUUUUAGGGACUGAUGUCAUUUUUAACGUGUCUCCUAUUUUUAGGGACCGACGUUAAUCAUUUACAAAAGAAUUACAAAUAAGCCCAAAAUAUAAUCGCAUUUUGAAUCAAACAAAAAACACACAAGUAAGGGUAACCUUUCUAUUGAAAGGAUGUUUUAAGGGUGGUGUCUACCUUCCCUUAAUCAUAACUAACCCCGUACCCGAAUCUCUGGGACCAGUGUCUAAUUUGGGAUUUCUAGUUCCCUCAAAUUACUAGAUGGCGACUCCAAUAAAAUCUUUGUUUCCCCCAAUCGAGAAAAAAACCCUUUUUGUUAAAUAAACAAAAAAGCGGGAGCCGUCGCCCGACGUCGUGUAUCGACAGAAUGGCGACUCCACUGGGGACUUAGGGUUGAGCCAACUGCUUGUGUUUGCUUGUCAUUUGCUCUUUCUUAUCGCUAUUUAGUUUUGGGCACUUAUUUUAUUUGCAUUAUUUAUUUUAUGCAAUAUCUACUAUGAUUCUUUUCAAUUUUUCAUUUCAUCACAUACAUACAUAUUAUUUAUUUGUGUAUUCACACACUUCACUGUGAACCCAUAAAAGCUCUGGACCCGAGCUCGUCCUUUUUAAGAUUAGAAAAGAGAGAUUCAAGUGGCAAGUGUGACUUAUGUCCACUGAUGCUCAUUUGGACUUUUGCUUGGAUUGUAACUCACCCUAUGCAACUAGUACUGUGGAGUCUUUCUCCCCUACUCAUGUUGAAUAAGGUUAAGAGGCCGAUUACUUCACGAGUAAUUCAGGCAAUCUAAGAACCGGAGAAUAUCUUUAAGGAUAGACUAAACUGAGCCAAACCUUAUGAGCUAGAUCCUAUCAAGUAGGAUAUACCCAUUAGGACACGAACAAAUGUCAAUGCAUGAACAUACAUGUUCAUAUACAUUUCAUGUGCUCAUUAAAUCUCCACCGAUCCUUACAGGAAGUGUGAGAUGAAAAAACCCAUUACUAUUGAGGAAUUUUUGACCAGAUCAGAAUUGAGCCAGCAUGAUGAAGGGGAUUGUUUGCCAUCAGAAUUUAAGUCUCUGUUGCCAGAGCAUGUUAAAUUAGAUGACAGACCACUUGGUACAGGACAACUGCUAGACUGCUGGGAAAAGUUAUUCUCUCAUGAUCAAAUCACUUUUCAGAAACAAUAUGGGGAUCUAUCACAUUUACUGAAAAUUAGGGUCCAACAUGCUUGUUUUCAGGCCAUGAUAGGGUUUUGGGAUCUAGAAUAUUGGUGCUUCACAUUUGAUACUGUGGAUAUGACUCCUACUAUCGAGGAGUAUGAAUCCCUACUAAAUUGUCCCAAGUCAGAAAAGGUGUACUUUUACACACCUAUAGAGCAUGCACUUUCUAACUUUGCUUGGAUUACCCAGACAGACUGUCAACUAGCAAAAUCACAUGCAACUAAACGAGGAAAUAGCCAGGGUUGGUUUUGGAAUGAACUAGAAGCCAUAUUCAAGAGGAGAUUACAUGAUGAAAGCAAUGAAAUCGUGGUGACCCUUAAAAUUAACCCUGCUACAACAAUUUUGGCAGAAACUUUCUCAUCCUUGAAUUAUUGUAGAAAAGCUGGAAGGGGUCGUUUAAGAUGUUGCUUACAGUUAUUGUUUGUCUAGACUAUGAGUCAUAUGAUUGAGGGGAAGAUUUCAGGUUUGGUUGGCACCCCAUAGCAUCUUUAUUCUCAGCUGGAGAAUUUUGCUGAAAAACACUUGCAUGAAGUAGGAAGAACCACAUGGGAAUCAAUGUUUCUAAGUCUAAGAAAAUCUCAAUUUCAGCUGGAGAAUUUUGCUGAAAAACACUUGCAUGAAGUAGGAAGAACCACAUGGGAAUCAAUGUUUCUAAGUCUAAGAAAAUCUCAAUUUCAUUGAAGGAGUCGAUACUCUUAAUUCAAAUCUUAUCUGGCAUAUUGUGGUAAGUAUCCAUGGGUCCCGUUGAUAGAAGCCUGUUGUUGUAUUAGUUAUUGUCCUAUCAUGGUUUUACGACAAUUUUGAUUUGAGCUGUAACACCCCACCUCACUAGCAAAAAAAUUGUCCGCUUUGGGCCUCCCAAUCCACCCAUGUCCAGGGCUUCCACCCAGGUCCCCCUGACGGGUUUGUUCUUGGCAGCCACGCAUGGCCUCAAAACGCGUCUUUCAGAGUAGUGCAGCACACUCACCCUGUCAGAUACUGUCCCUUCUAGGCCCCCCGGUCCACCCAUUCCUAAGGCUUCCACCCAGGUCCCCCUCAGGGUUUUAAACGCGUCUUACUAGUCAAGAUGAGCAUGCACUUAUAAGGCCCUAGCUCUUGACGUUCGCUUCCGAUGUGGGAUCUAACAUGAGCAGUUUAUUCCAAGGACUACCGAACUGGCAACAUUUUAUGAAGAUUUCAAGACCUCAAAGAAAUUAUUGGAGUCAGUGAAGAAGGCAUGGAAACAUCAUGGUAGGGUUACUUCUGCUAAGAGAGUAGAAGGAAAAACAACUAAAGGAUAUCCAAUAAAAAUCAAAUUUCUCCCCCAAAUCGGUUCAAGUUCCUGUAGGUUUGGAGUCCUCAGUGAGAACUUUCUUAAGAGAAUCUGAUCUGGUCUAUUCCUUGUCAUAAGGAAACCUUGAAACAAAUAACAAGCAUGCAUAAAACAUAUGGCAUUUUGCAUCCAUUUGUGCAUUUCAUUCAUUUAUCAAGCAUGCACACGGUUGAAACAUAAGUUCCCUCACCUGCUGAGGUCUACUCGACUCAUAAAUCUGUUUGAAUAAGUGUUGAGCUUCAAGAAUGGAAAGGAAACGUCUGUACAGGCUCUUGCUGGGAACACUACUUGUCCACGUUCCAUUGAAGUUGCACCUCUCCUUUUUCAUCAUGAACAAUGACAGUAAUGCCUUCAGUCACAAUUAAUGACGACAACCCUUGUUCUCGUUCAACUGCACUGAUAGUCGUUCAAAGCCUUCACAUAUUCCAAGGGCACAUAAUAGUUGCUAGCUUUCUGUUCCUAGUGCAUUGGCUUUCUUUCCAGACAUCUCUUGUGAACAUCAUUCCGGUCCAGCAGUAUUGGAUGUUGCUCUGAGAAAAAUAAGAGCAGACAUUGAAACUUUAACAGAGCAGAAUUCCCACUAUAGGUGUUUGUUUGUUGCACUGCCAGUGAGGAAUCAAAGAGGAGACAAAAGGGUUUUCAGAUUCAUCAGUUUCUCUUCCAGUUGAGACAACGCAUGAUUCCACACGUUGGCAGUGGUGGUGCUGCAUGUUUCUGUGCGCUACCAAGAUUACCUGGCUGUUGGAAAGUUUCUACCAAUCCACAAAUAACCACAACAACGUUGGAAAGAUUGAUAUGAUGUUGUGAGGAUUGUCGAAAGAUUUGAACAAGCUACAAAGAGGGGAAUGAUUGAAGAUUCUGCCAAGGAUUCUAGAAACAAUAAUGAGAGAUGAAUCAAAGGAUGACUCUGAUGAUGGGAAGCCUUAAUUAUGUGGUCCAACCAGGUCUCACUGUAACAUCAAUUGCUCAAAUGUCUUUGCCACGAUUGACAUACCUCAACCACUCGAGUUUGUCUACCAGCAUCUGUUAGACUCUGGACUUAUUGCCCUGACUCCGCCAAUUUACCUCAUUCUGAGUGCGCCUUUGAGCCCUCAACUCCUUUUGAGUGCGCCUUUGAGCCCUCACCUCCAUUUUGGGUGCGCCUUUGAGCCCUCAUCCCUUUGGUAGUGCGUUUUCUAACCCUACCUCCUUUUGAGUGCGCCUUUGAGCCCUCACCUCCAUUUUGGGUGCGCCUUUGAGCCCUCAUCCCUUUGGUAGUGCGUUUUCUAACCCUACCUCCUUUUGAGUGCGCCUUUGAGCCCUCACCUCCAUUUUGGGUGCGCCUUUGAGCCCUCAUCCCUUUGGUAGUGCGUUUUCUAACUCUACCUCCUUUUGAGUGCGCCUUUGAGCCCUCACCUCCAUAUUGAGUGCGCCUUUGAGCCCUCAUCCCUUAGGUAGUGCGUUUUCUAACCCUACCUCCUUUUGAGUGCGCCUUUGAGCCCUCAACUCCUUUUGAGUACGCCUUUGAGCCCUUAACUCCUUUUGAGUACGCCUUUGAGCCCUCAUCCCUUAGGUAGUGCGUUUUCUAACCCUACCUCCAUUUUGAGUGCGCCUUUGAGCCCUCAACUCCUUUUGAGUGCGCCUUUGAGCCCUCAUCCCUUAGUAAAAGAUACAUGAAUAUCAUUGGGGGAUUUUGUGCCAUUCAGUUGAACGGUUGCAAGAAUUUCAAGAAUCAAGUUGAGUUUGUGCAAAAUGACGUCAUCGGCCAUAUUGUCACCUCAACAUCCUCAGAUUGACAAGUGAUUGAAAUGCUUGGCAAAACACAGAUAUCGCCAGAAAAGCUGAUCCAAGAAGAGUGUUAAACUGUCGAUCCUUUUUGUUAUGAGUUUUGUCAUUCUGCAUUAUAUUUUGGGAUCACAUCUCAUCUUUUAACGAAACAUGUCUUUUCUUUGUCCCUUUGUUGUUUUGAAAGCAUGAGAUGUUUCUUUCAAAGGUUAUUUUGACAAAAUAUUUUGAUCAAGCUCCAACAUGCGUUUAAGAUUAGUCAAUCCUGAAGAUUAAAAUUAUGUUGCUUGAAUGACUCAAUGCUUACUGAAAUGACAUGAGGUGACCAAGAAACUUUUGAGCUCACACAUGAAAUUGAACCACACACCAUGUAGCUACGUUUUAGCAGUAUGCAUAAUGACACGUAGUGGAUUCAUUAGUUAUGGACUCAUGAAUUAUGAUUCGUAUAAGUCUAAAUCAUUACAUUGGAUGAGGUCAAAAUUUAUCGGUUCUAACCGACCUUGCUUGAAAUGAGAAAAGGCCAUUUUUGUUUCAUCCUUUCACAAUUCUUGAAAUAUAUAUCCCUUGCAGUCCCAUUUUGAGCUGAUAGAAUAUUUCUUUCAUAAAAAACCCUGACUAGGAUCACACCCCACACUGGGGGCAAUGAGAAUCUUUUCCUAGAAAAGACAAAGACAAUGUUAGAGUCAAUGGAUAAAGGGAAGGCUUAGAACAAAAGUCCAAUGAUUGAGAAAGGGCUAGAAGAAGAAAGCCAAAGAUUGAUAAAGACACAACAAAUGCCAAAAGUUAACCCGAAAAAUCAAGUGUGAUGUCUUUUGGUGUGUCUAUGAUAAAGCCUUUACGAUCUUCGAAAGAUUAGAUUGGCUAUUCAUCAAAGAAAAGUUGGAUUUGCGUUAUGACCUAUGUUAAACAAAUUUUGAUUUUUGAGAUUAACAAGGUUAUAUGUCACUGUCUCUACAAAGACAACGUGAGGAAAAGAGAUUGAUGAGUAAUUGAUGGUGAUCCUAGGUUCUUGAAACCCUCAAACACCUUUUGAGCUUGUGAAAUUCCUUUCUUUCAUAGCCAUGAACCAUAGCCUACAUUACGUGCUUUAGAAAGUCCUUUUUAAUCAAGUAAGCAAUCUGAACCGAUAAAUGGCGAUCUCAAAAAUUGAAGAGUUGUUCAUACAGGUCGUGACUUCAUGAAUCAAGCUACUGAUUAUUAUGCAUGCUGAUAAAAUUGUUGCUAAGAAAAAGAAACAAUCUUUCUUGAUAAAGCCUCAAGUUUUGACUCGGGUACCUUGUUUUCCACAAAUUCAUAAAAGGUCACCUCAUCACAGACAAUCAAAAGAUAUACCCAAAAUUAGAGUUUAAAAUGGAUACAAAGAAUCAUGGAAAAACCAUUUUAAUCUUACAACGAGUCAAUUUCUUUUCUCUCAAAAUACAAGACAAUCACAGGACUACAUUGAAUAGCGUGUGUUGGAUCUUUGACCAAUAAAGCUUAAUUUUCAAAAAUACUUUCAAAAAUUGACAUCUCUCUGAUUUCAUUUCAACAAUCAGACUUGAAUAGACAUGACCUUUGAAAUGUGAGAUUUGAUUCCAAAAUAAGAAAGAUUUUCAAACAAGAAAAACAUCGACCAAGUUUGCAAAUUCCUGACAGAAAUGACAUCAAUUCUCCUCAACACUCCUGGGGGCAAUACAAUGGACCUCCGAGAAGGGAAACAAACAGUGUUUAAAUCAGCUGGGGAAUAGAGACGAUCAAAUGAUGAAUCAAUAAAUUGAGGACAAUAUGGUUCAAAGAAAGAUAAUCAGUGAAUGAGCACUGUUGUAACCCAUUUUUGGGUCCCCACAAAAUAUAUAUAUAUAAAAUAUAUAUCUAGCCAAAGGAGGUUAGAAAAAUAACAGGAGGUAGAAGCGUUCAGAAAAUGGUCGGAAAAUUGGUCAAUGAGGUUAAAAAUACAAAGAUUGGAUUUUUGACAGUAUAUUCUUGAAGGAGGAGAGCCCUGUUGGAAGAGAAAAUUAAUUUGAAGAGAAAAGGGCCAAAAUUGGAUGUUUAUGGACUCAAUUGGAUUUUAUUGAAGGUUUAUUUGAGUUUAUAGAGGUUUUUGAUUGCAAGGAAAAAUGAGUUUUAAGUCAAUUUAGGCUUUAAUUGGAAGAAAUUAAAGUUCUGGGGGCAAAUUAUAAUUUUUGAGAGUUGAUUUGGUUAAAUCAGGGGCUUAAUUGCAUAAAUAUUGAAGUUUAAUGGCCAAUUAGGGACUUAAUUGAGAAAAUCCAAAACCAGGGACCAAUUUGGAAAAGGCGCAUAAAUCAGAGGGGCUGUAUUGGAUUUGAUCCGGGGGUCAGAUUGAAGAAAUUAAAAGUUUAAUGGUCAAUUAGGGAAUAAUAUUGAACGAAACUGAAAGUCGGAGGACUAAAUUGAAAAUUGGCAAAGAAAUCCCUAUUUUUAUCAAAAACGGCGCCGUUUUGCAUUUUUUUAAAAAAAGGGGGGGCAGGAACCUGGUACUGUUCAUUUUCUUCCCCACCAAGCUGCCCGAGUGGCCGACUUCUAGGCGUGUUUUCGGCCUCGUUUGGCCCCCAAAUCCGACAACACAUGCACCAACAUGUCCACCUGAAACCCCUUUAUCCCGGAGAAUGGUCCGGUCGGGUCGAAAAAUUUAGAAACGGCUCCGUUGAGUGGCUCUAAGUGGCCACCUCGGGCAGUUCACGGCCUUGAGCUGCCAAAUUUGGCAGCUCGAGGUGCACACUUUGAACCAACGGUUUGGAUUCCUCGAGUCGAAUCAAGGGCUGAAAAUGUUUCCCAAUAUAGACAAUAUGGCCCUCUUACACCGCCUAUAAAUAGAAUCUCUGUUGAAGACCUGAGGGGGGAGAAAUUCGGGUCCAAAGUCAGCAAAAAAACCAGCAUCUUCACCCAAUUUCUGCAGAUUUUUCUUCUUCUUCUUUCUUCCUCUGCCACAGGAAACCGACACCGUCUUCCUCCAACUCCACCGCUGCAACCUCCGGCGGAACCACCUCAUCACAGCAGCCCCAUUUCCCUUCCGGCAGCCAGCAACAAGGGACAACCCCCUCUCCUGCAAAGCCAAACCGGGGCAGCCCCCCCUUUCCUCUCAUUCUCUUCCAGCAGUCCCAAAGAAACACUGCCCCCUCUCCCUCCCAUCAACACAACGCCAGCAACAGAUCUUCACCGCAGCGACAGCCUCCACAGGAGCAAGCCUCCGCCUUCCAGCUUCUGCACCUGCCAACAGCAGUCCUCCUUCUCCCAGCGACGCCCAGCAGCAACCGGAGUAGCAGCUCCUUCCUCAGUCACACCAACAGCUCCAGCCGAGACCUUUCCUUCUCCUCUGCAGGAAUCUGCUCCUUCUUCUUCCAGCCGGGACCAGUGCACGCCAGUGAAGCCACCAACCUCCACCGCGGCACUGCCUCCUCCACGCCAGCCUCCACAGGAGCAAGCCUCCGCCUUCCAGCUUCUACACCGUCCAGGCCAUCCUCCGGUCAGCAACCGCCAGCAGCACCGCCUUCAGAGCCACCACAGGUCAGCCCUCUGACCCUUAUCUCCGUUUACUGUUCAUCGUCUUGCAUGCAGAAAAUAAUUACCCGGUUACUGUGUGCACAGUAACCGGCUAAUUAAUUAACGGGUUACUGUUCACAUGUACAGUGAACAGUAACCAGUCAUGUGGUUUUGGGCUGGGCUGAGUCCAGCCUUGUAGAAACCAGGCCCCAAUUUAUUUCGGGCCGAUUUUGGCCCAGUUUCCUUUUGGGCCGGGUCUGGCCCGCUCGAACAAAAAUUCUUCAAAAAAAUUAUUUCAAAAAAUAUGUGAUUUUGUUGUAAUUUUAUUUCUGUAUUUUGAUCAAUACCGAUUCGUAUUUUUAUACUGUAAUGAUACAAAUCCGGUAUUAAAAAACCCGAUUUUCGUCAAAACAUCAAAAAAUACAUAAUUACAAAAAAAAUGUUUUGUUUUCAUGCAUACGGCCUAGUCUCUCCAACAUAUAUAUAUAAAUAUUAUAACAUCAUAUUUUCACACAACAAAGGAAAUUUCAAAAAUCAAUAUAUGUAUUAGCAUGCAUUUUGGCUUUAAUAACCAGUUUAUUCGAGCCAUGAGAACUAGGCCAAUAUUUCAAAAAUUCAAAAAAAUCUUUUUGUCUUCUUUUAGUAUCUGGGAUUAUGAAUUUAUACGUAAAACAUAUUCCUGAUGUUAAAAAUAUAGUUUUUAUAUAGAUGUUAGAACGGUUAGGUUUUACCCGAUAAGAUAAGGACCUCCUUAUUGAGGAGGACUUUUCUUGAACCAUAGACAGACCAACAACUAGGAAACACAACGAGACCUUGAAUUUUAUCAGACAAAUAAACAAUGCAGCUUACCUUAGGUAAGGCGUAUUUGGGGGUGUUAAUACCUUCCCUUUACGCAACCAGUCCCCGUACUCAAUCUCUAGACCCAGUUAGGUUUCCUAGUGACCAAAAUACUAGGUGGCGACUCCCAUUCCAUUUUCCACCAAUAAAAGACAAGAAUUCAUUGUCUCCCCAUAUUUGCCAGAUAGAUACCAUACACACUUCCUAGAUUUUAAAAGUGGAAAACCCGCCGCGACGUCGCGCACCCGCGACAAGCACAUUCAUAUCAAUUAAGGGCAAUGAUGUUCAAGAACAGUUUAUGAUCCAGUAAACCCCGACAACAAUUGAGAGCAAAGAUGUACUUGAAGGACAUUUUCAUAUCUUCAUCUUGGUUUAUCAUCUCCAAUAUGGCUAUGACUAUUGAAAGAUGUUAUCACAUGAUUGCUUUUGAAUGAAUGUUGGAAGGAUGCAUCGCACCGACCUAGACUGACCGUGGGACCAUCUGAUUUGAAGCUCAAAUGCACACUGCACCACAUGAGUAUGGGUGAUAAAAGCAACAUCAUUGAUGAGGCCGAGACACUUCUUUUCACAAUCUGGUUAGAUGAGUUGAGAAGAACUUAUUGAGAAAGAAACUGAGCAUACAACGAUGAGCUUUUACUGCAAAGUAUGAAAUGCAGGUCUGAAUGACAUGACAGUUCCAUGAAAGUGGAUGACUGCAUAUACUUGAAGGGUAUGUUUCAACUAAAGUCGAGUUCAUAACUGAUUGACAAUCUUGAUGGGUGUUGGCACGAUGCGAACAAUCAAUCAGAGAACAAUUCUUGAAAGAAUCCAGGAGAUGAACGAUUUGUUAAGCUUCUUCAUGAUAAAUCAAGCAACACUACACUUGGGGGCAUUGUCAAGCUUGAUAAACAGCGAGAUUAGUAAUCAUCGCGGACAGCCCAAGAUGGGCACUGCAUUUACAGCUGAGUGGAUGGCUAGCACAUGAAUGAGCCAAUGCAUCGAAAGAACAAAGAAGGCUUUGGAAUGCAAACAAAGCCACCCCAUGACGAUGAAGCAUCAAAGAGGGGGGAACCUAUAUUUCAAAAACAGGUAAGAUGCAUUGCAUAUCAUCUAACUUCACGGGCAUUGCAUAUUUGUUUUGCAGAUAUUUCAAGAAACAAAAUUCCCACUGGGAUCCAACGAGACUCACAUGAAUUGAAGUUCUUGUAAAUCACAUCAAAUAUGGCAAUUCCACAAAAGCAAAAUUCAUAAAUGAAGACAAGAAAGAUGGAUUUUUAUUCAUGGAAAAGGGGUUUACAAGUACAAAUGUUAAACAGUGCGAGGACGAUCAGGGAUAUUUUCAUCUUGGUGGUUAAUCAUGCCUCGGAAUUCCUCAAAUUGUUUAUGCAUGCGCUCCAUCUCUUCCUCGAACUCGAGGUGUCGUGUGUUAACAUAGUCCCUCCAAAAGUCAACACGUGUAUUUAACUCUUGGUUUCUCCUCUCCAAGUUGUUUCUGUGACGUCUCUCAUCACGGAGUCUAUUCCUUAAAUUCUCAAUCUGAUGUUGGAGAUCAAGAACCUGAGUAUUCAACUCAAGUCUUCUGGCAUGAAGACGCUCUGCAACGUUCACCAAAGACGAGGUAGCUCUGAUACUGAGAGCAAGUGACUGAUUCACUGCUUCAAUAUCGGUCCUGGCUGCCAACAUUAUUUCAUCACGAGGAAGGAUCAUGUCUCUAGCCACAGCUACAGCAAUAUCUUCAUUGUCCAUUACAGUAUCCUCUAUUGUAACUGGACGACCAUUCACUUCAAAGGUAGUACGCCAAACUGCAGGCUCUACUGCAGGAACAGGGUUUGGGUUAGCAUUGGAAGAAGAGGAAGACAUGGUUAAAGCUUCAAAAGUUGAGAACUUUGAGAGUAUUGAAAAUGCAAGAAGUUGAUGAUGUCUUUUGCCAAAUACUGCGUGAUUUAUAAGGAAUUUACUCCUACCAUCGUUUUGAACGGCAGCUCAAAUCUCAACUGUACAUACAGUACUUCCUUGAGAAGCUUUCCUCAUUUUUGGGAUUUACAAAUCAGAUCUCAACCGUACAUACAAGACUUUCUUGAGAAGCUUUCCUCAUUUUUGGGAUCCACAAAUCAAAUCCCAACCGUACAUACAGUACUUCCUUGAGAAGCUUUCGUCAUUUUUUGGGAUACAAAUCAAAUCCCAGCCGUACAUACAAGACUUUCUUGAGAAGAUUUCAUCAUCUCUGAGAUCGAUUUACAAAUCAGAUCUCAACCAUACAGGUAUGACUUCCUUCAGAAUUUUUCAUCAACCCUGAAGCUCAUUGUUGAAAUCACUUUCAUGUAUUUCACAAAAAUGUUGAAAUCACUUUCAUGUAUUUCACAGACGGGUCGGUUCACAAAACCAUUGCUGAAAUCACUUUUAUGUAUUUCACAAAAACAAUGUUGAAAUCACUUUCAUGUAUUUCACAAAACCAUUGCUGAAAUCACUUUCAUGUAUUUCACAAAACCAUUGCUGAAAUCACUUUCAUGUAUUUCACAAAAAAAAAAAACCAAUGUUGAAAUCACUUUCAUGUAUUUCACAAAAAACCAUUGUUGAAAUCACUUUCAUGUAUUUCACAAUGCUAAUCUGAAAUCACUUUCAUGUGAAAUCACUUUCAUGUAUUUCACAAGACUAAGGUUGAAAUCACUUUCAUGUAUUUCACAAAACCAAUGUUGAAAUCACUUUCAUGUAUUUCACAAGACUAAGAUUGAAAUCACUUUCAUAUUAUUUCACAAAAAAAAAACCAAUGUUGAAAUCACUUUCAUGUAUUUCACAACAUUAAUCUGAAAUCACUUUCAUGUAUUUCACAAGAUCAAUAUUGAAAACACUUUCAUGUUUUUCAUUUGGGCAGGUCGCCCAUAAGAAUUAGACCAACUGAAAAAUCUGUGUAUUUUUCAACACUUCCAUCAUUUUUCUUUACAAAACUUACUAUGCAAAGUCAAAAGAAAAUGAAAUUUCCAAUGCCUUUGCACCGUAAGCAUUGUAAAGAGGGGGCAACUGUUGUAACCCAAUUUUGGAUCUACCAAGAUUUUCUCAAAUGUUAUUUUAUUUCUAUUAUUAUUUAUAAAAAUCCAAAAAAAUUAAGAAAAAGGAAAAUUCAAAAAUAUAUUUUUCUCGAGUCAACCGCAUCUUUCCAUAAGAACCGAUUCCACCGGGUCAAUACAGGUCAAACCAUGUCGGCCAAGUAAAAAAUGAGUUUUCGGGUCAAAACCGCCAUUUUCGGUCAAAACCGAGUCCACCGAGUCAAUACGGGUCAAAAUAUGUCGACCAGGGUAAAAAAUGAGUUUCAAGCCGUUUCGGGUCAAAACCGUCAUUUUCUGUCAAAACCGAGUCCAUCGAGUCAAUACGGGUCAAACCAUGUCGACCAGGGUAAAAAAUGAGUUUCAGGCCGUUUUCGGGUCAAAACCGAGUCCACCGGGUCAAUACGGGUCAAACCAUGUCGACCAGGGUAAAAAAUGAGUUUCAGGUCAUUUUGGGUCAAAACUGUUAUUUUCGGUCAUUAAAAUUGAUUUUUAGCGGUUGAUUCAGGCUUUUUCUAAUACUGAUUUGAAUUUUUAACUUUACCUAUAUAAAUAUUUAUUAUUAUACAUAAUAAAAACAAAAGUAAUACAAUUUGUCAGCGGGCAGUUGCGCCGAAAGCAGGUGAUCCAUUUUUUCUUUAAAGCAGAUCGAUGGAUGAUUUUGAUGUCCCCUCUCAUUGGCUAUAAAUAGCGAGUGACAGUACGCUAGAAGAGGAGAAAAAAGAGGAAAAGAAAAAAAAAGAAGAAAAAAGAAAAAAAUAAAGAAAAGAAUUGCAAACACUAUUCACGUUUUUUUACUAUUUCUUCAUGCGGGUAAGAUAUUGAUUUUUAUUAAAAACAAUAUGGAAAAUACCAAAUAUAUCCUAACCGUUAGAUCUAAUAGUGUUUAGAACUGAACCGUUGAUUUAAUAGGAUACAAUAGGGCUGACCACACCAGAUUAAAACCCAAACACAUCUCAGCCCUUGAAAUAAUCUAAGCUUUGAUCCCGUUGCGCCACGUCAUCCGGUGUACCGAGAUUUCGGUGCACCGCGUCGCACCCGAUCCCACCUCUGUUCAUCCGGACCGUCCGAUCAACCUGCAGAUCAAGCCAAUCACAGUCGCACGAUCUUUUCAUCAGAAAUCCAACGGAUCACAGGCUUCAGCUGCACCGGUGUACCGUGCUAGCGUUUGCACCGUAGUAUAAUCCAGAGCAUCUCUCUCCUCUCGCCGGCGACUCCCUCUCUCUCCUCCGAUCUCCCAUCUCCCGCCAUCGAAAGCUUCCAAACCACCACAGAAAGGUCGUUAUCAUCAUAUAAAGCAAAACCCCGGCUGGUUUCAGCGUUUUCUCCGCCCCAUUUAGCCGGAAAAGGGCCGCGAUCGUCGGCCGCCACCGAAGCUUCAAGUCGUCGAUUAUCGCUCAUCAGCCAUCAACGACCGUCAAGACCACCACCAUAAGAAUCCUCGACAUCAGAUCUACCAGGAUCGACCAUCGGUUGGCCAGAAAUCUCGCCGGAAAAUCUCCCCGCCGCCAACAGUAGCCGCGCGUGUGCCACACGCGCCGCCAGUGGCAUUUUCGUAAUUUUGGAGAAAUCCAAGGGUAUUUCAUUAUUUUGCCUAUACAGUGGCACUCAGGUAAUUUUUCGGGGUUUCUACUGGUAUUUUUGAUAUUUUUUAUAUACAAAUGCUUGUAAAUUUUCUUGCAUGUUGUAAAAAAUUCAAAAACCAAAGUCGACACGUCUCUUUUUUUUAAAAGGACCGAUGUCAAAAAUGUAAAUACCAAAUAUGGCUUAUGUCCAUUAUUUUUUUGGUAACCCAGACGUAAUUCUCCUUUUUAGGGUUGAAACGUCACAUUUUAGACAAGUCUCCUAAUUUUUAGGGACUGAUGUCAUUUUUAACGCGUCUCCUAUUUUUAGGAACCGACGUUAACCAUUUUUAAAAAAAACAAAUUACCAAUAAACCCAAAAUAUAAUGGAUUAUAUCCAUUAUUUCUUUUGGUAACCCAGACGUAACUCUCCUUUUUAGGGAUAAACGUCAGUAAUUCAGACGAGUCUCCUAAUUUUUAGGGACUGAUGUCAUUUUUAACGUGUCUCCUAUUUUUAGGGACCGACGUUAAUCAUUAAAUUUUUUUUACAAAUAAGCCCAAAAUAUAAUCGCAUUUGAAUCAAAUAAAAAACACACAAGUAAGGGUAACCUUUCUUUUGAAAGGAUGUUUUAAGGGUGGUGUCUACCUUCCCUUAAUCAUAACUAACCCCGUAUCCAAAUCUCUGGGACCAGUGUCUAAUUUGGGAUUUCUAGUUCCCUCAAAUUACUAGAUGGCGACUCCAAUAAAAUCUUUGUUUUCCCCCAAUCGAGAAAAAAACCCUUUUUGUUAAAUAAACAAAAAACAAAAAAGCGGGAGCCGUCGCCCGACGUCGUGUAUCGACAGAAAGAAAGAAAAUAAUUUCAAAGGUGGACAAAAAUGGGGUAAUAUCAGAUUUGGAACAUAAUCUUGGUUGGUGAAGAAUAACAUAAUCUAAUGAGAAAUCUAGGGCAAGUCCGGUGAGAUUUGAGCUUAGAUUUUGGACCAAUUUAUAGCUGGAUGGUACCAUCAUGUAUGAUGAUGUCCAGCUGAUAAAUGUUUAGUUACUUGCAAUUCUAUCAAAAAGUUACCAGAUUCUGUGUGUGUGAGGCUGUCAUAUGUUUCUUCUAUGAUGGAUAAAAAACGCUAAGCAAUGAACCAUUUUGUCCACCCAGUAAAAAAUGUAUUAUGGUUAUGAUGGGAACUCUACAGCAUGUGAUUCUAUUUUUGAAGGUAUUCUUAUUAUAUUUAUAAUUAUAAGAAUCUUUAAAAAAGACAUGGGUAAAAUAUUAUUCUCACGUCACUAUACACUGGUGUUAUUGGCUUAAAUUGAUAGAUAAUUAAGUAAAUUUGUUGAGGAAAAGAAAAAUUUAAAUAUAGAUAACCUAAGAGAAAAACAAAAACUCAAAAAAAGGUGGUAGUUUCAAGAUUGAAGUCAAAAAAUCACUUUGAUUCUCAUACUUUUCAAAUAAUGACUUUUUAGUCCCUUAAGUUUUUCUAAAUUUUAUUUUUGAUCCACAUCUUCAUUUUUUUGUUUUCUCAUUCCAUAAUUUGAUAGAGGAGACAAAGAGUCAUUGGAUUACAAUGCUAGAGAGAGUAUUUGUAAUAGCCUCAACAUUUGUAUUCAAAACAAAGAGUAAGAACAUGAUGAUUACAAUCCCCAAUUAUCAUAUUUCUUAUCCUAUCAUCCAGAACUUCCUCCUCUCAUUAUAUCACAACUUCUCAAUAAUCAAAUUCACACAUGUCUAAACAAUUCAAUAUCCCACAUUUACAUGAAUGCAAUCCAAAAAAUUAUUCUACAAAUUAUAAUUGAAAUACAUUACACAAUUCAAAGAUUUACAAAUAAGGAUCAUUAACAAAAUUAUAAUCGAAAUAAGUACUGUUGUAACCCAUUUUUGGGUCCCCACAAAAUAUAUAUAAAAAUAUGUAUAUAGCCAAAGGAGGUUAAGAAAAAAUAACAGGAGGCAGAAGCGCUCAGAAAAUGGUUGGAAAAUCGAUCAAUAAGGUUAAAAAUACAAAGAUUGGAUUUUUGACAGUAUAUUCUUGAAGGAGGAGAGCCCUGUUGAGAAGGAAAAUUUGAAAUUUGAGGAGAAAAGCCCAAAUUUGGAUGUUUAUGGACUUAAUUUGAUUUCUAAAUGAAUUUAUAGGGGAUUUGAUUGCAAGAAAAAUCGAUUUUUAAGUCAAUUUGGGCUUUAAUUAGAAGAAAUUUAAGUUCUGGGGCCAAAAUAUAUUUUUUAGGAAUUUAUUAGGUCAAAUCAGGGGCCUAAUUGCAUAAAUAUUGAAGUUUAAGGGCCAAUUAGGGACUUAAUUGAGAAAAUCCGAAACCAGGGACCAAAUUGGAAGAGGCGCGUAAAUGGAGGGGCUGGAAUUAAUUGAUUCAGGGGCCUAAUUGAAGAAAUUAGAAGUUUUUUGAUCAAUUAAGGGCUCAAUUGCAUAAAUCAGAGACCAAGGACUAAAGUGAAAAACGCGGCCAACAAGAGGGACGGAGACCGAAAUUGGCAGGGAUGCAAUUGAAGAAAGAAAAGAUGAUUGAGGGCUGAUUUGAAAUUUGGCGCGUUUUGGCGCCACAUUUAAAUGAAACGGCGCGUUUUCUCCAAAACGACGCCGUUUCAUACAUUCAAAAACAAAAAAAAAAAAAAAAAAAAGGAAAGAGCAGAACGGUGUCGUUUUGAACCGACACUGUUCAUCUUCUUCCCCCGAUCACGCAGCGGGGAAGAAGGAGAAAGGGAAGCUUUAAUUUGAAUUUUGUCGGCCACUCUCUCGCCUGGAGCCCACCGACCGGACACAAUGGCCGACCAUCCACCGCGCACCACCCACCGAACCUCGGCAGCCGCGCCCAAUGGCCGACCAGCCGGCUGCUCCCCCAUGAGAGCUGUAAAAAACAGCAUCCUUGGCCUCUAUAAAUAGAGGCCAAGAACGCUGAGAAACGGAGGAGAAAACGAAGAGAAAAGAAAAAAGAAAAAAACAGAGGGGAGACGGGGAGAAAAAACGAAAAAAACAGAGGAGAGAGAGAGGAGGAGGUAGAACGAAGGAGAGAGAAGGAAAAGAGAGGAACGAAAAAAACAGAGAAGAGGAACGGGAAGAGAGGAAGAACCAACCCGAAAACAAAAGAAAAGAAGCAAACCGAAAAAAAACAAAGAGAAAAGGAGCAACGGGGAGAACGAACUAAACCGCCGGAAACAGUCGCAGCGCCACUAGCCUCCGCCACAGCGCCGCCAGAAACGCAGCCAGCCACCGCCUCCUCCGCGUCAGGUACCCCUCUCCCCCCCCUAUUCUGGUGUUUAUGUAUUUCCUUCUCUGCAUGCAGAACGAAUAGCGUUCUGCAUGCAGGGGCGGGGGGAAAUUAAUUCCCCCCGCCCGUUUUGUUGCUGGGCCAGGCGGGUCCUGGCCCAGCCCAGUCUUCUGGGCCGGGUCUGGCCCAGAAGAGAAUUUUUUUUGUGGGCCGAGAUAGGUCCAGUACACUUUUGGGCCGAGAUCGGCCCAGUACACUUUUGGGCCGAGAUCGGCCCAGUACUUUUUUUGGGCCGAGAUCGGCCCAGUACAUUUUUGGGCCGAGAUCGGCCCAGUACAUUUUUUGGGCCGAUCUCGGCCCAUCAUGGUUUUGGGGCUGAGUCCGGCCCAGUGGUUUGGGCCGGCCCAGCCCGAUUUAAUAUUAUUAUAUAUAUAUAUUAUAUUUUGUAUUAUUUAUAUAUAUAUAUAUAUGAAAAAAAUUAUAAAAAAAAAAUUGCAAAAAUUAUAGAAAAAUAUAUGUGAUUUUGUUGUAUUUUUAUUAUUAUAUUUUGAUUAAUAUUGGUUGGUAUUUUAUAUUGUAAAAAUACAAAAUCCGGUAUUAAAAUACCCGGUUUUCAUCAAAACAUCAAAGAUUUUCAAAACAAAAAAUGUCUUUUGCUUUCAAAAUUUUCUAAAAAUAUCUUUGAAAAUAUUGUUGAUUUUUAGGCAUUUAUUUUAUUAAAGUGAAUUAAUAUUUGGUUGUAUUUUUUACAAACCCAGUAUUAAAAUACCCGAUUUGCGUCAAAGCGUACAAAAUACAUAUUUUUAAAAAUGUUUUGUUUUAAAAUACGGCCUAGUCUCUCCAAUAUAUAUAUAUAAAUAUUGUAACAUCAUAUUUUCACACAACAAAGAAAAUUUCAAAACAAUAUAUGUAUUAGAAUGCAUUUUUGGCUUUAAUAACCAGUUUAUUCAAGCCAUGAGAACUAGGCCAAUAUUUCAAAAAUUCUAAAUAAUCUUUUUGUCUUUGGGAUUACUAAUUUAUACGUAAAACAUAUUCUUGAUUUUACAAAUAUGUUUUUUUUAGACAUUAGAACGGUUAGGCUUUUCCCGAUAAGAUAAGGACCUCCUUAUUGAGGAGGACUUUUCUUGAACCGUAGAUGGACUAACAACUAGGAAACACAUGAAAACACCUUAAAUUUUAUCAGACAAUAAAACGAUGCAGCUUACCUUAGGUAGGGCGUAUUUGGGGUGCUAAUACCUUCCCUUUACGCAACCAGUCCCCGUACCCGAUCUCUGAGACCAGUUAGGGUUCCUAGUGACCAAAAUACUAGGUGGCGACUCCCACACCAUUUUUCACUGCUAAGAGACAACGAAUUCCUUGUCUCCCCACAUUAACCAGAUAUAUAUAUCCCCCCAUCCCUUUUACAUUUUUAUUUUUUUGUGGGUGGACGAUCGCCGCGACGUCGCUCACGUGCGACAAGUACAUAUACAUAAUUAAAAAAGAAAUUCUUAAUUAAGAUUAUACUACACAAAAGGGCUUUCGAUAAACUGUUGAUGCAUUAUAUUACAUAACAAAAUGAUAAAUUCAUUCAUUACAAAAAAAAUACCAAACAAAAUAAAAGUGUGAGGGCACCUUACCAAGUAAUAACCAAAGCCUUAACACUUUUAAAUUGAGAAAUUUUCCUUGCUUGAAUUUGUUUUUCCUCUCCUGACCGAAUGCUUCCUUCUCUUUUAAAAAGCAAGUUUGUUCUUUUUUUUUUGUUUUCUUACAGCACACACUCACUUGCACUAUAUAUAUAUAUAUCAAAUUAACUUUUUUUAAAAUACCUUCCAUGUCCCUCAAUUUUUUCUUCCCCAAUACACACUCACACUUACACACAUAUAAUUACUUCACUUUUUAAAAAUACCUUUUAUAUCUCUCAAUAGUAAAUUUUAUGAUUGUUGGGUAAAAUUUCAUGAAUCCCGACACCUGUUUAUACCAAGUUUUAUCUGGGUUAUUUCAAAUCUCAUUUAGUUACUCGUUAGUACUUUCAGUUUCAUGAAAUUCACUUCCAUAAAAAUUUUAUUCACAUUUUCAUGUUUAUUUAUAUUUAUUUUUUAUAUAUAUUUUAACACCCAAACAAAACAUUUCAAUUCAGAUUCUCAAAUAUAUCAUCAUUCUUAUAAUUUAAUUUAUCACUUUCCCUCAUUUUUCAUAAUCUUGACUUUUAUUAAUAUCAAUAAUGUUGCUGCCCAAUUUUUUACUCAUGUUUUGAUAAAUUUCUAGAAAAAAUCAAAAAAUAGAGAAAAACAAAAAUCCAAAAAAUAUGUUUUUUAAUAUAUUUUCGUCAUUUUUAGUAUUUUUAGCAUCGUCUCAAAAUAAUUUAAAUUUUCAAAGAUCUUGGGAACGCGUUCAACUUUUAACGUGUUAUUUUUAAAAAUCACCGAUUUUCCUCAUUCGAGGCGAUGUUGAUAAGAAAAAUCCAAAAAAAUAAGAAAAAUCAAAAUUUACAAAAAAAGAAAGAAGUUGAGAGACUGAAAACCUAGCAAUAUUUUUACCUAUAAAUACUGGUCUCCUCAACACACUCAGGGGACAAUUUUGCACUUUCAGAAAAAAAACACAAAAAAAACUCAAACCCUAAACCUAUCUUUUUCCAUCGGGCAACCGUUCACCCCCUUUUUUGCCCAAACACAAACUAGAGCAGCCACAUCUGAACUCCCCCAUCUCACCGUCACCUUCCUCUCCCUCUCAGUCAUCUCCUCCCAUCUCCCCGUCUCAUUCCCUACUCACCAGCCAAACAGAUCAGACAAGUCCCCCUUUCUUCCUGUCUCUCAGUCGUCCCCAUCUUCCCCCCGGCUUGAAUUUUUCUCCCCAACACAGACCCCUCUAACCGCUACAUCUUCUUCUCCUCUUUCAGCCAACAACAUAGAGCAGCUCAAGCCCUUCCCAUCGCCAUUUUCCCUGCAAAAUCAAGGAUCCCUCACGCUCUCCUUCCACCUCCAACAGUGUCGUGCUCCCCGUCGCCUCAGACCCACGGUCUCUCCUCCGUUCGACCCUAGUGGCGGCCAAAUAGCAGCAGCCAGCAACCUCUUCAUCUCCUUCAACCAGUAGAGCCCCUGCCUAACAUUACCUUCUCCUCCAGCAGCAGCCCAAACACAGCAGAUCCAACAAAACCUGCCGACUGCGAGCCACGCACCUGCUUCUCUGUAAUCCGACCACAGAUGCCCUGAACUCAGAGCCAUCGACCGCCUAUAAAUGAGGAGAUCUUCAGUGGAAACAAAUCUGAAGGGAAGAGAGAAAGAUAGGAGAACAAAUUUGAGAAAACCAAGAACGGAUCUGGAGAGGAACAAAAGUAAAAUCAAUUGUUGAGCGCGUUUCUUUUCUUGUUUAUAGGUCACCGUCGACCAGGAAAGAGGAAGGGAGGAAGUUGUUUUGGAUCUCCCCUGUUACUUGGAUUUUUGCGGCGGCGCGUGAACCCACGCGCCGCCAGCGACAGUGGUGCGUUGAGAAGACGCGUCGCCACUGUCUUGUAGCUCUAGAAGUUUGCCUGACACUAUUCCAGUGGUGUAGAAGGUGUCACUAUAAGAUUUCACAGUUUUCGUCGAUAAUUUAUUUAUCGACGGCUUAAAUCCGUCGACUUUACUCUCGUCGAUAAUUCCACAUUCCGUUGCUAUAUCGGUCGGAAACACAAAAAAAAACAUUUGCCAAUGGUUUUACAGACAGAAUUUGCGUGUAAAAAAAAGAGUUUCCUGCUUGAAAUAUACCAACGGAUUUUAUUCCGUCUGUGAUAUCGUGAUUUACCGAUAGUUAUGUACCGUCGAUAAAUAUGUCGGUGAAUGUUUGGAAUACCGACCGAAGAUAUCCGUUUGUAAAUUCAUCGGUGAAUGUAUCAAAUGCCGACGGAUUAAUUUCGUCGGUAAAACCCUUUGUAAUAGUUUAUUCUAGAUUUGUUUUUAAUUUUAUUAAUGGUAAUAAAAACCAAUUAUGCAAAUAAAAUUUAUAUUAAACAUCAAAAACAAAAAAUCAAAGUUAAAUAAUAUUCAUUACAAACUGAAUGUGUUUCAAAAAAAAUAUUAAAUGAAAUUUUAAAGGUAAAUAAUGUUUAUUACAAAUUAAUAUAAAGGUGGAGCUGGAGGAGGAGGAGGAGGCUGGUGGUUAUACGACCAAAAAGGAUUAGGCGCACAUGUUCCACUCUGUGUUGCCAUGUUUAUGACCAUUUCACGAAGCUCUUCAUAAGCUGCCUUUUGUUGUUCAUACUCCUCUCUUUGUUGUGCUUGAAACGCUUUGAGUUGUUCAGACUCCGCUCUUUGUUCUGCAUGAGACGCUUUGAGUUAUGCGUACUCCGCUGAUAGGUGGUUGUAUUUUUCGAUGAGCUGAGUCGUGUGUUGCUGCAAGGCCACGAACUCCUUAGAUUGGGAGCUCCCAACGGUUGAAACACUACGGGCCAACCGCAAGUGUUGGAGAGCCCAUAAACCUUAUUUUUAUCGGGUCCACCUGACGAUCCAACCUCUAUCCACAAAUUUGGAUCGAAUUCCGGAUGGGUCAAAGCAUCGUCCCCGUAUCUCUCCCUCAACCGAUUAUUAUAGGUCUCCUAAAAAUAAAAAAAAUAAUCAUCAUAGUCAAUUCAAUAAAUAUAAUAACUUACAAAAUAAAAUGGUUCAACAAACAUACCACAAAAUAUUGAGCACGGUUGUCAACGAGCUGUUGCGCUCCCUUUUAGCGGUCUUGACUCCGCUCCUGCGUCUGCACAAACAGCUCCAUCGAGCUCGGCUCACGUCCAAGAGACAGCCUAUAAUGAAAAAAGAUUUAUUAACAACAACUUAAUUUAAUGAUAUAUUUCAUUUAAAUUAAUCUUACCAUCCGUUUCGCAUGUGCAGCAAACAGAACAGAGCCGCCAGUGUGCGUUGUCACUGAGCCAUGAAUUGGCCGAUUCUGGUUGCCAGCACCGGACUGUGAGCGUCGUGUGAACCACUCAGACGUCACGUGCUCAAGAUAGUGCGACCAUAUAUCUUCCGGGAUGUAUAUCGGUUUGAAAUACCUCCAAACCGCAACAUCGUUCCAGCCUUGGAAACCCCUAUCUCUUGCGGUUUUUUUGCCCUUUUUUGUGCUUCAUACCAAAAAUCACGCAACCUACUUCACGCAACCAAAAAUUACAUUUUGAAACAUAAAUUUUUGUCUAAAAAUAAUCUUGUAUUGUUUUCGAUGUUACCUAGUUGCUGCAUGAUUUUCCCACACCCUCCUCGCAACAGUGUUAUGCUCAGUGUCCCAGCAGAAUUUGUGUUGUGUAUAAAUAAACAAGUUUAAAUAAAAAUAAUAAUUUAUUUACAAUUAUAUUAAUAAUUUAUUAGAAAUAAGCUGAAAUUAUAAAUUAACACCAACCUGAAAUUUGUCAAACCAUGCAUUGAUUUGAGGCAUCCAUUCAGGAUGUUUGGAUAUCUGACUCCAUUGAAACAAUGGAAUCUCCAUCAACGAUUUAAACGCCGAUGAUAUUACUCGGGCGGCCUCAAUGUUUGUGAACCUGAAAAUAAAUUAAAUAAAUUAAAUAGUGAUUACUUCAUAAAUUAUGUUGUAUUUUUUUUUUUAAAAAAAUAAAACCUUAACAAACUUACAUUGAAAGGUCGUCUUUCCAUUGUACCUCAUACUUGCGAGUAAAUUGAUUCCACUGCGAAGGCACCCCACCUCUACGCUGUGAACUAGCGCUGGAAGAGGCAGCAUCGGUUGACGGCGCAGGUGGUGUAUGUGCCUCUUCUUGAGAGGCACCUAAGGAAAUAUCAUCCUCGCUACUAGACGAACUAGCUGCGACCAUACAUGAGCGACCAGCUCUGGUUUUCAUUCUACGCAUCUACAUAAUUUUAUACAAAUAAUUAUAUAAUUAAAUUCAAUUGUUAAAAAAAAAAUUCGACAGCACCUCCCCUAUACUGGAUACUACCCAAAUCCACAAACUUGCACAUAUUAACAAUAGCCACAACCAAUUGACCCAAUCUAUACUAAUUAUUCCAACAUAUUCAAUUACUAAUCUUAAGGUACAUUCAAUAUUAAGAAUUACAAUUCAAAAAAUUAUUCAAUAAUUAUGCCAAUACAACAAAACAAUAAAUUCAAAAAAAACUCUAGACUAACAAUCAAAAUAAAUGGAAAAAAUUAAACACAAAUCAUGCAAUAAUAGAGUAAAAUUAAUAAUUAUUCCAACAUAUUCAAUUACUAAUUCUAAGGUAAAUUCAACAUUAACAAUAAAUAUUCAACAAAUUAACUAAUAAUAAUUAUGCCAAUACAACAAUAUAAAAUAUUCAAUAAAUUAAAAAAAAAAAACUAUAGACUUUAGGAAUGAAAUAUGCUUACUUUAAUAAUGUGUUGAAUUCAAGACUUUAUCUACAUUACAAAAAAUACACCAAAACAAAAAACAUAACAAAAAAAUAGCAAAAAAAAACCUUAAAAGUAAAAUGAAAGAGAAACACAUACCUUUUAAAUUGAUGAAGAUUCACAAGAAAACUUGCUAGAGAUUGUAGGUCAAAGCUUUGAAGAAUGGAGAGGAAAAAAAUCGAAUUUGAAGGUGAAAAACGGAGGAGAAGAAAAAAUGACUGAAGGGGCGGUCGCUGGAACUUAUAUGGCAGUUUUACCGACGGAUUCACCAACGGAUAUAAAAUUAAUUAUUAUUUUAAUUUAUUCCGUCGGUGAAGUGUCAAAAAUUCAUCGGUAAAUUUUGAAUUUCACACCAAAAUUUUUAAUGACCCUCCAUAUUUUUCGUGGUUUGUCGGAAAUAUAACGCGGUCAUAGAUGCAUUUAAUGCACAAUCCUUUGGAAUUCGCACAGUCCGUCGGUAAUGUUGUCGGUAAUAUUGACCCGCCAACACCUUACCGACGGACAUAACUAGCAAUUAUUUUCGAACUCUCUGUAAAAUGCCGACGGACAUCACUCCGUCGGUAUGGAUGUCGGUGAUGGUGGCAUUUCAAGUAAUUAUUUUCGAACUCUUUGUGAAAUGCUGACGGACAUAGUCCAUUGGUAUAGACGUCGGUGAUUGUGGCAUUGUACAAGAAAGGUUGUAUUUGUAUUGCCUAUUUACCUUCCUGCAAAAACUUAAAUGAUAAACUGUCCAUCGCAUAAAACAAUAACAACAGUGCUUAAACAAUAAAUAUUUCGUGUUACAAAAUAUAUCAUCCAUAAUCCAAAAUACACAGGGCUUCAUUUUGAUAGAUAGUUAGUCAGAAUUUUCUUCUUUUUCGUCAUCAAUUGAAUAGUCAUCACCUUCAUCGUAAUCUUCAAUAUGGAUAUCAUCUUCUUCAUCGACAUUUGCUUGUCCGCUAGAGCUCAAAACAACAUUCAACUCCUCUGCGUCAACAUCAACAAGACUAUCAUCGAAAACACGAAAAUUUGAAUUUUCUUCCAAUUCAAUCAAAGGAGCAACUCGAUAUGGUUCAACCAAUUCACUAACUUGAAAGACUUCAUCUUGCACACUUGUGUCUUCGUUCUCAUCCUGAACAACCUCGACACGACCCUGAGGUUUCGUUUUUAAAACGGACAACCAAUCCACUCUUGAUCGAUCCUUUCUAAAUGAAGGGGUGUAUGUGUAAUAAACUUGUUGACAUUGUUUUGCGAAAACAAAGACAUCGUUUAUGUUGCGGAGUCUAGCUUUUGAGUUGAUUUCGACCAGACCAUAGUGCGGAUGAACUCUGAUUCCUCUGUCAGUCAUGUCAUACCAAUAGCAUUUGAAUAAAAACACUCUAUUUUGCUCGCUAUGAUAUUGCAGUUCGACGACCUCUUCUAAUCUACCAUAGUAGUCAACUUCUAACUCACUACUAGUGGAUCCUUUAACACAAACACCGCUGUUGUAUGUCUUUCUUCCUUGCCCGUAUUCUUUAGUAUUGUCGCACCCUCGCGGUGGAGCGCAGCGACCAUCGGUUGAUUUUGGGGUCUUUUGUUUUGUGUAAAAGGGAGUCGCCACCUAGUAUUAUGGUCACUAGGAAACCUAACUAGUCUUUCAGAGAUUCUAAGGCAAGGGACUGGUUGCGUAAAGGGAAGGUAUUAGCACCCCUAGUACGCCCUACCUAAGGUAAGCUGCUUGGUGUUUGGUUUGCCUUAUAAUUCCUAUGGUGUUGGUGUUUUCUAAUCCAAUCAGUUUUUCUAGGUUUGAUUCUAACUAAAUUUAUUAAGAUAGAAAUCCAAGGAGAUUCCAUGCGCUUUAAUAGCUCAUUUUUCCCUUGGUAUUUCAAGAGUUUGCGACUCGUAAAUUGCAAGGAGGAGGGACAAAAAUUUAGAGAUCUAGGGCGCUUUAAAAGCCUAUUUUGACUUGCCUUAGUGUUUUAUACUCUCACGGCUCGUAAACCGUGGAGUAAAAAAUUGAAAUGUCCUCGAUUAUAAUCAAGGCUUCUUUCAAGGAUGUGUGCGGAUUUAUUAUUCCUAGAAAAUUAUUUUGGAUAUUUACCACUCCGGGUUUCUUUAUCCAAAUAUUAACAGUGAAUAAUAACAAAUUAUUCCCAAUAAUAUUUUGAAUAUUCGUCCUUUAAGGAUUUCUUUAUCCAAACAUUAGCGGUGAAUAAUAGAUGAAUUCCCCCCAAAAAUAAGAUUUUUAUAUUUUUUGGAAUAUUGGCCAAUACCCUUUGGAGUUUUACAAACAUGUUGUAAAAUCCAGAAAUGCAAGAAAAUAAUUUUUGUUGUGUUUAAGAAAUCCAUGCGAAAACACAUUUUCGAAACUUCCAAUAUUUUUUGUAUAUAAAAAAAAAGAGCGUUCAAAACAUGUUAGGGUAUUGGCCGUAUGCAACACACAAGAAAACAUUUUUUUUUGUAUUUUAUUAUUUGCCGCAGUUGCGUCGAAAACUGGGUAUUCUAAAUACGAGAUUGGUAUAUAUUUUUUUACAACAUAAAAAAAAUUCAGACUUUAAAAUAAAUAUUCCAGAAAAAAAAUCUCUUUCUCUUUCUUUAAUUUUUUUUGAAAGAAAGAAAAAAAAAGAAAAAAGAAAACAGCAUGUCCGGUCGGGUCACGUGCCCUAGCAAGUGACCCGGCAGAACACAAAAUAAAGGGGCGCAGUCUUCUCAAUGAAACAAGGCUAAAUGCAUGCAAAGAGACCACGUUACUGUUGAAGUGAAUUAAAAUUCACUUGAACAAUGCAAACACAAAGCAAAAAGAAUGCAUGGUGCGGGAGGUGAAGAGAACAGACCUGGGAACAAAAGGACAACGGUGAUGUUUGAAGGCUUGCUGGCUAGUCGAUCAGUGCUGCCGUCUGCUUCAGUUCUUUCCCCCUAUUCUCUGUUGGCAUUCUUCUUCUGAGUUUCACCUCUGCAAUCUUCGUGCCUCUCUCUACUGGUUUUCUGCACUUUCUUCUUCCCUGUUCUGCAGAUUUUAUAUGCAAAAAGAAUGAAAGCAAAGACCGAAAGGCAGUCCCUGCUGGUUUAUGGUUUUUUGUUUUUCCUGCACUUUCUCCUUUUUUUUUCUCCUCCUCUGUCCUGUUUUCUGUGUUUUCUUUCUCUCCCUCUGUGGUAACUGAAAUGGAUGAAGACAACGGUACUGCAGCUUCUGUGCACAGCCGGUGGUCACUGCUUCUGGGGACACUGAAAACGAUGGCCACGCCGGUUGAUGAUCUCUGUUCCUUUUCUUUCCUUCUGUUGAUGCUCUCUAUGGAGAUGAUGAGGGAGACAACGAUGAAAACGUGCUAUGCUGGUUGAGUUCACGCCCCUGCCUCUGUGUUUUUCUGCUUUUGACAGUGGCGUUCUGCUUUCUUUGCCUUGCCUCUCUCUCGUUUCUUCUUGUCUUUCCUUUCUCGUUUUUCUCUGUUCUCUCCUUUCUUUUUCUGUUUUUCUCCUCUCCUUUUUCUCCCCUUUUUGCCGCCCCCUUUAGGUCAUUAGAAGGGCUUAUAUAUAGUCUAAAUAUGUCUCUAUUUAGGAAGGAUUCAAUGCAUUAAUCCUAGGACGCAAAUCCCUACUGAUUUGCAUUAAAAAAAACGCAAAAAGGAAACUGCAAUAUUCUGAUUUUGUGUUGGUGCUUUACAUAUGAUUUCUUUCCAGUUUUAGAGGAGGGUGUGGCUCUUUUCUUUCCUUCCAUAGGUCCAGCUGCUCCCUUUGAAAUGAGGCAACAAAAACGUGGUCUUCAGCUUCAAAAAUCAGGCGUGAUGAGAAAGGAAAACAGCAGAGAAAAAAAGGAAAGAAAUCAGAUAGAGGGUGCAGCUGCAAAGUCCUAUUUUCCUUAUUCGAUGUGGUAAAAAUCCUGUCAUUUAUGAUGAUCCAGCCCCCCUCUCCAGCUUUAAAUGUCCUUCAAUUCAAUCCCUCAAUUUAUCACAUUUCGAUUCAGUCCUUGGUCCAAAAAAAUCCUUCGAAUCAGUCCCACGAACUUGGGCAAAAACACUAGAUAUUCAAACGGGAAUAUCUUGAGCUUUUGAUAUUGAAUCAAGCGAUUCAAAAUCCCAAAUUCAUCUACGUGUCCCGGACUACAACUUUGAUGAAGGAUUCAAAGUGAGAUAAAUUCGUUUUGAAUAACAGAAUUGCAACCAAACUCGGCUGGAAACCUUCUUGCGGCAGGAUUCUAUGUUUUCACGCUAAAUUUCAAACAGGAAUAUCUUGAGCUUCUGAUAUCAAAAUCAAGCAAUUAAAAAGCUCAAAUUCAUCUACGUGUCCCAGACUACAACUUUGAUGAAGGAUUCGAAGUGAGAUAAAAUCGUUUUGGAUACUAGAAACUAGUAGGAAUCUGGUUGGUCAAAAAGAAUCUCCGCGUCUAAUUUAGAAAUUGAUAAUGCCGAGAAUCCUGAUAUGACUGAGAGUAUGAUCUAAGAACAAAUCAAUAAAAUCUGUGAUGGAUCAGUGUUGCCGUCUGCUUCAGUUCUUUCCCCCUAUUCUCUGUUGGCAUUCUUCUUCUGAGUUUCACCUCUGCAAUCUUCGUGCCGCUCUCUACUGGUUUUCUGCACUUUCUUCUUCCCUGUUCUGCAGAUUUUAUAUGCAAAAAGAAUGAAAGCAAAGACCGAAAGGCAGUCCCUGCUGGUUUAUGGUUUUUUGUUUUUCCUGCACUUUCUCCUUUUUUUUUCUCCUCCUCUGUCCUGUUUUCUGUGUUUUCUUUCUCUCCCUCUGUGGUAACUGAAAUGGAUGAAGACAACGGUACUGCAGCUUCUGUGCACAGCCGGUGGUCACUGCUUCUGGGGACACUGAAAACGAUGGCCACGCCGGUUGAUGAUCUCUGUUCCUUUUCUUUCCUUCUGUUGAUGCUCUCUAUGGAGAUGAUGAGGGAGACAACGAUGAAAACGUGCUAUGCUGGUUGAGUUCACGCCCCUGCCUCUGUGUUUUUCUGCUUUUGACAGUGGCGUUCUGCUUUCUUUGCCUUGCCUCUCUCUCGUUUCUUCUUGUCUUUCCUUUCUCGUUUUUCUCUGUUCUCUCCUUUCUUUUUCUGUUUUUCUCCUCUCCUUUUUCUCCCCUUUUUGCCGCCCCCUUUAGGUCAUUAGAAGGGCUUAUAUAUAGUCUAAAUAUGUCUCUAUUUAGGAAGGAUUCAAUGCAUUAAUCCUAGGACGCAAAUCCCUACUGAUUUGCAUUAAAAAAAACGCAAAAAGGAAACUGCAAUAUUCUGAUUUUGUGUUGGUGCUUUACAUAUGAUUUCUUUCCAGUUUUAGAGGAGGGUGUGGCUCUUUUCUUUCCUUCCAUAGGUCCAGCUGCUCCCUUUGAAAUGAGGCAACAAAAACGUGGUCUUCAGCUUCAAAAAUCAGGCGUGAUGAGAAAGGAAAACAGCAGAGAAAAAAAGGAAAGAAAUCAGAUAGAGGGUGCAGCUGCAAAGUCCUAUUUUCCUUAUUCGAUGUGGUAAAAAUCCUGUCAUUUAUGAUGAUCCAGCCCCCCUCUCCAGCUUUAAAUGUCCUUCAAUUCAAUCCCUCAAUUUAUCACAUUUCGAUUCAGUCCUUGGUCCAAAAAAAUCCUUCGAAUCAGUCCCACGAACUUGGGCAAAAACACUAGAUAUUCAAACGGGAAUAUCUUGAGCUUUUGAUAUUGAAUCAAGCGAUUCAAAAUCCCAAAUUCAUCUACGUGUCCCGGACUACAACUUUGAUGAAGGAUUCAAAGUGAGAUAAAUUCGUUUUGAAUAACAGAAUUGCAACCAAACUCAGCUGGAAACCUUCUUGCGGCAGGAUUCUAUGUUUUCACGCUAAAUUUCAAACAGGAAUAUCUUGAGCUUCUGAUAUCAAAAUCAAGCAAUUAAAAAGCUCAAAUUCAUCUACGUGUCCCAGACUACAACUUUGAUGAAGGAUUCGAAGUGAGAUAAAAUCGUUUUGGAUACUAGAAACUAGUAGGAAUCUGGUUGGUCAAAAAGGAUCUCCGCGUCUAAUUUAGAAAUUGAUAAUGCCGAGAAUCCUGAUAUGACUGAGAGUAUGAUCUAAGAACAAAUCAAUAAAAUCUGUGAUGGAAAUAGAGUUUUUAGUGCAAAACUCGGGUCAGGAUCCUUCGCACGGUAGAAUUCUCUGCCUUCACGUUAGAUAUUCAAACGGGAAUAUCUUGAUCUUCUGAUAUCGAAAUCAAGCGAUUCAAAAGCCCAAAUUUAUCUACGCAUCUAGGACUACAAUUUUGAUGAAGGAGUCCAAGUGAGAUAAAAUCGUUUUAGAGAACAGAAUCUGGCAGUUAUCUAGUUGGUCAAAAAGGAUCUCCGGGUCUAAUUUAGAAACUGACAAUGCCGAGAAUCCUGAUAUGACUGAGAGUAUGAUCUAAGAAUAAAUCAACAAAAUUUGUAACAGAAAUAGAUUUUUUAGUGCAAAUUCUAAGGGAUUUAUCCAACCUUAAAAACAAGAUAACGAAGGAACGAAUUUAGCAUUAUGAAGACCCCUAGUCAAUCUAAGAAACCUGAUGAUUUUGGCAACAAAGGGGAAGGAUAAAGAGAGCAGAAAAUAGCUCAAACAGGGUUUCGGAAAAAAAUAUUUCUUUUUCUGCUUUUGUCAAUCUUCCAGCAAACAUGAGUUAAACUCCUACACUCAGUUCAAAAGAGGUAUACAACGUCUCCAUCACGUGGGGUCCAAAAAUGAGUAACAACAAGUAUGGAAAACAUAUCCAUUGACAAAAUACCCGUUGUAGCACUUACAUUUUCUUUCAGGCCCCAGGCUUAGUGAAGACAAUGACUUAGGCGCACUCCUUCCCAUUUGAUAAACCUUGUAUGUAAUGUACAUCAAUAAACAAUAAAUGAACAAGAAUCUCGUAAUGGCAUGCAUACGUACAGUAAUUUUGCAAGUUAGAAUGAGUUUGUGAUAGUGCAUACAUGUGUUCUGAACCACGUGGCAAAUUGUUCAUUUUGUAAUUGAAAGAACUGAGAUUUUGUCAGCUGUGUGUUAUUGGAGAGCAAAUAUUUUCGAUGUUGCCUGCAAGUGAUAAUGAGUGUAUGAUAUUAUAAUAUAUAAUUAACAGUAUAUUACUAACAAAUUUUAAUUAGUAUUACACAUAUAUAAACUUACUGAAUAAAAGGUCUCAGCUCAUCACAGUUAAAUAGAACAUAGUUGUGUGCUUGUUUGAACUCUAGUUCCGACAAAUAUCUUCCUCUUAUGGCAUUUUUAGGUGUGGGUCGUCCAGUAUUGGAGAAUAUUGACAAGUUCCCACUGGAAGGCACUUCACCGCCAUCAUCAUGUCGUGGAACGCGAUUGAUUCUCGUUCUUAGAUGAGGUUCGAAAUAGUACGAGAUAAAUGUUGAGAUCUCCUUAACAAUAUAGGCCUCACAUAUCGAAGCCUCAACAUGCACCUUGUUCUUAACCUUUUUCUUGAGAUUAAACAAGUACCUGUAUUGAAUUAAUCAAGUAUUUUCAAUUAAGAAAAACAUAGAAAAUACUUUUAUAUAUGAAUUACAUUGCAACUGUAAUAUCUAACCAUUCAAAUAGGUACAUCCAUCUAUAUUGGACCGGUCCUCCAGCUUUUGCCUCGAACGGUAGAUGUAUAGGGAGAUGCUCCAUUGAGUCAAAAAAUGAUGGAGGGAAUAUCAUCUCAAGUUUGCAUAGUGUCUCGACGAUAUUCGUUCGAAGCCUCUCAAUGUGCUCAACAUUCAACUUGCUGGAGCAUAUAUCUCUGAAGAAAUUAUUGAUCUCCGUGAGUGCAUCCCAUAUUCCCUUCGGCAACAAAUCACGAAAAGCUAAUGGGAUGAGUGUUUGCAUAAACACGUGGCAAUCAUGACUCUUCAUUCCAUACAAUCUGUAGUCCUCUAUAUUAAUCAGCCUUGAUAUGUUCGAUGCAUGUCCAUCUAGCAAACGCAGACUCUUAAGCCAUUUGUAGACUAGCAGUUGUGCGUUUUUCUCUAACACGAAGCUUGCUCUUGGUUUUGCGACCCGUGACUCAUCAUAAACCAACUCCAUAUUUUUACGGUUACAGUAUAAAGCUAUAUCCAAUCUAGCCUUGAUGUUGUCCUUUGUCUUCCCCUUCACAUCCAUGACGGUGUUGAAAAUAUUGUCAAACACGUUCUUUUCGAUGUGCAUGACAUCAAGGUUAUGGCGGAGCAGAUUGGUCUUCCAAUAAGGAAGCUCCCAAAAGAUACUUUGCUUUACCCAAUUAUGGGUCAAACCAAAACCAGUAAACUUUUGCUUACCUGAUUGAAGGCCAAACACAAUGUCACCGUACUCUGAUACAACAUCAUGCAAUUCUUCACCAGAAAGACAUGGGGAUGCAACAUCUUUUUCAACUCUACCAACAAAGAAAUCUUUUAUGUUCUUCCUAUACCUGUGAUUAAGUGGCAAGAAGCGACGGUGACAGUAAAAAAAAGAAGCUUUACCUUCGUUUGCUAGCGUGAAUGCCUUGUUGUUUUCUAUGCAGUAUGGACAUGCGAGUUUCCCAUGCGUGCUCCAACCAGAAAGCAUUCCAUAAGCUGGAAAAUCAUUGAUAGUCCACAUCAAAGUUGCCCUUAUAAGGAAAUUUUGUUUCCUCGAUAUAUCAUAAGUCAGAGCUCCGGAGGACCACAACUGUGUCAACUCAUCAAUCAACGGUCGAAGACAAACAUCUAUAUUCCGCCCCGGGCUGCUUGGACCGGGUAUGAUAGUAGAUAAAAACAUGAACUCCGGCCUCAUACACAUUCCCGGUGGUAAGUUAUAAACUGUGAGUAUGACCAGCCAACAAGAAUAAGGAGCAGCAAAUGACCCAAAUGGGUUGAAUCCGUCUGUACACAACCCAAGAUGCACAUUCCUUGAUUCAGCUGAAAAGUGAGGAUGAACACUAUUAAAGCGUUUCCACGCUUCGCCAUCAGAAGGAUGCACCAUCACUCCAUCAACCACAUCAUGUGCUUGGUGCCAUGUCAUGUGCUCAGCAGUCCUUGGUGACAUGAAUAACCUCUGCAGUCUACGUGUGAUCGGGAAGUAUCUAAGUUUUUUACAUGCCACUAGAGUCUUUCCCCUGCCAGUUCUAGGUUUGUAAUGGGAAUGCCCGAAUGUCAUGCACUCGGUCAUCUAAGCAUUUUCAAGAUAGUAUAACAUGCAGAAGUUAGGGCACAUAUCAAUUUUCUGGUAUUCUAAACCAAGGGGUUUCAUCAUGGACUUCGCAGCAUAGAAGUUCUCUUUUCAGCCUGUUCCCUUCAUGUAAAAUGCUUCUCGCCCAUUCAAUAAUCUUGUCAUACCCGACCUCACUCAACCCGUGAUCUGACUUGAUGGUGAACACCUGUGCUACGACCGAUAAUUUACUGUGGUUUGUGCAGCCAUCCCAUAAUGCUUCGUCAGAAUCUUUCAACAAGUAAAAAAACCUAGCUGCAUCUGCAUUAGGUUCUUCUUCUAUGAUUGGACAUUGACUGACAUUACAUUGAUUCAUUCUCAUUGCAUCCAUAACCAUAUUUCUGUAAGGAUUAGUGUUGUCAUUUGCCGCUUCAUGCACGUUGCUAGCACUAGAAGUUGACCCAACCACCGUUUCUCUCAUUCUCCUCUUACUAACAAAUACUUCUCCAUGUGCAUACCAACACUGGUAAUUCUCUAUAAACCCUUUGUGUAGAAGAUGCAUCAAUACAACAUCUGGAUGCAGAUAUUUUUUUAUUUUGACACUUCCUGCAUGGACACCUAAUACCGCCUCCAGUAAAAUUUCUAGGAAUAGAUGUUGCAAAAUUAAUAAAACCCUGAACCCCGUUACAAUAAUCAAUCCUCCGCAAUCCUUGGGGUGAAUCUCGAUACAUCCAUGAACGAUCAUCCAUGACUUAUAUCGAACCUCUAUAAAAUUAUGAUGACAUAUGUAUUAAUUAACUAAGUUAGGUAAAUAAACUUGCAAAAAUAUUACUUUACCUCGAGAUUAUCCAACAAACCAAUCACAACUUCUCAUAAAUAUUAAAUAUUCAUUAUCAUUUAUCAACUUCCAUACAAAUUAAUAUAUAUAAAUUUACAAAAAUUACCACUCCGCAAUACCAUUGAUAAAACUUUAAACGGACUCAUUAAGCAAGCUAUUAAUUAUUUCAAAACAGCACAUGUAAUUCGGCAAUUCCAUAAAGUUUUAACAAUUUACAAACAAAUACAAUCUUACAAAAUCUAAAACAAACCAUAACAGGUAUAUAAUUAUACAUUUAUAUACUACAAGUUUGUUUGAGAAAUAACAAUAAAACAUGUACAUCUACUAACAAAAUACAUAUACUAAAAAAACAAUAAAAUUGACAUUUAAAUGUUAAAAUUUAAAAAGAUAGAAUUACUUACAAAAAUUGAUAAAAUCCGUCGGUAAAUCAGAACACGGAUGCUGUGACCACAAAACUUCAAGAAAUAUAAUAACUUGUUGUGCUGAGAUGAGCGAGAUUUUUGUUUGAGGGGGAAUAGGGGCUGGUUGUUUGCAGAUGGGGAGAGUUGGGAUUAGGAAGAAGAAGGAGAAAUUGGAGAGGAGAGGGUCGGCAGAGAGGGCAUAUAUUAACGUUUUCCAACGGUUUCACUGACGGAAUAAUCUGUCGGUUAUUCUGACGGAAAAUUCGACACGUCACCGUACGGAUCUGCCAUUUCGAAUCCCUCGGUGAUUCCGUCGGCAUUUUAAACAGCGAAAUGGUCACGUCACUGUACAGGCUGUCGUUUUAAAUCCGUCGGAAAAAAUAACCCCGCCAAAACCUCCACGUCAGCGACCCGCCUUUUUUUUUUAUUCGGAACGUUUUUCGUCCGUAAUUCAGUCGGUGACUACCGACAGAACUUUUCCGUUGGUAGUUACCGACUGAAUUACGGACGGAAAAGUGUCCGUCGGUAAUUUCGACCUCAAAUUACCGACAGAAACAUUCCGUCGGUAAAUCCGUUGUUAUUGAGCGAAUUUCUGGUAGUGUGUUCCCUGUAAAUUCCAGAUUGUUUUGGGGCUAUUAUUGUAAUUUUAAAGUGUUUAAUGUAAUUUUUGUUUAGUUUUUUUUUUGAAUUUGUAUAAUUUGUAGAGUGUAAGAAAAAAGGAAAAAGAUAUAGUAAAAGUGUAUGUGUGUGUUUGUAUUUGUUUUAUGGAUGUUUUUUUUUUAUUUAUGAUAAAAUUGCAAAGAUUAAAGAAGAAUUUAAUAUUUUGAUUGGCUCAUGAUAAAGAAUUAUGAACUUAUACGUAAGUCAUAUUUCUAAUAUUCGAUGAAAAGAUAAAAUUAUUAAAACUUCUUUAACACAUCAAAGCCACGAAGCAACUUACCUCAGGUAGGGUGCGUUAGGGGUGCUAAUACCUUCCCUAACCACAACCAGUACCUUACCCGUGAAUCCCUGACAAGACCAGUACACCCGGGUUUACUAGCAGCCCUCAAUUAAAUACUAGGUGGCGACUCCAACGAACCAAUCAAAGCAACGCAUUAACGAAAAAAUCGCCAGUCAAAGACGCACGGGUGACAGUUGGCAUUGAUUUUCACCAUAAAAAAUGGUCGAUUUUGUUUUAAUAAGUUUCAUUUGAUGAAGAGAGUUCCAUUGGAAUGUUUUUUGCCCUUGAAAUUGUCAAAACAUUUAUGGUUCUUGGGCUGUUUUAUUGGUUUAUUACAUCAUAAAGACCAUUUUUAGGUGUUUUGGUGUGAACUUUGUUUAAAUUUGCAUUUUUGGGUCAAAAAACACCUGCUUAAUUUUCUAGUCACCUCUCCAAUGGUUAAAAAGGGGAAAGUCUCGGUAGGUGACAUGUCGCUUUUCUUUAUUUUUUUUCUCAAAAACAUUUGGAGCAUUUUCAAAUAAAAAAAGCCCCAUACGUACCAACCUUUUUUAAAAUGGGCUUGAUGUGUAGGCCUGACUUACAAGGCCCAAAAGCACUUGAAUUAUUUCUAUUUUUUUUUCUAAUUUUUUUUCUUAAUUGAUAUUUUUUAUGUUUUUUUAAUGAAUUUUUGAAUUUAUAUUUAAAUUAAUACUUUUCUCUCUAAAUAUUUAGAUUGUUUUUUUUUUAAAUAGUGGUUAUCUUUUACUUAUCUUUUAUGUAUUUAAUAUCUAGAAAAAAUUAUUCCAAUUCAUUUAUAUGUUUUUUUAUAUUUUAUAUGAAUAAACUUUAUUUUCAUGAUGUGUUUAUAAAAAUAAGAAUUAUUUGUUCUUGGUAAGAAAAAGUGACCUUUAAGAUAAAAAAAAAAAAAAGAAGAAGAAGAAGAAGGAGAAAAGUGUGCAUGAAGAAGAAAGUUAAGGUUAAGUAUCAUAUUUAUGUAUCUUUUACUUUUAUGAAAAUGAUUAUCAUUUUAUUUUAUAAUUUGAUUGGCAUUAACAACUCUUUAUUAGUUUAUUAGUUCAUAUUUUUGUAAGAUUUGUUUUUUACAUUUCUCAAUUAAGAGAAUCGUAAUAUAAUGAAAUGCAUUUGAAAUAUUGUCCCAUUUUUCUACUACAUUAAAAAUUAAUACUUAAGAUCCUAUAUGUGGCACGAUGUGUUAACAAUUAUUUUUUGUAUUUAUGAACACUUAUGGUCCUUACUUUAUUUUUAUUAUAUGUAAACAUCAACUUUUUUAUUCACAAUUAUAAUUUUCUCUUAAUUUUUAAAAAUACGUUAACAACAUUUAUACAUAUUUUCUUUUGCGUUCAAAAAAUUAUCUGACUCGUAGCAAAGUGAAUUAAAUAAACGCGUCAACACUUUUUUUAUUUUUUUUGUAUUUAUUAUUAGGAUUUGUUUUUGUUAAAAAUGCAAUUGAAAAGCAUACAAAUUUAUUUUUUUGCUAAAAACAAUUUUGUGGUCCAUAGCGAAGUGCGAGUUAAAUAACUACUGAUAUGGCUAUAGUAAGUCUUUUAGUAUAUGUGGAUGUAGGAAGUAAUGUGUUAUAUUAUUAGUUAGUUAUAACUUACCUAUUCAUUAUUAAAAAAAAACAUAAAAUAAAUAAAUAUAUUAAUAGAAACCUAAAAGAGAUCGGCUAAAAUAUAAUAUUUUUGUCCCUUUUUUUAAUUUUGUUUCACAUUUCUCAAUUAAGAGAAUCAUGAUACAAUGAAAUGCAUUUGAAACACCAUCCCAUUUUUCUACUACAUUAAAAAUUAACUUCCUACAUGUGGCGUGUUGCAUUAACAAUUGUUUUUGUAUUUAUUAACAUAUAUGAUCCCCAGUUUAUUUUAUUAUAUGUAAACAUCAACUUUUUUUAUUCACAAUUAUAUUUUUUUUCUCUCGAUAUCAAAAAAUACAUUAACAACACUUAUACAUCCAUUCUUUUGUGUUGGAAAAUAUUAUCUGACCCAUAGCGAAGCGAGUUAAAUAUACACAUCAAUACCUUUUUUUGUAUUUAUGAUUACAGUUUUUUUUUUUGUUAAAAAUACAUUUGAAAAGCAUUCAUAUUUAUUUAUUUUGCUAAAAAACAUUUAUGACCCAUAGUAAAAUGCGAGUCGAAUAACUACUAAUAUGGCUAUAGUGAGUGUCUUUUUAGUAUAUGUGGAUGUAUGUAGCAAUGUGUUAUAUUAUUAGUUAGAUAUAACUUGCCUAUUCAUUAUUAAAAAAACAUAAAAUAAAUAAAUAUAUUAAUAGAAACCUUAAAGAGAUCAGCUGAAACUAUAUAAUCUCCGAGAGAAAAUAUUGUGAAUUCAGACAAUGUUUACUUUCUCUUUUUUUGUCCUUUUUUUAUUUAGUGAUCUUUGAUGAUGAAUUGAUUAAGAUUUGAGAUGGGUAAUGUAUUUUUAUUUGUUUUUUUUAUGGUUAUCUUGCUCUCAAUAAAACAUCUUAAUAUUAGAACGAUGCUCAAUUUUAAAAAAAAAAAUUGUUGUUUGUAAGAAAUUGAAAAUGAGAAGAUCAAAAUUGAAAAAAAUAAAAAACCAAUUUUUUUAAAAAAAAUGUGGUGUCAACUUUGCCUUUUGUUUUUUGUUUUUGAUCAUCUACUUUUUUUUUUAAAAAAUUGAUCUUUGUUAAUUGGAAUUUGAAGAUGGUAAUAUUAUAUGAGUAUCUAGAACUAAAUAAAAAGCCACACCAUUGGUUUGGUGCUCGACUUUAUGAAAAAGAAAUCGAUUAUAUUGUUUCUAAAAAAAUGAAAAUAAAAAAACCAAAAAAUUGAAACAUGAAAAAAAAUAAAAAUAGGAGGCCUUUAAAAAACAAAUUGUGUCACCACCUCCAUGCCUUGUAAUUUUGACAAAUUUUCUUUUUGGCCCUUUUAGUUUAGAAAUGAAACUUUUUGAUACAAAACUUUAUUUUACUUGUAUUUUAGUUCUUGAGUUUGAGAAAAGAAAAAGAGAAAUUUAUCAAAAAAUUACAAAGAAGAGAGAAAAUUAACAAAAGCCAGCAAGGUGUCUGCUUGGAAAAAACCAUUCCACAUAAGAUUGCUCUGCUAGGAAAACAUGAUAUCAGUAUCAAACUUCUGAACAAAGAGUUCAGCAUCAAGUCUCAGUCAUCUUGAGAUUUGAUUGCCCAAAUAUAUUCACAUGCUCAUACAAUAACAUUUUUAAUAAUGCAUUAUGCAUUAGAAACAGAACAUCAAAUUGACAGAGAAAACAUGCUGAUGCAGAAAAUACUCAAGUCGUAGAAAGUCCACACAUUAAACAUUAUGCCUUUAUUUUGAAGGUUCACACACUUGAAAAGAAACUCAGAUGGGCAAGCAAACAUACGCCCUUGCUUCUGGAGGCUUGUACGAUAAUGGGCAAGCAACAUUAUUUUUUUGAGGUUCGCACAGUAAUGACUAAACACACAACAUUACAUUACUCAUGUGCUGUCAACAAUUCUUCUAACUUCUUCAGCAAUGUGAAGCCAAUUUGUAUCCCAUUGCCAAUGGUGUAAAGUCACUUAAUUAAAUCCACAUAAUUGGUGGAGUUGUUGGCAUAAUUGGUGGAGUAUGAGUGGAGAUGAGUUGUUGGCAUAAUUUGUGCCAUAAUUUAUGGCCUUUGUCUCCUCACUCUUGCCUAUAAAUAGGCAAGGCCUCCAAGCUUAUUUUGCACACCAAGAUAGAGAGAAAGAAGAGAGAGUGAACAGAGAGUAAUCCCACAAAGUUGUGAGUUAUUUGUGAAAGAGUAACUGAGGUGUUUUCUCCUAGUAAUAGAGAGAUUUCAGUUGUUCUCCUAUUAGUAAAGAGAGGUUGUAAUUCCCACAUUACUUAGUAAAAUCCUUCUAUACUUGCCCGUGGACGUAGCCAAAUUGGGUGAACUACGUAAAUUUUUGUGUCUCUUUUCUCAUCCCUUACCUUUUAUCUUGUUGGGUUUGCAUGCCAAUUUCCUAACAGUGGUAUCAGAGCCUCCUGGUUGGUGUUUUCAAUACACAAAGGUUAUUCGUGUAUAUAGUUAUUAUUCACGUCUACGACACUAUUCACCUAUACGACACUAUUCAUCCAUACAGUACUGUUCACAUACAUUACUGUUGGCGUAUAAAGAAAGUCAGUGCGGUGAUUAAAUACAGUCUAGGAAGUUCUGUCUGAGGAGAUUGGGUUUUAAGCGGGACCGUUUGUGACCCCUCCAAUCUUUCCUGGGAACUUACUUAGUAAAGUAUUAUUCACACGAUACUAUUUCUUUAUACAUUACAGACCAGUGAAAACGGUGAUAGCUGAAUAGAUCACGGUGAAUAAAAUGGCAAUAAAGUACGAGAUUGAGAGGUUCAAUGGGAGCAAUUUCUCACUGUGGAAAAUGAGAAUCAAGGCAAUUUUAAGGAAAGACAAUUGCUUGACAGCAAUUGGAGAUCGACCCGCGGAGAUCACUGAUAAUGCAAAAUGGAAUGAGAUGGAUGGCAAUGCUAUUGCUAUCAUACAUUUAGCAUUAGCUGAUGAAGUAUUAUCAAGUGUGGCGGAGAAUAAAACAACUCAGGAGAUAUGGUAGACUCUAACAAAGCUAUACGAGUCCAAGUCUUUGCACAAUAAGAUUUUCUUAAAGCGGAGACUUUAUACCCUUCGAAUGGCAGAAACCACGGCGAUGACUGACCACAUCAACACAAUAAGAACUCUAUUUUCACAACUCACUACGUUGGGUCAACAAAUAGAGGAAGAUGAACGUGCAGAGCUUCUACUUCAAAGUCUUCCUGAUUCAUAUGAUCAGCUCAUUAUCAACUUGACCAAUAAUAUCCUCUCAAACUAUUUAGUCUUUGAUGAUGUUGCAGUCGUUAUCUUGGAAGAAGAAAAUAGGCGCAAAAACAAAGGAGAUAGAAAUAGUUCAAACCAAGUAGAGGCAUUGUUGGUGUCAAGAGGAAGAUCAACGGAGCGUGGCUCUAGUGGGAGUCAAAGGUAGGGGAGGUCCAAAUCAAGAAGUAAGAAGACUGUGAAAUGCUACAAUUGUGGCAGAAAAUGGCACUUCAAAAGGGAUUGUUGGUUUAAAAAGGGUAUGGAGAAUACUGCAGAGUCAUUAAAACCUCAAGGAUGUGUUGCAAGCACCUCAGAAGAUGGAGAGGUUUUAUAUAGUGAAGCAGCGACAAUCUCUACAGAUAGAGAAGAGCUCACUGAGGUCUGGCUAAUGGAUUCAGGAGCAACAUGACAUAUGACUCCUAAUCGAGAUUGGUGGCACUGGCACCAUCAAAUUGAAGAUGUAUGAUGGCUUAAUUCGUACUAUUACAGGAGUGCGACAUGUGAAAGACUUAAAGAAGAAUCUUUUGUCCGUAGGACAAUUUAAUAGUCUUGGCUGUAAAAUCCGAACAGACAAUGGAAUAAUGAAAAUUGUCAAAGGAGCGCUGGUGGUUUUAAAGGGAAGAAAGAUAGUUGCAAAUAUGUUUGUAUUAAUAGGAGACACAUCAUGAGGCAGAAGCGUCAAUCACAUCAGCCAUUCCUGCAGAAGAGAAGACGAUGAUGUGGCAGCAAAAACUAGGCCACAUGUCAGAGAAAGGUUUGAAAAUUCUCUCUAAUCAGAAGUUACUCCCUAGGCUUACAAAGGUUACUUUACCCUUUUGUGAGCACUGUGUUACAAGUAAACAUCACAAGUUGAAGUUUGGCACAUCAACAACUAAGAGCAAAUGCAUCUUAGACCUGAUUCACUCUGAUGUUUGGCAAGCACCGGUUGUAUCCUUGGGAGGAGCAAGAUACUUUGUAUCAUUUAUAGAUGACUUCUCCAGGAGAUGCUGGGUGUAUCCAAUUAGAAGGAAGGCAGAUGUGCUUACAAUCUUUAAAACUUUUAAAGCGCGGGUAGAACUUGAAUAUGAAAAGAAGAUCAAGUGUUUGAGGACUGACAAUGGAGGAGAAUAUACCAGUGAUGAAUUUGAUAACUUUUGUCAACAUGAAGGUAUCAAAAGGCAGUUCACAACGGCAUACACUCCACAACAAAAUGGAGUGGCAGAGCGGAUGAACAAAACUCUAUUAGAAAGAACAAGAGCAAUGUUGAAAGCUGCAGGUCUAGGAAAGCCAUUCUGGGUAGAAGCAGUCAAUACCGCCCGUUAUGUGAUAAACCGAUCUCCAUCAACUGCAAUUGAGCUGAAGACACCGAUGGAGAUGUGGAUUGGAAAACCAGCUGAUUAUUCUCGAUUGUAUAUAUUUGGAAGUCUUGUGUACGUGAUGUACAAUACUCAAGAAGUCAGCAAGCUGAAUUCAAAAUCCAGAAAAUGUGUAUUCUUGGGAUAUGCUGAUGGAGUGAAGGGGUAUCGCCUGUGGGAUCCCACUGCCCACAAGGUAGUCAUAAACAGAGAUAUCAUAUUUGCAGAAGAUAAAAUGCAAAUGGAAGAAAAUAAUAGCAUUUUAAAGAAGACUACAGAAGUCCAGAUGGAAAAUACUCAGAAUCAUACUUCUUCUGAAGUUGCACCAGAGCAUGAAGAACAAGAACAAAUAGAGUCUGAAACUCCUGAAGUUCGAUGGUUGACUCGUGAAAGAAGACCACCGGCUUGGCACUUAAAAUAUGUUACCGAGAGCAAUAUUGCAUACUGUCUUCUAAUAGAGGAUGGAGAGCCAUCAACUUUCCAUGAGACUAUUAAAAGCACAUAUGUAUCUAUAUGGAUGACAGCAAUGCAAGAGGAGAUUGAAGCUCUGCACAAGAAUAACACUUGGGAUCUUGUUCCGCUACCACAAGGAAGAAAGGCCAUUGGCAACAAAUGGGUUUACAAGAUAAAGCGUGAUGGCAAUGAUCAAGUGGAGCGGUACCGUGCAAGAUUGGUGGUGAAAGGAUAUGCUCAGAAAGAAGGAAUAGACUUCAAUGAGAUAUUUUCUCCAGUGAUACGACUUACUACAAUCAGAGUAGUCUUGGCGAUGUGUGCUAUAUUUGAUCUUCACUUAGAGCAGUUAGAUGUGAAAACUGCAUUUUUUCAUGGAGAACUUGAAGAAGAAAUUUAUAUGCUCCAACCAGAGGGUUUUGCUGAAACAGGCAAGGAGAACUUGGUUUGCAAGUUGAACAAAUCUCUAUACGGUCUCAAACAGGCGUCGAGGUGUUGGUACAAGAGAUUUGAUUCCUUCAUAAUUAGCCAUGGGUACAACAGACUUAGUUCAGACCAUUGUACGUAUUACAAGAGGUUUGAAGAAGAUGAUGUUUUCAUCAUUUUGUUGUUGUACGUGGAUGACAUGUUGGUAAUAGGCCCCAACAAAGAUCGAGUCCAAGAAUUAAAGGCACAGUUGGCUAGGGAGUUUGAUAUGAAGGACUUGGGACCAGCAAACAAGAUUCUAGUGAUGCAAAUUCACCGAGAUAGAAGUAAGAGGAAGAUUUGGCUUUCUCAGAAGAAUUGUUUGAAGAAAAUCUUGCGACGCUUCAACAUGCAAGAUUGUAAGUCAAUUUCCACCCCACUUCCUAUUAACUUCAAAUUAUCCUCAAGUAUGUCUCCUAACAAUGAAGCAGAGAGGAUGGAGAUAUCUCGAGUACCGUAUGCAUUAGUAGUGGGAAGUUUAAUGUUUGCCAUGAUAUGUACAAGACCAGACAUUGCACAAGUAGUGGGAGCAGCUAGUCGAUACAUGGCAAAUCCUGGUAGAGAGCAUUGGAAUACUAUUAAGAGGAUCUUGAGAUACAUCAAGGGUACCUCAGAUGCUGCAUUAUGUUAUGGAGGAUCAGAACUUACUGUCAGAGGUUAUGUUGAUUCGGAUUUUGCUGGUGACCUUGAGAAAAGAAAAUCCACUACAGGCUUUGUGUUCAUAAUUGCAGGAGGAGCUGUGAGCUGGGUCUCUAAACUUCAGACUAUUGUAGCGUUAUCCAUAACAGAAGCGGAGUAUAUGGCAGCUACACAAGCUUGUAAAGAAGCAAUAUGGAUGAAGAAACUUAUGGAGGAGCUCGGGCACAAACAAGAGAAGAUUCUUUUGUAUUGUGAUAGUCAGAGUGCCUUGCAUAUUGCAAGAAAUCCAGCGUUUCAUUCAAGAACAAAACAUAUAGAUGUUCAAUAUCACUUUGUUCACGAAGUGGUGGAAGAUGGAAGUGUGGAUUUUUAGAAGGUUCAAACAAAAGAAAACCCAGCAAAUGCUUUGACCAAAUCAGUCAACACUGAUAAGUAUAUAUGGUGCAGAUCCUCUUAUGGCCUAGCAGAAACGUAAGCAGCAUGAAGAUGGUAAGCAUAGAAAGGAUAGAAGAAUCACAAAUGAUCAAGUGUGAAGACUUGAUUAAAUCAUCAAAGUCUUCAAGUGGGAGAAUGUAAAGUCACUUAAUUAAAUCCACAUAAUUGGUGGAGUUGUUGGCAUAAUUGGUGGAGUAUGAGUGGAUAUGAGUUGUUGGCAUAAUUUGUGGCAUAAUUGGUGCCAUAAUUUAUGGCCUUUGUCUCCUCACUCUUGCCUAUAAAUAGGCAAGGCCUCCAAGCUUAUUUUGGACACCAAGAUAGAGAGAAAGAAGAGAGAGUGAACAGAGAGUAAUCCCACAAAGUUGUGAAGUAUUUGUGAGAGAGUAACUGAGGUGUUUUCUCCUAGUAAUAGAGAGAUUUCAGUUGUUCUCCUAUUAGUAAAGAGAGGUUGUAAUUCCCACAUUACUUAGUAAAAUCCUUCUAUACUUGCCCGUGGACGCAACCAAAUUGGGUGAACCACGUAAAUUCUUGUUCGUCUCUUUUCUCAUCCCUUACCUUUUAUCUUGUCGGGUUUGCAUGCCAGUUUCCUAACAAACGAAACAAUUGGAAUUAUUUCCCACCAAUCUAAAACAUAUUCGCAGCACCAACCUUGAAAUCAUGUAACAGCUAACCACCAUUCAACAUGAGAUUGUUCUGCUAGGAAAACAUGAUAUCAAACUUUUGAACAAAUAGUACAGCAUCAAGUCCAAAUAUAUUCACAGCUCAAGACACGAGUCUCCACCCCUUAUCUCGGGUCCACUCUCUAUUAAUGCUUGAAUCUUCAGCUACUUCAGAUACCUGUAAACCAAUUCAAGUAUGGCAUGCUCGUUUAAACUUGUAAAUCUUAUUAUUGAGCGAAACAAGAAACAAACACAAUAAAAAAGAGGCAAGAAAUCAAGUCAAAUCAGCAGCACCUCUGAUUGAGCACUCAUUGAAUCAUCUGGUGUAGUAGCAAAUUUUGUGGUCAGCUUUGGACAUAGAUGGACCUUAAACUUCUCCAAACGAGGGAAUAAGAAAUAAUCACACCAUCCGAAACUAAAAUAGACAAUACUUGAUAAUUGUUCUAGCGACAACUCCUUUAGAUUAGGAAGCACCAUCUCCUUCUCAACGUUGAUAGGUGAAGCUUGAUCAUCCUGCCCAAAUACUUCCAACAAUUGAGAGGCUUUUGUUACUCUCAGUAUUUGGAGAUUUGGGAGACCUGAAGCCAUGGCUACUGGGAAGAGGCUCUUCAACUUGUUACAUUCUCUAAUCUUAAUUUCACACAAAUUGGGAAAGCAUAAAGAUUGGAGAUGAUCUCCUAACAAUAUCUGGUCGUUUUCAUCAUCAUCCUUAGCAAUGAUUUGCUCCAAUUUCUCACAGGACAAUAUCUUUAGGACUUUCAGUUGAACUAGACUGACAAUCAUGCUGCAUGUGAAUACAUGUGUCAGUCUCUUACACUUAACCACCUUCAAAGUAGUCAAUUUGCUCAGCACGAGACCCUUCCAUAAAUACCUCAUGUCAGGCAGGGAUUCCAGGCGUAAUGUUUCCAAAUUUGUCAACCCCUACAUCAAAAGAAAACAACGAUACCAAUUUGUUAGAUAUCACUCCUAAUCAAUUUUGUGCACUUUGGAACUAUAUAAUUUUGGUAAAUAGAUGAACGAAUUGUCUCCAAUAUUUCAGCCAAAAACUUAUCAACAAAAGGAUAUAAGUAGACCAACAGGGCAUGGGAAUAUGAAAUCAGAAGUUGCAGGACUGAAACAAACAAAAUAUUAGCAGAUGGAGGUUUAUCUUCCUCUUCAAAUACUUCUAUUAAUUGGGAGAAGAGCCUCAAUUUCACUAAAACUGGGAAAGCAUAAAGAUUGAAAAAUCUAGGUAGGAUUUCAUUACAAUAAUUAAUUUCUUACUUCUUAAGCCAUGCAUCAAGAGACAAGGAAUGAUACAAUUAGACAACUCCUUUUAAAUUUAGUGGAUGGCUAAAGGAUUUAUCUCCACUUAUCAAUUGCUUCAGUUUCAGAAAUUUAAAGGAAGAAAUCAACAUGUAUUGAAGUUGACAAUUUAAAUUAUAAAGGAAGAAAAUUAUUGGACAAAUAUAAAGGACGUACUUGGAGCUGUGCAGACAAAUUUCCCAAUUCUUUGUGGCCAUCAAUUUUUAGAAUUUGCAAAGAAGGCAAUUGUGCAGCAAGAUUCGUUGGACCAAAAAAGCUGUAAUUUGAUCUGGAACAAAGAGACAAUUUACUUAGUCGAGGGAACUUGAUGAUGCCAUCUGUGGUGAGUGCAUCUCCUUCUCCACUGUAAAAUAUUUGCUUUAAAUUGUCAGCACGAUCAAUCGUCAUCUGUUCCAGGUUCGGAAGACUUGGAGACAUGGAGACAGGGAAGACAUAUUCCAGUUUACUACAUCCAUAUAUACGGAGAGUUUUUAAUUUUGGGAAGCCAGGAGACUCUGGAAUUAUUUCCCUUUCACCAUCCUCUUCUAUGAUAAUAUGCUUCAAUUCACCGCAUUCACUUAUGUAAAGGCUUUCUAGCUGUGGUAGACUUUGAGCGAGUGACGGUGUGAAGAUAAAUGUCAGUUUGUUGAGAUACCAAACAUUCAGAUGAACAAGACUUUGGAGGCUGACAUUUCUGGUGGGCCCCUUCCAUAUGCAUUUGAGCUCAGGUAACCAUGACAGCUGUAACUUGGUUAAAGAUGACAGCAGCGACAUCUCCUUCUCCUCACUGCUUCCUUCAUCGGCCUCACCCAAUUCAAAUACCUCUUCCAAUGAUUUACAGCGGUCAACAAUCACCUCCUUUAGAUUUUUCAAAACUUGCCGCAAUUUUGCUGGAAACAGAGUGAAAACAUCCCCACAGUCCCUCACUUUUACAAUUUCUAAUUUAUGUAAAAACAAUUGCUCAAAUGUCUUUGCAUUUAAGGAUGUACCAUCCAAUUUUAAUCUUGUCGAGGUUGGGUAUCUAUAAUUGGCUCGUACCUUGAAGGAUGUACAAUCUCUGGGAAAAACAAAAUCUCUGGGAAUGCAUUCAACCUUCGGUAUCCUCAAUGAUAAUACGGCUAACUGAGACAACGAAUUUAGUUCUGUUAGGCUUGCAUUCUUUCCUCCUGUGUUGUCACAUCCAUCAACAUCCCAUUCCUCAAAGCUCUCUUUCCCGAUCAACAGCUCUUCUAACUUCCUCAACCUUCCAAUCAAAUUCACAGGGAUCCUUCUUAGCCUUCCACAACCUGUCACAUCCAACAACCUUAACUCCUGGAGCUCUCGUAUUUCAUCAGGUAAUUCUUCAAUGGAUAAGCACCACCUAAGACCAAGAAUCUUAAGUCUCUGCAGCUUUCUCAACCAAAUGAGGUCCUUGCAUUCCAGUGAUUGCAAUGACAAACACCCUCCCUUCAGAGACAAAACUUCAAUUUCUUUCAUCCCUUCAAAGAACCUCUGAGGAACAUUCAAACCAUCAUCCAGUUCUAAUAAUAGAACUUUGAGCCGUGGACAUACCAAUCCUUCAGGAAGUUCAGCUAGUUUAUUGCCCAUUAACGAAAUUGUUGUACAACCUUCAAAGCUUUUACCCGUCCAUUGCCACUUCUCUAACCCUAAGCCAGCCUUUACCUCGAAUCCAUAUUCUGUACGUGCUAUCCGAAUAGCAACAUCACGAACAAGGUCAUGCAUUCUUACAUGUUCUUCAGUUUCAGAGCCCAACAGCAUGCAACAAUCUUUGAGGUUUUCGAUUGCCACAGAAACUCGUUUCCUUGCAUCUUCAAUGGGCUCCGCAUCUUGAUGUAACCCAUAGCCAACUGCAUAUCUCGUCAAGUCCUCGAUUGGAAUGUCAUAGUCUUCUGGAAAUAAACAGCAUAGCACGAAACAUGACUUGGUUUCCUCGAGCUUCAAAUAAUCAUAGCUCAACUUAAGACAUGUAUAAGCAUUAUUUUUUUCAUCAAUUNNNNNNNNNNNNNNNNNNNNNNNNNNNNNNNNNNNNNNNNNNNNNNNNNNNNNNNNNNNNNNNNNNNNNNNNNNNNNNNNNNNNNNNNNNNNNNNNNNNNCUCGUGAUGCAUCUCUUAGAGCCCUUCCCACUGUCACAAGUGCUAUAGGCAAGCCUUGGCAUUCUCUCGCAACCUCCCUUGCCACUGUGUUCAAGGUAGAGUUCCCAUCACGUAAACCUGCAUUGAUUCUGAAUAAAUCCCAUGCUUCUUUUUCAGGUAAUUCUCUUAAGAACACUUUUUGCUGGCUGUUCAUAGAAGAACAUACGCCUUGACGACGUGUUGUUAGAAGAAUUUUACAACCCCCGUGAUCAACACCAAAUGGGAUCCCUAUCUCUUUCAAGUCAAUAAAUUCCCAAACAUCAUCUAGGAUUAUAAGCAUCUUCUCCACUUCCUUCAGUCUCUGCCAUAAUCGACCUGCUCUCCCUUCUUUACUGUUUUCUUCAAUUUUCAAACCUAACAUAUCUGCCAUUCGGUUCUGAAUGUCUAUGACAUUUGGAUUCUGCGACACCGUAGCCAUCAAAACUUCAUCAAACAGCUGCAACUCUUUGGCUCUCUUGCCUACUUCUUUCACCACGGUGGUUUUACCCACCCCUCCCAUGCCGCACAGUCCGAUCAUAUUGACGUUGUCAUCUUUGAGAGCUUCCAUAAUCUGUUUGAAAGCUUCUUCUGACGAUUCUGAGGGCAUGAAUUCCUUUGAUGGGAGAAAUUCUAUGGGCUGAGGAUAAGCUCUGUGGGACACUUUUGUAAACUUCUUUUCUAAAAGUUCUCUGAAAGUCUCCGACUUCUUGGCCAGUGCCUUGCUUAACUUGAAUUGUCGCAUGCAGUUUGGACACCAAGUGAAGCAUUUGCCAUUUUUUCCUAUUUCAUUUUCCCAGGGCUUCGCACCUUCAAUUUCGUUUAUUGCAUCUCCCAGCCACUUUUUGACAUCUUCGUAAAUUUCUUCAGCAUUCCUUUCAGCAGCUUUGACAUCGUCUUGCAGACGUUCUUUUUCCGAAACCAGCUUCUCCUUUUGUUGUUCGAAUUCCUUAACAAAAUCGUUGAAACAGAACAUGUAACGGAACUGCCUUCCUACUGGUUCCACCAUGAGUUCUCCUAUCUUAGAUAUAAUGGAUCCACCCACACUUUCGAUAGCCAUUUUCCACCGACCUGAAAAUCAGAGAAAUAAGAAUACACAGAACGUGAGAGUGAGUCACUACAAGUAAAACAGGCGCAGAGAGAAUGGGAAUAGGAAUUUCAUUACCUUUAUUUGGGAAAAUAUGUGCGAAAAGCACUGGCAAUCAAUGAAAUAGCGGGAGGAAGAAAAGGAGAAGGCCUCUAGCUCUGUAUGGAAUCCAGCUUCAAAAGCAAGGCAAGCUUCAAACUGACACUUGUGAGUUGAAGUAGUAAUUCCCAUUAAAAAUGCAUCUUGAUGACAUAAUUAAGAUAAUAUAGAGACAGUGACAGAGAAAUAAAGAAACGAAUGAAAGGUUCAGGAUAAUCACAUAGACGCCUCCCUGGAUGAUACCAGCUCGCUUCCAACAACAAAUAUAAUUAACCUAAGCUAUGACCGGUCAGUUUUUUUUAGUUUUCUUUUCUUUUCUUUUUAAAAAAAAAACAGAUCAACAAGGGAAAAGACUUGCAAAAAAGUAGAAUUACUGGAACGAACUCAACAAAGGAUCAAACUCAAAAAAAUGAAAGUAAUUGUCUAUGAGAAGCAUUUCUGUGUCACACACUCAAGUAAUAUGAUUGACCUAUUACAUUAUACAAAUUAAUAAUAAUAAUAAUAAUAAAAGAACUAGGUUUUUGAUGGCAUCCAGAGUGCUGUUUCUUUCAAAUAAAGAGGCUUGUGCAUGUAGUGUUAUGCUGUUCAUGUAGGGUAAGAUCUCCUAUGAAUACAAUUGUAAAAUCAUACAAUUUGUAUUCUUUUUAUUAAGCUGCUAAUUUAUGCAGCUUUAGCUCAUGUUCUCUCUUCUUGUUUAGCAACUCUGAUCUGAUCCUUUUCUUUGCAUGAUAUAAGAGCAGGUUCUUACCUCUUGAAGUCUGCUGGAUAAACCUAUCAGCAGAAGAUCCUCAAGCGAUCCCAAAUCACAGCUUCAAUCCCCACCACAACCAAUCUCCUCUUUCCCGUAGUCUUUCGUCCUCAAUUGGGAAAUGAUCUCAAAAAAUCAUUUGAUGCAACAAGUAGGGUAGAGAAAUAUAAGACUUCUAGGAAAUUGUUUCACUGUAAAAUGGCUGAAGGUUCUUUUAUGAACACUUAUAUUAAAAAAUUGGGUCAAUUAAUCUUUGUUAUUUAAUAUGAAUAAAGUGUUGAUUUAUAAGUCUUGUAGUCAUUAUCUCAAAGCUUAUAAAUUAUCGCACGGAUAAAUUGCAAUUAAUGUAUGCAAAAUAUAAAGACAAUAACAAAUAACACAAGAAGUAGUAGAAACACACUCACCUUAUAGUAGAGACAAGCGAAUGAUUAUGAAUGGAAGGUUCAUGCACGAUCACUUGGUCGACACUCACACACUUGAUAACACCUUUGAUCUAUCGAUCGAUUCCAACCACAAAUAUAAUUUAUGUUAGGAGUUAUGUAUGUGGGUUGGGACAAAAGAAAGAAUUGAUUUGAUCAAGUAAGGGGCUCCGAUGUCUAGAGAGGACCUUGCCGUUAAGGAAAUAACCAUAGAAACUAUGGAGCUCACUAUUUAUUAAUCCAUUUCUAUUUACUACUUAUUACCAUUUAUUUAUUUUUAUUUACUAUAUUUUUAUUUUGAUACACAGUACCAAUAAAAUCUGAGAUUCCUUCAAUUUUUUAGGUGCAUGCAAGUCUAAUGGCUUCAUGUACAAAAUCAAUUCAAGGGUGUGUAUCCUUAACUAUCAGGGUAACCUUUACAGGCUUAGCUAGCAAUCGAUAAUUAAUUUUUAAUGAAUUCAAUUUUUAUUUAAAAUAAGGAAAAGGACAUUGGUGAAUAAAUUGUUUCCUUCCUAUUAUAAUUGUUAGACCUUACCGAAGGGCUACUUUAGAAAAAUAUUAUAACUUAUAGGUUACCAGGGCGAGGUGAAUUUGCGACUAAGUAGAUCAAUUUAAAUUAAUUAUUUUUAUUAAAAUGAUAAUAUUUGAAAAUAAUUUAAAAAUGAUGUUUCCAUUGAUACUCAUUCUCAAUGUUUUUUUUUUUUUGCCUUAUUUAGCUUUUUUUUCAACUAUUUUUAAUUUUAUUGGGUGUGUUUAGUUUUUUAAGAGAUUAAUAUGAUUUAUUUGUAAUUUUUUAUAUAUAUUUCAGACAUAUUAAAUUUUUUUAUGUGUGUGUCGAUUUCUCUUAUAUAUUGAUUUUAGUAAAUAAAUUCAUUAAAUAUAACCAAAGAAAUGACUCAUAUUGCAAUAUUAAAUAUCUUGAUUUAUAUUUGUUCCUCAAUUUUUCCACUUACUUUUUUAAUUAUCGAUAAUGACUUUGUUUUUAUUUAUUUAUUCACACAAUAAAAAUACACUUUGAGAAAUUCUUAUUCUUAUGAUUCCAGUUUGAUCAUUAGUCUCAUAAUUAUUUCUUAUUUUUUCCUUGACUAUUUUUAUUUUUCCAUUUGAUAUUAAUACGCUUUUCUAUUUUUUAUUUGAAGGGAAUAAAUUUUUUAUACUUAUACAGUAUUGUAAGGUUUUAUAGCUUUAAUAUAUAAAUGGUUGUAAUAGCUUUUUGGCAUGUGAGACUUGGGUAAAUGAAAAUCAAAUAUUUUGAAUAUCUAUCUCAUAGUUAUGGUAUUUUUAGUAUAUGAGGGUUUUGACUUGGAAUAAAUCUUGUUAUUAUUCGCUUUCAUUUAUAUUAAUUUGGUUAGUGUCUUAGGACAAAAAAAAAUAAUCAAAAUGACAAACACAUAUUUGAUUUAAAAUAACAUAGAUAGAGAUAUAAAAUAAAUAUAUUUCUAAGAUAUAUUUUGAAUGAGUUUCUAUCAUUACAAAACAAAAUGGGCAUUAAAAUAUGUUUCAUCUAUCUCCACCAUCUUUAUGUUUUAAAAAAGAUAUACUCUCUCUUUCCAUUUCCUCUCUCUGAUGAAUUUUGGCAACCACUCACACAACAAUAGCCUACACAUUUUAAAAAAAAAUCUUAUUUAGCCUUUCUUCAAUUAUUUUUAAUUAUAUUAGGUGUGUUUAGUUUUUUAAAAAAUUAGUAUAAUUUAUUUGUAAUUUUUUAUGUAUAUUUCACAUAAAUUAAGUAUUUAUUUUUUUUAUAAUAUUUUGAAUAUGUGUAGCCUUCCAUAUUAUUUUUUUUCCUUUUAUGUUAUUCAAUAAAUUUGAUGUGUGUGUUGAUUUCUAUUAUAUAUUGAUUUUAGUAAACAAAGUCACUAAAUAUAACAAGAUAAAUGACCUAUGUUGCAAUAUUAAAUAUCAUGAUCUAUAUUUAUCUCUUAAUUUUUCCACUUGUGUUUUUAAUUAUGGGUAAUGACUUUGUCUUUUAUUUAUUUAUUUACACAAUGGUUUAUGCUUUGUUUAAUUCGAUACGUGAAUAAGUUUUUCGAUUUAUAUUUAGGAUUUUUUUAAAGUAAACAAACACUUUAAGAAAUUCUUAUUCUUAUGAUUUCAGUUUAAUCCUUAUUCUUAUGAUUUCUUUCUUUUUUCCUUAACCCUUUUAUAACAAAAAUUUUGUUUGUAAUUUCAUCCUUCAAUUCAACAUGAUAGUGUAUUGUUUUUGUUUUUUUCAUUUUGGUCCUCAUUGAUCGCUUCUUUAUAUAUAUAUAUAUAUUCUUGUUUGCUAUUGUUGCUUUUUUUAUAUAUGAUUUAAAUAAAAUCAACUUAUUUAACCGGUCCGGACUAUAUAUAACCCAAGUUAUUUAAUGUCUUUUUAAAAAAAGAAACAAACUUGUAAUAUAGUGCGGACACCAACAGGUGAGACUUGAGUAAAUGAAAAUGAAAUAUUUUGGUGUCUAUCUCAUAGUUAUGAUAUUUUUAAUAUUUGAGGGUUUUGAUUUGGAAUAAUUAAUGAAGAUUUAAUUAGAACUUAGCCAUGUACUUCAUUAAAAUUAAUUAUUUAGUCCUUAAAGUGUCAUGGAUAAUUAAAAAGUCUAUUAACUAGUGUUGACCACCCUCCAUUUACUAUGUUCUUCUCUCAAAAUGCCUUCCUUCCUAAUGAAAUUUCCGCAACUGCAUCAGAUGUUUAUUCCCGUUCAAAUGCUCGCAACAGGGAAAGCAUAUAAUAAAGAGAAUGGAGCAAGAUUCUUGUCUGUGGAGGGAAUCAAUGCUUCAACUUGCCUUGUGAUUUGCUUUCAUAAGAUUAUUUUUUUUAAUAAAAAAACAACUUUUGAAUUAUAAUUCAAAGUAAAAUAUCAUAAGGUUAUUUUAUAUUAAAAACCGAAGUCAAUCGACUAGUUUCACUUCUAUUCAUUUCAGUUUUGGUACGGUUCGGUUCGGUUUCAGUUUGAUUUGAUUAUUUUAUAUUAAAAACCACAAACUAUAUUAUUUUUUGUGGUUUUUUCUGGCCUUUCUAAUGUGCUUGGUUUCGAUUUGGUUUGGGUUUUUUUGGUUUGGGUUUUUUAUUUUUUUCGGUUUUGUUCGGUUUUUUGGUUUUAGACUUAUGAAACCGAAACCGAACCGAAUCAAAUAUUUUUCAAAAGUUCUAAUCAGUUUAAUCAAUUUUUUUUAUGAUUUGGUUUUUUCAGUUUCUUUUUUUUAUUUAAUCAAUUUUUCAGUGUUUUUACUUACCCCUAAUUGUUCGAAUCAAGACACAUAAACAUAGGACAAAAACAGGGAGAGAGGCUAUUUGUUUUUUUAACUAUGUCAGAGUGGUUUUUAUAAUUAUAUUUAAUUUAUAGAAAUAUUAAAUUAAUACGUUCUUCGUGGUUUUUUUAUGAUUUUAAAAAAAAUUGAUGAUUUAAAAAAAUAUAUAUGUAUAAAACAUUAUUUUAAUAUAUUUGAAAUAAAAAAUAUUUUUAAAAGUAUGUGUCGCAAUACCAAAUUAUAAUAUAAAUUAAAAGAGAAAGGGUUUUAUGUUCAUUACUAUUCACCUAGACUCAUUUCAUUAUGGAUAAUAAUGGUAAAUUUUUUGAAAAUUUUCAAUUUAGCACUCGAAUUGUUUUCACAAUCGAGCCUUUUUAGCCAAAAUUAGAGCCCAGUUGCGGUAUCUUUUUUAAGGAUGAGAGUUGAAUUGAAAGACAGAGAACUGAAGUGAAAAACUCAGCAAAAUUAGGUGGCAGCUCUACAAUUUGUUUGCACAAUUUUCCAACAUUGCAUUUUGGUACCAAACUUUAUUUUUCUCCUUUUAAGUUUUUUUAGGUGGAGAAAGUUAUUGUUGGGAAAGAUUUUGGCCACCGAAAUGGUUUAUUUUUGUGUCCAAUGGUUCAAUAUGAUGAAAGGAAUUAAGAUUAGGUGUUUUUUUUUUACCUUCAAAACACAUAAAAAAAGGAUCUGAACUUUGGAAAGUUUUUGGUUUCGGGUUGAUUUUUGGUUUCGGGGUGGUUUUUUGUGUUUUUUUAAGGCCAUAUAAUGGUUUAAUAAGGUUUUAAGGGUGUUUCAUAGGUAUUUUUGGGUAAAAAAACAUAUUGAAAAUAGGUUUUUGGGUAAAAAAUCAAGCAUUGUUUUUCCAGCUACAUUAGUAGCCGAAUUCCAUGGACGCAUUGACGAGGCUUCGUCUAUAGAGACAGUCACAUCAUUUUUUUUCAAAUAUUGGGGGAGAUGGCACGUCGUCCGCCCAUUAACUUAACAAAAAAAAAUUAAAUGCUUGUGCGCAUGGGCCAGACCUUGCAGGUCCGCGCACAAGCCUUUGAUGGGUGGGCCAAGCACUAGGCCUAACUUUCCAGACCUAGCAAUGUAUGACCUCAUUUAUUUUUUUUAUUAUUAAUACCUAUAUAUAUAUAUAUUGAAAAUAUUUUUAAAAAUGAUGUUUUCAUUAAUACCCCUUUUCUUUGAUUUUGUUUUGCCUUAUUUAGCCUUCAAUUAUUUUUAAUUAUGUUGGGUAUGUUUAGUUUUUUAAGAAGUUACUAUGAUUUAUAUGUAAAUUUUAUAUAUAUAUUUCAGAUAGAUUAAGUAUUUACCUUUUAUAAUAUUUUGAAUAAUUGUAGCCUUGCAUAGUAUUUUUUUUCCUUUUAUGCUAUUCAAUAAAUUUUAUGUGUGUGUUGAUUUCUAUUACAAAUUAAUUUUAGUAAAUAAAUUCAUUAAACAUAACUAGAGUCAUUUAUUUAUUGGUAAUGACUUUGUUUUUGCAUUUAUUUAUAUAAUGGUUUAGGGGUGUUUAAAAAAACUGACCAACCGAUUAAAUUGAGAAAAAAUUAACCGAAAAAACCGAACCGAUAGUAAAACCGAAUAAACCGAUUAAAAAAUAAAAAAAGUCAUCUGGUCCAGUUCAGUUCCGGUUUAAAUCACUUUCUCCCUUUCCAGCCGCCAACCCCCCCUCCCCCUCCAGCCUUCCCCUUCCCAGAACCCUAAAUCACUUUCCCCAUUUCCAGCCGCCACCGCCCCCUCAAGUUUCACAAUCUAGAUGCCAGGGAACCAUUAUUCAAGAAAUCCAUACAAUAUAACUUAUACUNNNNNNNNNNNNNNNNNNNNNNNNNNNNNNNNNNNNNNNNNNNNNNNNNNNNNNNNNNNNNNNNNNNNNNNNNNNNNNNNNNNNNNNNNNNNNNNNNNNNNNNNNNNNNNNNNNNNNNNNNNNNNNNNNNNNNNNNNNNNNNNNNNNNNNNNNNNNNNNNNNNNNNNNNNNNNNNNNNNNNNNNNNNNNNNNNNNNNNNNNNNNNNNNNNNNNNNNNNNNNNNNNNNNNNNNNNNNNNNNNNNNNNNNNNNNNNNNNNNNNNNNNNNNNNNNNNNNNNNNNNNNNNNNNNNNNNNNNNNNNNNNNNNNNNNNNNNNNNNNNNNNNNNNNNNNNNNNNNNNNNNNNNNNNNNNNNNNNNNNNNNNNNNNNNNNNNNNNNNNNNNNNNNNNNNNNNNNNNNNNNNNNNNNNNNNNNNNNNNNNNNNNNNNNNNNNNNNNNNNNNNNNNNNNNNNNNNNNNNNNNNNNNNNNNNNNNNNNNNNNNNNNNNNNNNNNNNNNNNNNNNNNNNNNNNNNNNNNNNNNNNNNNNNNNNNNNNNNNNNNNNNNNNNNNNNNNNNNNNNNNNNNNNNNNNNNNNNNNNNNNNNNNNNNNNNNNNNNNNNNNNNNNNNNNNNNNNNNNNNNNNNNNNNNNNNNNNNNNNNNNNNNNNNNNNNNNNNNNNNNNNNNNNNNNNNNNNNNNNNNNNNNNNNNNNNNNNNNNNNNNNNNNNNNNNNNNNNNNNNNNNNNNNNNNNNNNNNNNNNNNNNNNNNNNNNNNNNNNNNNNNNNNNNNNNNNNNNNNNNNNNNNNNNNNNNNNNNNNNNNNNNNNNNNNNNNNNNNNNNNNNNNNNNNNNNNNNNNNNNNNNNNNNNNNNNNNNNNNNNNNNNNNNNNNNNNNNNNNNNNNNNNNNNNNNNNNNNNNNNNNNNNNNNNNNNNNNNNNNNNNNNNNNNNNNNNNNNNNNNNNNNNNNNNNNNNNNNNNNNNNNNNNNNNNNNNNNNNNNNNNNNNNNNNNNNNNNNNNNNNNNNNNNNNNNNNNNNNNNNNNNNNNNNNNNNNNNNNNNNNNNNNNNNNNNNNNNNNNNNNNNNNNNNNNNNNNNNNNNNNNNNNNNNNNNNNNNNNNNNNNNNNNNNNNNNNNNNNNNNNNNNNNNNNNNNNNNNNNNNNNNNNNNNNNNNNNNNNNNNNNNNNNNNNNNNNNNNNNNNNNNNNNNNNNNNNNNNNNNNNNNNNNNNNNNNNNNNNNNNNNNNNNNNNNNNNNNNNNNNNNNNNNNNNNNNNNNNNNNNNNNNNNNNNNNNNNNNNNNNNNNNNNNNNNNNNNNNNNNNNNNNNNNNNNNNNNNNNNNNNNNNNNNNNNNNNNNUUUGAUUUAGCUCAGUGAUGAAGAAGAGUCCGUUUUUUCUGGUUUUUAUGCUAAAAAACCGACUAAAAAACCGACCCAAACUGAACAAAACCAGUUCGGUUUGAACUGGUUCUCGGUUCGGUUCGGGUUAUAUUAAUAAGAAAUACAAUUUUCCGGUUCGGUUGAAUUUUUAGGUUAAAACUGGACCGAACCGAAUCGUGAACACCCCUAUAAUGGUUCAUGAUUUAUUUAAUUUGAUGCGUGCAUAAGUUUUUUAAUUUAUAUUUAGGAUUUUUUUUAUUGUAAGAAAACACGUUCAUAAAUUCUUAUUCUUAUGAUUUCAGUUUGAUCCUUAUUCUUAUGAUUUUUUAUUUUUUUCCUUACCCUUUUAUAAAAGUUUUUUUGUUUGUAAUUUCACCAUUUAAUUCAAUAUAAUGGUGUAUUUUUUUUUUCAUUUUUUGCUUCUUAUAUAUAUAUAUAUAUAUAUAUAUAUUCCCGUUUUGGGAAUAUUGUUGCCUCUCUCCUCUCUUUUUUCAUUUUAUCAGCUUUUGCAUGUGGAAUAUUGAGUCUUCUAUUUUUUUCAGCCACAGAAUUAAAUCCUUUAUAUAUUCUUAAAACUAUAUUUGAAUUCUAAUGAAGGAAUAAUAAAGAUUCUUGCAUGUACAAAUUCUCCUUCAAAAAACAUAUAAUAAAGUCUCAUAUGUUAAUGAAGAUUUAAUUAUAACUUAGCCCUGUAAUUUAUUAAAAUUAAUUAUUAAGUCUUUAAAGUAUCAUGGAUAAUUAAAAAGUCUAUUAACUACCACCCUCCAUUUACUAUAUUUUUCUCUAAAAAAUGCCUUCCUUCCUAAUGAAAUUUCUCCAACUGCAUACUUUUCUUUUCGUUAUUCUAUUUUUUAAGAAAGAAGAAAAAACAUAUUAAUUGGAAAAGAACUACACAAUAUGUAACUUUAAAAAUAUAAGAAUUAAACAUAUAGUUAUUGAAACUAUGGGAUUAAUUAAUUAUUGUUAUCAAAUUAUAGAGACUAAAUUAUAAUUAAACAUAUAGUUAUUGAAACUAUGGUGAUUUGUAUGAUUUUAGCUGUUGGUAUAGUAGUCCAAAUAUUGUGACGACCAUUUUAUAGAAAUGAGCACAAUGUUUUUAGAAUAUUUAUAAAAAUUGACUUAAACCAAUCAAAUAAAAUGAUUUUUUGAGUUUGUUAAACAAUUUUAAUAAAAAUAAUUAAAAUAUAAAAUAGAAUUGAAUCGGUUGGAUAUGACCCAAACUAAAUUAAAUAAAAAAAUUAACCAAGCUAUAUUUCAAUGAUCUUGGUAUGGAUUUUUUUUUAUAAAAAAACAUGUUCAUCCUUUUUUAAACUUCUUGUGGCUUGUUCAUUCAUGCUUUAUUAAUGUUUAAUUUUUUUUUAUAUAUCUUUUGAAUUUUUUUAAUGUUAUGAUAUUUUCUAAUUUUGUUUUGAUUGAUACAUAAAAAUAUUGUUUUUAUUGAUUAAAUUUUAUUUGAAAUUGUUGUUGAUAUUACAAAGACUUAUUUAUUCCUAAUCAGUUUGGUAAUGUCUACUAUAUUUUGUAAAAAGACUUACUUUCUUUAAUAGCCAAUUGAAUGAUUUUUUAUUGAACAAUAUUUUUAUUUAUAGUGAAUAGUGUUUUUCUAAGUGGUUUUAUAUUUGGGUUAAUUAGAGUUACUAAUGAGAAAACGAGACAAAUGAGAGACAAUUAACAAAAAAAAGAAGUCGUGUGUGUGUAUAUAUAUNNNNNNNNNNNNNNNNNNNNNNNNNNNNNNNNNNNNNNNNNNNNNNNNNNNNNNNNNNNNNNNNNNNNNNNNNNNNNNNNNNNNNNNNNNNNNNNNNNNNNNNNNNNNNNNNNNNNNNNNNNNNNNNNNNNNNNNNNNNNNNNNNNNNNNNNNNNNNNNNNNNNNNNNNNNNNNNNNNNNNNNNNNNNNNNNNNNNNNNNNNNNNNNNNNNNNNNNNNNNNNNNNNNNNNNNNNNNNNNNNNNNNNNNNNNNNNNNNNNNNNNNNNNNNNNNNNNNNNNNNNNNNNNNNNNNNNNNNNNNNNNNNNNNNNNNNNNNNNNNNNNNNNNNNNNNNNNNNNNNNNNNNNNNNNNNNNNNNNNNNNNNNNNNNNNNNNNNNNNNNNNNNNNNNNNNNNNNNNNNNNNNNNNNNNNNNNNNNNNNNNNNNNNNNNNNNNNNNNNNNNNNNNNNNNNNNNNNNNNNNNNNNNNNNNNNNNNNNNNNNNNNNNNNNNNNNNNNNNNNNNNNNNNNNNNNNNNNNNNNNNNNNNNNNNNNNNNNNNNNNNNNNNNNNNNNNNNNNNNNNNNNNNNNNNNNNNNNNNNNNNNNNNNNNNNNNNNNNNNNNNNNNNNNNNNNNNNNNNNNNNNNNNNNNNNNNNNNNNNNNNNNNNNNNNNNNNNNNNNNNNNNNNNNNNNNNNNNNNNNNNNNNNNNNNNNNNNNNNNNNNNNNNNNNNNNNNNNNNNNNNNNNNNNNNNNNNNNNNNNNNNNNNNNNNNNNNNNNNNNNNNNNNNNNNNNNNNNNNNNNNNNNNNNNNNNNNNNNNNNNNNNNNNNNNNNNNNNNNNNNNNNNNNNNNNNNNNNNNNNNNNNNNNNNNNNNNNNNNNNNNNNNNNNNNNNNNNNNNNNNNNNNNNNNNNNNNNNNNNNNNNNNNNNNNNNNNNNNNNNNNNNNNNNNNNNNNNNNNNNNNNNNNNNNNNNNNNNNNNNNNNNNNNNNNNNNNNNNNNNNNNNNNNNNNNNNNNNNNNNNNNNNNNNNNNNNNNNNNNNNNNNNNNNNNNNNNNNNNNNNNNNNNNNNNNNNNNNNNNNNNNNNNNNNNNNNNNNNNNNNNNNNNNNNNNNNNNNNNNNNNNNNNNNNNNNNNNNNNNNNNNNNNNNNNNNNNNNNNNNNNNNNNNNNNNNNNNNNNNNNNNNNNNNNNNNNNNNNNNNNNNNNNNNNNNNNNNNNNNNNNNNNNNNNNNNNNNNNNNNNNNNNNNNNNNNNNNNNNNNNNNNNNNNNNNNNNNNNNNNNNNNNNNNNNNNNNNNNNNNNNNNNNNNNNNNNNNNNNNNNNNNNNNNNNNNNNNNNNNNNNNNNNNNNNNNNNNNNNNNNNNNNNNNNNNNNNNNNNNNNNNNNNNNNNNNNNNNNNNNNNNNNNNNNNNNNNNNNNNNNNNNNNNNNNNNNNNNNNNNNNNNNNNNNNNNNNNNNNNNNNNNNNNNNNNNNNNNNNNNNNNNNNNNNNNNNNNNNNNNNNNNNNNNNNNNNNNNNNNNNNNNNNNNNNNNNNNNNNNNNNNNNNNNNNNNNNNNNNNNNNNNNNNNNNNNNNNNNNNNNNNNNNNNNNNNNNNNNNNNNNNNNNNNNNNNNNNNNNNNNNNNNNNNNNNNNNNNNNNNNNNNNNNNNNNNNNNNNNNNNNNNNNNNNNNNNNNNNNNNNNNNNNNNNNNNNNNNNNNNNNNNNNNNNNNNNNNNNNNNNNNNNNNNNNNNNNNNNNNNNNNNNNNNNNNNNNNNNNNNNNNNNNNNNNNNNNNNNNNNNNNNNNNNNNNNNNNNNNNNNNNNNNNNNNNNNNNNNNNNNNNNNNNNNNNNNNNNNNNNNNNNNNNNNNNNNNNNNNNNNNNNNNNNNNNNNNNNNNNNNNNNNNNNNNNNNNNNNNNNNNNNNNNNNNNNNNNNNNNNNNNNNNNNNNNNNNNNNNNNNNNNNNNNNNNNNNNNNNNNNNNNNNNNNNNNNNNNNNNNNNNNNNNNNNNNNNNNNNNNNNNNNNNNNNNNNNNNNNNNNNNNNNNNNNNNNNNNNNNNNNNNNNNNNNNNNNNNNNNNNNNNNNNNNNNNNNNNNNNNNNNNNNNNNNNNNNNNNNNNNNNNNNNNNNNNNNNNNNNNNNNNNNNNNNNNNNNNNNNNNNNNNNNNNNNNNNNNNNNNNNNNNNNAAUGCCAUGAUCUCUUUGGCUUCCCUGUAAUGAUGUGAUAUUUAAGCAGAUGACCCCGGACUAUGAUACUCUAUUCUUCCUUGUUAUUACUUGUCUCUGCUUUUGGAUAAAAGCUGUAGAACCUGAUUUUUCCUAUUCGACUUCAGAUUUAAUAAGAUCAGCAGAAUGGUUGAUACGUUGGACUAAUACUCAAAAACCAAGGGCAAUUGUUAUGUGGUCUCCCCCUAUAGCUAAUAGCUUCAAAUGGAAUGUUGAUGAUUUCUCUAUUGGGAAGCCUGACCCCUCAGGUAUAUAGAGUUUUGCGAAAUCAUAAUGGAAUUCUUUUUGGUAUUUUUUCCUUGUCAGUUGGGAUUCUAGACUCCAAUAUAGCCGAGCUGAGAGCAAUUGUCAAAGCUAUUGAACUAUCAGUCUUUAAUUGUUGUCUGCAUCAUAUACAUAUUAUUAUCGAAUCUGACUCUGCAAAUGUUAUUAGUUGGAUGAAUAAACCUCAUAAUAGGCCUUGGCUUCAUCAUAAUCUGUUCUCAUCUGUUCAGCGAUUAGCUUCAUGCUUUGGCUCACUCACCUUCACUCAUUCUGUUAGUGAGAGUAAUCACAUGGCAGACCACCUGGCUAAAAAAGGAGUGCUUAGAAACACUGAAUUUUUUGCUUGGCUCUGGAUUUUCCAGUUGAACUGCGGGUUUUCCUUUUCUUUUAUUUCUAGUUGCGAUUUUUGGAGGAUCUAGACUGUUUCUCAGGCAGGGUUCAGGCUCAUGUAGUUUUCUGCUUGCAAAUUGCAAGGAUGCAGGGCAUAAAGAAGCAUGCCACUGCUUGGUGUGAUAGAAUAUUGUGUUCUGGAGAGGAGUUGAAUCAUCAAGAACUUUAGAGGCAAUUCGAGUUUGACAGAUCUUUGUCUUGUGUGUGAAUCGUUUGUAGAAGAUUCUGAUGUUCCAAGUGUUUUCUGGAGUUUUGGAAGCUCCUAUUCAGACUGUUUUCUUGACUCCAAUUUUCUCUUUCAGUGUGCUUUUUUGAAAAGAUUUCUAGUAAUGGCAGAUUAUGCUCUUCCUACUGAGUAAUUUUUCCAGCUUCUCCAUUCAAGGAUUUUCAGCAGGUUUCUGAUUUUGCUGGCUGGUGAUGCUGGAUCUGUUAGAAGGUAUUGGUUUUAUAAUAGUGGUCGUCCUUGUCGCACGUGAGCGACGUCGCGACGAUCGUCCACCCUCGAAUGUGUAAAUGGGGGGAUGUGUAUAUAUAUGGUAAAUAUGGUGAGACAAGGAGUUCUUUGUCUCUUAGCAGUGAAAAAUGGUGUGGGAGUCGCCACCUAGUAUUUUGGUCACUAGGAACCCUAACUGGUCUCAGAGAUCGGGCACGGGGACUGGUUGCGUAAAGGGAAGGUAUUAGCACCCCAAAUACGCCCUACCUAAGGUAAGCUGCAUUGUUUAUUUGUCUGAUAAAAUUCAAGGUCUCGUUGUGUUUCCUAGUUGUUGGUCCGUCUAUGGUUCAAGAAAAGUCCUCCUCAAUAAGGAGGUCCUUAUCUUAUCGGGUAAAACCUAACCAUUCUAAUGUCUAUAUAUGUUGGUCCGUCUACGGUUCAAGAAAAGUCCUCCUCAAUAAGGAGUGUCGCGGGUGCGCGGCGUCGCGGCGAAAAUUCCACUUUGAAAUCUAGGAAGUGUGUAUGGUAUCUAUUUGGCAAAUGUGGGGAGACAAGAAAAUAUUGUCUUUUGUUGGUAGAAAAUGGAAUGGGAGUCGCCACCUAGUAUUUUGGUCACUAGGAACCCUAACUGGUCUUAGAGAUUGGGUACGGGGACUGGUUGCGUGAAGGGAAGGUAUUAGCACCCCCAAUACGCCCUACCUAAGGUAAGCUGCAUUGUUUAUUUGUCUGAUAAAAUUCAAGGUCUCGUUGUGUUUCCUAGUUGUUGGUCCGUCUAUGGUUCAAGAAAAGUCCUCCUCAAUAAGGAGGUCCUUAUCUUAUCGGGUAAAACCUAACCGUUCUAAUGUCUAUGUAAAAAAACCAUAUUUUUAAUAUCAGGAAUACGUUUUACGUAUAAAUUCGUAAUCCCAAAUACUAAAAGAAGACAAAAAGAUUUUUUUUGAAUUUUUAAAAUAUUGGCCUAGUUCUCAUGGCUUGAAUAAACGGGUUAUUAAAGCCAAAAUGCAUGCUAAUACAUAUAUUGUUUUGAAAUUUUCUUUGUUGUGUGAAAAAUAUGAUGUUAUAAUAUUUAUAUAUAUAUAUAUUAGAGAGACUAGGCCGUAUUUUAAAACAAAACAUUUUUUAAUUAUAUUUUUUUUUUAUGUUUUUGACGCAAAUCGGGUAUUUUAAUACUGGCUUUGUAUCCUUACGGUAUAAAAAUACAACCAAAUAUUAAUCCACUUUGAUAAAAAUAUGCAGGAAAAAUCAACAAUAUUUUUAAAGAUAUUUUAGAAACUUUUUUUAUUUUUGAAAUCUUUGAUGUUUUGAUGAAAACCGGGAAUUUUAAUACCGGAUUUGUAUCUUUACAGUAUAAAAUACAAACCGAUAUUAAUCAAAAUACAGUAAUAAAAUUACAAAAAAAUCACAUAUUAUUUGAAAUAAUUUUUGAAGAAUUUUCGUAAUUUUUCAAAUAUAUAUAUAUAAAUAAUACAAAAUAUAAUAUAUAAUAUAUAUGUUAAUAUGGGCUGGGCUCGUCCGGCCCAACCCACUGGGCCGGGCUCAGCCCAAAAGGUGUUGGGCCGAUUUCGGCCCAAAUACUACUAUCCUCUUCUGGGCCAGACCCGGCCCAGAAGAGGGGGUUGGGCCAGGACCAACCUGGCCCAGCGACAGACGCUGGCGGGGGGGGAAUUAUUUUUCCCCCCACCCUCCUGCAUGCAGAACGUUAUUCGUUCUGCAUGCAAGGGAAAAAAAGAAACAGGUGCAGUAAUGAAGGGAGGAAGAAGAAUUACCUGGCGCGGAGGAGGCGGUGUCUGGCUGCGUCGCUGGCGGUGCUGUGGUGGAGGCCGGUGGCGGUGUCUUGGCUCACGGACGGCGGCUCCAAGCAGCGGCGCAACUCCUUCGAACGGCGGUGUUACAGUCUUUUUCAAGUUUUUCUACCCGUUAGCAGCUUUCCCUUCUUAUAUUUCGGUUCCUCUCCCUUUCGGUUCGUUCUCUCCUCUCUUUGGUUCCUUCUGUUUUCUCUCCCUUUUUUUUUGUCUUUGUUUUUCUCUCCUCUCGUUUUCUCUCUUCUUUCGGUCCUCUCUCGUUCGGGUCUCCUUCCCCCCUUUUCCUUUUUUUUCUCUUCUGUGUUCUUGGGUCUAUUUAUAGAGCCAAGAGGCGGGGCUUUUUAUGGCUGCACAUGGGGGCAGGGGCUGCAGCGGUUGGUCGGCCAUUCGGGUGCAGCUGUCGAGACGUGACUCCCCUGUUUUCUGCAUGGCGCGCGGCGGGUGGUCGGCCAGCGGGCGUGGCUGGCGAGGUGCGGCUCCCUCGUUUUUCUGGCAAGGCAUGCGGUCAAGAGAGAGGCAGCACACUUGAAGAAGAAAAACCCACCAUUUUGCUUUCUUCCCCUGCUGCACGUCCAUGGGAGGAAGAAAGAGGAACAGUGUCGUUCAAAACGACACCGUUCCGAUCUUCUUCUUUUUUUUUUUGCAUGAAACGGCGUCGUUUUAGGCAAAACGCGCCGUUUCAUUUAAGUCCAGCAAGACGCCAAAACGCGUCAAUUUGCAAAGCAGCCCUCAAUCAUCUUUUGUUCAUUUCAAUUGCACCCUUGCCAAAAUUAGUCCCUGCCCUUAUAGUUGGCCGCGUUUUUCAGUUUGGUCCUUGGCCUCUGAUUUAUGCAAUUGAGCCCUCAAUUGGCCUCUGAUUAAUAAACUUUCAAUUUCUUCAAUUAGGCCCCUGGCCCGAAUAAUUGCAGCCCCUCCAUUUACGCGCCUCUUCCAAUUUGGUCCCUGGUUUUGGAUUUUCUUAAUUAAGUCCCCAAUUGGCCCUUAAACUUCCAUAUUUAUGCAAUUAAGCCCCUGAUUUGACCUAAUAAAUUCCUAAAAAAUAUAUUUUAGCCCCAGAACUUAAAUUUCUUCUAAUUAAAGCCCAAAUUGACUUAAAAAUCAAUUUUUAUUACAAUCAAAUCUCCUAUAAAUUCAUUUAAAAAUCCAAUUAAGUCCAUAAACAUCCAAAUUUGGGCUUUUCACCUCAAAUUUCAAAUUUCCCUUCUCAACAGGGCUCUCCUCCUUCAAGAAUACACUGUCAAAAAUCCAAUCUUUGUAUUUUUACCCUCCUUGACCAAUUUUCCAACCAUUUUCUGAGCGCUUCUGCCUCCUGUUAUUUUCCUAACCUCCUUUGGCUAUAUAUUUUUAUAUAUAUUUUGUGGGGACCCAAAAAUGGGUUACAACAGAUGCCCCCUCUUUAUAAUGCUUACGGAGCAGAGGUUUUGCGCAGUAAGUUUUAUAAAGAUAAACCCAAAACGGAACUCCCGAAACUGAUCUGGUUGAAGCUUGAUUGAUCUGAAACUUGUCUUUUACAGCAAUCCUCCUCAACUUGGAAUCCCAUCUGGCGAUUCCUUUUAACCAAUAUCGAAAUACGAGAUCCCUUCUGGCGAUCUCCUUUAAUCAAUUUGGAAUCCCAUCUGGCGAUUCUUUUUUUAAUCAACAUGAAAAACGAGGUCCCAUCUGGCGACCUUCAAAUAGCGAAACACGAGAUCCCUUCUGGCAAUCUCCUUUAAUCAACUUGGAAUCCCAUCUGGCGAUUCCUUUUAUUCAAACGAAAUAUGAGGUCCCAUCUGGCGACCUCCAAAUAGCGAAACACGAGAUCCCUUCUGGCGAUCUCCUUUAAUCAACUUGGAAUCCCAUCUGGCGAUUCCUUAUUACCAAAGCUGAUAUCGAUGUCGUUCUUCCUGAUGGCAGGGUUCAAAACUUUUCAUUCUCUCUUUUUCUUGUUCUUCUCGUUGUUCCAGAAUCCCCUAUGGUUCAAAACCGUGAUUCUUUGCUAUCAUCCUCUAUGAUUCUUUCUUCGUCUCCAAUCUUGUUGGAAUGCAUCAAGGUCUCCUCCUGUAACGAUCCAAAAAAAAACAUAUAUGCAAUGAUUCAUGAUUAGAUGCCAUGCAUGCAUUCGUACCUGGUUUUGAAACAUAGGCCCCAUCCUCUUCUUCUAGUUCCUAAGACUCCCUCUUAACAUAAGCUUGCUUUUGACGUUGUAUGCUGGAUUCAUCUCUCGUGUUGCCUCCUAUCAUAUUCUUGGAGAAGAAGUCUCUGACUUUCUUCAAGUAGUCCUUUUCCCAAAAUGUAUGACUUAUCAUUGCCUCUUUGUCAUGCUUUUGUCAAAUGCUUUUAGCUUGGUUUUCAAAUCUAUAGGCUUUCGUAAAACUUUUCAUGAAAACAUCUCUUAUUGCCCCCAGUGUAGGGAUGUGAUUUUAGUCUGGGCUUUUGUAUAAAGAAGAAAUUCGUUCAGCCAAUGCUAAACUUUUUAGGUGCGAUAACAACAAGACAUGCAUUGUUGGGAUUAAUGCAAAAAAAUGAUUGUUGUGAGAUCAAUGUAAAAGAGAAAGAAGUCAAUGGCCAAACUUUGCUUUAUUGAUUUAGGAGCCUACAUCAAGCAUAAUAUCUUUUUACAGAGUCAGAAUUCACAGGUCGAGCUAGGUCUUCUCCAUCCAUUCUAGCCAACUUCAGCGCUCCUCCUGAGAAUGCCUUCUUUACUACGUAAGGACCCUCGUAAUUCGGUGCCCAUUUGCUUUGAUCGUCUCCAGGUAACGACAAUAUUUUCUUCAAUACUAGAUCCCCUUCUUGAAACAACCGCGGUCUAACCUUCUUAUCAUAUGCCUUGGCCAUUCGUUUCUGUUAAAGUUGGUGAUGACAUAUUGCAGCUAUCCUCUUUUCGCUGAUCAAGUUCAGUUGCUCAUAUCUCACUUUGGCCCACUCAGCUUCUUCUAGUUCGGAAUCCAUUAAUACUCUUAACGAUGGGAUUUCCACUUCCAACGGCAUCACUGCCUCCAUACCGUAUACCAAAGAAUAUGGGGUAGUCCCUGUCGAGGUCCUGACUACCAUUUUCUGAAUAAUCUUCUUGAUGUUCUUGUUGGCGGCUUCUACUGCGCCAUUCAUCUUUGGUCGGUAUGGUGAAGAAUUUGAAUGCUUGAUUUUCCAUUUAGUACACAGCUCCGCUAUCAUUUUUCCAUUGAAAUUCUAUGCAUUAUCUGUCACUAUCUUUUCAGGAGGACCAUAUCGACAAAUCAAGUCCUUCUCUAUAAACCUCUUCACUACGUUCUGUGUUACGUGGGCAUAUGAACUAGCUUCUACCCAUUUUGUGAAGUAGUCAAUAGCUACGAGGAUGAAUCUAUGACCAUUGCUAGCUUUUGGGUUAACAGACCCGAUCACGUCAAUUCCCCACAUUGCAAAGGGCCAAGGGGAUAUUAGGUUAAAUAGAGGAGCUGGUGGCAUAUUGACCUUAUCACUGUAAACUUGACAUUUAUGACAUUUCCUGACAUAAUCGAUACAGUCUUUCUCUAGUGUCAUCCAAAAUUGAUGGGAGAUUAAGAGAUUGAUCAUAGUUAUUUUCAAUUUGAUUUUAUCUAUCCUUUCUCGAGGACGAGCAAGAGCUAAGUGUGGGGGUAUUUGAUGUAACCAUAUUAUUCGAUAGUUUCACUCACAUUUAACUAGUGUUUUGCCUAUUGUUUUAUGUAUAAAAUGCCUUGAUAUUCUUUGUUUUAUGUUUUGAAGGCACCUUUAGAUGAAAGAUGCAAAAAGGAGUAAAUUGGAGAUAAUUGGCAGAUUUGAUGUUCAGUCGAUGUUUUGUGCAGAGCGUGAGUUCUAAAAAUCGAAACGAAGUGAUUCCAGUGGCAUUACAAAGAUAACAUCCAUACCUUUCUGGAAAUCUAAGUGAAGAAAAAUAAAAUGACAAAGAGUAUGGAAAUCACAUCCUUCAAAGUCAAAACUCGCAUUCUGCCAGUGUUGACCUUUGUCCAUUCAAAAUUCAAUAUCUGGAGAUGUUGAUAUCCAAUUGAUGCAAACUCAAUUGUUUUGGAUUCCUGACUCAAAGUUGUAUAAACGCUCCAAAUUUCAGCCAAAAACGAUGUCAUAUGAGGGUGAUAUGAUUUUUCAAAGAUGACAGCUAAAUUCUGCCAGCAAUCAGGUUUCGUGAAGAAACAAAUCCAAAUUACAUCCCGAAGCAUCAAAACCGACAUCCAAGUUUUAAUUUCAGCAAUUUAGCUCCUCAAGAACAUCAAUCCAGAAGGUCAAGGAAGGCAGCCACCAACCUCAAGCCACCAACCUCAAACCACCAACCAGCUGCCAGCCACCAGCCACCAGCCGCCAGCCGCCUUCACACUACCACCAUCUCUUGAUGUUCACACUUGAACUUUGAUUUUUCUUACUUGCAAUUUGUGUAUAAAUAGGCAGCUAAGUUCAUGAUAUUAGGAGAGCCAAGAGAGAGGGAGAGGGAGUGCAGUAGAAUCAAAGAAAGAAGGGUGGCAACCAUAAGAGAAGAAACACAAACUCUCCCCUCUACAACCCUGAAAUCAUGUAUUCUUUCAUCUUUAGGAGUAGUUUUUCAAUAGAUAUGCAAGGCUAAGCUCGUUUUCUUGGUUGCAAGGACGCAAACACCUUCAGAUUUCAAGAACUGUGAGAUUUAUUCUUCCAUUUAUUUUCAGUUUGUAUUAUGAAUGAGUAUGUUUGUUUUCCUAUGCAUAUUUCCUAUGAUUGUUUAUCUUAAUUGCUAAAAGCGGACAGUGAAUGGGUGGCGUCUAUCCUUUUGGUACCCAAAAAGACUGGAACCACGUUUAAAGAGAUACAGAAUGAUGCUUAUGAGCUUGAUAAUUGUAGCGGAACUACGUUAUUAAACUUAGGGAGAACAUUCGAUCAAAGCAACACAAGCUGACAACUUGAUUGUUAAGAUUAAUGAAUUUAUCUAGAUCUUAAGGCUGCCAUUGGAUUAAAUCAUUAGUGCGGACACUGUGAUUGUUUGUUGGUUAGGGCUAGUUAUACGGCGGAUCCGUUAAUUAACCACUGUUAAGAAAAGAUAAAAAUUCAGAAUAUAAACUGGAGUUUCGUUUCAAGGAUCGGUUCUGAUUUCUGUAGGUGGAUGUGUGCUUGCGACCAAGGUUUGUUUUCUUGAUAUAUUUCAGUUUCAAUUGAUUUUAUUUGCUAGUUUAAUUUCUUCCAUAGUUUAGAUCAUCACAAAUCAAAACUCCCCAAUUACAUAACGUAUAGCAUAAAAAUCUGAACUAAACCUUCCUCGUGGGAUCGACCCCUUGCUUGCUCUAUACUAUCUUGUGUGUUUUAAGCUAGGGUAAUUAAUUUGUGCGACCGCGACAUCGCAACAAAUUUUGGCGCCGUUGCCGGGGAAGUAAUUUUAGUUAAUUCUUGUGCUGUUAUUUUUAUUUUCUGUGAUUGUUAUUUAUUUUUCUAAAAAAAAAAAGAGAUAGAAUUUUUGCUUGCGGCGGUACUGUUCACUUACGGCAGCGGUACUGUUCAAAACAGAUUUUUUGGUAGAAUUAGGUAUCGGCCUUUUGUUUCCUGAAGGGAAACGACGUUCUGAACAAGACUAGUGGUAUACCACUAACCUCACCUCAUCGAGGCCAAAUUCCACUGUUUUCUAGGGUUUUAGGCAGUUUCAGUUUUCUACCGUAGGAUUUUCGUACAAUUUGCAUUGUUUUCAAUCUCUUGUGUGAUUGGUUUAUUUUGAGUUUUCUUGAAGAUUUAUACCUAUAACCCGUUCUACUAAUCAAAUUCAAGUGCAGUUGGAUCUCGAAAUAGAAAACACUUUACGCAGGUUACGAAAGGAAGCUCGCCUCAACACCAUGGCUGUUGCACGACAACAAACACUCAAGGAGCUUGCUGCUCCUAACGUGGAAAACCAACCAUUGUGCAUAAACAUCGACCAUAAUGUAAACUUUGAGCUCAAAUCUGGUUUUAUACAUUUGCUACCAACAUUCAAUGGUCUUGUAGGAGAAGAUCCUCAUACUCAUCUCAAGGAGUUCCAUAUGGUUUGCAUUGGCAUGAAACCGAAUGGAGUUGAUGAAGAACAGGUUAAGUUGAAAGCUUUCCCUUUCUCUUUAAAAGGGGCAGCAAAGACAUGGCUUUUCUCUAUUCUCCCAGGAUCUAUUGGAACUUGGAAUGCCAUGAAGAAGAUUUUCCUUGAGAAGUAUUUCCCAGCAUCUCGAGUUGCCAACAUAAAGAAAGAAAAUAUGUGGGAUUCGGCAAUCUCAUGGGAGGAGACACUCUCCGAAUAUUAGGAAAGAUUUGAGCAACUCUGCAUUCAAUGUCCUCAUCAUCAAAUACCCGAUCAGCUGCUCAUUCAAUACUUUUAUGAAGGAUUGAUGCCUACUGACCGUAGUAUCAUUGAUGCUGCAAGUGGAGGGGCAUUGGUAGAUAAGACACCCGAGGCUGCACGCCAAUUGAUCUCAAACAUGGCAAUCAACUCUAAACAGUUUGGCACUCGUGGAGACUUCUCAAACAAACGAGUAAAUGAGGUAAGUAUUUCUAACCUUGAAAAUAAAGUUAAUGAUCUUACUUCUCUUGUGCGUUCUUUGGCUUGUGGAAAUGUACAACAGGUAAAAGUUUGUAGCAUAUGUUCCUUACAAGGACAUACCUCAGAUAUGUGCCCAACAAUGGAAGAAGAUUAUAUUGAACAGGUUCAUGCAGUUGAUGGAGGAUUCAACGGACAACCCCAACGUAACUAUGAUCCCUUUUCCAACACGUACAAUCCUGGAUGGAGAGAUCAUCCCAACUUACGCUAUGGGAACCCACCUCAACAAAGCAAUCAAGGACGACAGUUCCAUCCCCAUGGAUUUCAAUCCCAACAGAAUUAUCAAGCAAGACAACCCCCUCCUCCAUUCACAAACUCCAAUGUUAUGGGGUCGUCAUCCAAUGAUGAUCUUCGUGAGAUGAUGAAAACUUUGGCUUCUAACACUGUGACCUUACAACAAAAUGUCAUGUCUUUUCAACAGGAAACAAGGUCAAGUAUUCACAACUUGGAAAAGCAAAUGGGGCAAGUAGCUUCAAGUGUAGGGAAAUUAGAGGCACAAAUGAAUGGAAAAUUGCCCUCCCAAGCUUUGAAUCCAAAAGAGAAUGUUAGUGCAAUAAUGUUGCGAAGUGGGAAAGAACUUGAAAGACAAAGGUCAAAACAAAUUGAGAUGGAGGAAGAAGAAGAGAUAGAAACCGAAUUGAGUACAAAGAAGAAGCAUCCUUCUCCUUCCUAAACUGAAAUAACUACCAACACUCCAAAGGUAACUCCUCACUUAAUUAAUUCUAGUUUUAAAACAAUUCCACCCUUUCCUGUGAGUUCUUCUAGGUCAAAGAAAGAGGACAAAGAAAAAGAGAUUUUAGAGGUUUUCAAGAAAGUAGAACUCAACAUUCCUUUACUUGAUGCUAUCAAGCAAAUUCCCAAAUAUGCGAAAUUCUUGAAGGAGUUGUGUACUACCAAGAGAGCUUUCAAACUCAAAGGUCACGAAACGGUAAGUAUGGGUGAAGUUGUCUCUGCUGUUGUUCUAAAGAAUAUUCCUUUGAAGCAAAAAGACCCAGGUGCGUUUACUAUCCCAUGUGUUAUUGGUAAUGCUAGUUUCAAAAGGGCUUUGUGCGAUUUAGGUGCAUCCAUUAGUGUUAUGCCCAAACAUGUUUAUGAUUCUCUUAGUCUGGAACCUUUGAAUAAAACUAGUAUUGUCAUACAACUUGCGGAUCGUAGUUUUGUUUACCCACUUGGUGUGAUAGAAGAUGUCCUAGUCAAGAUUGAUAGUUUGGUUAUUCCAUGUGAUUUUUAUAUUCUUGAUAUGGAACAUGAUUCUUGUGAUUCAUCAAACAACACUCCUAUAUUGUUUGGGAGACCAUUUUUGAAAACUGCCAAUGCAAAGAUUGAUUGUGGUAAGGAUACUUUAUCUAUGGAGGUAGGAGAUGAAAAAAUUGAAUUUAAUUUUCAUGAUGCAAUGACAUAUCCUUAUAGCAAUGUUUAUUCUAUCACAUGUUAUGACCAAGUUGAUAAGUGUGUGCAACAAUUUUGUGAUUUUGAUAGUAAGGAUGGAUUAAGCGUAGCUUUGAGCUAUGGCUAUGAUUUUACCAAGAUAGAAGAGGUGGAGAGGCAUAUAUGUGUUCCCCAAAACGUGCACCAAUCAGCAUUGGCUUUGCAAGCUUUGCAAAAUAUCCCCCAUGAUGCAAAAGUCAUUCUCUCCAUCACGGACAGUGAAUGGGUGGCGUCUAUCCUUUUGGUACCCAAAAAGACUGGAACCACGUUUAAAGAGAUACAGAAUGAUGCUUAUGAGAAUGCAAGGAUUUACAAAGAAAAGACUAAUAGUCUUCAUGACCGAAUGAUUACAAGAAAAGAGUUUCAUGUUGAAGACAAAGUCCUUCUUUAUCAUUCAUGUUUGAAACUUUUUCCUAGAAAGUUACGCUCUUGUUGGAUUGGACCAUUUGUUGUUUCUAAUAUUUUUCCUUAUGAUGCAGUUGAAAUUACAAGUUUAGAAACCAACAAAGUACUCAAGGUCAAUGAGCAUCGCUUGAAACCUUUCUAUGAAAGUUGGACGGCAGAACUCACCGCUUCUGUGGAGUUAGCUGAACCAAUCUAUGAAGAAUAAGCAUGCAACAUGUCGAGCCAAUGACAUAAAACAAAAGCGCUUACUGGGAGGCAACCCAAAAAAAAAAAAUCAGAUUUGCUUUCUUUUUUCCCUUAUCUUUUAUUUUUCGCAUUUUACUCAUUCUCUUAUAUUCCUUUUCUUUUAUUUCAACAUUGAGGACAAUGUUGUGUUUUAAGUGUGGGGGUAUUAAGAGAACUUUGGUUUUCUUUGUUAUUUUUUUAAAAAAAUUAUGUUUGAUCUUUAGAACUCCUAUUGAUUUUUGAGAAUAUGAGUAUUAUGUAUGAGAAUUAGUUGAGAUAGAUGAAGAUAUAAAUCAAAUGAAUGAGUGUGUAUGCAAAUUUUAAACAUUUAAUUGCUUUAAGGAUUGACUUUGAGAAUAUGCCAUGUUGACUUUAUAGUGUUAUACCAAUGCAAGCUUUUGAGCCUUCAACAUUAUAUUUUUUUUAUUGUGCAUUCUUUCAAUGAUAUGUAUCUCUAGAACUUGCUUCAUAUCUUGUUGAGAUUACAUUCGCAUUACAUAUAUACAUGAAGAUGAUAAAGGCAUUAGAAAUUUUAACCACUUGAACCAAAAAGCCAACCUAAAGCAAAUUAUCCUUAGUAAACCCCUUUUGAGCUUGUUUAUCUUUUCUUUGCUUUAUCCAUGUAUAAACCUUAACUUUUUAUAUGUUUUCCUUUUCCCCUGGCCAAGGAUUAGUAGAGCAUAUACUUGUGAUAUCUCAUGGAAUUAUGGUUGGAAAUAAUGUGAAAAGAAAGAAGAAGUGAUGCUUGAUGAAAAGAUGGGCAAAGUUGCCAAAGGUGAAAAACAAGAAAAAAAAAGAAAAAAAAAGAAAAGAAAAGAAAAGAAAAACAAAGUAUUCCUUUAUGUUCUUAAGGUUUUAUGUUGAAAGAGCUUGAAAUCAAACGAAGUUAAGCAUUGGUGAUUAAAGAUGAAAAAUUUAUGUGCUUUAAUUGAAUAUCUUGUUUGAAAUAUCAUUUUUCAGAAUGCUCUACUUUCUUUGGUUUGAACCUUUCCUUUUACUUUCUUUUACCUCACCUUACCCCUAGCCCCAUUACAACCGGAAAAUAAGACCUUUUGAUUCAUGCAUUGCUUGUAAUAUGUUAGUAAUGGAGAUAAGAUUGAAGAGCAAGCUUAUGGUAGAUUAUAUUCAUUGAUUGAAUUUGAGAGAUUUAAACACAUAAGCCCUAAACACGUGAGUGUUGGAGUGUAUAUCAAUGAGAGGACCUAUCACUUUGGCAUGGCAUAGAUUUCAUUUAAAUCCUGACAAUUAAUUGAGCUUUGAAGUUUGCAUGUAAAUGAAUUCAAGAAAAUUUAUACUCUGUAUCCUUCUUGAUUGUAUUCUUGUUUAUAAUGCAUAUAUUCUUGGACAUUGAUGGGAGAUUAAGAGAUUGAUCAUAGUUAUUUUCAAUUUGAUUUUAUCUAUCCUUUCUCGAGGACGAGCAAGAGCUAAGUGUGGGGGUAUUUGAUGUAACCAUAUUAUUCGAUAGUUUCACUCACAUUUAACUAGUGUUUUGCCUAUUGUUUUAUGUAUAAAAUGCCUUGAUAUUCUUUGUUUUAUGUUUUGAAGGCACCUUUAGAUGAAAGAUGCAAAAAGGAGUAAAUUGGAGAUAAUUGGCAGAUUUGAUGUUCAGUCGAUGUUUUGUGCAGAGCGUGAGUUCUAAAAAUCGAAACGAAGUGAUUCCAGUGGCAUUACAAAGAUAACAUCCAUACCUUUCUGGAAAUCUAAGUGAAGAAAAAUAAAUNNNNNNNNNNNNNNNNNNNNNNNNNNNNNNNNNNNNNNNNNNNNNNNNNNNNNNNNNNNNNNNNNNNNNNNNNNNNNNNNNNNNNNNNNNNNNNNNNNNNNNNNNNNNNNNNNNNNNNNNNNNNNNNNNNNNNNNNNNNNNNNNNNNNNNNNNNNNNNNNNNNNNNNNNNNNNNNNNNNNNNNNNNNNNNNNNNNNNNNNNNNNNNNNNNNNNNNNNNNNNNNNNNNNNNNNNNNNNNNNNNNNNNNNNNNNNNNNNNNNNNNNNNNNNNNNNNNNNNNNNNNNNNNNNNNNNNNNNNNNNNNNNNNNNNNNNNNNNNNNNNNNNNNNNNNNNNNNNNNNNNNNNNNNNNNNNNNNNNNNNNNNNNNNNNNNNNNNNNNNNNNNNNNNNNNNNNNNNNNNNNNNNNNNNNNNNNNNNNNNNNNNNNNNNNNNNNNNNNNNNNNNNNNNNNNNNNNNNNNNNNNNNNNNNNNNNNNNNNNNNNNNNNNNNNNNNNNNNNNNNNNNNNNNNNNNNNNNNNNNNNNNNNNNNNNNNNNNNNNNNNNNNNNNNNNNNNNNNNNNNNNNNNNNNNNNNNNNNNNNNNNNNNNNNNNNNNNNNNNNNNNNNNNNNNNNNNNNNNNNNNNNNNNNNNNNNNNNNNNNNNNNNNNNNNNNNNNNNNNNNNNNNNNNNNNNNNNNNNNNNNNNNNNNNNNNNNNNNNNNNNNNNNNNNNNNNNNNNNNNNNNNNNNNNNNNNNNNNNNNNNNNNNNNNNNNNNNNNNNNNNNNNNNNNNNNNNNNNNNNNNNNNNNNNNNNNNNNNNNNNNNNNNNNNNNNNNNNNNNNNNNNNNNNNNNNNNNNNNNNNNNNNNNNNNNNNNNNNNNNNNNNNNNNNNNNNNNNNNNNNNNNNNNNNNNNNNNNNNNNNNNNNNNNNNNNNNNNNNNNNNNNNNNNNNNNNNNNNNNNNNNNNNNNNNNNNNNNNNNNNNNNNNNNNNNNNNNNNNNNNNNNNNNNNNNNNNNNNNNNNNNNNNNNNNNNNNNNNNNNNNNNNNNNNNNNNNNNNNNNNNNNNNNNNNNNNNNNNNNNNNNNNNNNNNNNNNNNNNNNNNNNNNNNNNNNNNNNNNNNNNNNNNNNNNNNNNNNNNNNNNNNNNNNNNNNNNNNNNNNNNNNNNNNNNNNNNNNNNNNNNNNNNNNNNNNNNNNNNNNNNNNNNNNNNNNNNNNNNNNNNNNNNNNNNNNNNNNNNNNNNNNNNNNNNNNNNNNNNNNNNNNNNNNNNNNNNNNNNNNNNNNNNNNNNNNNNNNNNNNNNNNNNNNNNNNNNNNNNNNNNNNNNNNNNNNNNNNNNNNNNNNNNNNNNNNNNNNNNNNNNNNNNNNNNNNNNNNNNNNNNNNNNNNNNNNNNNNNNNNNNNNNNNNNNNNNNNNNNNNNNNNNNNNNNNNNNNNNNNNNNNNNNNNNNNNNNNNNNNNNNNNNNNNNNNNNNNNNNNNNNNNNNNNNNNNNNNNNNNNNNNNNNNNNNNNNNNNNNNNNNNNNNNNNNNNNNNNNNNNNNNNNNNNNNNNNNNNNNNNNNNNNNNNNNNNNNNNNNNNNNNNNNNNNNNNNNNNNNNNNNNNNNNNNNNNNNNNNNNNNNNNNNNNNNNNNNNNNNNNNNNNNNNNNNNNNNNNNNNNNNNNNNNNNNNNNNNNNNNNNNNNNNNNNNNNNNNNNNNNNNNNNNNNNNNNNNNNNNNNNNNNNNNNNNNNNNNNNNNNNNNNNNNNNNNNNNNNNNNNNNNNNNNNNNNNNNNNNNNNNNNNNNNNNNNNNNNNNNNNNNNNNNNNNNNNNNNNNNNNNNNNNNNNNNNNNNNNNNNNNNNNNNNNNNNNNNNNNNNNNNNNNNNNNNNNNNNNNNNNNNNNNNNNNNNNNNNNNNNNNNNNNNNNNNNNNNNNNNNNNNNNNNNNNNNNNNNNNNNNNNNNNNNNNNNNNNNNNNNNNNNNNNNNNNNNNNNNNNNNNNNNNNNNNNNNNNNNNNNNNNNNNNNNNNNNNNNNNNNNNNNNNNNNNNNNNNNNNNNNNNNNNNNNNNNNNNNNNNNNNNNNNNNNNNNNNNNNNNNNNNNNNNNNNNNNNNNNNNNNNNNNNNNNNNNNNNNNNNNNNNNNNNNNNNNNNNNNNNNNNNNNNNNNNNNNNNNNNNNNNNNNNNNNNNNNNNNNNNNNNNNNNNNNNNNNNNNNNNNNNNNNNNNNNNNNNNNNNNNNNNNNNNNNNNNNNNNNNNNNNNNNNNNNNNNNNNNNNNNNNNNNNNNNNNNNNNNNNNNNNNNNNNNNNNNNNNNNNNNNNNNNNNNNNNNNNNNNNNNNNNNNNNNNNNNNNNNNNNNNNNNNNNNNNNNNNNNNNNNNNNNNNNNNNNNNNNNNNNNNNNNNNNNNNNNNNNNNNNNNNNNNNNNNNNNNNNNNNNNNNNNNNNNNNNNNNNNNNNNNNNNNNNNNNNNNNNNNNNNNNNNNNNNNNNNNNNNNNNNNNNNNNNNNNNNNNNNNNNNNNNNNNNNNNNNNNNNNNNNNNNNNNNNNNNNNNNNNNNNNNNNNNNNNNNNNNNNNNNNNNNNNNNNNNNNNNNNNNNNNNNNNNNNNNNNNNNNNNNNNNNNNNNNNNNNNNNNNNNNNNNNNNNNNNNNNNNNNNNNNNNNNNNNNNNNNNNNNNNNNNNNNNNNNNNNNNNNNNNNNNNNNNNNNNNNNNNNNNNNNNNNNNNNNNNNNNNNNNNNNNNNNNNNNNNNNNNNNNNNNNNNNNNNNNNNNNNNNNNNNNNNNNNNNNNNNNNNNNNNNNNNNNNNNNNNNNNNNNNNNNNNNNNNNNNNNNNNNNNNNNNNNNNNNNNNNNNNNNNNNNNNNNNNNNNNNNNNNNNNNNNNNNNNNNNNNNNNNNNNNNNNNNNNNNNNNNNNNNNNNNNNNNNNNNNNNNNNNNNNNNNNNNNNNNNNNNNNNNNNNNNNNNNNNNNNNNNNNNNNNNNNNNNNNNNNNNNNNNNNNNNNNNNNNNNNNNNNNNNNNNNNNNNNNNNNNNNNNNNNNNNNNNNNNNNNNNNNNNNNNNNNNNNNNNNNNNNNNNNNNNNNNNNNNNNNNNNNNNNNNNNNNNNNNNNNNNNNNNNNNNNNNNNNNNNNNNNNNNNNNNNNNNNNNNNNNNNNNNNNNNNNNNNNNNNNNNNNNNNNNNNNNNNNNNNNNNNNNNNNNNNNNNNNNNNNNNNNNNNNNNNNNNNNNNNNNNNNNNNNNNNNNNNNNNNNNNNNNNNNNNNNNNNNNNNNNNNNNNNNNNNNNNNNNNNNNNNNNNNNNNNNNNNNNNNNNNNNNNNNNNNNNNNNNNNNNNNNNNNNNNNNNNNNNNNNNNNNNNNNNNNNNNNNNNNNNNNNNNNNNNNNNNNNNNNNNNNNNNNNNNNNNNNNNNNNNNNNNNNNNNNNNNNNNNNNNNNNNNNNNNNNNNNNNNNNNNNNNNNNNNNNNNNNNNNNNNNNNNNNNNNNNNNNNNNNNNNNNNNNNNNNNNNNNNNNNNNNNNNNNNNNNNNNNNNNNNNNNNNNNNNNNNNNNNNNNNNNNNNNNNNNNNNNNNNNNNNNNNNNNNNNNNNNNNNNNNNNNNNNNNNNNNNNNNNNNNNNNNNNNNNNNNNNNNNNNNNNNNNNNNNNNNNNNNNNNNNNNNNNNNNNNNNNNNNNNNNNNNNNNNNNNNNNNNNNNNNNNNNNNNNNNNNNNNNNNNNNNNNNNNNNNNNNNNNNNNNNNNNNNNNNNNNNNNNNNNNNNNNNNNNNNNNNNNNNNNNNNNNNNNNNNNNNNNNNNNNNNNNNNNNNNNNNNNNNNNNNNNNNNNNNNNNNNNNNNNNNNNNNNNNNNNNNNNNNNNNNNNNNNNNNNNNNNNNNNNNNNNNNNNNNNNNNNNNNNNNNNNNNNNNNNNNNNNNNNNNNNNNNNNNNNNNNNNNNNNNNNNNNNNNNNNNNNNNNNNNNNNNNNNNNNNNNNNNNNNNNNNNNNNNNNNNNNNNNNNNNNNNNNNNNNNNNNNNNNNNNNNNNNNNNNNNNNNNNNNNNNNNNNNNNNNNNNNNNNNNNNNNNNNNNNNNNNNNNNNNNNNNNNNNNNNNNNNNNNNNNNNNNNNNNNNNNNNNNNNNNNNNNNNNNNNNNNNNNNNNNNNNNNNNNNNNNNNNNNNNNNNNNNNNNNNNNNNNNNNNNNNNNNNNNNNNNNNNNNNNNNNNNNNNNNNNNNNNNNNNNNNNNNNNNNNNNNNNNNNNNNNNNNNNNNNNNNNNNNNNNNNNNNNNNNNNNNNNNNNNNNNNNNNNNNNNNNNNNNNNNNNNNNNNNNNNNNNNNNNNNNNNNNNNNNNNNNNNNNNNNNNNNNNNNNNNNNNNNNNNNNNNNNNNNNNNNNNNNNNNNNNNNNNNNNNNNNNNNNNNNNNNNNNNNNNNNNNNNNNNNNNNNNNNNNNNNNNNNNNNNNNNNNNNNNNNNNNNNNNNNNNNNNNNNNNNNNNNNNNNNNNNNNNNNNNNNNNNNNNNNNNNNNNNNNNNNNNNNNNNNNNNNNNNNNNNNNNNNNNNNNNNNNNNNNNNNNNNNNNNNNNNNNNNNNNNNNNNNNNNNNNNNNNNNNNNNNNNNNNNNNNNNNNNNNNNNNNNNNNNNNNNNNNNNNNNNNNNNNNNNNNNNNNNNNNNNNNNNNNNNNNNNNNNNNNNNNNNNNNNNNNNNNNNNNNNNNNNNNNNNNNNNNNNNNNNNNNNNNNNNNNNNNNNNNNNNNNNNNNNNNNNNNNNNNNNNNNNNNNNNNNNNNNNNNNNNNNNNNNNNNNNNNNNNNNNNNNNNNNNNNNNNNNNNNNNNNNNNNNNNNNNNNNNNNNNNNNNNNNNNNNNNNNNNNNNNNNNNNNNNNNNNNNNNNNNNNNNNNNNNNNNNNNNNNNNNNNNNNNNNNNNNNNNNNNNNNNNNNNNNNNNNNNNNNNNNNNNNNNNNNNNNNNNNNNNNNNNNNNNNNNNNNNNNNNNNNNNNNNNNNNNNNNNNNNNNNNNNNNNNNNNNNNNNNNNNNNNNNNNNNNNNNNNNNNNNNNNNNNNNNNNNNNNNNNNNNNNNNNNNNNNNNNNNNNNNNNNNNNNNNNNNNNNNNNNNNNNNNNNNNNNNNNNNNNNNNNNNNNNNNNNNNNNNNNNNNNNNNNNNNNNNNNNNNNNNNNNNNNNNNNNNNNNNNNNNNNNNNNNNNNNNNNNNNNNNNNNNNNNNNNNNNNNNNNNNNNNNNNNNNNNNNNNNNNNNNNNNNNNNNNNNNNNNNNNNNNNNNNNNNNNNNNNNNNNNNNNNNNNNNNNNNNNNNNNNNNNNNNNNNNNNNNNNNNNNNNNNNNNNNNNNNNNNNNNNNNNNNNNNNNNNNNNNNNNNNNNNNNNNNNNNNNNNNNNNNNNNNNNNNNNNNNNNNNNNNNNNNNNNNNNNNNNNNNNNNNNNNNNNNNNNNNNNNNNNNNNNNNNNNNNNNNNNNNNNNNNNNNNNNNNNNNNNNNNNNNNNNNNNNNNNNNNNNNNNNNNNNNNNNNNNNNNNNNNNNNNNNNNNNNNNNNNNNNNNNNNNNNNNNNNNNNNNNNNNNNNNNNNNNNNNNNNNNNNNNNNNNNNNNNNNNNNNNNNNNNNNNNNNNNNNNNNNNNNNNNNNNNNNNNNNNNNNNNNNNNNNNNNNNNNNNNNNNNNNNNNNNNNNNNNNNNNNNNNNNNNNNNNNNNNNNNNNNNNNNNNNNNNNNNNNNNNNNNNNNNNNNNNNNNNNNNNNNNNNNNNNNNNNNNNNNNNNNNNNNNNNNNNNNNNNNNNNNNNNNNNNNNNNNNNNNNNNNNNNNNNNNNNNNNNNNNNNNNNNNNNNNNNNNNNNNNNNNNNNNNNNNNNNNNNNNNNNNNNNNNNNNNNNNNNNNNNNNNNNNNNNNNNNNNNNNNNNNNNNNNNNNNNNNNNNNNNNNNNNNNNNNNNNNNNNNNNNNNNNNNNNNNNNNNNNNNNNNNNNNNNNNNNNNNNNNNNNNNNNNNNNNNNNNNNNNNNNNNNNNNNNNNNNNNNNNNNNNNNNNNNNNNNNNNNNNNNNNNNNNNNNNNNNNNNNNNNNNNNNNNNNNNNNNNNNNNNNNNNNNNNNNNNNNNNNNNNNNNNNNNNNNNNNNNNNNNNNNNNNNNNNNNNNNNNNNNNNNNNNNNNNNNNNNNNNNNNNNNNNNNNNNNNNNNNNNNNNNNNNNNNNNNNNNNNNNNNNNNNNNNNNNNNNNNNNNNNNNNNNNNNNNNNNNNNNNNNNNNNNNNNNNNNNNNNNNNNNNNNNNNNNNNNNNNNNNNNNNNNNNNNNNNNNNNNNNNNNNNNNNNNNNNNNNNNNNNNNNNNNNNNNNNNNNNNNNNNNNNNNNNNNNNNNNNNNNNNNNNNNNNNNNNNNNNNNNNNNNNNNNNNNNNNNNNNNNNNNNNNNNNNNNNNNNNNNNNNNNNNNNNNNNNNNNNNNNNNNNNNNNNNNNNNNNNNNNNNNNNNNNNNNNNNNNNNNNNNNNNNNNNNNNNNNNNNNNNNNNNNNNNNNNNNNNNNNNNNNNNNNNNNNNNNNNNNNNNNNNNNNNNNNNNNNNNNNNNNNNNNNNNNNNNNNNNNNNNNNNNNNNNNNNNNNNNNNNNNNNNNNNNNNNNNNNNNNNNNNNNNNNNNNNNNNNNNNNNNNNNNNNNNNNNNNNNNNNNNNNNNNNNNNNNNNNNNNNNNNNNNNNNNNNNNNNNNNNNNNNNNNNNNNNNNNNNNNNNNNNNNNNNNNNNNNNNNNNNNNNNNNNNNNNNNNNNNNNNNNNNNNNNNNNNNNNNNNNNNNNNNNNNNNNNNNNNNNNNNNNNNNNNNNNNNNNNNNNNNNNNNNNNNNNNNNNNNNNNNNNNNNNNNNNNNNNNNNNNNNNNNNNNNNNNNNNNNNNNNNNNNNNNNNNNNNNNNNNNNNNNNNNNNNNNNNNNNNNNNNNNNNNNNNNNNNNNNNNNNNNNNNNNNNNNNNNNNNNNNNNNNNNNNNNNNNNNNNNNNNNNNNNNNNNNNNNNNNNNNNNNNNNNNNNNNNNNNNNNNNNNNNNNNNNNNNNNNNNNNNNNNNNNNNNNNNNNNNNNNNNNNNNNNNNNNNNNNNNNNNNNNNNNNNNNNNNNNNNNNNNNNNNNNNNNNNNNNNNNNNNNNNNNNNNNNNNNNNNNNNNNNNNNNNNNNNNNNNNNNNNNNNNNNNNNNNNNNNNNNNNNNNNNNNNNNNNNNNNNNNNNNNNNNNNNNNNNNNNNNNNNNNNNNNNNNNNNNNNNNNNNNNNNNNNNNNNNNNNNNNNNNNNNNNNNNNNNNNNNNNNNNNNNNNNNNNNNNNNNNNNNNNNNNNNNNNNNNNNNNNNNNNNNNNNNNNNNNNNNNNNNNNNNNNNNNNNNNNNNNNNNNNNNNNNNNNNNNNNNNNNNNNNNNNNNNNNNNNNNNNNNNNNNNNNNNNNNNNNNNNNNNNNNNNNNNNNNNNNNNNNNNNNNNNNNNNNNNNNNNNNNNNNNNNNNNNNNNNNNNNNNNNNNNNNNNNNNNNNNNNNNNNNNNNNNNNNNNNNNNNNNNNNNNNNNNNNNNNNNNNNNNNNNNNNNNNNNNNNNNNNNNNNNNNNNNNNNNNNNNNNNNNNNNNNNNNNNNNNNNNNNNNNNNNNNNNNNNNNNNNNNNNNNNNNNNNNNNNNNNNNNNNNNNNNNNNNNNNNNNNNNNNNNNNNNNNNNNNNNNNNNNNNNNNNNNNNNNNNNNNNNNNNNNNNNNNNNNNNNNNNNNNNNNNNNNNNNNNNNNNNNNNNNNNNNNNNNNNNNNNNNNNNNNNNNNNNNNNNNNNNNNNNNNNNNNNNNNNNNNNNNNNNNNNNNNNNNNNNNNNNNNNNNNNNNNNNNNNNNNNNNNNNNNNNNNNNNNNNNNNNNNNNNNNNNNNNNNNNNNNNNNNNNNNNNNNNNNNNNNNNNNNNNNNNNNNNNNNNNNNNNNNNNNNNNNNNNNNNNNNNNNNNNNNNNNNNNNNNNNNNNNNNNNNNNNNNNNNNNNNNNNNNNNNNNNNNNNNNNNNNNNNNNNNNNNNNNNNNNNNNNNNNNNNNNNNNNNNNNNNNNNNNNNNNNNNNNNNNNNNNNNNNNNNNNNNNNNNNNNNNNNNNNNNNNNNNNNNNNNNNNNNNNNNNNNNNNNNNNNNNNNNNNNNNNNNNNNNNNNNNNNNNNNNNNNNNNNNNNNNNNNNNNNNNNNNNNNNNNNNNNNNNNNNNNNNNNNNNNNNNNNNNNNNNNNNNNNNNNNNNNNNNNNNNNNNNNNNNNNNNNNNNNNNNNNNNNNNNNNNNNNNNNNNNNNNNNNNNNNNNNNNNNNNNNNNNNNNNNNNNNNNNNNNNNNNNNNNNNNNNNNNNNNNNNNNNNNNNNNNNNNNNNNNNNNNNNNNNNNNNNNNNNNNNNNNNNNNNNNNNNNNNNNNNNNNUAGUUUAGAUCAUCACAAAUCAAAACUCCCCAAUUACAUAACGUAUAGCAUAAAAAUCUGAACUAAACCUUCCUCGUGGGAUCGACCCCUUGCUUGCUCUAUACUAUCUUGUGUGUUUUAAGCUAGGGUAAUUAAUUUGUGCGACCGCGACAUCGCAACAUGCCUCAUUCAAACACCUUAGCAGGGUUCCAUCAAAUGUUCUUUUGUACAAAAUCUCUCCAUCUAAAUAGAAGUCUAUAGCCAACCUUCUUAAGGUUUUCUUAUCCGUUUUGGAAGCUCCCACCGGAUAUUCAUGAUUUUGCACAAGGUUCUUGAUAUCAUAAUACCAAGGCUGUCCGUCUAUCUCUCCUUCAACUAAGCAACAGUGAGCUGGGUCAUUUCUAAUGUCAAUGUGUACCGGUUGUACCCUGCACUUGAGAUCAAUGGUAGUCAUAGCAGCUAGCGUGGCCAAAGCAUCCGCAAAAUGGUUCCCCUCCCUUCCCAGAUGGGUGAAUCUAAUUUCUUCAAAUUCCUUUGCUAACGUGGAUAGGUAUUCCUGGUAUGGCCUCAAUUUUCCCUCCUUGGUCUGCCAUUCCCCUUUAACCUGACAGAUAAUCAACAUUGAAUCUCCAUAUACAUCUAACUUCUUUAUCUUCAACUCUAAUGCCGCUUCUAAACCGAGGAUACAAGCUUCAUACUCAGCUGUAUUGUUGGUGCACUCGAAAUGUAGUUUAACCGAAACUGGAUACUGUUUCUUAUCAGGAGAGAUUAUUACAGCACCGGCCCCGUUACCAUAUACAUUCACUGCACCGUCAAAAAACAUCGUCCACCAAUCUGUCUUCUCUUCUUCUUUCUCUAUUGACAAUAUAUCUUCAUCGGGGAAGUCAAAAUCCAAAGGUUCGUAAUCUUCAACAGCAUUAUCGGCCAAAUGGUCCGCGAUUGCACUUCCUUUUACGGCUUUCCUUGUCAUAUAUACUAUGUCAUAUUCUGCUAAUAAAACUUGCCACCUUGCAAUUCGACUCGAGAGAAAGGGCUUGUUACAAAUAUACCUCAGAGGAUCCACCUUUGAAAUCAACCAAGUGGUAUAGUAUAACAUAUAAUGUCGCAACCUCUUUGCCGCCCACACCAACACACAACAAAGCCUUUCUAUCUCCGUGUAUCUAGACUCACAUUCAGUGAAUUUCUUACUUAAGUAAUAAAUAGCUCUUUCCUUCCUUCCUGUUUCAUCAUGCUGACCCAAUACACAUCCCAUGGCUGCUUUAGUCACUGUUAGAUACAAUACUAGAGGUUUUCCCGAUACCGGAGGAACCAGUAAAGGUGGAUUUUGUAAAUAAUGUUUGAUUUUAUUGAAUGCCUCCUCACACUCCUCAUUCCAGGUUCCAGGAUUCUUUUUCCUUAAUAGUCGGAAUAUAGGUUCACACGUCGUUGUUAACUGAGCUAUGAACCGAGCAAUGUAGUUUAACCUUCCCAAGAAUCCUCUUACUUCUUUCUCCAUCUUAGGGGAUGACAUAGCUUGGAUGGCCCUUACUUUAUCUGGAUCCACCUCUAUACCUCUAUCACUUACCACAAAUCCUAACAGCUUACCCGAUUUAACUCCGAAUGAACAUUUUGCAGGAUUGAGCCUUAAUUCAUACUUCCUCAAUCUCUCAAACAACUUCCUCAAAACUUCAACAUGAUCCUCUCCCCUUUUAGACUUGGCAAUCAUGUCGUCUACAUACACCUCAAUUUCCUUGUGCAUCAAGUCGUGGAACAAAGUCACCAUUGCUCUUUGAUAGGUUGCUCCGGCAUUCUUCAAUCCAAAUGGCAUGACCUUGUAGCAGAACGUCCCCCAAGGUGUGACAAAAGUUGUUUUCGCCUUAUCCUCCGGAGCCAUUUUUAUCUGGUUGUAUCCUGAAAAACCAUCCAUAAAGGAAUAUGUGGAACUCCGGGCAGCGUUGUCCACCAAAACAUCUAUGUGUGGUAGCGGAAAAUCAUCCUUGGACUAGCCUUAUUCAAAUUUCCGAAAUCCACGCACACUCUAAUCUUCCCCUCCUUCNNNNNNNNNNNNNNNNNNNNNNNNNNNNNNNNNNNNNNNNNNNNNNNNNNNNNNNNNNNNNNNNNNNNNNNNNNNNNNNNNNNNNNNNNNNNNNNNNNNNNNNNNNNNNNNNNNNNNNNNNNNNNNNNNNNNNNNNNNNNNNNNNNNNNNNNNNNNNNNNNNNNNNNNNNUACUACAAUAUUUGUAUCCAAACCCGGCAUAUCUUCAUAGGACCAAGCAAAGACAUCUGAAUAUUCUUGUAAUAGGGUGAUCAUUUUUAUCCUUAGUUCAGAAGUAAUUAAGGUACCUAUUUUCAACUCUUUCUUGAGCUGAUCACUACCCACAUUGAUGGUUUCGAGUUCCUCGGCGAUAGGCUUCCAAGUCUGUUCCUGUUGUUCUACUAGCCUGGUGAAUUCACUAAUAUUGCUUUCAUCCCAUUCUUCUUCUUCCAUAGCUAUCACAUGCUCGUUCAAGUUUGGCCAUUUAUUCUUGAUGCUAAAUAUAUGUGAUGUUGUAGGAGAUCCGCUUUCAGGAUUCCUGAAAGCGGGAAGUGUUUGGUGUAAAUGCAUAAAAAAGAAGGCAAUUUGUGGAAAGUGCAUGAUCUCACAAUUUAUUUAAAGAAAAAGUGGGCUCCAUGACAAACAUAAAAUCUAGCUGACAUCAUGAGCCUUGAUUGUCAACUAGAGGAAAUAACAGCAAACAUAAGCAAUGACAAAAGCAUGCUAAGGCAAACAAAGUUGGUUUACAUUUUGAAAACCACUGGAGCUUCUUGGGUCACCCAGUUCUGAAACUUCUCGUCCUGAGCCAACUUGCGCACAAAGGUCUUGGCGGAGACUUCUUCUAUGGUGUAUACCGUCAGUUGUGGGAGUGCUUCAUCUCCCUUUCUUGCUACGGUCUUCAUGUCAUCUCCUUCCACCUUGUUUUCCCCCAAUGUAUUUAUGCCCAUGUUUGACAGUUCUUGACCAAGGCUUUCAACUCCUUUAUCAUGUUGCAUUAUGUGUGUGGCUUUUGGGAAUGACACGCUAAGGGGAGGGAUUUCCAGCUUUUCUUCAUCAGGCUCUCUUCCUUUAAUUCUAGCCAUCCUUCUUGCCCUUCUCCGACCAGCAGCCCACCGAUAAUCCUUUUGGUUAGGUUGGUACCCUAACCCAAAUCUUUGAGCAGCACUUUUCAUCCUUGCCAGAUUAACCCCUUCUGGUAUCCCGAUAAUAAGGUUAUACUGAAAUGGGAUCCCGCGGUUCAAGAAGCAUAGACUUGCCAUCCUUGCUGCUUCUGAGAUCCUUGGCCUUCUUAGCACUGUGUUCUCCGGCACCCAGUCAGUGUUCACAAUCUCAAAGGCAUGGAUAUUGUUAUCCUUGCAAUCAUUCGCUUCGAUAAAAGGCACAGCCACAUUCUUUAUCAUGGAUACUGUCUCCUCAGCCUUGACAGUUACCAACAUCCCAUUCAUGAUAUACUUCAGGCAUUGAUGCAAUGACGAAGCUACUGCCCCCGCUGCAUGAAUCCAAGGUCUUCCUAACAACAGACUAUAGGAAGGGUGGAUAUCCAUAACCUGAAGUGUUACUAAGAAUAUUUGUGGUCCAACAUAUAGCUCCACUUCUAAAGUCCCAAUUAUUGGCCUAGGCGAGCCAUCAUACGCUCUGGCCAUCAUAGUACUUGGCUUUAUAUGGGAUUCAUCGAUCGACAUUUCUUCCAGCAUGUGCUUUGGCAACACGGUAAGGGCCGAGCCGUUAUCAAUGAGUACUUUUCCUAUGAGGCAGUCCUUGCACCUAACCGUAAUGUAUAAGGGCUUGUUAUGUCCGGUACCUUCAGCAUCAAGCUCAUCAGCCGUGAAGUACAGGUAAUUAGUUGCAUGGAUCCUUCCCACUAGAUGCUCCAUGGUUUUAUGUUCAAUGUCUUGGGGUACAUAUGCCUCAUUCAAUACCUUUUGCAAGGUGUUUCGAUGCGGCUCAGAGCUGAGUAUCAGGGACAUAAGGGAGAUCCUAGCUGGAGUCUUCUUUAGUUGAUCUACUAUGCAAUAUUCACUAUGCUUGAUCAACUUCAGGAAUUCAUUCGACUCCUCUUCUGUUACUGGCUUAUUAACUUCUAGUGCUUUGUCAAGAUCUACCACUUCUUUGCCCUUUGCCUUUCUCAACUCCUCGGGCGUAAAGCAACGACCACUCCGAGUCAAACCUCUAAUCUCGGUUUGGAACAAGGGAAGUGGAGUUUGAACGUUGGAGGUAUAGCCGUAAUUGUAAUGCAUGUCAUUGUGGUUUCCUUUUGUGCAGGAAGGUUUGACCAAGAUUAGCCUUGGUGGCCCCUUAGCUGUUUGUUGGAUCCUACAUACUCCUGUCAUCUCAUCUUGACCUUCCAUCAUACUCACCUCACCGCUGCUCUUCAUGGGUUCAAUCCUCAACUCCCCUAUUUUUAGCAUUUUUGCAAUCUUUUCGCAAAACUCAAUGCAAUCCUCAAUAUGAUGUCCAUCUCUUCCAUGGUAUUCACAGUAAUCAUAUCCCUCCAAACGGCUCUCCCCCUUUGUCUUUAGAAAUCCUGAUUGUACCAACAUGUCAUACAACUUCUUCAUGGAUACCUUCAAUACCUUGCAUUGAUUUCCCACUUCGAUCAUGCCUACUCCACUACUAUUUGGGGCGUGCUUAGGCAAUGGGUUUGAAUUAACAUUGGGCUUGUCUUCAAAGGAUACCCAUCCCAUCUUAAUAAGCUCCAAUAGCCUCUUCUUGAAAGCGUAACAGGUUUCAAUCCCAUGCCCGGGAUUACCCCCAUGGUACUCGCAAGCCAACUCGGGCUUGUACCAAAUUGGGAAUGGUGGUUGUAGUGGUAGUGUAGGGAUGGGAGCUAUUUGUCCAAUGCUCAACAAUUUGGCAUACAUGUCCUUCAAAGGCAUGGGUAACGGUGGCAGUUGUUCUGAAGUGUAUUUUGUAUGGGGUCUUUGGUAGUGAUUUUGGUAAUUUGAUUUGUUAUUUGUUCGAUUAGGGGAAAAAGGUUGGUUAAAGUUUAUGCGUGAGAAUUGAGAGGUAGGUACUUGAGGAUUAUGGAAAUCUACUUUCUUGCCCUUAUACCCCCUUCCAGAUUGUUAACAUCGCCUUCUCUCUUUCUCCCAAUAAAACCCUUCUUUUCCACUGGCAUCGCUAUUCGCCCAGCUUUAAUCCCUUGUUCUAUCCUCUCAGCUAUGCGUACCGCAUCAUACAAAUGUUGAGAGGAGCUACCCAUUAGGUGCUCAUAAUAAGGUGCUUUGAAGGUAUUGGCAAACAAGCUCACCAUCUCCGUUUCUAUCAAAGGGGGUUGGACAUGCAUUGCUUCAUCCCUCCAUCUUUGCGCAUAAGCCCUUACUGACUCCUGGCUCCUUUUCUCCAUUGCCAUUAGACUUGUUCGAUCGGGAGCGAUUUCCAUGUUAAACUUAUACUGUUUGAGGAAAGCCUCCACCAAGUCUCUCCAGCUCUUGAUCCUGAUGCUGUCUAACCUCAUGUACCAGCUUAAAGCAGAUCCUGCUAGGCUAUCUUGAAAGAAAUAGAUUAGCAAUUUAUCAUCACAGAUUACUUCCGCCAUUUUAUUGCAGUAGGAUCGAAGGUGAGUGUUUGGGCAUUCCAAACCGGUAUACUUAAUGAACUCUGGUAUUCGAAAAUCUUUUGGCACCACAAUGUUUGGUACCAAACAUACUUCGGCUGCUCGCAUAGGGUCAAACCAAUCAUUACCCUCAACUGCCCUUAAUCUUUCUUCUAGAGCAAAUAGCUUGUCUUGGUCCAUCACACUGGGAGACCUAUUAUCUGGGACUCCCUCCGUUGUUAAAUCCACAGUGAUUGGAGCGUGAGUUGGCUGAAUAGGGGUGAUAGGCACAAAAUGUUGUUCAUUGGCCGAGUUUGCCCCCUGGUUUGGAGAUGCUUGAGGGAUGUGAGCUGUUGGCGCUCCUUCAGGCUGUUGUGCUGAUGUUCCCUCCCCAUUCUUAGCUCUCAGAAGCUGCUCAAGUAGAUCGGUCAGCCGAGAAACUUCAUUUUUUACGGACUCUAACUCGGUUUGAUAAUGUGACUCUAAGUGAGCUCUUUCUUCGUUCUCCAUUCUUGAUCUAGACCGGGUGUUGUGGAUUUUGGAUGUGGGACCUAUGUUUCACGAUCUGGUGUGCAUAUGAUGAAUUAAAAACAAAUGUGUGAUGAAAAUAUGAUGCUCAUGCAAUGUAUAUUUUAGAGCCGACUCAUGACUUUCGUAGUCCUUUAGGCAAGAUUUCUGAGUUGACCCGAUUACUGUAAAGGAGGGUUUGCCAAGUUCUUAUCAUUGUAGCUUACCAAAACAUUUAGAAAGAAAGAUAGGUCAUGGCCUUCUUAUAAAUAGAAGUCCUUCAUACAAUGAUUACAAAACAAGGCGUUAGACAUUGUCACCCUUUAAAAGGUGUUUCCCCUAUUAGCUAAGUCCCCAAUAAAACAUGUGAUGGCUGCCAUGUAUUCUCGAUACUUUGAAGCAUCAUUUCCAACUUGGCUAGCUUGUUGUUGCAAUCUUUCUGCAUAACGGGCUGCUUGCUCGACCUGCUUCGUUAUGUGCCUUAUCUUAUCAUGGAACACAAUGUUAUCUGCAAUUAUCACUUCGUUGUUGGCUCCUAGGGCUUCAUUACUUCUUUCCAACACUCGAACCAUAUCAUCCGACCGGGCCAACUUAUCCCUUACCCUCUGCAGUUCUUCCUUUUCGAUAUCCAGCUCGGCUAUUUUGGAGUUAAUUUGGACUGUAAAGCUGUCCAUGUAGUCCUGACAUUCUUGACGCUCUUACUUAGCCUUACCGAGCUCCUCUUCCAUCUCGAAGUAAUGGCUUCUCAUCUCUUUUAACUCUUCUUCUCGUAUCUUGAUCUCCGAUUGUAAAGCCAUCAUCCUUCCUUUUGAAGACUCGGCUCUUUUCUGGUAAUCUCUCAUAUCAGACUCUGCAGCCUUUCUUGAACUUCUCUCUUCCUCCAGUUGCAUCAUAUAUUGAGCUCUGAUCCUUCUUUCCUCUUCUAUGUCGAGAUGGGCUAACCGAUUUUUCUCUUUUUCAACUUCUAGUUUCUUUAAAAGAAUGCUCCUUCCUUUUUUCAAGGAAUCCACCAUCUCUUUAUCGGCACUCAUCUUGCUUUUGGUAGAUCUCUUAACUUUAGCCAACUCUUUUUGUGUGAGCCCGUUUUUGUUAGACAGCUCAUCAUACUCGGUUAUUCGAUUCCUUAACUCAGCCUGGACCGCUUUUGCUAUUUCUUCAGCUACCUCGGCCCUUUUCUGCCAUUCCUUUAAAGAUCUCAAUUGUUUAUCCUAUUUUUCCAACUGCUGGUUCAAGUAAACCCUCAUCGUGUUUUCUUCCUCUAAUUGAUUUUCUAACAGUCGCAGCUGCCCUUUUCUCUUGCUGAGAUCAAUUCUACAUUGUUCUAGCUGCUUUCUCAGCUCUUCCUCAAUAUCAGUCCUUUUCCUUUUUGGUUGCUCUAUUGCGGAUUCUGGAUGUUUUGGUAUGGAGAAAUCCCUUUCUUCAGAAAGCUCUUCAUUCCUCCAAACUGCAUAAUUCUGGCUGAAUGAUGUUUCAAAUGUGCUCCCUUCUUCCCUUUUGACCAUCAGGGGUCUUUCCCAAUCUUGUCGGAUAAGCUCCAUUUCUUCGAGGAAGGGUUGGUGCUUGAAUAAACCGAUGAAAUCAGCUAAACCCAGAGUUCUUGGCGCGUACUGCAUUCCACCCAAUUGUCUUGUUACUAGGGCGGGCGCGUAACUGAUGUACCCGAUUAUACCAAUCAAGGGAACCCAUAUCUUAUUUCCACAGCUCAUUGUGCAGAUGGCAUUGUUCAUCCAUGGUGCUUUCCAUUUGAAGUUGCUCCUUGGCAAUGCUGCAUAUUUAUCUAUCCAUGCUUUCUCAUCCCAAUUCUUCCAAGUCUCAUCCAUGGUAACCUUUAACGGUCGUAGGUCAAACCACCAAAAGUUGUUAAAAAUGUCCCUUGGUGUUUCGAUAUGACUGAUAAUCCAUAAAUACAACAUAGAGGUGCAACAUCUCAUGGCUCCUUUUCCAUGCAUUCUGCAGUGAUUGAGUGACAACAUGGUUUCUCCCAAAAUAGCUGAUGAAGGAUUGAUCUGGUCACGCUCGUAUUCUAUGAAGACACUUGCUGCUUCCAAACUGAUGACUCCGAUUUCGGAAGGGAACAAUACUAGCCCAAAAAUGGCAAAGGCCACCAACCUGUAUCGUUCCUCUCCUAACUUGCCUUCUUCAGCAUUUUUCUUCAUUCGGGCUUCUAUGACCUUCCAUUUGAAACCCCCCUCGGUGACUCUACAUUGACUGAUCUUUCCCAAGCCUAAUAAACUGACUACCUCCGAAGCUGUGUCUUCAAAUCUUCGCCUUAGAUAAAUCUUGUGGCUGUUGUUUGGAAAAUCUAGAAUCCUUUCAUAUUCCUCCAGAGUCGGUGUCAUAUCAAUGUUCCCAAAGGUAAAACUCCGAUAACUAGGAUCCCAAAAAUUCAGUAGGGCUUUGAUUGCUGCUGCUUGUACGGGUAACCUCAUUAGUUGUGCAAUUCUCCCGUAUCGCCUUUCAAAAAUAGUCUCAUCAAUAUAUUCCAUAAUAGACACUAACUUCCCCAAGUCAUUUACCAUGUGAUUUAUCUUGGUAAUGCCAGGCAACCUACUAGCAUCGAUUCUUGGGCAUUUUCCUUCAGCUACUUGAGUCAACUCAGAUUCUUGCCCAAACUCUUGGAAAGAUAGGUACUUAGUCAUGAUUUCAGCUCAAAAACCUGGAUUGAUGAUUUUAACAGUAUUAAUCAUGAUGAAGAUGAACGUAAGAUAGAUAUCUUAAGGGCAAGUUCUAUUUAGGUGAGAACGAGUAGGUUUUCUAUCUGGUCUCGAAGGGUCUCAUAUCUGCCCAGUGACGUUCUUCGUAAAGACAGUAUGGGGGCGUUGCAAGGAACAGUUAAGGUAAGUAUACCCACCAUUACCAAGCAGGCACUCAGAUAUGAGUUGGGUGUUUCACGCAUCUGAACCCUGACCAAUAGUCAUAGGGCAGAUCGCUAAUCCCCCUCCUAGCUUAAAGCUUGUGUGUGCUUCUCAAAAUCAAAGUAUGUGAUGCAUGUGACAGUUCUAUAAGAUGCAUGAGACAGUUUUAUACAAAUGCAUGAACAAUAUGCGUAAAAAUAUUUAAAGCAUAUAAGCAGAUAACAAAAGGAAAGGCAUAUUAAAAAACUCACGAAAACAAAAACAAUUCAGACAAACACAAAGCUUAGUCCACAAGGUCCCCAGUGGAGUCGCCAUUCUGUCGCGGGUGCGCGGCGUCGCGGCGAAAAUUCCACUUUGAAAUCUAGGAAGUGUGUAUGGUAUCUAUCUGGCAAAUGUGGGGAGACAAGAAAAUAUUGUCUUUUGUUGGUAGAAAAUGGAAUGGGAGUCGCCACCUAGUAUUUUGGUCACUAGGAACCCUAACUGGUCUCAGAGAUUGGGUACGGGGACUGGUUGCGUGAAGGGAAGGUAUUAGCACCCCAAAUACGCCCUACCUAAGGUAAGCUGCAUUGUUUAUUUGUCUGAUAAAAUUCAAGGUCUCGUUGUGUUUCCUAGUUGUUGGUCCGUCUAUGGUUCAAGAAAAGUCCUCCUCAAUAAGGAGGUCCUUAUCUUAUCGGGUAAAACCUAACCGUUCUAAUGUCUAUGUAAAAAAACCAUAUUUUUAAUAUCAGGAAUACGUUUUACGUAUAAAUUCGUAAUCCCAAAUACUAAAAGAAGACAAAAAGAUUUUUUUUGAAUUUUUGAAAUAUUGGCCUAGGUCUCAUGGCUUGAAUAAACGGGUUAUUAAAGCCAAAAUGCAUGCUAAUACAUAUAUUGUUUUGAAAUUUUCUUUGUUGUGUGAAAAAUAUGAUGUUAUAAUAUUUAUAUAUAUAUAUAUAUAUUGGAGAGACUAGGCCGUAUUUUAAAACAAAACAUUUUUUAAUUAUAUUUUUUUUUUAUGUUUUUGACGCAAAUCGGGUAUUUUAAUACUGGCUUUGUAUCCUUACGGUAUAAAAAUACAACCAAAUAUUAAUCCACUUUGAUAAAAAUAUGCAGGAAAAAUCAACAAUAUUUUUAAAGAUAUUUUAGAAACUUUUUUUAUUUUUGAAAUCUUUGAUGUUUUGAUGAAAACCGGGAAUNNNNNNNNNNNNNNNNNNNNNNNNNNNNNNNNNNNNNNNNNNNNNNNNNNNNNNNNNNNNNNNNNNNNNNNNNNNNNNNNNNNNNNNNNNNNNNNNNNNNGAUUUGUAUCUUUACAGUAUAAAAUACAAACCGAUAUUAAUCAAAAUACAGUAAUAAAAUUACAAAAAAAUCACAUAUUAUUUGAAAUAAUUUUUGAAGAAUUUUCGUAAUUUUUCAAAUAUAUAUAUAUAAAUAAUACAAAAUAUAAUAUAUAAUAUAUAUGUUAAUAUGGGUUGGGCUGGUCCGGCCCAACCCACUGGGCCGGGCUCAACCCAAAAGGUGUUGGGCCGAUUUCAGCCCAAAAUGGAUUGGGCCGACUUCGGCCCAAAUACUACUAUCCUCUUCUGGGCCAGACCCGGCCCAGAAGAGGGGGCUGGGCCAGGACCAACCUGGCCCAGCGACAGACGCUGGCGAGGGGGGGGGAAUUAUUUUUCCCCCCACCCUCCUGCAUGCAGAACGUUAUUCGUUCUGCAUGCAACGGAAAAAAAGAAACAGGUGCAGUAAUGAAGGGAGGAAGAAGAAUUACCUGGCGCGGAGCAGGCGGUGUCUGGCUGCGUCGCUGGCGGUGCUGUGGUGGAGGCCGGUGGCGGUGUCUUGGCUCACGGACGGCGGCUCCAAGCAGCGGCGCUACUCCUUCGAACGGCGGUGUUACAGUCUUUUUCAAGUUUUUCUACCCGUUAGCAGCUUUCCCUUCUUAUAUUUCGGUUCCUCUCCCUUUCGGUUCGUUCUCUCCUCUCUUNNNNNNNNNNNNNNNNNNNNNNNNNNNNNNNNNNNNNNNNNNNNNNNNNNNNNNNNNNNNNNNNNNNNNNNNNNNNNNNNNNNNNNNNNNNNNNNNNNNNCCCCCUUUUCCUUUUUUUUCUCUCUGUGUCUGGGGUCUAUUUAUAGAGCCAAGAGGCGGGGCUUUUUAUGGCUGCACAUGGGGGCAGGGGCUGCGGCGGCUGGUCGGCCAUUCGGGUGCAGCUGUCGAGACGUGACUCCCCUGUUUUCUGCAUGGCGCGCGGCGGGUGGUCGGCCAGCGGGCGUGGCUGGCGAGGUGCGGCUCCCUCGGUUUUCUGGCAAGGCAUGCGGUCAAGAGAGAGGCAGCACACUUGAAGAAGAAAAACCCACCAUUUUGCUUUCUUCCCCUGCUGCACGUCCAUGGGAGGAAGAAAGAGGAACAGUGUCGUUCAAAACGACACCGUUCCGAUCUUCUUUUUUUUUUUUUGCAUGAAACGGCGUCGUUUUAGGCAAAACGCGCCGUUUCAUUUAAGUCCAGCAAGACGCCAAAACGCGUCAAUUUGCAAAGCAGCCCUCAAUCAUCUUUUGUUCAUUUCAAUUGCACCCUUGCCAAAAUUAGUCCCUGCCCUUAUAGUUGGCCGCGUUUUUCAGUUUGGUCCUUGGCCUCUGAUUUAUGCAAUUGAGCCCUCAAUUGAUUAAUAAACUUUCAAUUUCUUCAAUUAGGCCCCUGGCCCGAAUAAUUGCAGCCCCUCCAUUUACGCGCCUCUUCCAAUUUGGUCCCUGGUUUUGGAUUUUCUUAAUUAAGUCCUCAAUUGGCCCUUAAACUUCCAUAUUUAUGCAAUUAAGCCCCUGAUUUGACCUAAUAAAUUCCUAAAAAAUAUAUGUUGGUCCGUCUACGGUUCAUGAAAAGUCCUCCUCAAUAAGGAGGUCCUUAUCUUAUCGGGUAAGAACCUAACCGUUCUAAUGUCUAUAUAAAAAAACCAUAUUUUUUAUAUCAGGAAUUCAUUUUAUUGUUUAAAUACGUAAUCCCAUAUACUAAAAUAAAACAAAAAGAUUUUUUAGAAUUUUUGAAAUAUUGGCCUAGUUCUCAUGGCUUGAAUAAACUGGUUAUUAAAGCCAAAAUGCAUGCUAUUACAUAUAUUGUUUUUGAAAUUUUCUUUUGUUGUGUGAAAAUAUGAUGUUAUAAUAUUUAUAUAUAUAUAUAUGUUGGAGAGACUAGGCCGUAUGCAUGAAAACAAAACAUUUUUUUUUUUGUAAUUAUGUAUUUUUUGAUGUUUUGACGAAAAUCGGGUAUUUUAAUACCGGAUUUGUAUCUUUACAGUAUAAAAAUACAAACCGAUAUUGAUCAAAAUACAGUAAUAAAAUUACAACAAAAUCGCAUAUUUUUUAAAUGAUUUUUGAAGAAAUGUUUUUAUUUUUUAUUUAUUUUUUUCGUUUUAAACAUGUAUACAUAUAUAAAUAAAUACAAACAUAUAAUAUAUAUAUANNNNNNNNNNNNNNNNNNNNNNNNNNNNNNNNNNNNNNNNNNNNNNNNNNNNNNNNNNNNNNNNNNNNNNNNNNNNNNNNNNNNNNNNNNNNNNNNNNNNNNNNNNNNNNNNNNNNNNNNNNNNNNNNNNNNNNNNNNNNNNNNNNNNNNNNNNNNNNNNNNNNNNNNNNNNNNNNNNNNNNNNNNNNNNNNNNNNNNNNNNNNNNNNNNNNNNNNNNNNUCCUGCAUGCAGAACGCUAUAACGUUCUGCAUGCAGGGAAAAAAACAAGGUGCAGUAAUGAAGGGAGGAAGAAGAAUUACCUGGCGCGGAGGAGGUUGUGCGUCGCUGGCGGUGUUGCGGUAGAGGCUGGUGGCGGUGUCGUAGCUCACGGACGGCGGCUCCAGGCGGCGCUGCGGCUGUUCCGAACGUCCGGCGGUGUUACUGUUUUUUUUCCAGUUUUCUACCCGUUUCCAGCUUUUCCCUUUCUCUUCCUAGGUUUCGGUCUUCUUUUUUUUCUUCCCUUCCCUCUCUUCUCUCAGUCUGUUUUUCUUUCCUCUUUUUUUUAUGUUUUUUUCUCUCCUCUUGGCUUCUCUCUUACUUUUCGGUUCUUCCCCUCUUUCUUUUUUACAUGAAACGACGUCGUUUUAAGAAAAACGCGCCGUUUCAUUUAAGUCCUGCAAGAUGCCAAAACGCGUCAAUUUGCAAGGCAGCCCUCAAUUAUCUUUUUUCCUUCAAUUGCAUCCCUGCCAAUUUCGGUCUCCGCCCCUCUUGUUGGCCGCGUUUUUCACUUUAGUCCUUGGCCUCUGAUUUAUGCAAUUGAGCCCUUAAUUGAUCAAAAAACUUCCAAUUUCUUCAAUUAGGCCCCUGAAUCAAUUAAUUCCAGCCCCUCCAUUUACGCGCCUCUUCCAAUUUGGUCCCUGGUUUUGGAUUUUCUCAAUUAAGUCCCCAAUUGGCCCUUAAACUUCAAUAUUUAUGCAAUUAGGCCCCUGAUUUGACCUAAUAAAUUCAUAAAAAAUAUAUUUUGGCCCCAGAACUUAAAUUUCUUCUAAUUAAAGCCCAAAUUGACUUAAAAAUCAAUUUUUCUUACAAUCAAAUCUCCUAUAAAUUCAUUUAAAAAUCCAAUUAAGUCCAUAAACAUCAAAAUUUGGGCUUUUCUCCUCAAAUUUCAAAUUUUCCUUCUCAACAGGGCUCUCCUCCUUCAAGAAUAUACUGUCAAAAAUCCAAUCUUUGUAUUUUUAACCUCAUUGACCAAUUUUCUGACCAUUUUCUGAGCGCUUCUGCCUCCUGUUAUUUUUCUAACCUCCUUUGGCUAUAUAUUUUUAUAUAUAUUUUGUGGGGACCCAAAAAUGGGUUACAACAGAUGCCCCCUCUUUAUAAUGCUUACGGAGCAGAGGUUUUGCGCAGUAAGUUUUAUAAAGAUAAACCCAAAACGGAACUCCCGAAACUGAUCUGGUUGAAGCUUGAUUGAUCUGAAACUUGUCUUUUACAGCAAUCCUCCUCAACUUGGAAUCCCAUCUGGCGAUUCCUUUUAACCAACAUGAAAUAUGAGGUCCCAUCUGGCGACCUCCUUUAACCAAUAUCGAAAUACGAGACCCUUUCUGGCGAUCUCUUUUAACAAAAAAAAUCUUAGAAUCCCAUCUGGCGAUUCCUUGUAACCAAAUGUUGAAAUAUGAGGUCCCUUCUGGCGACCUCCUUGGAUAUAUAUCAAAAUAGGAGAUCCCUUCUGGCGAUCUCCUUUAAUCAAUUUGGAAUCCCAUCUGGCGAUUCCUUUUUUAAUCAACAUGAAAAACAAGGUCCCAUCUGGCGACCUCCAAAUAGCGAAACACGAGAUCCCUUCUAACGAUCUCCUUUAAUCAACUUGGAAUCCCAUCUGGCGAUUCCUUUUAUUCAAACAAAAUAUGAGGUCCCAUCUGGCAACCUCCAAAUAGCGAAAUACGAGAUCCCUUCUGGCGAUCUCCUUCAACUUGGAAUCCCAUCUGGCGAUUCCUUUUAUUCAACAGGUAAUACGAGGUCCCAUCUGGCGACCUCUAAAUAGUGAAACACGAGAUCCCUUCUGGCGAUCUCCUUUAUUCAACUUGGAAUCCCAUCUGGCGAUUCCUUUUAACCAACAUGUAAUACGAGGUCCCAUCUGACGACCUCCAAAUAGCGAAACACGAGAUCCCUUCUGGCGAUCUCCUUUAAUCAACUUGGAAUCCCAUCUGGCGAUUCCUUUCAUCCCACAUGUAAUACGAGGUCUCAUCUGGCGACCUCCAAAUAGCGAAACACGAGAUCCCUUCUGGCGAUCUCCUUUAAUCAACUUGGAAUCCCAUCUGGCGAUUCCUUUCAACCACAUGAAAUAUGAGGUCCAUCUGCGACCUUCUAAUAGCGAAACACGAGAUCCUUCUGCGAUCUCUUAUCAACUUGGAUGGAAUCCCAUCUAGCGAUUCCUUUCAACAUGAAAUGAGGUCCCAUCUGGCGACCUUCUAAUAGCGAAACACGAGAUCCCUUCUGGCGAUCUCCUUUAAUCAAUUUGGAAUCCCAUCUGGCGAUUCCUUAUUACCAAAGCUGAUAUCGAUGUCGUUCUUCCUGAUGGCAGGGUUCAAAACUUUUCAUUCUCUCUUUUUCUUGUUCUUCUCGUUGUUCCAGAAUCCACUAUGGUUCAAAACCGUGAUUCUUUGCUAUCAUCCUCUAUGAUUCUUUCUUCGUCUCCAAUCUUGUUGGAAAGCAUCAAGGUCUCCUCCUGUAACGAUCCAAAAAACAUAUAUGCAAUGCUUUAUGAUUAGNNNNNNNNNNNNNNNNNNNNNNNNNNNNNNNNNNNNNNNNNNNNNNNNNNNNNNNNNNNNNNNNNNNNNNNNNNNNNNNNNNNNNNNNNNNNNNNNNNNNNNNNNNNNNNNNNNNNNNNNNNNNNNNNNNNNNNNNNNNNNNNNNNNNNNNNNNNNNNNNNNNNNNNNNNNNNNNNNNNNNNNNNNNNNNNNNNNNNNNNNNNNNNNNNNNNNNNNNNNNNNNNNNNNNNNNNNNNNNNNNNNNNNNNNNNNNAGGCUUCCGUACAUUUUAAACACGUAAAAGCUUUCAUGAAAACAUCUCGUAUUGCCCCCAGGUGUAGGGGUGUGCUCCUAGUCUGGGCUUUUGUAUACGAGAAGAAAUUCGUUCAGCCGAUGCUAAACUUUUUUUUUUUUAGGUGCGAUAACAACAAAACAUGCACUGUUGGGAUUAAUGCAAAAAAAUGAUUGUUGGGAGAUCAAUGCAAAAGAGAAAGAAGUCAAUGGCCAAACUUUGCUUUAUUGAUUUAGGAGUCUACAUCAAGCAUAAUAUCUUUUUACAGAGUCAGAAUUCACAGGUCGAACUAGGUCUUCUCCAUCCAUUCUAGCUAACUUCAGCGCUCCUCCUGACAAUGCCUUCUUUACUACGUAAGGACUCUCGUAAUUCGGUGCCCAUUUGCUUUGAUCGUCUCCAGGUAGUGACAAUAUUUUCUUCAAUACUAGAUCCCCUUCUCGAAACAAUCGCGGUCUAACCUUCUUAUCAUAUGCCUUGGACAUUCGUUUCUGGUAAAGUUGGUGAUGACAUAUUGCAGCUAUCCUCUUUUCGCUGAUCAAGUUCAGUUGCUCAUAUCUCACCCUUGCACCCAUUCAGCCUCUUCUAGUUCGGAAUCCAUUAAUACUCUUAACGAUGGGAUUUCCACUUCCAACGGCAUCACUGCCUCCAUACCGUAUACCAAAGAAUAUGGGGUAGUCCCUGUCGAGGUCCUGACUGUAGUGCGGUAUGCGUGAAGUGCGAAUGACAACAUCUUAUGCCAAUCUCUAUAUGUGACUACCAUUUUCUGAAUAAUCUUCUUGAUGUUCUUGUUGGCGGCUUCUACUGCGCCAUUCAUCUUUGGUCGGUAUGGUGAAGAAUUUGAAUGCUUGAUUUUCCAUUUAGUACACAGCUCUGCUAUCAUUUUGCCAUUGAAAUUCUAUGCAUUAUCUGUCACUAUCUUUUCCGGAGGACCAUAUCGACAAAUCAAGUCCUUCUCUAUAAACCUCUUCACUACGUUCUGUGUUACGUGGACAUAUGAACUAGCUUCCACCCAUUUUGUGAAGUAGUCAAUAGCUACGAGGAUGAAUCUAUGAUCAUUGCUAGCUUUUGGGUUAACAGGACCGAUCACGUCAAUUCCCCACAUUGCAAAUGGCCAAGGGGAUAUUAGAUUAAAUAGAGGAGCUGGUGGCAUAUUGACCUUGUCACUGUAAACUUGACAUUUAUGACAUUUCCUGACAUAAUCGAUACAGUCUUUCUCUAGUGUCAUCCAAAAAUAACCAGCCCUUUGGAUUUUCCUCGCUAUCAUAUGUCCGCUAGCAUGGGUUGAGCAAAUCCCCUCAUGGACCUCCCGUAAUGCCUUUCUAGCAUCUGCCUCAUUCAAACACCUUAGCAGGGUCCCAUCAAAUGAUCUUUUGUACAAAAUCUCACCGGAUAUUCGUGAUUUUGCACAAGGUUCUUGAUAUCAUAAUACCAAGGAUGUCCGUCUAUCUCUCCUUCAACUAAGCAACAGUGAGCUGGGUCAUUUCUAAUGUCAAUGUGUACCGGUUGUACCUUGCACUUGAGAUCAAUGGUAGUCAUAGCAGCUAGCGUGGCCAAAACAUCCGCGAAAUGGUUCCCCUCCCUUCCCAGAUGAGUGAAUCUAAUUUCUUCAAAUUCCUUUGCUAACGUGGAUAGGUAUUCCUGGUAUGGCCUCAACUUUUCCUCCUUGGUCUGCCAUUCCCCUUUAACCUGACAGAUAAUCAACAUUGAAUCUCCAUAUACAUCUAACUUCUUUAUCUUCAACUCUAAUGUCGCUUCUAAACCGAGGAUACAAGCUUCAUACUCAGCUGUAUUGUUGGUGNNNNNNNNNNNNNNNNNNNNNNNNNNNNNNNNNNNNNNNNNNNNNNNNNNNNNNNNNNNNNNNNNNNNNNNNNNNNNNNNNNNNNNNNNNNNNNNNNNNNNNNNNNNNNNNNNNNNNNNNNNNNNNNNNNNNNNNNNNNNNNNNNNNNNNNNNNNNNNNNNNNNNNNNNNNNNNNNNNNNNNNNNNNNNNNNNNNNNNNNNNNNNNNNNNNNNNNNNNNNNNNNNNNNNNNNNNNNNNNNNNNNNNNNNNNNNNNNNNNNNNNNNNNNNNNNNNNNNNNNNNNNNNNNNNNNNNNNNNNNNNNNNNNNNNNNNNNNNNNNNNNNNNNNNNNNNNNNNNNNNNNNNNNNNNNNNNNNNNNNNNNNNNNNNNNNNNNNNNNNNNNNNNNNNNNNNNNNNNNNNNNNNNNNNNNNNNNNNNNNNNNNNNNNNNNNNNNNNNNNNNNNNNAGACUCACAUUCAGUGAAUUUCUUGCGUAGAUAAUAAAUAGCUCUUUCCUUCAUUGCCGGUUUCAUCAUGCUGACCCAAUACUACAUCCCAUGGCUGCUUCAGUUACUAUUAGAUAUAGUACUAGAGGUUUUCCUGAUACCGGAGGAACCAGUAAAGGUGGAUUUUGUAAUAAUGCUUGAUUUUAUUGAAUGCCUCCUCACACUCCUCAUUCCAGGUUCCAGGAUUCUUUUUCCUUAGUAGUCGGAAUAUAGGUUCACACGUCGUUGUUAGUUGAGCUAUGAACCGAGCAAUGUAGUUUAACCUUCCCAAGAAUCCUCUUACUUCUUUCUCCAUCUUAGGGGAUGACAUAGCUUGGAUGGCCCUUACUUUAUCUGGAUCCACCUCUAUACCUCUAUCACUUACCACAAAUCCUAACAGCUUACCCGAUUUAACUCCGAAUGAACAUUUUGCAGGAUUGAGCCUUAAUUCAUACUUCCUCAACCUCUCAAACAACUUCCUCAAAAUUUCAACAUGAUCCUCUCCCCUUUAAGACUUGGCAAUCAUGUCGUCUACAUACACCUUAAUUUCUUUGUGCAUCAAGUCGUGGAACAAAAUCACCAUUGCUCUUUGAUAGGUUGCUCCUGCAUUCUUCAAUCCAAAUGGCAUGACCUUGUAGCAGAACGUCCCCCAAGGUGUGACAAAAGUUGUUUUCGCCUUAUCCUCCGGAGCCAUUUUUAUCUGGUUGUAUCCUGAAAAACCAUCCAUAAAGGAAUAAGUGGAACUCCGGGCAGCGUUAUCCACUAAAACAUCUAUGUGUGGUAGGGGAAAAUCAUCCUUAGGGCUAGCUCUAUUCAAAUUCCGAAAAUCCACACAAACUCUAAUCUUCCCCUCCUUCUUAGGCACCACAACAAUGUUAGAUACCCAUUGUGGAUAUCUAACUACUUCUAGAAAGUCGGCAUCCCAUUGCUUCUCGAGUUCUACCUUAACCUUGAUCCAGAUAUCCGGGUGGGCCCUCCUCAACUUCUGUUUGACUGGCUUACAACCCUCUUCCAACGGUAUCUUGUGUACUACAAUAUUUGUAUCCAAACCAGGCAUAUCUUCAUAGGACCAAGCAAAGACAUCUGAAUAUUCUUGUAAUAGGGUGAUCAUUUUUAUCCUUUGUUCAGAAGUAAUUAAGGUACCUAUUUUCAACUCUUUCUUGAGCUGAUCACUGCCCACAUUGAUGGUUUCGAGUUCCUCCGCGGCAGGUUUCCAAGUCUGUUCCUGUUGUUCUACUAGCCUGGUGAAUUCACUGAUAUUGCUCUCAUCCCACUCUUCUUCUUCCAUAGCUAUCACAUGCUCGUUCAAGUUUGGCCAUUUAUUCUUGAUGCUAAAUGUAUGUGAUGUUGUAGGAGAUCCGCUUUCAGGAUUCCUGAAAGCGGGAAGUGUUUGGUGUAAAUGUAAAAAACAAAUUUGAAAAGUGCAUGAUCUCAUCAUUCAUUUAAAGAAAAGGUGGGCUCCAUGACAAACAUAAAAUCUAGCUGACAUCAUGAGCCUUGAUUGUCAACUAGAGGAAAUAAAAGCAAACAUAAGCAAUGACAAAAGCAUGUUAAGGCAAACAAAGUUGGUUUACAUUUUGAAAACCACUGGAGCUUCUUGGGUCACCCAGUUCUGAAACUUCUCGUCCUGAGCCAACUUGCGCACAAAGGUUUUGGCGGAGACUUCUUCUUUGGUGUAGACCGUCAGUUGUGGGAGUGCUUCAUCUCCCUCUCUCGCUACUGUCUUCAUGUCAUUUCCUUCCACCUUGUUUUCCCCCAAGGUAUUUAUGCCCAUGUUUGACAGUUCUUGACCAAGGCUUUCAGCUCCUUUACCAUGUUGCAUUAUGCAUGUGGCUUUUGGGAAUGACACGCCAAGGGGAGGGAUUUCUAGCUUUUCUUCAUCAGGCUCUCUUCCUUUAAUUCUAGCCAUCCUUUUUUCCCUUCUCCGACCAGCAGCCCACCGAUAAUCCUCUUGGUUAGGUUGGUACCCUAACCCAAAUCUUUGAGCGGCACUUUUCAUCCUUGCCAGAUUAACCCCUUCUGGUAUCCCGAUAAUAAGGUUAUACUGAAAUGGGAUCCCGCGGUUCAAGAAGCAUAGACUUGCCAUCCUUGCUGCUUCUAAGAUCCUUGGCCUUCUUAGCACUGUGUUCUCCGGCACCCAGUCAGUGUUCACAAUCUCAAAGGCAUGGAUAUUGUUAUCUUUGCAAUCGUUCGCUUCGAUAAAAGGCACAACCACAUUCUUUAUCAUGGAUACUGUCUCCUCAGCCUUGACAGUUACCAACAUCCCAUUCAUGAUAUACUUCAGGCAUUGGUGCAAUGACGAAGCUACUGCCCCCGCUGCAUGAAUCCAAGGUCUUCCUAACAACAGACUAUAGGAAGGGUGGAUAUCCAUAACCUGAAGUGUUACUAGGAACAUUUGUGGUCCCACAUAUAGCUCCACUUCUAAAGUCCCAAUUAUUGGCCUAGGCGAGCCAUCAUACGCUCUGGCCAUCAUAGUACUUGGCUUUAUAUGGGAUUCAUCGAUCGGCAUUUCUUCCAGCAUGUGCUUUGGCAACACGUUAAGGGCUGAGCCAUUAUCAAUGAGUACUUUUCCUAUGAGGCAGUCCUUGCACCUAACCGUAAUGUAUAAGGGCUUGUUAUGUCCGGUACCUUCAUCAUCAAGCUCAUCAGCCGUGAAGUACAUGUAAUUAGUUGCAUGGAUCCUUCCCACUAGAUGCUCCAUGGUUUUAUGUUCAAUGUCUUGGGGUACAUAUGCCUCAUUCAAUACCUUUUGUAAGGCGUUUCGAUGUGGCUCAGAGCUGAGUAUCAAGGACAUAAGGGAGAUCCUAGCUGGAGUCUUCUUUAGUUGAUCUACUAUGCAAUAUUCACUAUGCUUGAUCAACUUCAGGAAUUCAUUCGAUUCCUCUUCUGUUACCGGCUUAUUAACUUCUAGUGCUUUGUCAAGAUCUACUACUUCUUUGCCCUUUGCCUUCCUCAACUCCUCGGGCGUAAAGCAACGACCACUCCGAGUCAAACCACUAAUCUCAGUCUGGAACAAAGGCAGAGGAGCUCGAACGUUGGAGGCAUAACCAUAAUUAUAAGCCAUGGCGUUGUGAUUCCCUUUUGGUUUAACCAAGAUUAGCCUUGGGGGCCCAUUAGCUGUUUGUUGGAUCCUGCAUACUCCUGCCAUCUCAUCUUGACCUUCCAUCAUACUCACCUCACCGCUGCUCUUCAUGGGUUCAAUCCUCAACUCCCCCAUUUUUAGCAUUUUUGCAAUCUUUUCGCAAAACUCGAUGCAAUCCUCAAUAUGAUGUCCAUCUCUUCCAUGGUAUUCACAGUGAUCAUAUCCCUCCAAACGGCUCUCCCCCUUUGUCUUUAGAAAUCCUGAUUGUACCAACAUGUCAUACAACUUCUUCAUGGAUACCUUCAAUACCUUGUAUUGAUUCCCCACUUCGAUCAUGCCUACUCCACUACUAUUUGGGGCAUGCUUAGGCAAUGGGUUUGAAUCAACAUUGGGCUUGUCUUCAAAGGAUACCCAUCCCAUCUUAAUAAGCUCCAAUAACCUCUUCUUGAAAGCGUAACAGGUUUCAAUCCCAUGCCCGGGAUUACCCCCAUGGUACUCGCAAGCCAACUCGGGCUUGUACCAGAUUAGGAAUGGUGGUUGUAGUGGUAGUGUAGGGAUAUGAGCUAUUUGUCCAAUGCUCAAAAGUUUGGCGUACAUGUCCUUCAAAGGCAUGGGUAACGGUGGCAGUUGUUCUGAAGUGUAUCUUGUAUGGGGUCUUUGGUAGUGAUUUUGGUAGUUUGACUGGUUAUUUGUUCGAUUAGGGGAAAAAGGUGGGUUAAAGUUUAUGCGUGAGAAUUGAGAGGCAGGUGCUUGAGGACUAUGGAAAUCUACUCUCUUGCCCUUAUACCCACCUUCCAGAUUGUUAACAUCGCCUUCUCUCUUUCUCCCAAUAAAACCCUUCUUUUCCACUGGCAUCGCUAUUCGCCCAGCUUUAAUCCCUUGUUCUAUCCUUUCAGCUAUGCGUACCGUAUCAUAGAAAUGUUGAGAGGAGCUACCCAUUAGGUGCUCAUAAUAAGGUGCUUUGAAGGUAUUGGCAAACAAGCUCACCAUCUCCGUUUCUAUCAAAGGGGGUUGGACAUGCAUUGCCUCAUCCCUCCAUCUUUGCGCAUAAGCCCUUACUAACUCCUGGCUCUUUUUCUCCAUUGCCAUUAGACUUGUUCGAUCAGGAGCGAUUUCCAUGUUAAACUUGUACUGUUUGAGGAAAGCCUCCACCAAGUCUCUCCAGCUUCUGAUCUUGACACUAUCUAACCUCAUGUACCAACUCAAAGCGGAUCCUGCUAGGCUAUCUUGAAAGAAAUAGAUUAGCAAUUUAUCAUCACGGAUUACUUCCGCCAUUUUGUUGCAGUAGGAUCGAAGGUGAGUGUUUGGGCAUUCCAAACCAGUAUACUUAAUGAACUCUGGUAUUCGAAAAUCUUUUGGCACCACAAUGUUUGGUACCAAACAUACUUCGGCUGCUCGCAUAGGGUCAAACCAAUCAUUACCCUCAACUGCCCUUAAUCUUUCUUCUAGAGCAAAUAGCUUGUCUUGGUCCAUCACACUGGGAGACCUAUUAUCUGGGACUCCCUCCGUUGUUAAAUCCACAGUGAUUGGAGCGUGAGUUGGCUGAAUAGGGGUGAUAGGCACAAAAUGUUGUUCAUUGGCCGAGUUUGCCCCCUGGUUUUGAGAUGCUUGAGGGAUGUGAGCUGCUGGCGCUCCUUCAGGUUGUUGUGCUGAUGUUCCCUCCCCAUUCUUAGCUCUUAGAAGCUGCUCAAGUAAGUCGGUUAGCCGAGAAACUUCAUUUUUUACGGACUCCAACUCGGUCUGAUAAUGUGACUCCAAGUGAGCUCUCUCUUCGUUCUCCAUUCUCGCUCUAGACCGGGUGUGUGUGGACUUUGGAUGUGGGACCUAUGUUUCACGGUCUGGGAUGCAUGGAAAAAUGUAAAUGAAUGUAUGAUAAAGAAACAAUGCAUGAAUGCAUGAGCUUGUUUUAAAAAAAAAAACGAUCGAUGGCCAACAUUCCUCUUGUGUAAUGGGCAUGGACUCCUUUUGUCACGUUCCUUAUCAGGAGUAGUUUUGCUCAAGCUGCUGCUUUGGUAGGCUUAUAUAUAUUUUUUUUACAAAAGAUGGGUCAAAGCCCCUUUUCAUUAAUAUUGGCUAAUACAUCUCUUGAAAAGAGGGUACAAAAUAAUAAAAAGAAAAAUACAUCAAUCUUCCUCUUCAUCCAUAUCUCUAGCCACUGGUAGGAAAGCCAGGCCUCGAUUCUCAAUCUUCUCUAGGAAGGCAUCUGUCUCAGCCAAGCUUUGUCGAUAACGAAAGAUGUCCCUUCCCACCCUUCGAGCAUUGGCUCUAAUAAUUCGUGCGUGAAUGACAGCUUCAUCCAUUUGCUCAUCUACUUUGGCCAUCUUCUCUAUAAGCAACAUGUUGUUCCGAUUCAAGGUAUGGUUGUUGGUGUCGAUCUGUUCUUUAUGUUUUUCCGAAACUUCCAACUUUUUGGUCAACUGCUUCACCUUUUCUCAUUCUUUGUCAAACUUCACCUUCAGCGUUCUAAUUUCAAUUUUCUUGGCUGCCAACUCUGCCUUCAAAACCUCCUCUUCAUUCCCCUUUCUUUCGAACUCUUGUAAUUCAGCUAGGCGACUUUCCCUCAUCAUAUAUUUCUUGUUUAACUCAUCAUGCUUCUCAAUUCGGUCCAACAAUUCUGCUUGAACAUGCAAGAAUUUGUCCUCGACAUUCUCUUGAUAGCCGUUGAAGUCGGCUUUCAACGCUUCCAAUUCAGAGCUGCUUUGCAUCCAAUCCAAAAUCAGUCUUCCUCUUUCUUUCUCGGACUCUUCUAUUACAGCCUUUCCCUUGCUCAAUUGCAGCUCUAACAUCACUAUUUUCGCAUCUCUAGAUUCGAGCUGUUCGUUUAGAAACACCCUGCUUUUGUCCCCUUCCAUCAUCAUCCUUUCUAAUGCUGCUUUAUCUCCCUUACUCUUUCCCAAUUCUAUUUGGAGCCUUUCUAAUUGCUUCAUAAGGUCUUCCUCAUUACUGACCUUUUUUCUUUUCAAUGACCCUUCUCCAAUUCGUGAAGGCCCAUCUCCAGAACAUGGCUUUUUCGAAGCUGCCAUCGGGGUCAAAUUCCUCCACUUUUCAUAUCCCUCACUUGAGCUAGGGUCUCUCAAUCUUUCCGACUCCUUUUGAAUUAGAGUCAACUGGGUCCAAUCUUGUUUGAUGGUUUCAAGAACUUCUCGCGCGGGUGGAUCCUUGAAAAAUCCAGAAAAUUCAGCAAGUCCCACAGUUCUUGGGAUGUGUUGUAUGCCACCUAAUUGUCUUAUCACCAGAGCCGGAGCAUAGCUGACAUAACCUGUGAUCCCAAUUAAAGGUACCCAACAUUUUUGUCCACAACUUACUAUGACAUCAACUGAUUUAACCCAAGGGGCCUUCCAACUAAAGUUGCUACUAGGUAACUCUUGCAGUUUUUUCAUCCAACCUUGAUCACCUAGGAUUCCCCAUUCUUCUUCCUCCAUUAUCUUCAAGGGUUUUUGGUUAAACCACCAAAAAUUAUUAAAGAUCGGCUUCUUGGUUUCAACAUGGCUUACCAUCCAGAUGUAUAACAACUGAGUACAACAUCGCACUGCGCCUUUCCCCGUCUUUCUAAAAUGGUUGAGGGUCAGAAAGGUCUCAGCUAAUAUGGCAGUUGUGGGGUUGACAUGAGUAUUUUCAUAUUCCACGAAUGCAGCAGCAGCUUCUAGGCUUAUAACCCCUAUUAAGCUUGGAAAUAACACGAGACCAUAGAUCCCCAGAGCGAUUAACCUGUCUCUUUCUAGUAUUGAUCCGUAUUGCUCUUUUUCUUUUCUAGUUCAACCUCUAGAAAUUUCCACUUUAAACCGCUGCCAUUCUUCUCUAAAAAUCUGCUCAGAUGUGGAAUCUUCAGCAAUUUUGACAACUCAGGAAUCACCUUGUCAUUUCUCAAAGGAAAAUAAACCCGGUGCAGGUGUUUGGGAAACUCCGUCAACAUUCCAUACUCCUCUAUAGUGGGACAUAAAUCCACAUUUCCAAAGGAAAAACAUCUGUAAUCGGGAUCCCCAAAAGUAAUCAAGGCUUUAAUUGCUGGGUUCAAUACUUCUAUCUUUGCUAUUCCAAACAAUCGCCCAUACUUCCUGAAGAAUGCCGCCUCAUCAAUGUUUUGACUAUGACUCAAUAUUCUCUUCAUCUCAUAUACUAUGCAAUUCAGGUCUUUGACUACUGGAAGCUUCCUUGCAUCAUAUCUAGAGCAAUCUCCCUCUGAUAGUUGUGACAAUUCAGAAUUCUGCCCAUAUUCCACAGUAGUAAAUUUGGUAAUGAUGGCCAUCUUAUCGUUUCAAAAGACCUGAAAACCAAAUGCUUUAUGGUUUAGGUUUUUAUGCAAAAUGUACUUUGUGGAGCAUACACCCUAUAGCCGGUUCUAAAUCUUUUGUGCUUGACGAGGGUAGGUUGGCUAUUCAGUCUCUAAAAUGGGUCUCUUGCUGUCCCAGUGAUUGCCCUCAUGGAGGCAAUAUGGGGGCUUGUAGGCAAUGAGAUGGCACAUGUACCAACUAUUGCCAGUCUAAGCACUCAGCGAAGAGUUGGGGUUUACACAAACUUAAACCUUGACUAACAGUCGUAAGGUAAGCUGCUAGUCCCCCACUUAACUUAAAGUUUGUGUGUGCUCUCAAUAAUCAAAGUAUGUGAUGCAUGUGACAGUUCUAUAAGAUGUAUGAGACAGUUCUAUACAAAUGCAUGAACAAUAUGUGUAAAAAUAUUUAAAGCAUAUAAGCAGAUAACAAAAGGAAAGGCAUAUUAACAAUAAACACACGAAAACAAAAACAAAUCAGACAAAAACAAAGCUUAGUCCACAAGGUCCCCAGUAGAGUCGCCAUUCUGUCGCACGUGAGCGACGUCGCGGCGAUCGUCCACCCUCGAAUGUGUAAAUGGGGGGAUGUGUAUAUAUAUGGUAAAUAUGGUGAGACAAGGAGUUCUUUGUCUCUUAGCAGUGAAAAAUGGUGUGGGAGUCGCCACCUAGUAUUUUGGUCACUAGGAACCCUAACUGCUCUCAGAGAUCGGGCACGGGGACUGGUUGCGUAAAGGGAAGGUAUUAGCACCCCAAAUACGCCCUACCUAAGGUAAGCUGCAUUGUUUAUUUGUCUGAUAAAAUUCAAGGUCUCGUUGUGUUUCCUAGUUGUUGGUCCGUCUAUGGUUCAAGAAAAGUCCUCCUCAAUAAGGAGGUCCUUAUCUUAUCGGGUAAAACCUAACCAUUCUAAUGUCUAUAUAUGUUGGUCCGUCUACGGUUCAAGAAAAGUCCUCCUCAAUAAGGAGGUCCUUAUCUUAUCGGGUAAGACCUAACCAUUCUAAUGUCUAUAUAUGUUGGUCCGUCUACGGUUCAAGAAAAGUCCUCCUCAAUAAGGAGGUCCUUAUCUUAUCGGGUAAGAACCUAACCGUUCUAAUGUCUAUAUAAAAAAACCAUAUUUUUUAUAUCAGGAAUUCAUUUUAUUGUUUAAAUACGUAAUCCCAUAUACUAAAAUAAAACAAAAAGAUUUUUUAGAAUUUUUGAAAUAUUGGCCUAGUUCUCAUGGCUUGAAUAAACUGGUUAUUAAAGCCAAAAUGCAUGCUAUUACAUAUAUUGUUUUUGAAAUUUUCUUUUGUUGUGUGAAAAUAUGAUGUUAUAAUAUUUAUAUAUAUAUAUAUGUUGGAGAGACUAGGCCGUAUGCAUGAAAACAAAACAUUUUUUUUUUGUAAUUAUGUAUUUUUUGAUGUUUUGACGAAAAUCGGGUAUUUUAAUACCGGAUUUGUAUCUUUACAGUAUAAAAAUACAAACCGAUAUUGAUCAAAAUACAGUAAUAAAAUUACAACAAAAUCGCAUAUUUUUUAAAUGAUUUUUGAAGAAUUUUUUUUAUUUUUUUUUAUUUUUUUCGUUUUAAAACAUGUAUACAUAUAUAAAUAAUACAAAACAAUAUAAUAUAUAAUAUAUAAUAUUAAAUGGGCUGGGCUGGUCCGGCCCAACCAACUGGGCCGGACUCAGCCCAAAAGUGUUGGGCCGAUCUCGGCCUAAAAUGGGUUGGGCCGAUUUCGGCCCAAAUACUACUAUCCUCUUCUGGGCCAGGACCAGCCUGGCCCAACAACAAACACUGGCGGGGGGAAUUAUUUUCCCCCCCACCCUCCUGCAUGCAGAACGUAUAACUUUCUGCAUGCAGGGAAAAAAACAAGGUGCAGUAAUGAAGGGAGGAAGAAGAAUUACCUGGCGCGGAGGAGGCUGUGCGUCGCUGGCGGUGUUGCGGCAGAGGCUGGUGGUGGUGUCGUAGCUCACGGACGGCGGCUCCAGGCGGCGCUGCGGCUGUUCCGAACGUCCGGCGGUGUUACUGUUUUUUUUCCAGUUUUCUACCCGUUUCCAGCUUUUCCCUUUCUCUUCCUAGGUUUCGGUCUUCUUUUUUUUCUUCCCUUCCCUCUCUUCUCUCAGUCUGUUUUUCUUUCCUCUUUUUUUUAUGUUUUUUUCUCUCCUCUUGGCUUCUCUCUUACUUUUCGGUUCUUCCCCUCUUUCUUUUUUUUUUUUUUACAUGAAACGGCGUCGUUUUAAGAAAAACGCGUCGUUUCAUUUAAGUCCUGCAAGACGCCAAAACGCGUCAAUUUGCAAGGCAGCGCUCAAUUAUCUUUUUUCCUUCAAUUGCAUCCCUGCCAAUUUCGGUCUCCGCCCCUCUUGUUGGCCGCGUUUUUCACUUUAGUCCUUGGCCUCUGAUUUAUGCAAUUGAGCCCUUAAUUGAUCAAAAAACUUCCAAUUUCUUCAAUUAGGCCCCUGAAUCAAUUAAUUCCAGCCCCUCCAUUUACGCGCCUCUUCCAAUUUGGUCUCUGGUUUUGGAUUUUCUCAAUUAAGUCCCCAAUUGGCCCUUAAACUUCAAUAUUUAUGCAAUUAGGCCCCUGAUUUGACCUAAUAAAUUCAUAAAAAAUAUAUUUUGGCCCCAGAACUUAAAUUUCUUCUAAUUAAAGCCCAAAUUGACUUAAAAAUCAAUUUUUCUUACAAUCAAAUCUCCUAUAAAUUCAUUUAAAAAUCCAAUUAAGUCCAUAAACAUCAAAAUUUGGGCUUUUCUCCUCAAAUUUCAAAUUUUCCUUCUCAACAGGGCUCUCCUCCUUCAAGAAUAUACUGUCAAAAAUCCAAUCUUUGUAUUUUUAACCUCAUUGACCAAUUUUCCGACCAUUUUCUGAGCGCUUCUGCCUCCUGUUAUUUUUCUAACCUCCUUUGACUAUAUAUUUUUAUAUAUAUUUUGUGGGGACCCAAAAAUGGGUUACAACAGUUCUUGUGCUUGCUUAAUCAUAUUAUUUGUGCAGCAGGGAUUCUCAUUUAUUUUUGAGGAUGCUACUUCAAAGGCUGUUAAAAGUUUGCAAAUUAGAGAUGGUGUUGGUGGAGCAGUUGAUUCUUUUUGUUCGAACUGGGUUCUGCUUCAGCUCUUUUUCAAUGUCGUCUUUCAGAGGAUGAUGUUUUAUUCCCUUGGAGGAUGAAUACAAGUGGAUCAAGAGCUGGGGUUAUAUUGCGAUGUAAUCAUUAGUUUUUCUGCUUUGUUCUUGCUGGGUUUUCUUGCUCUCUCGUGUCAUUUAUCGUAUAUGGUGGCUACUGCUUGUAUUUGUCACAUGAGAGCUAUCUGGAAGUGUAUUUAGAGAAGAGAAGAUUUUGCGCAUAUGGUGUUCUUCAGCUACAUUGCUCUUUGGAAUUCUAUGGAUGAGAAGCCAGUUUGAAGCAAUUAUAAAGUCCUCUUCUAGGAAAAAUACAGAUUUAUCUCUUUUGAAGAAGUUGGUUGCUGUGAUUUCAGAGUCAGAGAUAGAUGUGUAGGAGUUUUGCCGGUCUGAUAUUCUGUUGUCUGAUAUUUAUAUGUUGCUGGAUUCCUCUGUUUUUUCUUUGAUGUUCCAGUUUUUAUUACGACCUUCUGGUUACUUUUCUCUGCCAUAUAUUGGCUUUAACUUGUAUGCUUAUCAAAAAAAAAAAAACCACCGGUAUCUUCAAUGAUAAUACAGCUAAAUUAGACAACGAAUUUAGUUCUGUCAGGCUUGCAUUCAUUCCUCCUGUGCUGUUCCAUCCCUCAAAGCUUUGAUCCCCUGAAACAAAAGAAUGUGAAAUAGAGGAAAACAGAAUUGCAGAGAGAAAUUCCUCAUGUGUAUUGAAUGAUGCAGCUCGUCCAAUUAUAUACAACAAGCAAAGAAUAUUCUAGCUAACUUAUCCCAUGCAAUGUCAAUACUACCCUUUAUGUACAGCUCAUUACAGAAGCAACAAAUAAUAAAUAACAAACUAACAGAAUUCAGGUAACUAUGCCAUCCUUCUCUUCAGUGACGUGGUGAGGUGAUGAUUCAUCCUCUAAUACCCCCCGCAAGAUGGAGUGUAAAGAUUUACGACUCCCAUCUUGGAUAAGUGAAAAUUAAGAACUGAGGAUGAUAAAGCUUUUGUCAUGAUAUCAGCAAGUUGAUUAGAGCUGGAGACAUAACGGGUGCAUAUAUGCCGGCCUGAAUCUGGUCUCGAAUUAGAUGGCAGUCGAGUUCAAUGUGUUUAGUCCUCUCAUGGAAGACUGGAUUUGCCGCAAUAUGGAUAGCAGCUUGGUUGUCACAGUGUAAUGAAACUAGUUGAAAAUGUUGGACAUGGAGUGCAGACAAAAUGUAUUUCAGCCAGGUUAAUUCAGCGCAGGUGACAGCCAUGGAACGAUAUUCGGCCUCUACCGAGGACUUAGAUACCACGGAUUGUUUCUUGGAUUUCCAAGAGAUCAAGGAAGAGCCAAGGAAAAUACAAUAGCCACUAAUUGAACGUCUGGUAUCGGGGCAAGAAGCCCAAUCAGAAUCGCAAUAAGCCUCAAGAUGUAAAGAGGAAGAACUAGAGAACAAAAGUCCUUGUCCUGGUGCACCCUUAAGGUAGCGAAGGACUUUGUGAGCUGCAUGUAAAUGAGCAUCAGUAGGAUUAGCCAUGAAUUGGCUCAAAUUGUUGACACUAUAGCAAAUAUCUGGCCGAGAGACUGUAAGAUAAAGGAGCCUGCCAAUAAGACGUCGAUAAACACUGGGAUCAGGUAAUGGAGAGCCAGUUGUUUGAGUAAGGUUGAGGUUUUGCUGCAUUGGAACCUUAGCAGGGGUGCUGCCUAAGGUGCCAGAAUCUGUAAGAAUAUCCAGUGUGUACUUCCUCUGGCAGAGGUAAAUGCCUUUUGAGGAUCUUGCAACCUCUAUGCCAAGAAAGUAGCAUAAGGUGCCAAGGUCCUUGAUCUGAAAAUGCCUGUGAAAAAUAGAUCUCAAUUCGUGCACAGCAGCAAUGUCACUGCUUGCAACCAAUAUAUCGUCGACGUAAACAAGGAUAACAACAAAUGUGCCAUUAAUGUCACGGGUGAAAAGGCUAUAAUCAGCCUUGGAUUGAGAGAAACCUGCAGCAAAAAGAACAUUAGAAAAUUUGGAAUACCAUUGCCUGGAAGCUUGUUUGAGACCAUACAAGCUCUUGAGUAAUUUACAGACUUGAGUAGGUGAUCCUUUUGUGUAGCCAGGAGGUUUAUUCAUAUAGAUAUCUUCAUGCAAGUCCCCAUGCAAGAACGCAUUAUUUACAUCGAAUUGAUGCAAAUGCCAACCUUUAACCGAUGUAGUAGCCAAUAGACACCUCACAGUAACCAACUUAGCCACAGGAGAAAAAGUCUCAUGAUAGUCCACUCCCUCAAGUUGGGUGAAACCGCGAGCCACAAGUCAUGCUUUAAGUCGUUCAACACUCCCAUCAGAAUUAUACUUAAUUUUAUAAACAUAUUUGCAAUCAAUAGGAACUUUGCCAGGAGGUAAAUCUAUAAGUUGCCAAGUCUGAUUUGCCUCCAAUGCUGCUAAUUCAGUGUCCAUGACCUUACACCAUCCAGGGUCUUUAAGAGCUUGUUUAUAUGUUUUUGGUUCAAUAUAAGUGGAAAUAGUGGUUGAAAAAGCUUUAUAAGUAGGAGAAAAAUGCUGGUAAGAAAUAGUAUUAUGAAGAGGUGAAGUUGUACCUAAAGGGGAACAUAGCAGCUGGUUCAACAGCGGGGUAGGAGGAGUUAGAGUAGUCUGAUGACAAUGGUAAUCCUGCAGGUACUUAGGAGCAUGUCUAGUUCUAGUUGACCUGCGAAAAGGGGAAAUUGAAGAAGGAGGAGAAGGUAAGGUAGCAAGAGAUAAUGGAGGUGGAGAAAUAAAAGUUUGUGGUGGGGAAGGUGUAUGAGGGGGAGAACUUGGAGCUAAAAGUUUUUGAGAUGGAGACUGGUUAGUAGGAAGGGCAGGUGAGGUAGUAAGAAUAGAGAUAGAAGGAGGCAGUGAAGAAGGUAAAUGAUGUGUAAUAGAGUUGGAAGGUAAAACAGAAGGCGAAAAAAAAGAAUGGAAGGGAAAAAUAGAUUCAUGAAAAUAAACAUCCCGGGAUAAAAAAAUUUGAUCAGUUUGUAGAUCAAGUAAUUUAUAUGCUUUAACUCCAAAAGGGUAGCCUAAAAACACACAUGCUCUUCCUCUAGGAUCAAACUUCUUACGCCCAUGGGACAAGGUAGAGGCAUAUGCAAGGCAACCAAAAACUCUCAAGUGUUUGUAUUGGGGAGGGGUUUGGAAGAGAGAUUCAUAGGGUGUUUUGUUAUGAAGAAGAGGGGUAGGAGUAUGGUUAAUAAGGUAGGUUGCUGUGAGAACACAAUCAGUCCAAUAUUGGGGUGGAAGGUGGGAUUGAAACAUUAAGGCUCGGGCAAUAUUCAUUAUGUGUUGAUGUUUUCUCUCGACCCUUCCAUUUUGUUGGGGUGUGUCGACACAACUCCUUUGGUGGAUAAUGCCCUUAGCUUGAAAAAAUUAUGUCAUGCGGAACUCGGCUCCAUUGUCACUUCUAAUGAUUUUGAUUUUGGUUUGAAAUUGAGUUUCAAUUAAACUGUAAAAAGCCAUAAAACAAGACCGGGUAUCAGAUUUAUUUCUAAGCAUAUAAACCCAUGUUGUCCGAGAGUGGUCAUCAACAAUUGUAAGAAAAAAACGUGAUCCAUCCACUGCAAUAACUGAGUUGGGACCCCAUAUAUCACAAUGGACAAGAUCAAAAUUAUUUAAAGCAGAAUAUGCAGAAGUUGGAAAAGAAACACGCCGCUGCUUAGCCAAAGGACAAAUUGAACAUGGUAUUGGAUUAUGAAAUGUUCGAUUGUGCGUGAUAAUGGGAUCAGUGAUUAAAAUUAAUCUGGAAAGGGAAAUGUGUCCUAAACGAUAAUGCCUGAGAUGAGGCAGUGCAUCAACCAAAGCAGAGGGUGACACCCGAGACCUGAGAAGGUGGUACAGACCGGUUCUAACUUCACCCAUCCCAAUCGUUGUCCAUGAUGCUAAGUCUUGAAAAAAACAAGCAUUGGAUAAAAAUACACUACGCCAUUAUACAGUUUUACCGACGGAUUAAUUCCGUCAGUAUAAGGAACACAAACCGUCGGUAAAAUUAUUACCGACGGUAUCUCCGACGAAUUUAUUCCAUCAGAGUCUUGAGCGUCGGUAAUUCUAAUUCCGUCACCAUUUUUGUCGGUAAUAAAAAAAAACAAUACCGACAAAAAUUUCGACGGAAUUACAGACGGAUCAGCGCGCCGAAAAAAAAAUUUCUCGUCACCAAGUUACCGACGGAAUAUUUCCGUCUGUAAAAUUCAACGGUAAUUACCGAUGGAAUAUUUCGUCGGUAAAAUUCAACGGUAAUUACCGACGGAAUAUCCGUCGGUAAAAGACACAGUAAUUCCGACGAAAUUUCCGUCGGUGAUUAUGGCACGGCCAUAAAUAUUGUAAACGAUACUACAAUACCGACGGACACAUUCUCUCUGUAAAUCCGUCGGUAUAAAUUUAAAAUAUUUUUAAAAAAAUUAUUUAUUAACAGUUAAAAACUUAUAACCAAAUAAAUUUUCAUUAGACAUUAAAAAUGUAAAAUUAAUGUUAAAUAAUAUUCAUCGAAAUAUUCAUUACAAAUUUAAUGUUUUAAAAAAACAAAAUUAAACUAAUUAAAAUAGCGGCGGAGCUGGAGGAGGAGGAGGCUGGUUGUUGCCGGGACCAUACGGCCAAAAAGAAGCAGCACAUGGAUCAUCACCCAUCUUUGAUCUAAUCUCCAUGACCAUUUGAUGGAGCUGAGCAUAAUCCGUCGAGAGGCGUUCAUACUGUUGUUUCAAGGCUAAAAACUCCUCUGACUGGGUGCUCGAUACUGAUGGAGAGCUCCCAACGGUUGAGACACUACGAGCCGACCGUAAUUUUUCGGCCGUCGUGUUGGAGAGCCCGUAGACCCGAUUUUUAUCGAGUCCACCAGACGAUCCGACCUCCAUCCAUAAAUCCGGAUCAAAAUCUGGUUGGGUCAAAGGAUCGUCCCCAUAUCUCUCUCUCAACCGGCUAUUAUAGGUCUCCUGAAUUUUUUUUUAAAAAAAUCAUCAUAUUCAAUUCAAGAAAAUAAUAACUUACAAAAUAAUUUGAUUGAUCGAACAUACCACAAAAUGCUGAGCACGGUUGUCCACGUACUGCUGCACCCCCUUUUGGCGGUCUUGACUCCGCACAUGCGUCUCUACAAAUAGCUGCAUUGGACUCGGCUCACGUCCAAGAGACGUAGCCUGUAAGGAAAAAAAAGAUUGCAAGUUAAAUAUAUUUAUAAGCAACAAUAAAUUAAUUAACGAUAUAUUUCAUUUAAAAUAAUCUUACCAUCCGCUUCGCAUGUGCGCUGAACGAGAUGGAGCCGCCGGUGUGCGUGGUCACCGAACCAUGAAUUUCCCGGUUCCGGUUGACGGCUCCGGAUUGUGAGCGUCGUGAGAACCGCUCAGACGUCACGUGCUCAAUAUAUGCCGCCCAUAUAUCUCCCAAGAUGAAUUCCCGCCAAACUCCCGCCAAACUGCCACCUCAUUCUAGCCUUCAAGACCGUUGUCCCUCGCAUAUCUUUUCACCUUUUUUUGAGUGUCAUACCAAAAAUCAUGCAACCUACAUCCAUAGUAACUAAUUAUAAUUUAGAACAUAAAAUUAUAAAUAAAAAAUAAAUAUUAUUUUCGAUGUUACCUAGUUGCCGCGUGAUUCUCCCAUACUCUCCUGACAACAUUGUUGUCCGCGCUAUCCCACUCAAAUUUAUUCUGUAUAUAUAAACAAUUCAUUGAAAAUAAAAAUAGUACAAGAUAUAAAAUUACAAAAAUUAUUUAUUAAAAAUAAACUGAAAAUUAAAAAUUAACACCUACCUGAAAUCGCCGAAACCAGGCAUCGAUAUUAGGUCUUCACUCGGGAUGUCUGGAGACCUGACUCCAUUGAAACAAUGGAAUCUCCAUCGAUGAUUUCAUCGCCAUUGUAAUUGUCCUGGCAGCCUCAAUGUUUGUGAACCUGAAAUUAAAUAAUAAAAAAUUAAUUAUUUGUUCAUAAAUUAUGUUAUAAGUAUUAAAAAAAAAACUAAAACCUAAACAAACUUACAUUGAGAGGUCAUCCUUCCAUUGUGCCUGGUACUUGCGGGUGAAUUGACCCCGCUGUGAAGGCACGCCGCUUCUGCGCUGUGAAACCGCGGUAGAAGAGGAAGCAUCACACGGUGACGCAGAUGCAUCGCCGUGAUCAACACCUAAGGAGAUGUCCUCCUCGCUAUUAGAAGAACUAUGUGCAACCGUCUGCUGACGACGUGCUAUAGAUUUCAUUCGACGCAUCUACACAAAUGUAUAUGAAUUAUUACAUAAAUUAACUUUAAUUAUUAAAAAAAAAAAUCAGCAGCACCUCCUUUAUACUAGAGACUAGCCACAGUUUUCAAACCUGCAAUAUUUACAAUAACCACAAUCCAUAUAAUCUCCAUCAACAUCAUAUAUACAACCUAAUAUCAUUAGGAAUUCAAUCAUUAAUAAAAAUUCGGCAGCACCUCCCCUAUAUUGGAGACUACCCACAGUUUUCAAACCUGCAAUCUUUACAAUAACCACAAUCCAUAUAAUCUCCAUCAACAUCAUAUAUACAACCUAAUAUCUAUACCAAUUCAACAAUAACAAUUAUUCCAAUACAAACAAUAAUAUCCUAAAAUUAAUAUAAACUAAUUAAAUUUAAUUCUAUAUUUCAAUUCACAUUUAUAACAUAAAUUCAACAAUCUAACAAUUAUUCCAAUACAAACAAUAAUAUCCUAAAAUUAAUAUAAACUAAUUAAAUUUAAUUCUAUAUUUCAAUUCACAUUUAUAACAUAAAUUCAACAAUAACAAUUAUUCCAAUACAAACAAUAAUAUCCUAAAAUUAAUAUAAACUAAUUAAAUUUAAUUCUAUAUUUCAAUAACACUAAACAAAACAUCCUAAAUACAAAACAAACAAUACACAAAACUAAAAAAACAAUUCAUUAAUUCAAAAUAAAUUUUGGAAUAAAAAAUGCAUACCUUAAUAGUGUUGAUUUUUAGAUUUUAUCUAUAAAAAUACACAAAACAAAGAACACCAAAAAAAUAAUGAUAAUUAAAAUAAAACAAAUACAAAGAUAAAGAAAAACCAUUACAUACCUUUUAAUAUGUUGAAAACUACCACCAAAACAAUCAAAUCUCUUCCAAAACUUAAACUAAAAACCGGGAGGAGAAGAAAUAGAGAUGAGAGCCAAGAGAAAUGAACCAAAUGGGGGGGGGGGAGGGGGGUUUUAUAUGCCAAUAUUUCCGUCGGAAUUAUCGACGGAACAUUAAUUGUUGUCGGUGGCAUUAAUUUCCGUCGAUAUUUCCAACGGAAAAUAAAUUGAAAUGUGCACCAAAAGUUUUGAAAAUGCUGCCUUUUUGUUUUUAUCCGUCGGUAAUUCCGUCAGAAAUUACCGACGGACAUUUACCGCCAACAAUUCCGUCGGUAAUAGUGCAUCUCACAGGCGUUCGCUUCGGGAUGUGUGAUUUCCGUCGGUGAUUGUCGUCGGUGAUUCCGUCGGAAAUUGUGGCACAAGCCCUUCAUGUUCCAAAAUAUUACGUUAUAAAAAUAAGGUUUUACAGCAUGUUUAGUCAGAAUUUUCAUCUUCGUCCUCAAUUGAAUUGUUAUCAUCCGCUUCAUCGCGCUCUUCAAUGUGGUUAUCAUCUUCUUCAUCAACAUUCUGUACUGCAUUAGUAGAGCUCAAAACGACAUUCAACUCCUCUGCAUCAACAUCAACAAGACUAUCGUUGAAAACACGAAAAUUCGAAUUUUCUUCUAAGUCAAUCGAAGGAGCAACUCGGUAUGGUUCAACCAACUCACUAGCUUGAAAGACUUCAUCUAUCACACUUGUGUCUUCGUUCUCAUCCUGAACAACCUCGACACGACCCCUGGGUUUUGUUUUUAAAACGGAUAACCAAUCAACUCUUGAUCGGUCCCUUCUAAAGGAAGGGGUGUAUGUGUAAUAAACUUGUUGGCAUUGCUUUGCGAAAACAAAGACGUCGUUUACGUUGCGGUGUCUAGCUUUUGAGUUGAUUUCAACGAGACCAUAGUGAGGAUCUACUCUGAUUCCUCUGUCAGUUGUGUCAUACCAAUAGCAUUUGAAUAAAAACACUCUAUUCUGCUUGCUAUGAUAUUGCAGUUCCAUGACCUCUUCCAAUCUACCGUAAUAGUCAACUUCAAACUCACUAGAAGUCAAUCCCUUAAUACAAACACCGUUGUUGUAUGUCUUUCUUCCAUGCCCAUAUUCUUUAGUAUGAAAGAUAUAUCCAUUGAAAAAAUACCCGUUAUAGCACUUGACUUUUCUUUCAGGGCCCAGGCUUAGUAAAGACAGUGAAAUAGUAGCACUAACUCCCAUUUGAUAAACCUUGUAUAUUAAAUACAACAAUAAUCAAUAAACAGAUAUUAUGUAAUAUAUAUUUACGUACAGUGAAUUACAUUGCAAGAGAUUAUGAGUUUGUGAUAGGACUUACAUGUGUUCUAAACCAUGUGGCAAAUUGUUCAUCUUGUAAUUGAAAGAUCGGGGAUUCCGUCAGCUGUGAGUUAUUGGACAGUAAGUAUCGUCGAUGUUGUCUGCAAGGUUGUUUCAAAUUAUAUGAGUUUAUGGUAUCACAAAACAUAAAUAGUCCACUCUUGACAAAGUCUACUUACUUAAUAAAAGGUCUCACCUCAUCACAGUUAAAUAGGAUAUAAUUGUGUGCUUGUCUGAACUCUAUUUCAGACAAAUAUCUUCCCCUCACGACAUUUUUAGGUGUGGGUCGUCCAGGAUUAGAGAAUAUUGACAAGUUCCCACUUGAAGGCACUUCACCACCAUCAUCAUGCCGUGGAACAUGGUUGAUCCACGUUCUCAAAUGAGGUUCGAAAUAGUAUGAGAUAAAUGUUGAGAUCUCCUCAACAAUAUAGGCCUCACAUAUUGACGCCUCAACAUGCGCCUUGUUCUUAACCUUUUUUUUAAGAUUGAACAAGUACCUGCAUAUAUAUAUGUAUAUAUAUAUAUAUAUAUAUAAUUAAUAAAAAAUUAUAUAAAAAAACAUUUAAUUAUGAAUUACAUAGCAACUGUAAUAUCUAACCUCUCGAAUGGAUACAUCCAUCUGUACUGGACCGGUCCUCCAACUUUUACCUCAAACGGUAAAUGUACGGGUAAAUGCUCCAUUGAGUCAAAAAAUGAUGGAGGGAAUAUCAUCUCAAGUUUGCAUAUUGUCUCCACGAUAUUCAUUUCAAGCCUCUCAAUGUGAUCAACAUUCAACUUGCUGGAGCAUAUAUCUCUGAAAAAAUGACUGAUCUCCGUUAGUGGAUCUCAUAUCCCCUUUGGCAACAAAUCACGAAAAGCUAAUGGGAUGAGUGUUUGCAUAAACACAUGGCAGUCAUGACUCUUCAUUCCAUAUAAUCUGCAUUCCUCGGUAUUAACCAGCCUUGAUAUGUUCGAGGCAUGUCCAUCGGGAAAACGCAGACUCUUAAGCCAUUUGUAGACUAGUAGUUGUGCAUUUUUCUCUAACACGAAGCUUGCUCUUGGUUUUGCGACCCGUGACCCAUCACAAACCAACUCCAUAUGUUUACGGUUACAGAACAACACUACAUCCAAUCUAGCCUUGAUGUUGUCCUUUGUCUUCCCCUUCACAUCCAUGACGGUGUUGAAAAUGUUCUCAAACACGUUCUUUUCAAUGUGCAUGACGUCAAGGUUAUGACGGAGAAGAUUGGUCUUCCAAUAAGGAAGCUCCCAAAAUAUACUUCGCUUCACCCAGUUAUGGGUCAAACCAAAACCAGGAAACUUCUGCUUACCUGAUUGGAGACCAAACACAAUGUCACCAUACUCUGAAACAACAUCAAGCAAUUCUUCACCGGAAAGACGUGGGGGUGCAACAUCCUUUUCAACUCUGCCAACAAAGAAAUUCUUUUUGUUCUUUCUGUACCUGUGAUUCGGCGGCAAGAAGCGACGGUGACAGUCAAAAAAAGAAGCUUUACCCCUGUUUGUUAGCGUGAAUGCCUUGUUGUUCUCCAUACAGUAUGGACAUGCUAGCUUUCUGUUGGUUAAUUUCGCAAGUGCACGAAUCGUAACAAGUAAUAAAGUGAUGAGUAGAGUAUCGUCCCACGAGGAUUUGUAAAAAUUACUACUAAUUACCAAAGUCUUUUAAAUUAUGAUCUAUUUGAGGAAUCGAAUGAGAUAGUUUAUGAAACAAAAAUUAAUGAUAAAAAAAACAAACAACAAAAUGAUUAAAUAUUAAUGAAUUCAAUUGUACUGGUUCUAGGAUUUCUGACUUACCGUAACUAUGCCUAUGUGAACUUUCUCGAUUAAAAUAAUUACUCCUAAUGUUGAUAAUCAGGUUUUCCUAAUGUAAAUAUUAAUCUCUCUCGAGCAUCAAUAAAUUAUUUCAACAACCAAAUUUCAUAUACUCUAAGAAAGUUCUGAACUUGUCGAAAUCAAUUAAAUAUUGUAAAACCUGUAACGAUUACAAAAGUUCCUAGGAUAUCUCUAUCCUAUAGAUUUCUUAAGGUAUUUCAAACAAUAGCUAAAACAAUUAUCACUUCUCAGUUUCAAAUUGAAUUCUAAAUCAUGCAGAUGUUGGCCAAACACACGCAAGCAUUACACAUAGAAUGAAAUACUCAACAUCUUAAUGUAAUAAUUCAAUCGAAGAAAUUGUUCACAUAUUCAUAGUAAGGUUACAUCAAAAAUCCCAGAAUAAAAGUCUACUCCAUAGUUAAAUUAAAGAGAAACAAACUUGAUACGAUGAACAUCACUCAAAAGCAGAGAAUUUCAGUGGAAGAGAUAGGUGUCCUCCCCGGUCUUCAAUAUUUUUGCCUCUGUUCUCUUUGUUCCUGUUGGUGCCGCCUCCUCUGUUUUUCUUUGCUAUGUUCAGGGUUUCUAAGUGUCUCCACUCUGUUUUUCAGACCCCGUAACUCUUCUUUUAUAUUGUGGCUUUUCUACCCCUGCAGUAAUGAGGAAAAUUUCCUUUUCUGCAUUGAUUUCUCCUACCCAGACAUUGCGGGCCAGAUUUGAGGUAGGAAACGUGCGCAUUCAAAGAUCUCUAUUUCUGGAGAAAUUGUAGAGAAUCAAAUUUUCUUUCCAACGACACUGAUCUUGCAAUUUGUGGACCUCUGAGCGUUGAGAUAUGGGCUAUAAACCGAAACAGUCUUUGCAGUGCAGGUUCAAUCCUUGUUUUUCAACUCGCUUUUUGGGCUUCGAAACAACAAAACUGAGUUAUAUGUCCUUCAUAUGUUUUGUAGACCUUCAUCUCAGCUAUUUGAAAAUGGUUACGAACAUCCGGAACUAAAUUGUAUAGCUUCUUUGCAGCACAUAAUGAAUCACUGUUCAGUUUCACUGUCCGGCUCUGCCUGUUCAGUAACCUAAGAUCUGAAAACACAUUAAUUUCCCACGAGGUCAAUAGUUCAAAAAGAGAUUCAAAAUUCUAAUUGUCUUGUGCAACAUAUCCAAAAUAUUUAAAAAUCAAGCAUGAAUAGCAGAAAAUAUACAUGCUAAAAAUUCCCUUAUCACUUUCCAUGCGUGCUCCAACCAGAAACCAUUCCAUAAGCUGGGAAAUCAUUGAUGGUCCACAUCAAAGCUGCUCUCAUAACAAAAUUAUGUUUCCUUGAGAUGUCAUAAGUCAAAGCUCCAGAGGACCACAAUUGCGUCAACUCAUCAAUCAACGGACGAAGAUAAACAUCUAUAUUCCGACCCGGACUGCUCGGACCUGGUAUGACCAUAGAUAGAAACAUGAACUCCGGCCUCAUACACAUUCCUGGUGGCAAGUUAUAAACCGUCAGUAUGACCGGCCAACAAGAAUAAGGAGCAGCAAAUGACCCGAAUGGAUUGAAUCCGUCUGUACACAACCCAAGACGCACGUUCCUUGAUUCAGCUGAAAAGUGAGGAUGCACACUGUUAAAGUGUUUCCAGGCUUCACCGUCAGAAGGAUGCACCAUCACUCCAUCAACCGCAUGAUGUGAUUGGUGCCAUGUCAUGUGCUCAGCAGUCCUUGGUGACAUGAAUAACCUCUGUAGUCUAGGUGUGAUUGGAAAGUAUCUAAGUUUUUUAUAUGCCAUGAGAGUCUUUACUCUUCCAGUUCUGGGUUUGUAACGGGAAUGCCCACAUGUCAUGCACUCGGUCAGCUCAGCAUUUUCAAGGUAGUAUAACAUGCAGAAGUUAGGGCACAUGUCAAUUUUCUGGUAUCCUAAACCGAGGGGUUUCAUCAUGGACUUGGCAGCAUAGAAGUUCUCUUUCAGCAUGUUCCCUUCAGGUAAAAUGCUUCUCGCCCAUUCGAUAAUCUUGUCAUAACCGGCCUCACUCAACCCGUGAUCUGACUUGAUGGUGAACACAUGUGCUACGGCCAAUAAUUUACUGUGGUUCGUGCAGCCAUCCCAUAAUGGCUCGUCAGAAUCUUUCAACAGAUCAAAAAACCUUGUUGCAUCUGCAUUAAGUUCUUCUUCUAUGAUUGGACAUUCCCUGACAUUACCUUCACUCAUUCUCAUUGCAUCUAUAACCAUAUUCCUGUAAGGAUUACUGUUCUCAUUUCCAACUUCAUGCAUGUUGCUAGCACUAGAAGUUGACCCAACCACAUGUUCUUCCAUGCUCUCAUCAGGAACAAAUAGUUCUCCGUGUGCAUACCAACACAGGUAAUCCUCCAUGAACCCUUUGGUUAGAAGAUGCAUCGUUACAACAUCUUGAUGCAGAAACUUUAAAUUUUUACACUUCCUGCAUGGACACCUAAUACCGCCAUCAGUAAAAUUCCUCAGGAUAGAUGUUGCGAAAUUAAUAAAACCCUGAACACCAUUACAAUAAUCCAUCCUCCGCAAUCUUUAGGGUGAGUCCCGAUACAUCCAUGAACAAUCAUCCAUGACUUAUAUUGAAUCUCUAUAAAACAUUAAAAAAAAAUAUUGGUUUCUUAUGUUAAAUAUUCACUAUCAAUUAUCCAACAAACUAAAAAAACACUUAUGUUAAAUAUUCAUUAUCAAUUAUCAACUAUUAAUGUUCAUACAUACAAAUUUAUACAUAUAUAAAUUUACAUAAAUCAUAACUUCGCAAUAGAAUUGAUAACAAUUAAAACAUACCUAUUAAACAAGCUAUAAUAUAAUUCGGUGUAAUUCAAACAAAAUUUCAACAAUUUACAAACAAAUAUAAUUUGAUAAAAUCUAAAACAAACUAUAACAACUACAAAAUUAUACAUUCAUACAACAAGUUUCUUUAACAAAAUACAUAUACUAAAAAAACAAUAAAAUUCACAUUUAAAAGUUAAAACUAAAAAGGAUAGAUUUACUUAUAAAAAAUGAUAAAAUCCACAAGAAUUAACGAAUGUUGUGACCACGUACAAAAGUAUAAGAAACUUGAGUGCUAGCUUGUGUUGAGAAGAGGGGAGAGUUGAGAUGGGUGGUUGGCUGCAGUUUGGGAGGGGAGAGGUGGGAUGGGGAAGAAGAAGGGGAAGAAGAAGGAGAAACAGAGGAAGAGAGGAAGAGAGAGUGUCGGCAGAGGCAGUAUAUACUGGCGUUUACCGAUGGCAUCACCAACGGAAAUAUUCCGUCGGUAAAACCGUUGGUGAUUUCGCCGGUGUUAGCGACACGUCCCUGCUUGGCUGUCCGGGUUUGAAUCCCUCGGUAUUUUCAUCGGUAAAUUCGUCUGAAAAAAAUCCACGUCAUCCCACCGUUGCAUUUUCAAAAAAAAAUUCUCGCCCGUCGGUGAUGCCGCCGGUAUAUACCGACGGAAUCAUUCCGUCGGUAUAUACCGGCGGCAUCAUCGAUGGUGUUUUUCUGUCGGCUAAUUCCGACAGAUUUUUCAAGGGAAUUAUUUCCGUCGGUAAGUUUUACCGACGGAACUUUUCCAUCGGUAAUUCCGUUGGUGUUAUCCGAUUUUCUGGUAGUGAUAUGAGACAACAAGAAUGAUGUUGAGUAAGUUGCUUGGCAGAAAGCAAAUUGAAGUUAAAGGAAGGAACAAACAAAAUAUGAGUUAAUUCAAGGUGCUCAGAUAAUCUUACGACACCAAUGUGGGUAACAGGAACAUCUUGGCCAUUUGGAAGUUUAACUUGAUAGGAAACGGUGGCUGUGAUAGAUGUAAAAAGGGAGGUACAACAGAUCAUAUGAUCCGUCGCACCAGUGUCAAUAAUCCAAGGUGAGAUGUGUGUGGGAUGAGAUGAGUGUGUGCUUGUGCUGAAGCAAGUAGCCAUACCAGAAACACGAGAGUUGCUGACGUGAGGAUUUGGAGAGGAAGAAGAUGGUUGUGUAACAGAUAGUGAAGCCAUGGCUGAACUAGUCUCCUUGGAAUGCAAAAGAGAAAGUAAUUGUUGGUAUUGACUCCUAGUAAGCAUCAUUGAUUCAGUUGAACCCUCCUCGUGAUCACCAUCCGAGAGUGCUCGGGAUUGAGUAAUAGUUGUUGCAAUGCCUUUAGUUUUCCCAUGGAGUUUGUGACCAGGUGGGUAGCCGUGCAGUUUAUAACAUCUCUCAGCAAUGUGGCUAGUCAUAUUACAAUGAGUGCAUUAUGAUGGAUUAGCAUUUCCAACCUUAAAACAAUUUUCAAGAGAAUGACCAGGAAGCUUGCAGUAAGAGUAGUAUGGGCGAUUAGUUUUCUGGGAAGUAGACUUGGAGAAAUUUUUGCUAGAGUUAAAAAAUGGUUUGGCCAUCAUUGCCAUAAGGUCAGGGAUUUGAUAGAAGGAAUCAUCAAAUGUUGUCGUUCUUGUUGUUGGAUCAUGGAAAAUACACGGUUAAGGGAUGAGAGAGGAUCAAGUAGCAUUAUCUGAUCUCUGGUGUUUGAGUAUGAAUCAGACAAACCCAUAAGGCAUGAAGGAUUUUUAAUUUCCCACAUACACAAUCAGGAAGAGGGUCAUAAAUAGCAAGUUCAUCCCACAAUGCUUUGAGGUGACCAAAAUAGGUGCUGAUAUUAUCUUGGUUUUGAGAUAAGCUAGCUAAAUCAUGUUUGAGGUUUUGAGAUAAGCGCUAAAUCAUGUUUGAGAUGAAAAAUUCGAGGGCCAUUUUGACGGGUAAAACGAUCCCUGAGUUCCAGCCACCAUACUCUUGAAUCCUCAACUAAAGCAAGACUAGAUUUAACAGAAGGACUUACAGAAUUUUGUAGCCACGAAACAACCAAGUCAUUGCAUCUCUCCCAAGCUUCAAAAAGAGGAUCUGAGAUAUCAGUGGGUUUAGACAAUGUAUCAUUAACAAAUGCAAGUUUGUUCUUCGCGCAAAGGGCUCGAGAAAUCGCACGAGACCAAUUGACAUAAUUAUCAGCAGUCAAGAGUUCAAAACAAGAGCAGCAGCUGGUUAUCACCAUUCUCAAUUCGGAAUGGAUUGAAAGGGUCAGAGAAAUUGAGGUAUUUGUUUUUGGGGUUUGUAUCGUUGAAAGGCUGAGAAUCAUUUUCUUUAUGAGCAUUAGCCAUUGAUCGGCUGCUUUGAUACCAUGAAACAAAAGAAUGUGAAAUAGAGGAAAACAGAAUUGCAGAGAGAAAUUCCUCAUGUGUAUUGAAUGAUGCAGCUCGUCCAAUUAUAUACAACAAGCAAAGAAUAUUCUAGCUAACUUAUCCCAUGCAAUGUCAAUACUACCCUUUAUGUACAGCUCAUUACAGAAGCAACAAAUAAUAAAUAACAGAGUAACAGAAUUCAGGUAACCAUGUCAUCCUUCUCUUCAGUGAUGUGGUGAGGUGAUGAUUCAUCCUCUAAUAUCCCCAGUCAACAAUUCUUCUAACUUCUUCAACCUUCCAAUCAAAUUCACAGGAAUCCUUCUUAGCCUUUCACAACCUGUCACAUCCAACAACCUUAACCCCUUGAGCUCACCUAUUUCAUCAGGUAAUUCUUCAAUGGAUAAGCCUCGCUUAAAAACAAGAAUCUUAAGUCUCUGCAGCUUUCUCAACCAAAUGAGGUCCUUGCAUCCACACCUGAUCAACACCAACGAUUGAAGUUUCGUUGAGAGUUCAAGUGAUUGCAAUGACAAACACCCUUCCUUCAGAGACAAAACUUCAAUUUCUCUCAUCCCUUCAAAAAACCUCUCUGGAACAUUCAAACCAUGAUCCACUUCUAAUAAUAGAACUUUGAGCUGUGGACAUGCCAAUCCUUCAGGAAGUUCUGCUAGUUUAUUGCCCAUUAACGAAAUUGUUGUACAACCUUCAAAGCUUUCAUUGCCCAUUGGCCACUUCUUCAACCCCAUUCCAGCCUUUACCAUGAAUCCAUAUUCUUUUGAUGAUGCUCUCUGAAUAGCAAAGUCACGAACCAAGUCAUGCAUUCUCACAUGUUCUUCAGUUUCAGUGCCCAACAACAAACAACAAGCUUUGAGGUUUUCGAUUGCCACAUAAACUUGUUUCCUUGCAUCUUCAAUGGGCUCCUCAGAGUUGUUAUAAAAAAAACAUGCAUGUAACAUUGUGCCGGCACCAGCUAGUACAACCUGAAGAGAUGUCUAGUUUCAUAUCUCUUGUGAGAAGGAGGGGGGUAUGGCUCGUUGUAUGGUAACAAAACAAAAGGGGAUCCACUGAAGGAUACUGCCUCUCACUUACUUGCCGCAUCAACUCAUUCUGAGAAACGAGAAUUAACAAGGCAUCAAGAUGACUCUAUGAUAGAUCCCAAUUACAAAGUGUAAUGGGCUAAUGAAAUUUGUUUUCUCUUCGGGUGAGAAAGUACCACAAGUUGAAUGCAUAUUUUUUAUAUAUAAGUUUUAGCUGCUUAAAUAAGCAAGCCUCAUCCCAAACAACAAACAAACUGAAUUACAAGAAAAAACUAACAGUAAGCAAUUAUACUCUGCCCACGUAAUACAGAAGUUAACAAAGUAAAACAUAACACUAAAAUAACGUAGUCUUGCACUGAUGGAAGACCAUUUCCUGUUGCAUAAUUGUUUGUUACUCUCCAUGACCCAACUCAUCAUUUUCCCACAUUGCAUGUACACAUGCAUGUUCCUACUUCCACGUCCUACAGCACACAUGCAUUCCACGUCCUGCUGCGCCCAUGUAUGUUCCCACGUUCACUGUUCAUCCAAAAUAUUUGAAAUUUGGCUUAGGACUUCGUUCAAAAUGUCGUGGCUUAACAUUACCCUCCCGGACUCUUGUCCGCAAGGUCCAUGGAAGGAAAUCGUUCCUGCAAAGAGUGAUAGGGCUCCCAGGUGGCAUCUUCAACCGGAAGAUGCUUCCACUGUACUAAAUAGUCUGCUUCAAAUUUAUUGCCCUGUUUGACCCAACGAGUAUCCAAAAUCUUAUGAGGCUCGAGGACAACCACCCCAUCAUCUGUAACGGGUGGUAACUCUGUUGAAGGCAUAGCAGAGUCACCCACAUAUUUUUUUAAGAGCGAGACAUGGAACACCGGAUGAAUACGAGCACCGUCUGGCAGCUGAAGUUUGUAUGCUACUGCCCCAAGUUUUUGUAGCACUGGAUAUGGACCAUAGAAGCGACUGGCGAGCUUCUGGUGGGCGCGUUUGAAAAUGGUCUAUUGCCUGUAAGGAUGCAGCCGAAGAAACACUAAAUCCCCAACCUCGAAAGAAAUAUCCCAACGUUUUUGAUCUGCAAGUUGUUUCAUGCGAUUGAUGGAACCCUCCAGAUUACAUUUGAGUUGACGUAACAAAUCAUCACGAGCUUCUAGACUGAUGUCGACUUCCUGAACUGAAGAACCGCCAUGAUGGUAUAUGGGAAUGGUAGGAGGUAGGCGGCCAUACAGGGCUUGAAAAGGGGUUAUCCCAGUGGAUGCAUGAUAUGUGGUAUUGUACCAAAGCUCAGCCCAAGGGAGAUAGGUGCUCCAUCGGCGUGGCCAUUGAUGAACCAUACCCCUGAGAUACUGCUCAACGCAGCGAUUAACCACUUCUGUUUGUCCAUCCGUUUAUGGAUGGUAGGCUGAACUGAGUUGUAGCUUGGUGCCAAACAUGUGAUAAGAUUGCCGUGAAUUUUUUAUUUUAGUUAUAAAGUUGAUAAGAUUUUAAACAUAUUUUAAUUGAAUUAAAUAUCUCGACACAAAAAUUGUGGUUUUACAUAUAUAUAAUUAUAUAUUAUAAAGGAAAAUCUAACAAAUAAUAUGAUUUCUAUGUUUAAAUUUCGUUAUUAGGUUACAAAUCUUGAUUGUAAGAGUGCACCAUUAACAACGCAUACAACAUAUAUGAUCAUAUAAAGAAAAAAAAUCAUAAAAAAAAACAAGCUAGUACAUUUGUUACAAAAUUAAAAACUUGAAUAUUUUUUUUUUUUUGAAAAAGAAGGGAUAUGGGUGUAAGUCCAUACAGAAAACCAACUAUCACACUAAUCAAUGGAUGGGUAAGGCAUAUACUAGCAUUUAUCUCCAAUAAUCAAUUACUUCAGUUUUAGAAAUUUGGAGGAAGAAAGAAUUAAAGAGUAUCACAAUGUAUUGACGUACUUGUGAUUGUGCCACCAAAUUACCUGAUUCUUCUCCUCCGUAAAAUAUUUGCUUUAAAAUAUUCAGAAGACUUGGAUACACAGAGACAGGGAUGACAGAUUCUAGUUUACUACAAUCAGAUAUAUAGAGAGUUUUUUAUUUUGGGAAGCCAUGAGACUCUGGAGUUAUUUCUCCGAUAAUAUGCUUCAAUUCACGGCAAUCUCUUAUCUCAAGUGUUUCAAGCUGUGGUAGACUUUGAUUGAGGGACGGUGGAUGUCAGUUUGUGAACAAACCGCAAAUUCAGAUGAAUAAGACUUCGGAGGCUGACAUGUCCGGUGGGCCCCUUCCAUAUGCAUUUGAGCUCAGGUAACCCUUGCAGCUCUAACCUUGUUAAAGAUGACAGCAGCGGCAUCUCCUCCUCCUCCUUGCUUUCUUCAUCUUCCUCUUCCAAUUCAAAUACCCCUUCCAAUGAUUUGCAGCUCAAGAUUUUCACACUCUUUAGAUUUUUCAAAGCUUGCCGCAAUUUUGCUGAAAACAGAGUGCAGAUAUCCCCACAAUCCUUCACUUCCACAAAUUCUAAUCUUUGUAAGAAGCCCUUUCUCUGAUCAGAGGACAAUACUAUAUUUUUAAACCCUUCGGUAGCUAAAAACAAUUUAUAUGAUGCAUAAAAACAAUUAUCACGUUUAAGGGGUGAUAAUAUCUUCCCUUUUACGUAACCAGUCUCGUAUCAUAGAAUCUUUGUUGACCGGUUAGGGUUCUUAGUGACCAUAAUACUAGAUGGCGACUCCUUAAACAAGAUAUUUUCCCUUAAAUUCCAUAACAAGAUCAUUUUUAGGACCGCUGCGAUGUCGAGUGCGACAAUAUAUAAUUUGAUAAACAAGAAAAAUCUUUUAAGAAAAUAAAAAUAUUGAAGAAGAAAUUAUCACAAUGUAUUGAAGUUGACGAAUUAAAUUAAAAAGGAAAAAAGAAAUAAUGGAGAAAUAUAAGGGACGUACUUGGAGCUGUUCCAACAAGUUACCCAAUUCUUCGUGGCCAUGGAUGGUUAGAUUUUGCAAAGAAGGCAAUUGGGCAGCAAAGUUCUUUGGACCAAAAAAGCUGCAAUUUGAUUUGGGCCAUAAAAAAGACAAAUCUCUUAGCUGUGGUAAUUUGAUGAUGCCAUCUCCCGUGAGUGCACCUCCUUCUCUACUGUAAACUAUUUGCUUUAAAUUGUAAGCAUAGCUAAUUGUCAUCCGUUCCAGGUUCUGAAGAGUUGGAGACACGGAGACAGGGAAGACAUUCCAGUUUACCACAGCGAGAUAUGUAGACAGUUUUAAAUUUUGGGAAGCCAAGAGACCGUGCAAUUAUUUUCCUUUCAUCACCGUCCUUUUCUCUGAUGAUGUGCUUCAAUUCACGGCAAUUUUCUACCUCAAGUGUUUGUAACUGUGGUAGACUUCGAGACAGGGACGGUGGGAAGAUAAAUGUCAGCUUGUCAAGAUCCUGCAAAUUCAGACGAGUAAGACUGCGGAGGCUACCAUUUCUGGUGGGCCACUUCCAUAUACAUAUGAGCUCAGGUAACUGGCUCAGCUGUAACGUUUUUAGAGAUGGCAACAGCAGCAGAUCCUUCUCCUCAUUGCUCUCUUCAUCAAACUCGCCCAGUUCAAAUACCUCUUUCAAUAAUUUGCAGCGCUCAAUUUCCACACUCCUUAGAUUUUUCAAACCUUGUCGCAAUUUCGCUGGAAACAGAGUACAAAUAUCCCCACAGGACUUCACUUCUACAAAUUCUAAUCUUUGUAAGAAACCCUUUUGCUGCUCAUGGCCAUGGGUGGUCAUCUGAUCAGAGGACAAUACUAUAUUUUUUAAACCCUUCACUCUCAUAAAAGCAAUUUGAGACACCGUAGGAAACAACUGUUCAAAUGUCUUUACAUUUAAGGAUGUGGCACUUGUAUUGUUGGGAUACUGGCAUGCAAACCCGACAAGAUAAAAGGCAAAUGAUACCACUUGUAAGGACUAUGGACACCACCUAUCUCCAUAUUGGUAUGAUAUUGUCCACUUUGGGCCUAAGCCCUCAUGGAUUGCGUGAAGAUUAGAAUUUUUUAAAUCUUGUCGAGGUUGGGUAUCCUUUUGCUGAAUACCCAUUCCCUAAUAUUAUUUCAUAUUUGAGCAACCUGGGAAAAACAAAAUCUUCGGGAAUGCAUUCAAGCUUCGGUAUCUUCACUGAUAAUACAACUAAAUUAGACAACGAAUUUAGUUCUGUUAGGUUUGCAUUCAUUCCACCUGUGCUGUCACAUCCAACAACAUCCCAUCCCUGAAAGCUGAAUUGCCCGAUCAACAGCUCUUCUAACUUCUUCAACCUUCCAAUCAAAUUCACAGGGAUCCUUCUUAGCCUUUGACAACCUGUCACAUCCAACAACCUUAACUCCUUGAGCUCUCCUAUUUCAUCAGGUAAUUCUUUAAUGGAUAAGCACGACAUAAGACCAAGAAUCUUAAGUCCCUGCAGCUUUCUCAACGAAAUGAGGUCCUUGCAUUCGCACUCCAUCAACACCAACGAUUGAAGUUUCGUUGAGAGUUCGAGUGAUUGCAAUGACAAACACCCUCCCUUCAGAGACAAAACUUCAAUUUCUUUCAUCCCUUCAAAAAACCUGUCUGGAACAUUCAAACCAUCAUCCUGUUCUAAUAAUAGAACUUUGAGCUGUGGACAUACCAAUCCUUCAGGAAGUUCUGCUAGUUUAUUGCCCAUUAACGAAAUUGUUGUACAGCUUUCAAAGCUUUUGUUGCUCAUUGGCCACUUCUUCAACCCAAUGCCAGCCUUUACCAUGAAUCCAUAUUCUGAUGAUGCUCUCUCAAUAGCAACAUCACGAACCAAGUAAUGCAUUUUCACAUGCUCUUCAGUUUCAGUGCCCAACAGCGUGGAAUGCGCUUUGAGGUCUUGGAUACCCGGAUAAACUUGUUUCCUUGCAUCAUCAAUGGACUUCACAUCUUCAUAUAACCCAUAACCAACUGCAUAUCUCGUCAAGUCCUCAAUUGGAAUGUUGUAAUCUUUUGGAAAUAAACAGCAUAGCAAGAAACAUAACUUAGUUUCCUUGUGCUUCAAAUAAUCAUAGCUCAACUUUAGACGGGCAUAUACAAUUUUGUCAAUUUGUUCCAUGUGCCGCGAUGAUUUAGAGUUUUUUAGCUCUUCAAACGCUACUUCCCACUGAACUGAAGGUUGAUCUCUUAGAGCCCUUCCCACUGUCAUAAGUGCUAUAGGCUAGCCGUGGCAUUCUCUUGCAACCUCCCUUGCCACCGUGUUCAAGGUAGAGUCCCCAUCACGUAAACCUGCAUUGAUUCUGAAUAAAACCAAUGCUUCAUCUUCAGGUAGGACUCUUAAAAACACUUUUUGCUGGCACUUCAUAGAAGAACAUACGUGUUCAAGACGUGUUGUUAGAAGAAUUUUGCAACCCCUGUGAUCAUCAUCAAAUGGGACCCCUAUCUCUUCCAAUUCAAUACGUUUCCAAACAUCAUCCAGGAUUAUAAGCAUCUUCUUCUCUGUCUUCAGUCUCUGCCGUAAUCGACCUGCUCUCCCUUCUUUGCUCACUUCUGGUUGAAAACGCAGACCUCAACUAUCUGCCAUUCGACGCUGAAUGUCCAUGACAUUUGGAUUCUGGGACAGCGUGGCCAUCGAAACUUCAUCAAACAGCUGCAACUCUUUGGCUUUCCUGCCUACUUCUUUCACCAGGGUGGUUUUACCCACCCCUCCCAUGCCGCACAGUCCGAUCAUAUUGACUUUUUCAUCUAUGAGAGCUUUCAUAAUCUGUUCAAAAGCUUCUUUUGAGGAUUCUGAGGAUGUGAAUUCCUUUGAAGGAAGAAAUUCUAUGGGAUCUGGAGGAGCUUUGUGCGACACUGUUGGAAACUUUUUUCUAUUUUCUUCAAGUUUUCUCAAAGUCUCCGACUUCUUGUCCAGUGCCUUGCUUAACUUGAAUUUGUUGGUGGGAGAAACCACUGGUGGUGGCUUUGAAACACUCGGAGGGGAUAAAACACACUGUUUUAUUUCAAGAACAAAAGCUUACAAACAAUUAACACAAAAGCUUAACACAAUACACGCCCUCUCUCUUUCUCUCUAGUGUUUCUCUCUACUCUCUCCACACAGAAUAACAUAAGUUUAGCUUGCUAUUUAUACACGAAUUCAAAAUAAGAAAAUUCAACCUUCAAGUGUGAAGGCGGCUGUGGACGGUGGUGUGAAGGCGGCUGGCGGCAAACAGCUGGUGGCUGGCGGCUGGCGGCUGGCCGGUUGGUGGCUGGGCGGUGACAGCUGGUGGCUGCCUUCCUUGACCAUCUAGAUUGAGUUUAAUAUUCAACAAAUCUCCCCUUUAAACUCAAUCGAGGGAUGUCAUGCCAAGCAUGAACUUUAAUCGGAUAAAUACUUCUCCUUUUAAUGGCUUUGUGAAGAUGUCAGCAACUUGAUCAUUUGUGUUGCAAGAUAUCAGUUGGACUUCUUCAUUCUUCACAUGUUCCCGGAUAAAGUGAUGACGUGUAUCAAUGUGUUUGCUCCUCUCAUGAUACACUGGGUUCUUUGCCAAUGCGAUUGCUGAUCGAUUGUCAAUAUAAAUCUCCGUAGGAUUUUCUUGAGGAAAUCCCAAAAACUUCAGCAUAUUCCUUAACCAUAUUGAGUGGCAUACGGCUGAGUUGGCAGCAACAUACUCAGCUUCACAGCUUGAUAAUGUUACAAUCGAUUGCUUCUUGGAUGACCAUGUGAAAGAUGUGUCUCCCAUGAAAAAGACAAACCCUGUUGUGCUUUUCCUUUCAUCCAAAUCUCUACCCCAAUCACUAUCCGAGUAGCCUACAAGAUUAAAGUCUUUACUUGAGGUAUAAAACAUACCUUCAUUCAUUGUGCCUUUGAUGUAGCGAAGAAUUCUCUUAGCUGCAUUCAAGUGAGACUGGUCUGGCGUCUCCAUGUAUCUGCUGACGAGUCCGACUCCGUAGAGUAUAUCCGGUCUGGUACAUGUCAAGUACCUUAAGCUUCCUACUAAGCUUUUGAAGUAAGUUGGAUCAACAUUUCCAACCUUACUUUUCCUCAAUUCCACUCCAUUCUCAACUGGAGUUGAUACCGGAUUGCAGCUUUCCAUCUUGAACCUUUCAAGAAUAUCUUUGGCGUAACCGCUUUGGGAUACAAAAAUCCCUUCUUCUUUCUGCGUUACUUCCAAGCCAAGAAAAUGUGACAUUAGACCAAUGUCAGUCAUCUCAAACUCAUGUACCAUAUUUUGUUUGAAGUCGUCAAACAUGGUAGGGUUGUUGCCGGUGAAUAUCAAAUCAUCAACAUACAGGCACGCAAAUAAGAUGCUGCCAUUUGCUCCUUUCUUCACAUAUAUGGCGUGUUCAUAUGGACAUUUCUCAAAUCCAUUAUCUUGAAAAUACCUGUCAAUUCUGGUAUUCCAAGCACGCGGAGCUUGCUUCAAACCAUAGAGAGCCUUCUUCAACUUGUAUACUUUGCCUUCAUUUUCAGCAUCAAUGUAUCCAAGUGGUUGUUCAACAUAGAUCUCUUCUUCUAGGAAGCCAUUCAGAAAUGCUGACUUCACAUCGAGUUGAUAGAUCUUCCAUCUAUGUUGUGCAGCUAGUGAGAUCAUCAGUCUGAUUGUCUCUAGCCGGGCUACUGGAGCAAAUACUUCUCCAUAGUCAAUGCCUUCUCUCUGUUUGUAGCCUUUAGCCACUAAUCUGGCUUUGUAUCUUUGCACUUCUCCUUUGGCGUUCUUCUUCGUCUUGUAGACCCAUUUGACACCUAUUGCUUUCUUGUUUUCUGGUAGAUAAGUCAGCUUCCAGGUAUCAUUCUUCUCAAUGGCAUGUAUUUCUUCAUCCAUUGCUUCUAUCCACUUCUCUUCUGUGAUAGCUUCAUCGAAGCUUAGUGGGUCACUAUCUGCAAAGAAACUAAACAGAGUUGUAUCUUCCAUGACCUGAGUGGUAUCGUACAACUCUUCAAGAUUCCUCAUCCUUCUUGGUCCUUCUGACGAUGAGGAUGUUGCUGCUGGUGGUGUUGAUGAUGAUGCUCCUGGUGUGUUCCUCCUGUUGAAUACAGGGAAUCUGUGUACCGGACUUUGUGGUUCAGCUGCUGGCACAAUCUGUUCUUCUGCAAGUACUGUUGGUACUUCUUCACCUUCAAGGAUCAAAUCAGUGGUGAUCCAUUUGACUGCUUCUUUAUUAUCAGUCCAUUCCCAAGAUUUAUCUUCUUCAAAGAUAACAUCUCUACUCAUAAUCACUUUCUUCGUGAUGGGAUUAUACAGCUUGUAUCCCAUCCUUCUUUCACCAUAUCCCACAAAGAUGCAUCUCUCGCUUUUAUCAUCGAGUUUUCUCCUUCUUGCAUCUGGGAUCUUUGCAUAUGCCACACAACCAAAGACUCGUAGAUGAGUAACACUUGGUUUGUGACCACUCCAUGCUUCUUCUGGAGUGACUCCUUGCAAACUUCUGGUUGGGCAGCGAUUCAGUAGAUACACUGCACAUGAUACAGCUUCAGCCCAGUAUUGCUUAGGCAACUUCUUUGCUUUGAGCAGACUUCUUGCCAUGUCAAGAAUCGUGCGAUUCUUCCUUUCAGCUACACCAUUCAGCUGUGGUGUAUAAGCUGGUGUUGUCUGAUGUCUGAUGCCUUGUUGUGUACAAUAGGCUUCAAAGUCAUUUGCUGUAUAUUCUCCACCUUGAUCAGAUCUCACUGUUCUGAUCAUGUAGCCACUUUGCUUCUCCACAAUUGCUUUAAAAUCUUUAAAACAAUUGAAUACUUCUGACUUCCUCUUCAGAAAGUAUAUCCACGUCUUUCUACUAAAAUCAUCAAUAAAAGUGAGGAAGUACCUAUUCUGUCCAGUUGACAUAGGCGUAAUUGGGCCACACACAUCUGUGUGUACUAACUCCAGUGGCCUCUUUGCUUUCCAGUUGACUUCUUUGGCAAAACUGGAUCUGUGAUGUUUGCUGAGGACACAACUCUCACAGACUUCAUCUGGAUGAUCAAUGUGAGGCAUACCUUUGACCAUCUUCUUGCUUGCUAGCAUCUUCAAGCUCGUGAAAUUCAGAUGUCCAAGCCUCAGGUGCCAGAGCCAUUCUUCACUGUUGGUGAUGGCACUCAAACACCUUGCUGCAUCAUACUGGAUGUUCAAAGGAAACAUCCUAUUCUUGGACAUUUUCACAUAGGCCAUUAAUCUCCAAUUGUUGUCUCUAAUUGUCAGAUGACAAUUCUUCGAGUAAAAAGUAUAUCCUCUCUCCAAAAGUUGACCUAAGCUGAUCAGGUUCUGCUUUAUGGCUGGGACAUAAUAAACAUUGGCGAUGUAGCUGGAAUCGCCGUUCUUCAACUUGAUUGGGAUGCUGCCUUUACCUUUGAAUGGAACCUUUGAGGUAUCUCCAAAAGUAACUAGACCUUGCUUGGUCUCAUCUAGAUCACUAAAUAACUCUCGGUAGCCACACAUGUGAUUGCUGGCUCCAGUAUCUAGAUACCAUAUAUUUUCCUGUUUCUCGCCAAGUUCUUGUUGGACAAGAAAUGCAGCUUCUAUGUCAUCCUUCUCUGCAUAGUUGGCUUGCUCACGUAUCUCCAACGGAGCUUUCCUUCUGCAUUCAGUGCUAUAGUGCCCAAAUUGAUUGCAACUAUAACAUUGGAUAUUUCUCUUGUCACGGUUAUUGUAACCGCCUCCUCUUCCUCUAGGAGUGAAUGCUUGUUGUCCUCUACCUCCUCUGGUGGUGUUUCUACCACCUCUUCCUCUAAAGCUUGUAUUCCAAGAACCUCUUCCUUGGAAUCUCUGGAAUCCUCCUCUGGAUUGUUGACUUCCUGCUUGAGUGGUAUAUCCACUUGUUGAAGUCUCCCCUUGCUCAUAUCUGUCCUUGAGAGACAGCUUUGCUUGUAAGGCAUGCUCGAUGGCCUUAUCUCCAUUUCGCUUUACAAUCUUCUGCUCAUGAGCUUGCAAAGAACUCAUAAGCUCAUCAACUGUCAACUUGUCCACUUCCUUGGACUCUUCAAUGGCGACAACAACAAAAUCAAAUUUUGGAUCUAGGGAUCUCAAAAUUUUCUCAGUAAUUCGAGAAUCGACGAUGGCUUCUCCAUUUCUCCUCAUCUGAUUGACUAUCACCAUAAUCCUUGUGUGAUAAUCAGAAAUAGAUUCUGAGGACUUCAUUUGCAAUAACUCAAAUUCACCUCGCAAAGAUUGAAGACGAAUCUUCUUGAUUCUGUCAGCACCUUUGUAUUUUUGUUGGAGAGCCUCCCAUAUAUCAUGUGAUGUUUCAGCGGAAGCUAUGAUCUCGAAUGUAUCUUCAUCAAGACCUUGGUAGAUGAUGGUCUUUGCUUUGUUGUCCUUCUUUCUGUUGACUUUCAGGGCUUGCUUCUGUGCCUCUUGUAAAGCAUCUUCUUCUUCUUUAGACUCUGGUUCAUCAUAACCAUAGUGUACAAUCUCCAAACACUCUUGUGAACCAAGGAAUGCCUUCAAUCUGAUGCACCAACUAUCAUAGUUGUCUUUGGUCAGCUUCGGGAUGAGUGUUUGUGUACUUUCUGUAGUCAUUUUGCUCUUUUAAUGACUAUAUCUCCUUCUGGGAGUUGAAUUUGGCAAAACCGACACUGUAGAUCGAUCCGGAAUGGUCGAAAUAGUCGGGAACCGGUUUGACUUUGUAGAAAUCAGGUCAUAAAAUGGGUGAACCGGUCACAAAACCAAUUCUGGGCGUCGGGCGGUUCGCUGGGUUGAACCGGGAAUAUUCUGUGGAAUAUUCUAUCGGCUCGGCUUAGCGGCUAGGCUUGAAAAGGGAAUAUUCUCUGGAAUAUUCUUCGACGCGGCUGGAGGCUUGGCUUGCGGCUUGGCUCGGCUCGGCUCAACGGCUCGAAUAUGGCGCGCGUGGACGUCACUCGUCUUCUUCCUCUGGCGCGCGUGGGUGAGACUGGGCUACAGUCACCGGAUCUUCAGGCGGCGCGUGUGGCUCACCCCGGUGUCCGAUUGAGCUGAUUUUUGCGGCAGUGAGUUCGUAUGGAUGAGCUCUACACGUUGGAAUGAUCAAAACUUGUUUUUGACAACUUUGAAAAUUCGGCUAUCUCCCAAAAACACUUCUGUUUCUGACGAACGGGGCUCUGAUACCAAUUGUUGGUGGGAGAAACCACUGGUGGUGGCUUUGAAACACUCGGAGGGGAUAAAACACACUGUUUUAUUUCAAGAACAAAAGCUUACAAACAAUUAACACAAAAGCUUAACACAAUACACGCCCUCUCUCUUUCUCUCUAGUGUUUCUCUCUACUCUCUCCACACAGAAUAACAUAAGCUUAGCUUGCUAUUUAUACACGAAUUCAAAACAAGAAAAUUCAACCUUCAAGUGUGAAGGCGGCUGUGGACGGUGGUGUGAAGGCGGCUGGCGGCAAACAGCUGGUGGCUGGCGGCUGGCGGCAAACAGCUGGUGGCUGGCGGCUGGCGGCUGGCCGGUUGGUGGCUGGGCGGUGACAGCUGGUGGCUGCCUUCCUUGACCAUCUAGAUUGAGUUUAAUAUUCAACAGAAUUGUCGCAUGCAGUUUGGACACCAAGUGAAGCAUUUGCCAUUUUUUCCUAUUUCAUUUUCCAAAGGCUUCGCACCUUCAAUUUCGUUGUUCGCAUCUUUCAGCCACUUUUUGACAUCUUUGUCAAUUUCUUCAGCAAUCCUUUUAGCCUCUCGGACAGCACCUGGCAGACGAUCUUUUGCCGAAACCAGGUUCUCCUUUCGUUCUUUGAAUUCUUCAACAAAAUUGUUGAAACAGAACAUGUAACGGAACUGCCUAGUUGCUGGUUCCACUGAGAGUUCUGCUAUCUUAGAUACAAUGGAUCCACCAAUACUUUCGAUGAACAUUUUUCAACAGUCUGAAAAUCAGAGAAAUAAGGAUGCCGACUGUGAGAAUGAUUCAUUACAAGUAAAAUAGGCACAGAGAGAAUGAUAAUAAGUAUUUUACUACAUUAAUUUAUUACAUUUUUUUUAUGGAAACGUAGAUGAUACGAAGAUUAAACAAUUAACAGUGAACACUUUAGUCUUCAAUAUUUUUUAGGAUGUUUUUAUUUAUUUAUUUCAGAUUUAGUUUUUUUUUUCAAUUUCAUUCACCAACAUUAUUAGAUUUCAUAAUUUAUUUUGAUUUAUUUUCUAUGAAGUUAUUCUGGUCUCAUGACUCGUAUUACGAGUUUUGUAGAUUAGCCGUGUUUAUUCAGGUUAUUUUUUUAAUUAUAUCUUUCAAUAUUAGGUUAAUUGAAAAUUAUACUUUAUAAUUUCAAUAUUUAAAAUUUUAAAAAUGAAGAACAAGAAGAUAUAUACAAUAAGAACAAAAAGAUAGAAUGCAUAGAAGUUUCAUUCAACACAUUUCCAAGUGAGUUUUUUGGAAUGUUUUUGAAAGCUCAUUGUAAUAAUUCAUUAUAAAUAUGCAAUUAUAUUUUUUGAAUGGUUCAUUGAUCAUGUCAUGUAGAUAUGACGGAAUUUAAAGCCAUAUUGGUUUAACACAAAGAAGAAUUUGUCAAAAAAAAAAAAUUAUAAAUAAAAAAAUUAGCAUCUCAAACGUCAUAGAAAAUGAUUAUUAAAAUGAUGGAAAUAAUGUUAUGUGAAGGUUUUGGUUAAAACUAUUUCUAAUUGAAAGAACAUUAUUAUGAACAUCCUGAGAUAGAUUAAAAAAAUGGAAUUAUAUUUAUAGUUUUAAAUGUAUGAAAACAUUAUUAGUCUCAGGAACCAUGUUGUAAUAGUGUAAAAAAUAUGAUGUCAAUGUUUAAUGCCGAGUUUUUUUAUUUAUUAUAUUAUGAAGAUUUAGCAUGCAUUUGUUUUUUAUUAUUAUUAUCACAUGACAUGUUUUAUAUGAUAUCAAAAAUAGAUAUCAUAUUUUUCAAGCAUAAAAGUGAUAUUUUGUCAUUGUUAUAGAGUUGUGGUUUUUCUUAUAAAUAGAAUGUUAUGUUUUAUAUUUUUAUGAAGAACAUGGUUUAUGAGAUCUCUGAUCUAGUGAUUCAUAUGGAUUAGUAUUAUAGGUCUAAAAACUAGACAACCCUAAAAACUAGUGAUUUGUGAUAACCCGACCUUGAAGAGUUGAUCAAAACCUAAAAAGAAUAAUUAAUCUUCAAGUAAUCUUCGAUCAAUCCCUAUACGAACUUGGACUGUCUAGAGGGAUUCUAGGGACUCCAAACAAAAAUUUUAAAAUUAUUGUUUUCAUUGUGUUUAUGUAUUUUAGCAAACUCGUCAACUAUAUUAAAGUUAUUAUUAAAUAAGUAGGGUUGUUAAUUACAUGUUUUGAUUAUUUUUUACAUUAAUUAUGAAUUAAGUUUAUAUACCAAAAUAUUUUCUCUCUCUCGAACUAAAAAAAGUUAGUUUUUUUUGUCAGAAUCCAUCAAACUUUAAUAAAAAAAAAUGGAUGGGAUGGCUACACGCAUGCAUCAGGCUGCAUGCAUAGGCUAUUUGGUAGUUGUUAUUGUUGUUGUUGUAGCGAAAGAUGAAGAUGUGGGAAAAGUUAUUGUUAUGCCCAUGUAUCUAGUUUAGUGUUUUCAGAGACAAAAUUAUAAUUUCAUCACCUUUACCUUAUUAUAAUGGGGCAUUUAGGGGGGAUAUUAUUUUGUAUAUAGAAAAUAUUACUUUUAUAUUAAAAAUAAACCCCAAAUUAAAUUAAUUAUAGAAUUAGUUUUUCUAAUUGGAUUAGGAUUAAAUUAAAUUGUUUAAUUCAUGAAUUUCUAUUUUUGUAAUAUCUUGAUUAAAUUAGAAUUUAAUUAAAAUGUUUAAUUAAACUAUGUUUAGGAAAAACAAUUUCUAAAAUAAAGAUAGUUUUUAAGAUUAGUAAUUUUAUCUAAUUAAUUAUAAAAUAGUUUAGGAUGCGAACAAGAGUUUAAUAUAAUUAAAUUUUUUAUUAAAUCUUGAAAAAAUAUUUUUCAAAAUGAAAUUUAUUAAAUAGAAUUUAUAAUAUUUUAGAAAUUAUCAAAUUAAGUUUGAUUAAUAUUUAUAAAUUUUGGAAUUGUUAUUCUAAAAUUGCACAUAAAGCCAAUAAUUAGAAUUAAAGCUUGAAAUAUAUAUAUAUAUAUAUAUAUAUAUAUAUGGAUAUUUUUGUGUUUUUUUACAUGAUGGAUGAUUAUGGAUAUUAAAAGACCAAUGUGAUUAUUUUUAGAUGGUUGAGCAGUUGUAAAAUUAAAUGUGGCCUAUGUGUCAUUUUUUUUUAUCUAUUUUACUUUUGAGAUGUAAAGUUUUGAAUGUAACUUGAGGUUUUUUAUUCAAUUAUUUAAAUUUUAUGUAAUUCAGAUAUGAAAUUAUAUAGGAAAUUAGAUAUGAAAAUUAUUUUAAAUUCAAAGACAAAGAAAAAAAGGUGUAAAAGGAUACAAUUAUGGUGCUUGCAAGGACUUAUGAAGAAGUGCAACAACUACCUAGAUUUUGAAUAUUUAAUUCUUUUUAAUAGUUCAAGAGAAUUAGUUUAAAUAUGUCCAUAAUCAUUCAAUUAGUUUAAAAUUAGAAUGUAGUUAGUAUAUUAAUGAGGAAUUUGUUAUAAAAUUAGGUCUCAUAUUAAUGAGGAAUUUCUUAACAUGUAUGUUUAGAUAUAAUUGUUAUAUAUGAUAUAUUAACCAUGCCAUAAUAUGAGACCUAAUUUUAUAACAAAUUCCUCAUUAAUAUACUAACUACAUGUUAAGAACAAGACAUGUUAUCUUUCAAUUUUAUAAGCAUAAAACAAGAGUUUAAUUUAUGGGUAAUUGAUUGAGUCACUCAAGAAUACUGUAAAACAAAUCUAUUUAAUGCUAUAGAAAUUGGGUACUCAUUAACUAAACUUAUAUGAUUUUGAUAAGUCAAUUAUAAUCAUAUAAGAAUAGAGGCAAUAGUAAGGUGAAAUGUUUAUCAUAUGUUCAGACAAAAAGUUGUUACCUAAUUGAUUUAGGAGUCACAUAAAGAUAUUUAAAAAGCUAUGUUAUCUACUUAAUUUUAUUUAUUUUAAUUUGUCGAGUGACUCAAGGUCAUAUAUAUUAAAUGGAAAACUAACCAACUAGAAGAUCUAAAAGAUAUUUUCUAAAUUAAUAAGAAGGACUAUUAAUUUACAUCAAAACAGCGGGGAACCAUAUAUUAAAAAUCUUAUCUGAAUUUGGUUAUAAAUACUAUAUAUAUGAAACUAGUACUCAUUAUCUUUAUAUGAAUAAGUUGAUAUAUUAUCACGAGUAACAAUAUAUUACUAUUUAACAUAUUUGAUGCUAAUAAAUUGUUUAGACUAAACUUCUUGGACAUGUAUCGCUAUUUUAAAAUUUUUCUCAAAUAAACAAAAAAGAUGUUAGAAUUGGGUACUUAUGUUGUGAAACCCCGAGAAUAAAUUAUACAAAAAAGGGGUGAAUUUAUUAAAAUUAAAAUUUUAAUAAUAAAUACAUAAAUAAUACAAUUACAAAAAAUAAUAAUAAAAUUUAUUAGUUUUGAAGAACAUAAAAAGUGGCUCAAUAGUGAAAAAGAGUAAAAAUGGGGCCAAAAUAAAAUUAAGAAGAAAUGAGACUAUAAAUACGUCAUUUCUUCUCUCUUCCAAGGCCAGUAGAAAUACACCAAAGAGGGGGGGGGGUAUUUCAAAUUUUCUUCAAUCAAAUUGGGAGAGAAAAACACCAAGGUUUAACAAAUUUCAAGUCCUAGACAAUCCUAUAGAAGAACAUCAUUAUACAAGAGAAAUUACAAGAAAACAAGUGUGGGAAUUGUGAAGAAAAAGGAGGGAGUGGCGGCCAGCUACAUGAAGGAGAAGGUAGCCAAGAUUUUUUAAAUUUUUGAGAAGUAAAGCUUAGAUUUCUUCCAAGUAAGGAGUUCUAAUCCCAAUUUCUAUGAAAUUAGCUUCAAUUUGAUUGAAAUUUUCAUAAUUUUCUUGAAUUAGGAAUUAGGGUUCUUAAACAUAAAAUUUAGGGGAAAUGCAAAAUUACUUGAAAUUAGACCUAUCAAUGUGCUAUAGAUUGCCUUGAAUGUGAAAUGAUGUAAUGAAAUAAAGAAGAAGAAGAAGAGGAGGUUUAAGGUGGCUGACCACUAAGGGGGAAAAUGAGAGGAGAAGAACUUAUGAUUUUCCUUGUCAAAUUAGUUGUAAUGUGUUAUUGCAAUGUGAUUGAUAACUAGAAAAAGAAAAAUGGAUCAUCUAAUAAGAAGAAGGAACCCUUAGUUCCUUUCGGUAGGUUUGGCCAAAGUAAAACUUUGUAGUGGGGAGGGGGAGUUUUGAGAUUUCGUAUGAAAACUAGGAGUUUUGAGAUUUCGCAGAAAGUUUACUAACGAAAAAAAAUGAGAUACUUUAAUGUUAUGAGAAUUUUGUAGAUAAGUACCGUAAGUCAUGAAGAGUGAAAAAGAGAUAUGGCCAAUGAAUUACUGCUAAUAAGUCAAAUUUCUAAAGGAUAAUAAUGAGGAAUAUACGUGUAAAAAAAAUUAAUGGUAAAAGAGAAAUGGAUAUUAUCACCCUUGUUGUUAUUAUGCUACGAAAUGUGAAUACGUAUGAAAUAAUGAUGGGUAUUUAUGGAUUCAACACGAACUGUAGGAGGAGUGUAACAACAACAUGGGAACGCGAAUUGAGCGUCUACAACAGGUAGGUAUUCUAUACCUAUAUCUUCCUUAGUUAAUAAUGAUUUUUAUUAUUUGUUUAGAUUAUAAAUCUUAUGCCUAUGGAUGAGACCAAAAGGGGAAAAGAUAAAAUGACGUGAAUGAGAACUAAAAAACCAGAUUUGAUUUAUUGGUCCUUUUGGAGAGAAUAAACAGUAAUUAAUGAGUUUUUCUGGAUAGUCGUUCCUUGAAUUUGAUUAGCCGGACCCAAAUAUACGAGGUUAAUGAUGUUAGCCAGGUUAGCUAACAUCGACAUGACCAAUAUUGACGAGGAGAGGUAUUAGACUUGAUUAACUAUUCGGGUUAAGAAUAGUUUAUGAUAUCGGUUGUUGAUAUCGAUAUUAGCAAACUCAUGGAACUUGAUUAGCUUUCCUGAGGAGAAAGCUAAUGAUGUCAAUAAUUCUUGACAUCGACAUACCCGGGGAUUUCCAAGGUAAUAUGGAAUACAAAUUAACCAUUUCAGUUCAGAAAUAGUUUGACACCAAUGGAUUACGUUGGUGUCGGCAUUCCCACAACCUUGAUUAGUUGAUUUUGGAAUUGGCGACUAAAGACACUUGUUGUUACCCAUUUUUGGGUCCCCACACAAAAAGGAGAAAAUACAAAAAAAAGAGUCAAAAAAAUUUGGAAAAAAAGAAAAUAAAAAAAUAUGUAGCCAUGAGAAAAAAUGUCGAAGUGCCCAAAUAAAUAGCUAAAAAUUGGUUGAGAACGUUCAAAAAUGCAAAAAUUAAAAUUUGACAGUAUAUUGUUGACUGAUAAGAAUCCUGUUGACAAAGAAAUUCAUUUUGAAAAAAUAUCCUAAAUUAGAUGUUUAUGGACUCAAUUAAGUUUUAUCUAAGGUUUAAUUGAAUUUAUGGAGGGUUUGAUUACAAGAAAUAUUGAUUUUUAAGUCAAUUUAGGCUUUUAUUGGAAGAAAUUAAAGUUCUAGGGUCAAAUUAUAAUUUUGAAGAGUUGAUUUGGUCAAAUCAGGGGCUUAAUUGCAUAAUUAUUGAAGUUUGAUGGCCAAUUAGGGACUUGAUUGAAACAAUCCAAAUCCAAGGACCAAACUGGAAAAGGCGUGUAAAUAGAGGGGCUGAAAUUGACCAAAUCAGGGGCUAAAUUGAAGAAAUUGAAAGUUUAUUGAUCAAUUGAAGGUCAAAAUCGCGUAAAUAAAAAAACCAAAGACUGUCUUGUAAAGGGUGCUAAAAUUAAGGGAUCCAAUUACAAUUUACUCGGGGAUUUGAUUACAAAAUUGCAAAACUCCAAUGACCAAAUAAAACAUAUCCAUUUGAAUUGGAAAACGGUGUCAUUUUAGAAAAACUAUUCAUUGCCUUCUUCAGAAGCCGUUUCAGCAGUAGAGGCAGUGGAACCGUUUCAGCAGCAAAGGCAGUAGAUUGCUUCAGUUACAGGGAACGUUUCACGGCUAUUAUCCCUCUGCAUGUCGUUACCAUCACCGACCGUUACCAUUACUCCUACAAUAACAUCCUGAAUGUCUUUAUUAUCAGGAAAACGCAUGCAUUCUCUAGCUAUAAAAGCCAGAGGAGGGACCGAACACUAGAGGAGGAGAAGAGAGAGUACGGGCAGGAAAAAAAAAGAGGGAGGGAGAAGGAAAACAGAGAUCAUAGAGAGGAGAUUGGAGAGAAAACAGAGAAAGACAGAGGGGGAGAGUACAGGAGAGAAAGGGAGGUAGUACAGAGGAGAAAGAGAGAGAGUACAGGGGAGAAGAGAGUAGAAAAAAAAAGUAGAGAAAAACCAGAGGGAAUAACACAGUCGAAAACAAGAAAACAUAAAUGUUAAAUGUGAAGAAAUUGAGUAGAUAAAAUGUUAUAAUUUUGUUUUUGAAUAAAUUAUUGAGUUUGACUCGUUGUGAUUGUGUUAUGAUUGAGAUGUGAGUAUAAGAUGUGUGCAGGACGAUUGUCGAUAACUUAGAACCUCUUAGUAUAGGGGAGAUUGUUGAAAUUUCAUUAGAAAAUUAAGAGAAUUCUACAUAAUUUUUUAUGCAGAAAAAAAUUGCCUCAAUUUUUCCUUUUGUGAAAGAUGAAUUGAUUUAACCAACAGCGAUGUUAUACAUGUCCCUAAUGAGAAUGUUAGGAUUAAAUAACAAUGUCACAUUAAUAAUGAUAAGUAAGCUACAUAUGUGAUGUAGGCCGGCAUGUCAACUGAACUUUAAAGACAACAUGAGAUAUAAGUGCCCAUAUUAUAAUUAUGUAUCUUAAAGAGUUAUUUGAUGUAGCCAUGAAGACUAAGAGGUAUAAGACCUCUAAGAAUUAUUCCAUUUUCAGAUGACGGAGGGUUCCUCGGUGAACUCCUAUGUUUUAAAAAUGAGUGGUUGUUUUGAGAAAUUAGGCCAAUUGGGUUUUAUCAUGAUCCAUGAGUUAAGUGUUGACUUUGUCUUGUAGUCCUUAUAUUAAAAACACAUAAGCCAAUUAUGGGUAUAAAGAAAGAUAAGGGUGCUUAACAUCAUUUUAGCAAAGAAUGUCACUAGAGAAGGACUUGCAAAGGGUAUCUUACAACUAUGAAGGCUAAGUAGCUUAUUGAAGUUUCUACUUCAAGUAUGUUUAUGAUUGAAUAAAGGAAAAUUGAACCUAUAAGUUGGUAUGAUGCAAGAUUUGUUAAUGUGAUUGUCUGAACUUAUUAUUUAACUUUUCUAAAUGGACUAAUAUUAGAACUUGAUAAUUAUUAUUUUAUUUUAGUAUUUUCUAUAAAUGUUCUAUCUAUUUUCUACUUAGCUUUGAAUGGAUUUAAAUUUAUUAUUGAGGGGGAAAUAUUUGAUGAAAUACAAUUCUGAAUUAUUUAAAAACUUUAAAGAAUUAAGAAAUAAAGUUAAAAAAUAAAUUGGAAAAAGUAUCAAGAUACUUGAUCAAAUUAAAGGGGCAAAUACUUGAGCCAAGAACUUCAAGAUUAUAUAAAAGAGAAUGGAAUUCUCUAAUUAUGGUUACCUUCUAGAACACCAUAACAUAACAGGUCUUUAAAAGAAAAAACAGACCUUAUUAGAUAUGGUGCAAUCCAUGAUGAGCAAUGGAUACCAAACCUAUCAUAUUGUAAGAUUUAGGGAUGUGAUGCUUAUAUGAAGUAGAUUGUAUAUGAAAAACUAAGAGCUAAAUACGAUAAAUAUUAGUUUAUAGAAUAUUUAAAAGAAACUACUGGAUAUUAUUUAUACCAUUAUGUUGAGAAAAAAAAUUAUUUCAGAACAUGUUGCCUUCUUAAAGAGAGAAUUUGUUCUUGAAAAGAGUAAUGGAAGGAAAAUAGAAGUUUAAGAACCACAAAAUGAUAUCCAAUUAGAAUAUGAGCCUGAGCCUAUAACUUUUAUAUCCAACCUGAAGCUCAAGAAAUAUAAAAACUCUUUAGAUCUAGUAGGACACAUCAUUCACCCAUAAGAUAAAGACUUCUCAUGAAAGUUGAAAAUGACAAGUUGUUUAUACUUGAUGAUCCUAUGAAUUAUAUAGAAGCAAUACCUAAUAUUGAUUCCAAGAAACAGAUUGAGACCAUGAAAUAUGAAAUGAAUUGCAUGUACAUCAGCCAAGUAUGAACUUUGGUUAAUCUACCUGAAAUGAUAAUAUAAAUGGAAGGUUAUAAACAAAGAUAAGGGGUUAACUUUGAUAAAAAAACCUUGUUGCCAUAGUUAUGCUAAAUUUUGAAAGGAUUAUACUUGUUAUAGUUUCAUACCAUGAUUGUAAGAUUUAGCAAAUCGAUGUCAAAACUUCAUUCCUAAAGAUUUUGUAUCUAAAGAGUUUGUAAAUAAAGUAUGGAAGCUAUAAAAAUCCAUUUAUAGACCGAUACAAGCUUUGAGGAGUUGAAAUAUUCAUUUGAUGAGACAAUAUAAUAGUUUGGUUUCAUAAAAAAUAUGAAUGAUCCUUGUGUUUGAAGUUUUUUUUUCCUAGUAUUAUAUGUAGAUGAUAUAUUAUUGAUAGGAAAUGAAUAUUUGAAUUUACUCCAUAUAUUAAAGAUUUGGUUAUCAAGAAUUUUUUUCAUGAAUGAUGUAAGAGAAGUAACUUGCAUAAGAAAAUAUAUAAAGUUUGCUUAGAUUGUUCUAAUCCAUGUAGAUAAAUAAGAUGUUAAAAUGAUUUAGUAUGGAAGAUUCAAAUAUUAGGGAUAUAUAGAUCACGGUACUAAAGUGGUUUAGCAUAAAAGGAUCUAAGAGAAAAUAAUAACAUGUUUUUCAUGUUAUUUUAAAGUAAAUACCAAUCUAAUCUAUGUGGAGAUCGUUAAAAAUUAGUAAAGAGUAAUUUUAAAUACUUUAAAAGAGCUAAAAAUAUAUUUAUGAUCUAUGAAGAAGCUAAAUUGGUAGCUUAUAUAGCCUUCAAUCAUUUAUUAAUGAUAACAAAUUCUAGUCUUGAUAUAUUUUUAUUUUGAAUUGUGGUGUUGUGAGUUGAAGAUUUUCUAAAUAAAAAAUUACAAUAAAUUGUACAACUAAAAUGAGUACAUCUUUGCAUCUAAAGUUAUAAAAAGGUUUUUUGGAUUAGGAAUUACAUCACUAAACUAGGUAUGGUUUCUAAGAUCAUUGAUUAAGUAGCCUUUUUUUGUGAUAAUAAUGGAUCCAUUACAUAAAUAAACAAACUAAGAUCUCAUCAAUGGUUCAAACACGUACCUAGGUAAUUCCAUUUUAUUGAAGAAAUCCAUUACAUAAAUAAACAAACUAAGGUCUCAUUAAUGGUUCAAACACGUACCUAGGAAAUUCCAUUUUAUUGAAGAGAUCAUAAAAAGAAAAGAUUUAAAGAUAGAAUAACUACCUACUAAAGUGAAUCUUGCAAGUCCUACUACAAGAUGAUAUCGCAUCACAAGUAUGAUCUUCAUGUGUAGGUAUAUGGUAUCAAAUACAUGGUUGCUUGGAUUUAAUGUAAGUGAGAGAUUAUUAGUGCAUAUGUUUCUUAGUUGAUUGGGCAAUUGCAUAUGGUACUAGAUUUAUUCGUGCAAUAUAUAUAUAUAUAUAUAAAUAAAGAGAGAGAAAGAGAGAAGAGUUAUUUAUUUUUAAUAUUUAUUUGAAUUUUAUUAAUUAAUCUAGAGUAAAGAUAAAGUUCUUGAGAUGAAAAUAUUUUGGAAAUUUUUUUAUAAAUUUGUUAUAAUUGCAAAGGUUUUUAUUACAUUAAAUAAUUGUCCUUAAAUGUUUCUAAUCAAUGCUCUAUUGAGACUAUAUAUAUUAAUCAUAGCUAUUGAUACCAAUACAUAUUAUGUUUUUCUCUUUAAAAAAGAUUAUGAAAAAAAACAAUUGUUCUCAUAUAUUAGGAUAUAAAGGAUACUAGGUACAAAUAUUUGAGUUUUGUUUAAUGAUAAGUGCAUUGAUCGUACAAGGAUUCCAUACGAAGAGAUUACAUAUGCAUAUGAAAAGACUAUUAUGUUAUUUUAUAUGAAGACUCCUAUAUUUUUAUAACACCUUAAAAUUUGCAUUUACAAUAUAAUUGAUGAUUACUUUAGAAUAAUGUAAGAUUAGAGAAAAUCAAAGGAUAAAAGCCAAAGAAAUAAAGAAAAGAAGGUUCAAAAUACAAUUUUCAACUUAAGUAGAUGAAGUAUAACAAUGAAUGGCAAUUAAGUAGAUGUCAUGUUGUCCUACAAAAUUUCCAGUUGUAACUACAUAUCUUUUUGCAUUUUUUGAACCUAAAAGAGAGCCAAUCAUGUACUUCAAGAAUAAAUUACGGAGUAUUAGAGCUUAAUUCAAUAGAAUUGUUAGAAUAAAAAAAACUCAAGAUAGAAUGUGAGGUUAGAAAAGAAAGGAAGGGAGAGAAGGAGAGAGAGUAAAGGAACAAUACUAAAUCAUAAAUUGAGUGAUUAAAUUAAUAAGUAUCAAUAAAUUAUAUUAAUUUUUAUGUUUUUUAAUGUAUGAAGAAUUUCUUUAAAUGCUUGUUGAUUUUAAGAGUUCAUUUAUGAAUCCUAAUCUAAGCUUUGAAUGGAAACUUCACAUUAUAAUUACUGGUUAAAAGUAUCAUUGUGAAAGAUUGAAUCAUGAUUUGUUCUAUUAAAGUAAAAUAUGUGUUUGGUCUAAAUGUUAUGUUGAUAAAAUAGCACAUGAUAUGUGAAAAAAAGCUUGUUUUAGGUGAAAUUAUGGUAGCCUACAUACUACAUAUAUUGCCUUUGAGGUAGAAAUGGAUAUGAGAUAUGAACAUUGAAUUGGCAUACAUGUAACACUUGUGCAAUUGUUAUGUCAAUAUGAAAUUGAGCCUAAAUGUUAAAAAACUUGUGAAGUUUACCAUGCUUAAUGGCUGGAAGAAACGCCAUUAAGCAAUUAAUGGCUGGAAGAAACGGCAUUGUUCUCUGGCUAUAAAAGCUAGAGAACGACUGGACAAAAGAGAAAAAGAAGAAAACAGGGGGGGCACUGGACUGGGGAAACAGGAAAGACCACGAACAGAAAACAGAGAGGGGGAAAGGAAGGAAAAAAACCGCAGGAGACAGAGAACAAAAGGAGAAAAAACAGAGAGACAGAGGAGAACGGGGGGAAGAAAAAAAAAAGGCAGAACCGAGGGGGAGGACGCAGAAGACGAAGAGAAAAGCCAGACGCGGACAGAGGUGGGGACGAACAGAGGCAUAAAACGAAAAUCAACAGGAAACAUACAGAGAAGAACGAAGAACACAGGGGAACAAAAGGAGGAGAGAAGAAAAAUAAUAAAAAAAUAAAAAUAAAAUAAAAAAAUAAAAUAAAAUAAAAAUAACAAAAUAGAAAAUGUAGAAAUAGAAAUUUUGCAUGUCUUAGAAAAAAAUGUAUUUUAUCAAUUUAUUCACUGAUAUUAGGAUCAAGAAUAAAAAAAAUAUACUAAUUUGUUUUUAGCUGAAAUUUUUACCAACGACAAAGUUGAAAUUAUUCGUAGUGGAAUUUUUACCAACGGCAGAGUUGGAAUUAUUCGUGGUGGAUUUUUUACCAAUGCCAAAGUUGGAAUUAUUCGUGGUGGAAUAUUUACCAACGCCAGAGUUGGAAUUAUUCAAGAUUGAAUAUUCACUGGCGCCAGAUUCAGGAAUAUUAUAAGCAAAUCAUCAUAGCAUAAGCUAAUAAAUGUUUAGCAAUUUAAGAUAAAACUAGCAAUGCAGUCUGCCUCAGGCAGAACGUUUAAGUGGUGAUAAUAUCUUUCAUUUUACGUAACCAGUCUCGUACCAUAGAAUCUCUGUUGACCAGUUAGGGUUCCUAGUAACCAUAAUGCUAAGUGACGACUCCUUAAACAAGACAUUUUCCUUAAAAAAAAGAUGUCAGAUAUCUUUUCUUUUCCAAUCGAGAUUAUUUUUUACAGUCGCUGCGAUGUCGGGUAUGACAGUGCUUAAUUCAGUGAAUUUCUCGAAGUAAGAAUGUAGCUUUUAUGUGUAUUUUUUCUCGGCUGACCAUAAAUCAACCAUGGUUUAAAACUUAGGCAAUCAUUAACUUAGUUUAAAAAUUGAAAAAUUAACAUCAUUAGAAGUUUAAAUUGGAGGACACCUUUAAAGUUAAAACUAUAUAAUGAAUCUCUUAAAGUAAGAUCUUAUGCAGCUUUACAUGUGUAUUUUAUUAUAUUUAAACAUCAAUCAUUAAAAUGCAAUUCCUAUAAGAAAUGCAAUUGUAUGAGAUAUUAAUUAAGGCAGAAUACAUAACAUAAAGAAAACAACAAACAAAAAUAAAUAAAAAAAAACAAGAAAAAUCUGUACAAGGACUUGCCUGAUAAAGAAGAGAGAGGAACGAACGAAUGAAAGGGUUCACGAUGAUCACUUGAAUGGCUGCACAGAUGAUGCCAGCUCCCUGUUGAUCACUUCCCACCACAAAAAUAAUUAAUCUAAAGAGUUAUGCAUGUAUCUAUAUGAAUUUCAUUGAGAGAAAUAUUAAACUAAUAAUUCGUUACAGUCCUUCUAAAGAAAAACUUUAUGUUAAAAAGAGGAGAAAUGUUAAACAACAUAGUUCAGAUGGAUUAAAACUAGCAUUAUAAACAAUUGUGAGAUAAAGCGUCAAUUCCAUGAAAAAUAUAAUUCGAUGACAUAAUUAAGAUAGUGACAAUCAUAUAGAAGAAGAACUCACCUAGUAGCAAGUAGAGAAACAAAUAAAAGGUUCACGAUGAUCACUUGGAUGCCCCACAAAUGAUACUGCCAUUAACAUAUAUAAUUAAUUCUAGCUAUAAUCGGUCAAUGUUUUUUCUUUUUUCUUUUAAAUGAUGAAUAAGAAGAAAAAAAGAAAGAAAAGACUUGAAAACAAGUAUAAUUAUUGAAAUGAAAGUAAUUGUCUAAGAUGACUAUCCUUACAUCACACACUCAAAGUUAUAUAAUUUACUCAUUAAUGAUAAAGAGAGAUUCCUCACUUCAAAUUUGAUUUUCCUAUGAAGGCUAAAGUCAAAAACCUAUUGGCUAAAGAGAGAUUCCUUAUUUCAAAAUAUAAAUAUUUUAUAUUUGCUUCAAAUUAAUCUUUUUGGUGUUUUUAAAUUGUUUUGAUGUGAUGAUGUUAAAAAUAAAUUUAAAUAAAUAAAUAAAAAUAUUAUUUUAAUGCAUUCUCAUGUAAAAAAUACUUUGAAAAUUUAGCAACCGCUAUCACAAUAUCAAACACACUGUAUAUAUAAUUAAUGUCUACUUAAUUAAACAAAAAUUAAAAUGUGUUUGGUACACUGGACAGAACUACACUAAACAUUGUAACUAAGAAGAUUAGAAUCCUGUCUUAGCAUGUGAUAUUCCAUAUCAUAAGCAUUAAAAACAUAGAAAUUUAAAUAAAAUAUCUAUUACAACACAAUUAAAGUAUGUUAAAUACAAUAUGUAUAUGAUUUUUCAUGGAACAAACCUCCAUAAUUUCUUUUGAUAAUAAUAGAAUCGAUUCAUUUGUCAUAAUCUCUACUAAUUUUGAGUAUUGUAUAGUCACCUCAUCAAGGUAAUUCCAAGCUUUAUCUUCUCAUAUAAAAGUUAUAUCUUGUUCAUAAAUCCAUCUUGGAAACUUCAUCUAUCGAAGCUCACCAUAAGGUUUUAUUAAUGGUAAAGGCUUAUUCCACGUAUCCUACCCUAUGCUAUUAAUUUAUCAAAGGUAAAUUAUCAUUUGUACUCUUUGCUCUAUAUGUUCCUUAAGGAAUCAAAUUCUUUACUAGUAUCGCCCUACAAUUUUAAAUAAAUAUAAUUAACGAUUUAUUGAUUUCUAUUUUCCAUAAUGAAUCUUUAACAUUGAUUUAACUUAAUUUGGUUUUAGCAACAUAACAUUAGUCGUUCAUCUCACAACAAACUUUUAUGUACACAUGUCUUAACAUGCAUCAAUACACUUAUUUGUCCAUUGGAUUGACCAUCAUAUUGCUUGAAAUAUACAAUCAUAGAUGUCCAUGCUCUUGUCCUAUUGGGCCACCAAGACAAUUUUCAAAUCUCUUAUCAUGUUGUACUCGAAUCAAUAUAUACUUAUGCCCUUUUACAUCAUCAAACAACCACCAUUUUCUUCAUGAAUACACCAUCAAAACCGCAUUCAUUCAACUACACCACAUUAUACAAACCAAUUCUUUAUUAUAACCCGUUUCACUAUCAUUACAAUCCUUAGAGUUCUCAUGCAUAUGUUGUCCAAAACAACAUUUGAAAUGCAUUCCAUUGUUAUUCCCCUAAUAACUCUUUGCUCAUAUAAUACAUUGUCAAAACAGCUUACAAAUUAUGCUUUGAUGCAGCCCAAAACAUAAAACAUUUAGUAAUAUUAGUCAUCACCCCGUGAUUGACUACCCAAUAGAUUCUAAUAUCUUUAUUGUCUAAUACUACUAGUCUAUUAACUCUAAAACACCCUAAAAUAACACAAACAAAGGGGUUUUUAUUUGUUUAGAAAUCUAUUUUCAAGUCAUUUUCAUCUAGAAAACAUCAUAGAAACAUUCCUAAACCAUCCAUUAACUCUAAAACACCCCAAAAUAACACAAAAAAUAAAAAUCAACUAGUCCGCACCCAAAGAAACUGAGUGAAUGAGAGAAAAUUAAAGACUAAUAGCUAGAAAACAAUCAACAUAUCCAAGAAUUUUCUGUAUGGUUUCCAAGAAAAUGAAACGAAAUGAGCAGCACAACCCUCUUUAUCCUCCAAGAAAAGAAAGAAAAAGAAAGGAAAGAAACAAAGAAAGUCAAACUUGGCUCCUCUUUUAGUGUUAAAAAAAAAAAAAAAGAAGUUCGAGGAAGUGGGCUGCCUUUUUUCUGCUGUUCAUGUGAUGUUCAGCUGUUCACGCAGACUAAGAACUCCUACCAUCGUAAAAUCAUAUAAUUAAAACACAACAAUAAAAAUGUAAUAAGCAGCUAAUUAUGUGCCAAAAUCAGAGAAAUAAGGAUACAAACGUGAGAGUAAGUCAUUGCAAGUAAAAGAGGCGCAGAGAGGAUGGGAAUAGGAAUUUCAUUACCUCAAUGAAAUGGAGAAGGCCUUUAGCUCUGUAUGGAAUCCAGCUUCAAAAGCAACAAGGCAAGGUAUAAGCAUUUUGAUGACAUAAUUAAGAUACUAUGCGUCGUAAUAUAGAGACGGUGACAAAGAAUUAAAGAAAAAUAAUGUGUACAAGUACUCACCAAGCAAAGAAAGAAACGAAUGAAAGGUUCGGGAUAAUCACUUAGACGCCUCCAUGGAUGAUACCAGCUCGCUUCCAACAACAAAUAUAAUUAACCUAAGCUAUGAUCGGUCAAAGUGUUUUUUAGUUUUCUCCUUUUUUAAAAAAAAAAACAGAUCAUCCAGGGAAAAGACUUGCAAAGAAGUAGAAUUAAUGGAACGAACACAACAAAGGAUCAAACUCAGGCAAUUAAAAGUAAUUCUCUAUGAGUACCAUCUGUGUCACACACUGACUCAAGUGAGGAGAGAAAAGGAGGAGAAAGAAAGGAAAGGGACAAGGAAGGCAGAAAGUAAGGCAUAAUGAAAUUCGAGUCAAAUAACUACUAAAAUGGCUAUAGUGAGUGUCUUUUAAUAUAUAUGGAUGUAGGAAGCAAUGUGUUAUAUUAUUAGUUAGAUAUAAUUUACAUAUUCAUUAUUUAAAAAAAAAACCAUAUAAUAAAUAAAUAUAUUAAUAAAAACCUAAAAAAAAUCAGCUAAAAUAAUAUACUCUCUAAGUUAAAAUAUUGUGGAUUCACAAAAUAUUUACUUUCUUUUUCUGUCCUUUUUUUAAUUCAGUAAUCUUUGAUGAUGAAUUGAUUAAGAUUUAACAUGGAUAAUGUAUUUUUAUUUGUUUGUUUAUGGUUAUCUUACUCUCAAUAAAACAUCUUGAUAUUAGUACAAUGUUUAAUUUAAAAAAAAAAAAUUGUUGUUUGUAAGAAAUUAAAAAUGAGAAUAUCAAAAUUGAAACAAAUACAGAGCCCCUGUGUCAACUUUCCCUUUUGUUUUUCGCCUUUGAUCAUUUUUAAUAAUGCAUUAUGCCAUAGAAACAGAACAUCAAACUGACAGAGAAAACAUGAUGAUGCAGAAAAUACUCCCUUACAUGAUGAUAUCGUAGAAAGGAGAACGCAUGAAAGUCCACACAUUAAACCAAAAGAAACACAAAAGAAACACAAAUGGGCAAAGCAAACAUACGCCCUUACUUCUGGAGGCUUGUACGAUAAUGGGCAAGCAACAUUAUUUUUUUGAGGUUCGCACAGUAAUGACUAAACACACAACAUCACAUUACUCCUGUGCUGUCAACAAUUCUUCUAACUUCUUCAGCAAACACAUAGAUAGAUAAGUCGAAAUCUUCUAUGGUAAAUAAGACUGUCACAAUGUUGCCAAUGGAAUUAUUUCCCACCAAUCUAAAACAUAUUCGCAGCACCAACCUUGAAAUCAUGUAAGAGCUAACCACCAUUCAACAUGAGAUUGUUCUGCUAGGAAAACAUGAUAUCAAACUUUUGAACAAAUAGUACAACAUCAAGUCCAAAUAUAUUCACAGCUCAAAGACACGAGUCUCCAUCUUCUUUCCACCCCUUAUUUCUGGUCCACUCUCUAUUAAUGCUUGAAUCUUCAGCUACUUCAGGUACCUGUAAACCAAUUCCAGCAUGGCAUGCUCAUUUAACUUGUAAAUCUUAUUAUUGAGAGAAACAAGAAACAAACACACUAAAAGACAGGCAAGAAAUAAAGUUAAAUCAGCAGCACCUCUGAUUGAGCACUCAUUGAACCAUCUGGUGUAGUAGCAAAUUUUGUGGUCAGCUUUGGACAUUGAUGGAACUUCAACUUCUCCAAACGAGGGAAUAAGAAAUCACAGCAUCCGAAACUAAAAUAGACAAUACUUGAUAACUGUUCCAGCGACAGCUCAUUUAGAUUAGGAAGCACCAUCUCCUUCUCAACGUUGACAGGUGAAGCACGAUCAUCCUGCCCAAAUACUCCCAAUAAUUGAGAGGCUUCACUUACUCUCAGUGUUUGCAGCUUUGGGAGACCUGAAGCCAUGGCUACUGGGAAGAGACUCUCCAACUUGUUGCAUUCUCUAAUCUCAAUUUCACACAAAUCGGGAAAGCAUAAAGAUCGGAGAUGAUCUCCUAACAAUAUCUGGUCAUUUUCAUCAUCAUUAUCCCUAGCAAUGAUUUGCUCCAAUUCCUCACAUGAAACUAUCUUUAGGACUUUCAGUUGAACUAGACUGACAAUCAUGCUGCAUGUGAAUACAUGUGUCAAUCUCUUACACUUAACCACCUCCAAAGUAGUCAAUUUGCUCAACACAAGACCCUUCCAUAAACACCUCAUGUCAGGUAGGGAUUCCAAGCGUAAUGUUUCCAAAUUUGUCAACCCCUGCAUCAAAAGAAAACAACGAUACCAAUUUGUUAGAUAUCACUCCUAAUAAAUUUUGUGCACUUUGGAAGUAUAUAAUUUUGGUAAAUAGAUGAACGAAUUGUUCCAAUAUUUCAGCCAAAAACUUAUCAAGAAAAGGAUAUAAGUAGACCACCAGGGCAUGGGACUGAAACAAACAACUCAAUAUUAGCAGAUGGAGGUUUAUCUUCCUCUUCAAAUACUUCUAUUAAUUGGGGGAAGAGCCUCAAUUUCACUAGAACUGGGAAAGCAUAAAGAUUGAAAAAUCAAGGUAGGAUUUCAUUACAAUAAUUAAUUUCUUACUUCUUAAGCCCUGCAUCAAGAGACAAGGAAUGAUACAGUUAGACAACUCCUUUUCAAUUUAGUGGAUGGCUAAAGGAUUUAUCUCCACUCAUCAAUUACUUCAGUUUCAGAAAUUUAAAGGAAGAAAUCAACAUGUAUUGAAGUUGACAAUUUAAAUUAAAAAGGGAAAAAAAUUAUUGGAGAAAUAUAAAGGACGUACUUGGAGCUGUGCAAACAAAUUUCCCAAUUCUUUGUGGCCAUCAUUUUUUAGAAUUUGCAAAGAAGGCAAUUGGGCAGCAAAAUUCUUUGGACCAAAGAAGGCAAUUGGGCUGCAAUUUGAAAGAGACAAUCUUCUUAUCUUAGGGAACUUGAUGAUGGCAUCUCUGGUGAGUGCAUCUCCUUCUACACUGUAAAAUAUUUGCUUUAAAUUGUCAGCAUUAUAAAUCCGCAUCUCUUCUAGGUUCAGAAGACUUGGAGACAUAGAGACAGGGAGGACAUAUUCCAGUUUACCACAGACUUCUAUGAAGAUAUUUUUUAAUUUUGGGAAGGCAGGAGACUUUGGAAUUAUUUCCCUUUCACCAUCCUCUUCUCUAAUAAUAUGCUUCAAUUCACCGCAAUAUCUUAUGUCAAGGGUUUCGAGCUUUGGCAGACUUUGAGCGAGGGACGGUGUAAAGAUAAAUGUCAGUUUGUCUAGAUAAGUCAACUUCAGAUGAACAAGAUUUUGGAGGCUGACAUGCCUGGUGGGGCCCUUCCAUAUACAUUUGAGCUCAGGUAUGUUGAAUAUUAAACUCAAUCUAGAUGGUAAGGAAGGCAGCCACCAGCUGUCACCGCCCAGCCACCAACCGCCCAGCCGCCAGCCGCCAGCCACCAGCUGUUUGCCGCCAGCCGCCUUCACACCACCGUCCACAGCCGCCUUCACACUUGAAGGUUGAAUUUUCUUGUUUUGAAUUCGUGUAUAAAUAGCAAGCUAAGCUUAUGUUAUUCUGUGUGGAGAGAGUAGAGAGAAACACUAGAGAGAAAGAGAGAGGGCGUGUAUUGUGUUAAGCUUUUGUGUUAAUUGUUUGUAAGCUUUUGUUAUUGAAAUAAAACAGUGUGUUUUAUCCCCUCCGAGUGUUUCAAAGCCACCACCAGUGGUUUCUCCCACCAACAAUUGGUAUCAGAGCUGAUGGUUUAAAGUGGUGUUUGAUUUUUUGCUCAAAAAUGAAAGUUGUCAAAAUUAUGUUUUGACCAUACCAUUGUGUAGAAAAGGCAAAAGGACAAUUACCCACAUAAAUGGCAAAGGGGGUGAUUGUUGGAAUAUUGCCAAUUAUGUGGCUGUCAUUGUCAAAGAAGAUGGUUGCCAUGUGAAAGUCAAAGAGGGUUGCUGGUGCAGCAUUUGCAGCCCCUUGACAUUGUCAAAGAAGGAGGCUACAAUGGUGGGUUGUUGGUGGCAGCCAACAACCAUUGUCUAAUGUCAAAGUUUGGCAGCCACCACUGUUGACAAAGGAGCAAGAGGAGCUGUCAUUGAAGCCUAUAAAUAGACACCAAGAGUGCAGCAUAAAAUGAGAGAGAGCAAAAACAAAAGAGAGAAAGAAAGAGAAGGGCUGCCACCAGCAGCCCUGCUGCCUUAUGCAGCUGCUGCCAUAUGUAGCAAUGAGAGAUGGGAGUUGAGUGGAUGUGAUCCUCCUCCGUGUGUUGUAUUCUUUCUCUAUCUCUAAUAAUAUUGAUCUCUCCCGUGGAUGUAGGCGAUUUGCCGAACCACGUUAAAUAUUGUGUUAGUGUGCUUAGUCUCCUUUGAGCAAUGAUCAUGAACACCACCGUUCCGCAUGGGGAGCAGGAAUCCCCAACAAGGUAACCCUAACAGCCGUAACGCUGUUAAAGAUGACAGCAGCUCCUUCUCCUCACUGCUUCCUUCAUCAGCCUCACCUAAUUCAAAUACCUCUUCCAAUGAUUUGCAGCCGUAUAUGUUCACCCUCCUUAGAUUUUUCAAAGCUCGCAGCAAUUUUGCUGGAAACGGAGUGCGAACAUCCCCACAAUCUUCCACGUGUACAUAUUCUAAUCUUUGUAAGAAGCCGUUUUGCUGUCCAUGGGCGGCCAUCUUAUCAGAGAACAAUAUUAUAUUUUCUCACUCUCAUAAAAAAAAUUUAUAUGAUGUAUAAAUAGGAGAAAAAAAUAUAAAAAACAUAUUAUUGUUAGAGAUAAGUUGAAUAAUAAUUAGAUUUUUGCGAAAAAAGGUUACUACAACUCCUAAUAAUUAGUUUCAUGUAAGAAAUAAAAAUAAAAAUAGUAACUAAUAUUUUUAUUUUAGUUAUAAAGUUAAUAAAUUUUUAAAGAUAUUUUAAUUGAAUUAAAUAUUUGAACACAAAAGUUAUGUUCUUAUAUAUUAAAUCUAACAGAUAAUAUGAUUUCUAUGAUUAAUUGUUGGUAUUAAUAACGCAAACAACAACGAGGCAGUUAAGUUUCUUAUAUUUAUAUAUGUUUAGAUAAAAAAAUCAUAAAAAAUAAAAAUAUUAAAUCUAACAGAUAAUAUGAUUUCUAUGUUUGUUAUAUAAAAAACCCGGAACCCUAGCAUUUAUCAAUUACUUUACUUUUUGAUAUGGGGAGGAACACAGAAUAAAUUAUCGCAAUUGACAAUUUAAAAUUAGUGGAGAAAUAUAAAAUUACGUACUUGUAGCUGUGCCAACCAAUUACCCACUUCUUCGUGGCCUUUAAUGGUUAAUCUUUGCAAAGGCAAUUGAGCAUCAAAAUUCCUUGGACCUAAAAAGCUGUAAUUUGAUCUGAGCUCAAGAGACAAUUCUCUUAGUUGAGGGAACUUGAUGAUGCCAUCUCUGUUAUGAGACAAAGAGACAUAUUCCAGUUUAUCACAGAAAGAUAUGUAGAUAUUUUUUAAUUGUGGGAAGCAAGGAGACUCUGGAAUUAUUUCCCUUUCACCAUCCUCUUCUCUGAUAAUAUGCUUUAAUUCACUGCAUUCACUUAUGUCAAGUCUUUCUAGUUUUGGCAGACUUUGAGCGAGGGACGGUGUGAAAAUAAAUGCCAGUUUGUUGAGACACCAAACAUUCAGAUGAAUAAGACUUUGGAGGCUGACAUGUCUAGGUGGCCCUUUCCAUAUACAUUUGAGCUCAGGUAAACGUGACAGCUGUAACUUGGUUAAAGAUGACAGCAGCGGCAGCUCCUUCUCCUCACUGCUUCCUUCAUCAGCCUCACCCAAUUUAAAUACCUCUUCCAAUGAUUUACAGCUGUCAACAAUCACCUCCUUUAGAUUUUUUAAACCUUGCCGCAAUCUUGCUGGAAACAGAGUGAAAACAUCCCCACAACCCCUCACUUGUACAAAUUCUAAUUUAUGUAAAAACAAUUGCUCAAAUGUCUUCGCGUUUAAGGAUGUACCACCUAAAAUUAAUCUUGUCGAGGUUGGGUAUCGUCCUGCCUCAAACCAAUUCCCUAAUAUUAUACCAUAUUUGCGCAAGCUAACUGGAAAAACAAAAUCUCUGGGAAUGCAUUCAACCUUUGGUAUCCUCAAUGAUAAUACGGCUAACUGAGACAACGAAUUUAGUUCUGUUAGGCUUGCAUUCAUUCCUCCUGUGCUGUCACAUCCAUCAACAUCCCAUCCAUCAAAGCUGCGACCCCCGAUCAACAAUUCUUCUAACUUCUUCAACCUUCCAAUCAAAUUCACAGGGAUCCUUCUUAGCCUUUGACAACCUGUCACAUCCAACAACCUUAACUCCUUGAGCUCUCCUAUUUCAUCAGGUAAUUCUUCAAUGGAUAAGCACCGUAUAAAAACAAGAAUCUUAAGUCUCUGCAGUUUUCUCAACCAAAUGAGGUCCUUGCAUCCACACCUGAUCAACACCAACGAUUGAAGUUUCGUUGAGAGUUCAAGUGAAUGCAAUGACAAACACCCUCCCUUCAGAGACAAAACUUCAAUUUCUUUCAUCCCUUCAAAAAACCUCUCUGGAACAUUCAUACCAUCAUCCAGUUCUAGUAAUAGAACUUUGAGCUGUGGACAUACCAAUCCUUCAGGAAGUUCUGCUAGUUUAUUGCCCAUUAACGAAAUUGUUGUACAACCUUCAAAGCUUUUAUCAUGAAAUGGCCACUCCUUCAAACCCAUGCCAGCCUUUACCAUGAAUCCCCAUAUCUCUGAUGAUGCUAUCUGAAUAGCAAAGUCACGAACCAAGUCAUGCAUGUUCUNNNNNNNNNNNNNNNNNNNNNNNNNNNNNNNNNNNNNNNNNNNNNNNNNNNNNNNNNNNNNNNNNNNNNNNNNNNNNNNNNNNNNNNNNNNNNNNNNNNNNNNNNNNNNNNNNNNNNNNNNNNNNNNNNNNNNNNNNNNNNNNNNNNNNNNNNNNNNNNNNNNNACAGCAUAGCACGAAACAUGACUUGGUUUCCUCGUACUUCAAAUAAUCAUAGCUCAACUUAAGACAUGUAUAAGCAUUUUUUUGAUUGUCAAUUUGUUCCAUACGCGGAAAUUGAGAGUUUUUGAGCUGUUUAGACGCUACUUCCCACUGAACUAGAGAUUUAUCUUUUAGAGCCCUUCCCACUGUCACAAGUGCUAUAGGCAAGCCAUGGCAUUCUCUAGCAACCUCCCUUGCCACUGUGUUCAAGGUAGAGUCCCCAUCACGUAAACCUGCAUUGAUUCUGAAUAAAGCCAAUGCUUCAUCUUCAGAUAAGACUCUUAAAAACACUUUUUGCUGGCACUCCAUAGAAGAACAUAUGUGUUCAAAACGUGUUGUUAGAAGAAUUUUACAACCCCUGUGAUCAUCACCAAAAGGGAUCCCUAUCUCUUUCAAGUCAAUAUGUUUCCAAACAUCAUCUAGGAUUAUAAGCAUCUUCUUUCCCUGCAGUCUCUGCCAUAAUUCACUUGCUCUACCUUCUUUACCCGUUUUUUCAAAUUUCAGAUGUAAACUAUCUGCCAUUCGAUCCUGGAUGCCUAUGACAUUUGGAUUCUGGGACACCGUAGCCAUCAAAACUUCAGGAAAAAGCUGCGACUCUUUGGCUCUCCUGCCUACUUCUUUCACCAGGGUUGUUUUACCCACCCCUCCCAUGCCGCACAGUCCGAUCAUAUUGACGUUGUCAUCUUUGAGAGCUUUCAUGAUCUGUUCCAAAGCUUCUUCUGAUGAUUCUGAGGGCGUGAAUUCCUUCGAUGGGAGAAAUUCUAUGCACUGAGGAUGAGCUUUGUGGGCCACUGUUUUCAACUUUUCGCUAAUUUCUCCAAGUUCUCUGAAAGUCUCCGACUUCUUGGCCAGUGCCUUGCUUAACUUGAAUUGUCGCAUGCAGUUUGGGCACCAAGUAAAGCAUUUGCCAUUUUUUCUUAUUUCACUUUCCAAGGGCUUCGCACCUUCAAUUUGGUUGUUUGCAUCUUCCAGCCACUUUUUGACAUCUUUGUAAGUUUUUUCAGCAUUCCUUUCAGCAGCUUCGACAUCGUCUUGCAGACGUUCUUUUGCCGAAACCAGGUUCUGCUUUCGUUCAUUGAAUUCUUCAAAACACAUAAAUAUAGGACAAAAACAGGGAGAGAGACUCUUUGUUUUCUUAACUGUAAUGGUUUAAUAAGGUUUAUAGAGUGUUUUAUAAAUAUUUUAGAUAAAAAAUAGAUUAAAAGCAAGUUUUUAAAUAAAAAAUGAAGCUUUAUUUUUUUAUAUAAUUUAAAUAAAAUCAAUUUAUUUAGUUGUUCAAAAUUAUAACUCAAGUUAUAACUCAAGGGGAAAGACUUACAAAAAAGUAGAAUUACUGGAACAAACACAACAAAGGAUCAAACUCAAGCAAUAAAAGGUAAUUGUUUGAGGUCCUCAUUUCCUGAAAGAAAGAAAGAGGAAGAAAGUAAGGUCACGUAGGGGCCAGCGUUGUAGAAAGAAGAGAUUAUUACAUGGCAAGUGCCGAGUGCCAAAGGGUAAAAGUAUCAAUGAACAUGGCAGUAAUAAUGCCAAGUGACAAGUGACACAAACGAAGCUACCCCUUACCUACUCCAUGGAAGGAAUGUCAGACUAUACAGUCCUUUUCAAUUCAUUAAUGCCGUUCUCUGUUUGUCUUCUAAAACGUACUCCAUAUAUAUGUAUUAUUUUUUUAUUUAUUUACUAGAAAAUAAUUUUUUUAAAAAAAUAAAUUUUAAAAAAGUAAAUUAGUUUUUAAUAUUUGAUAAUGUAAUGAAAAAAUAAAUUAGAAAAUAUUUUUCAGUAUUUGGUUAUGUCAUAGAAAAUAAGCUAAAAAAUAAUUUAUUAAUGUUUUAUUUUUCUCAAGUAUAUUAAAAUAAUAAGAAACAAAUCUUACAAAUUAAAAAGUUGAAAGAGAAUAAAAUUGAAAAAAAUAAAAUUUUAUAAAUUAUCUUAAAUAAAAUAAAUAAUAAUCAAAAUAAUAGAGAUCAAAUAGAUCACGGUACUAAAGUGGUUUAGCAUAGAAGAAUCUAAAAGAAAAUAAUAACAUGUUUUUCAUAGGAUGCAUCUCUCCAAAAAUAUAUAUAUGUAAGACAUAAAUUGUGAGAGAUAACAUGGAAAAGAUCUUGUAUGCCUUGACUGUAAGAUUUAUCUCAUAUGCAAUGUUAUGUAUACAAUUUAUGUAUCUUAUGCUUUAACUAUAAUAAGCAUAACGAGGAGAUAUCAAUCUAAUUUAUAUGGAGAUCGUUUAAAAUUAGUAAAGAGUAAUUUUAAAUAGAUACCAAUCUAAUUUAUAUGGAGAUCGUUUAAAAUUAGUAAAGAGUAAUUUUAAAUACUUUAAAAGAGCUAAAAAUAUAUUUAUGAUCUAUGAAAAAGCUAAACUGGUAGCUCAUAUAGCCUUCAAUCAUAUAUUAAUGAUAACAAAUCCUAGUCUUGAUAUAUUUUUAUUUUGAAUUGUGGUGUUGUGAGUUGAAGAUUUUCUAAACAAAAAAUUACAAUAAAUUGUACAGCUAAAAUGAGUACAUCUUUGCAUCUAAAGUUGUAAAAAGGUUUUUUGGAUUAGGAAUUACAUCACUAAACUAGGUAUGGUUUCUAAGAUCAUUGAUUAAGUAGGUUUUUUUGUGAUAAUAAUGAAUUCAUUACAUAAAUAAACAAAUUAAGGUUUCAUCAAUGGUUCAAACACGUACCUAUGUAAUUCUAUUUUAUUGAAGAGAUCAUAAAAAGAAAAGAUUUAAAGAUAGAAUAACUACCUACUAAAGUGAAUCUUGCAAGUCCUACUACAAGAUGAUAUCCCAUCACAAGUAUGAUCUUCAUGUGUAGGUAUAUGGCAUCAAAUACAUGGUUGCUUGGAUUUAAUGCAACUGAGAGAUUGUUAGUGCGUAUGCUUUUUAGCUGAUUGAGCAAUUGCAUAUGAUACUAGAUUUAUUCGUGCAAUAUAUAUAUAAAGAGAGAGAAAGAGAGAAGAAUUAUUUAUUUUUAAUAUUUAUUUGAAUUUUAUUAAUUAAUCUGAAGUAAAGAUAAAGUUCUUGAGAUGAAAAUAUUUUGGAAAAAAAAUCAUAAAUUUGUUAUAAUUGCAAAGGUUUUUAUUACAUUAAAUCAUUGUCCUUAAAUAUUUCUAAUCAAUGCUCUAUUGAGACUAUAUAUUAAUCAUAGUUAUUGAUACCAAUACAUAUUAUGUUUUUCUCUUUAAAAAAGAUUAUGAAAAAAAAACAAUUGUUCUCAUAUAUUAAGGUAUAAAGGAUACUAGGUACAAAUAUUUGAGUUUUGUUUAAUGAUAAGUGCAUUGACCGUAUAAGGAUUUCAUAUGAAGAGAUUACGUAUGCAUAUAAAAAGACUAUUGUGAUAGUUGUGUAAAUAAUAAUUAUACUAAUAUUGGGGUAUUAAGGUUACUAGGUUAUUUUAUAUGAAGACUAUUAUAUUUUUAUAACACCCUAAAAUUUGCAUUUACAAUAUAAUUGAUGAUUACUUUAGAAUAAUGUAAGAUUAUAGAAAAUCAAAGGAUAAAAGCCAAAGAAAUAAAGAAAAGAAGGUUCAAAAUACAAUUAUCAACUUAAGUAGAUAAAGUAUAACAAUGAAUGGCAAUUAAGUAGAUGUCAUGUUGUCCUACAAAAUUUUCCAGUAGUAACUACAUAUCUUUUUGCAUUUUUUGAACCUAAAAGAGAGCCAAUCAUGUAUUCCAAGAAUAAAUUACGGAGUAUUAGAGCUUGUUGUAACCCAAUUUUGGAUUCACCAAGAUUUUCUUGAAUGUUAUUUUAUUUCUAUUAUUAUUUAUAAAAAUCCAAAAAAAUUAAGAAAAAGUUUAAAAAUUCAAAAAUAUAUUUUUCUCGAGUCAACCGCAUCUUUCCAUCAAAACCGAGUCUACCAGGUCAAUACGGGUCAAACCAUGUCGACCAGGAUAAAAAAAUAGUUUUCGGGCCGUUUUGGGUCAAAACCGUUAUUUUUGACCAAAACCGAGUUCACCAGGUCAAUACGGGUCAAACCAUGUCGACCAGGGUAAAAAAUGAGUUUCGGGCCGUUUCGGGUCAAAACCGUUAUUUUUGACCAAAACCGAGUUCACCAGGUCGAUACGGGUCAAACCAUGUCGACCAGGAUAAAAAAUGAGUUUCGGGCCGUUUCGGGUCAAAACCGUCAUUUUUUACCAAAACCAAGUUCACCAGGUCAAUACGGGUCAAACCAUGUCGAUCAGGAUAAAAAAUGAGUUUCAUGCCGUUUUGGGUCAAACCUGUUAUUUUUUGGUCAAAACCCGGUCCACCGGGUUUAUAUCCAUUGAAAGUUUUUUAUGUUUCAACAUAAUUUUCGGUAAUUAAAAUUGAUUUUUAGCAGUUGAAUCAGGCUUUUUCUAAUACUGAUUUAAGUUUUAAUUUUACCUAUAUAAAUAUAUAUAUUAUAUAUAAUAAAACAAAAUUAAUAAUACAGAAUUGUCAUAUUAGGCGGGGCAGUUACAUUUAUUGUAGGCGAGCAGUUGGAUGGAUACAUUUUUUAAUUUAAAGCCGAUGCUUGCUGUCCCCUUUCAUUGGCUAUAAAUAGCCAGUGACAGUGAGCCAGAAGAGGAAGAAGGAGAAGAAAAAAAAAAAGAAGAAAAAGAAAAAAAGAAAAAGAGAUACUAUUCAGGUUUUUUUUACUAUUUCUUCACGAGAGUAGGAUAUUGAUUUUUAUUAAAAACAAUAUGGAAAAUACCAAAUAUAUCCUAACCGUUAGAUCUAAUAGUGUUUAGAUCUGAAUCGUUGAUUUAAUACAUACAAUAGGGCUUAUCACACCAGAUUAAAACCCAAACACAUCUCAGCCCUUGAAAUAAUCUAAGCUUUGAUCCCGUUGCGCCACGUCACCGGGUGUACCGAGAUUUCGGUGCACCGCGUUACACCCGAUCAAACCUCCGUUCAUCCGGACCGUCCAAUCAACCUGCAGAUCGGGCCAAUCACAGCCGCACGAUCUUUCCAUCAGAGAUCCAACGGAUCACAGGCCUCAGCUGCACCGGUGUACCGUUUCAGCGUUCUCACCGUAGCGUAACCCAGAGCAUCUCUCUCCUCUCGCCGGCGACUCCCUCUCUCUCAUCCGAUCUCCACUUUCCGGUCGUCUCCAGCCUCCGCACCACCACAGAAAGGUUUCUCCCCUGCUGUAAAGAAAAACCCCGGUGGUUUUCAUCGUUUUCUCCGCCUCAUCUGGCCGGAAAAAGACCGCGAUCGUCGGCUGCCACCGAAGCUUCAAGUCGUCGAUUCUCGCUCAUCAGCCAUCAACGACCGUCAAGACCACCACCAUAAGAAUCCUCGACAUCAGAUCUACCAGGAUCGACCAUCGAUUGUCCAGAAAUAUCGCCGGAAAAUCUCCCCGCCGCCAAUAGUAGCCGCGCGUGUGCCACAUGCGCCGCCAGUGGCAUUUUCGUAAUUUUCAGAGAAAUUCGAGGGUAUUUCAGUAUUUUACCUAUACAGUGACACUCAAGUAAUUUUUUAGGUUUCUGCUGGUAUUUUUGAUAUUUUUUUUAUAUAUAAAUGGUUGUAAACUUUCUUGCAUGUUGUAAAAAAAUACAAAAACCAAAGUCGACACGUCUCUUUUUUUUAAAAGGACCGAUGUCAAAAAUGUAAAUACCAAAUAUGGCUUAUGUCCAUUAUUUGUUUUGGUAACCCAGACGUAAUUCUCCUUUUUAGGGUUGAAACGUCAUAUUUUAGACAAGUCUCCUAAUUUUUAGGGACUGGUGUCAUUUUUAACGCGUCUCCUAUUUUUAGGGACCGACGUUAACCAUUUUAAAAAAAAACAAAUUACCAAUAAACCCAAAAUAUAAUGGAUUAUAUCCAUUAUUUUUUUUGGUAACCCAGACGUAACUCUCCUUUUUAGGGAUAAACGUCAAUAUUUUAGACGAGUCUCCUAAUUUUUAGGGACUGAUGUCAUUUUUAACGUGUCUCCUAUUUUUAGGGACCGACGUUAAUCAUUUAAAAAAGAAUUACAAAUAAGCCCAAAAUAUAAUCGCAUUUUGAAUCAAACAAAAAACACACAAGUAAGGGUAACCUUUCUAUUGAAAGGAUGUUUUAAGGGUGGUGUCUACCUUCCCUUAAUCAUAACUAACCCCGUACCCGAAUCUCUGGGACCAGUGUCUAAUUUGGGAUUUCUAGUUCCCUCAAAUUACUAGAUGGCGACUCCAAUAAAAUCUUUGUUUCCCCCAAUCGAGAAAAAAAACCCUUUUUGUUAAAUAAACAAAAAAAGCGGGAGCCGUCGCCCGACGUCGUGUAUCGACAGAAUGGCGACUCCGCUGGGGACUUUAGGGUUGAGCCAACUGCUUGUGUUUGCUUUUCAUUUGCUCUUUCUUAUUGCUAUUUAUUUUUGGGCAUUUAUUUUAUUUUCAUUAUUUAUUUUAUGCAAUAUCUACUGUGAUUCUUUUCAAUUUUUCAUUUCAUCACAUACAUAUAUAUUAUUUAUUUGUGUAUUCACACACUUCACUGUGAACCCAUAAAAGCUCUGGACCCGAGCUCGUCCUUUUUAAGAUUAGAAAAGAGAGAUUCAAGUGGCAAGUGUGACUUAUGUCCACUGAUGCUCAUUUGGACUUUUGCUUGGAUUGUAACUCACCCUAUGCAACUAGUACUGUGGAGUCUUUCUCCCCUACUCAUGUUGUAUAAGGUUAAGAGGCCAAUUACUUCACGAGUAAUUUGGGCAAUCUAAGAACCGGAGAAUAUCUUUAAGGAUAGACUAAACUGAGCCAAACCUUAUGAGCUAGAUCUUAUCAAGUAGGAUAUACCCAUUAGGACACGAACAAAUGUCAAUGCAUGAACAUACAUGUUCAUAUACAUUUCAUGUGCUCAUUAAAUCUCCACCGAUCCUUACAGGAAGUGUGAGAUGGAAAAAUCCAUUACUAUUGAGGAAUUUUUGACCAGAUCAGAAUUGAGCCAGCAUGAUGAAGGGGAUUGUUUGCCAUCAGAAUUUAAGUCUCAGUUGCCAGAGCAUGUUAAAUUAGAUGACAGACCACUUGGUAUAGGACAACUGUUAGACUGCUGGGAAAAGUUAUCCUCUCAUGAUCAAGUCACUUUUCAGAAACAAUAUGGGGAUCUAUCACAUUUACUGAAAAUUAGGGUCCAACAUGCUUGUUUUCAGGCCAUGAUAGGGUUUUGGGAUCCAGAAUAUCGGUGCUUCACAUUUGAUACUGUGGAUAUGACUCCUACUAUCGAGGAGUAUGAAUCCCUGCUAAAUUGUCCCAAGUCAGAAAAGGUGUACUUUUACACACCUAUAGAGCAUGCACUUUCUAACUUUGCUUGGAUUACCCAGACAGACUGUCAAUUAGCAAAAUCACAUGCAACUAAACGAGGAAAUAGCCAGGGUUGGUUUUGGAAUGAACUAGAGGCCAUAUUCAAGAGGAGAUUACAUGAUGAAAGCAAUGAAAUUCGAUUGAGAAUUUUGGCCUUAGGGAUAUAUGGUUUGGUUCUUUUCCCAUCUGCCGAAGGAAUGAUUGAUUUUGAGGCUGUUAAUGUAUUCAAAAAUGUGGUGACCCUUAAAAUUAACCCUGCUACAGCAAUAUUGGCAGAAACUUUCUCAUCCUUGAAUUAUUGCAGAAAAGCUGGAAGGGGUCGUUUAAGAUGUUGCUUGCAGUUAUUGUUUGUCUGGACUGUGAGUCAUAUGAUUGAGGGGAAGAUUUCAGGUUUGGUUGGUACCCCGUGGCAUCUUUAUUCUCAGCUGGAGAAUUUUGCUGAAAAACACUUGCAUGAAGUAGGAAAAACCACAUGGGAAUCAAUGUUCCUAAGUCUAAGUAAAUCUCAAUUUCAUUGGAGAAGUCGAUAUGCUUAUUUCAAAUCUUAUCUGGCGUAUUGUGGUGAGUACCCAUGGGUCCCGUUGAUAGGAGCCCGUUGCUGUAUUAGUUACUGUCCUAACCUAGUUUUACGACAGUUUGGAUUUGAGCAGUUUAUUCCAAGGACUACUAAACUGGCAACAUUUUAUGAAGAUUUCAAGAUCUCAAAGAAAUUAUUGGAGUCAGUGAAGAAGGCAUGGAAACAUCCUGGUAGGGUUACUUCCGCUAAGAGAGUAGAAGGAAAAACAACUGAAGGAUAUCCAAUAUGGCAAAAGAAGAGAGGAAAAGGGUACAAAGUUCCUCCUUUUGAAGGGCCACCCAGGUCUUUGAUUCAGUCUGCUGAAGACACACACGAAGAAGUUCGCGCCCAACAAGAAUCUUAUAACCUAAGUUUGAAUGCUGAAGUGGAAGAGUUAUGGGCUAAAAAAAGAAAGUUAGAAUCUAAUCUAGCCACUCGAGAAAAAGCUUUGGUUAUCAUAAAACAGGAAAAUGAUGACUUGUCAGCUCAGCUACAACAUCAACAACUUGAUUUCCAGCAAUUACAAGAAAAAUAUGUACUUUUGUCAGAAGAUAAGACGAAGCAAGAUGUCAACAUGAAGAGAUGGGUUAGAAGAGCAUCGAAAGCUGAGGAAAUGGUAUUAAAGUUGGAAGAGACAAAUAAAUCACUUCAGGAGCAACAUCAAAAGCAAGAUGUAAUAAUUGCCAAUUUAGAUGAGCAUUUAGACCAUUUGCUUUUUAUUGAGCAAACUUUAUCAUCAGAAAAAGAAAAGGCAGAAAAAGAAGCAGAAUGUUGGGCUUCUGAAGCUAUGCGCUAUCAUGUACAAGCAGAUGAUGCCAAGAAUUAUGCUUUAGGAUUGAGAGGCCUAGCCCAACAUUGUGAAAGAUUGAAUCAUGAUUUGUUCUAUUAAAGUAAAAUAUGUGUUUGGUCUAAAUGUUAUGUUGAUAAAAUAGCACAUGAUAUGUGAAAAAAAGCUUGUUUUAGGUGAAAUUAUGGUAGCCUACAUACUACAUAUAUUGCCAUUGAGGUAGUAAAUGGAUAUGAGAUAUGAACAUUGAAUUGGCAUACAUGUAACACUUGUGCAAUUGUUAUGUCAAUAUGAAAUUGAGCCUAAAUGUUAAAAAACUUGUGAAGUUUACCAUGCUUAUUGAUCUAAUCAUUUUCUAAUUAGGAUUAUAAUUUAUAUUUUGGAUAAUAUAUUAGAAGCCUAAUAUGUCACAUAUGUUAAGAAUCACUAGUAAAAAAUUAAAUUGGAAUGUAAAAUAAUGACUUGAUUGUGAAUAAGUUUUAGAAAUUUAGGGAUUAAAAUGUAAUUUGUACAAUAUAUAUAUUACAAUUCUAAACAUAAAAAAAUCACUUAGGGACUUGAUUAAAUACAUUUCUAAUAAUUAUUAUGAAAUAAAAUAUAUGAUGUUUUGCAGUGGGAAAGUGAUGUUUUAUGGUGAUUAAUUAGGGUUAGGUUUUAAAAAUAAAAAGAAAUGCCUCAUCAUCUGCAUAUAGUUGUGUAAAACAACAUAACACCCCUAUAAAGAGAUCUACUAUAGGGUUAUUAAAAAGUUAAAAAUGAGUUAGCACUCAUUUCUUUCUCCAAAAAAGAUUUACGAGAUUUUCUAUUUGAUGAUUCAUGUUAAUUAUAGUUAAUUGAAUAGUUAGUGGUAUACAAUAACCCAACUAUGAAGAGUUUAUCAAAGCCUAAAAGAAAAAAAUAUGUCUUAGAUAAUCUUCAAUAAAAUCCUAAAUAACUCUUAACUGUUUAACAGGGACUUUAAAAAAUAAAUUGUUCCAUUCUUUUUUUUUUUCCCAGGAAACCUAGCAAUUCAUCCAUAUGAAUAUAUAUGAAAGGGGUGCCACUUUAAACAAAAGUGUAAAAACUAGUUGGAAGCAUAAGACCAUAAUAGUGCUUAAUUCAGUGAAUUUCUCGAAGUAAGAAUGUAGCUUUUAUGUGUAUUUUUUCUCGGCUGACCUUAAAAUCAACCAUGUUUUAAAACUUAGGCAAUCAUUAAUUUAGUUUAAAAAUUGCAAAAUUAACAUAAUUAAAAGUUUAAAUUGGAGGACACCUUUAAAGUUAAAACUAUAUAAUGAAUCUCUUAAAGUAAGAUCUUAUGCAGCUUUACAUGUGUAUUUUAUUCUAUUUAAACAUCAAUCAUUAAAAUGCAAUUCCUAUAAGAAAUGCAAUUGUAUGAGAUAUUAAUUAAGGCAGAAUACAUAACAUGAAGAAAACAACAAACAAAAAUAAAAAAACAAGAAGAAUCUGUACAAGGACUUACCUGAUAAAGAAGAGAGGAACGAACGAAUGGAAGGUUCACGAUGAUCACUUGAAUGGCUGCACAGAUGAUGCCAGCUCCCUGUUGAUCACUUCCCACCACAUAAAUAAUUAAUCUAAAGAGUUAUGCACAGAUGAUGCCAGCUCCCUGUAUCUAUAUGAAUUUCAUUGAUAGAAAUAUUAAACUAAUAAUUCGUUACAGUCCUUCUAAAGAAAAACUUUAUGUUAAAAAGAGGAGAAAUGUUAAAACAACAUAGUUUAGAUGGAUUAAAACUAGCAUUAUAAACAAUUGUGAGAUAAAGCGGCAAUUCCAUGAAAAAUACAAUUCGAUGACAUAAUUACGAUAGUGACGACAAUCAUAUAGAAGAACUCACCUAGUAGCAUAAAGAUUGUUGCAUUCUCUAAUCUCAAUUUCACACAAAUCGGGGAAGCAUAAAGAUUGAAGAUGAUCUCCAGGCAAUAUCUGAUCCUUUUCAUCAUCAUUAUCCCUAGCAAUGAUUUGCUCCAAUUCCUCACAGGACAAUAUCUUUAGGACUUUCAGUUGAACUAGACUGACAAUCAUGGCUACUGGGAAGCACGAGAUCCUUCAACCCCUGCAUCGAAAGAAAACAAGGAUACCAAUUUGUUAGAUAUAAUUCUUUAUAAAUUUUGUGCACUUUGAAAAUAUAUAAUUUUGGUAAAUAGAUGAACGAAUUGUCCCCACUACUUCAGCCAAAAACUUAUCAACAAAAGGAUAUAAGUAGACAUGGCAACAGGGCAUGGGAAUAUGAAAUCAUAAGCUGCAGGACUGAAACGAACAACUCAAUAUUAGCAGAUGGAGGUUUAUCUUCCUCUUCAAAUACUUCCAUUAAUUGGGGGAAGAGCCUCAAUUUCACUCAAACUGGGAAAGCAUAAAGAUUGAAAAAUCUCGAUAUCAUUUCAUUACAAUAAUUAAUUUCUUACUUCUUAAGCCCUUCUCCUUUUGAGAGAGAUGGGGGAAAGGGUCUCUUUCAAAAAACCCAGCCACCGUUCCAGACAAACAUAAUUCCUUCUCACAAACACAGAAAACAACCUGAUCUUCCAUACAAGCCAUACAAGCCAUAUUACCCCCAGUCUCAGCUACCAUCCAUCACCUUAAACACUCAGAAUUUAACAAACUACCGUGGUUUUCACCUACAAUGUUACUUUGAAAACUUCCCAAGUUGGGUCGAUUACCAUAAGCUCAAAGACCGUUUCAGAAAACAGGGCAAAGUUAUUAAGUUUGUUUCUCGGAAAACAAAUCAAGCAGGAAAGCAUUUUGGCUUCGUCACCAUCCUCUCGAAUCUGUCAGACAAAACUCUGCUAGAAUGUUUAAAUGACAUAUGGUUUGAUUCCUACAAACUGAGAGUUAAUGUGGCUAAGCACAGAAGAAAAGAUGAAGUGAUGAAACAGAAAACAGUGGGAACAGGGAAACAAAUAUCCAAGCUCAACAACAAAGCCAAGGCCCCCAUCCGUGUAAGAGACAACCGAAGCUAUCUUGAGGCAAUAAGAUCAGGGAGUCAAGUGCAUCAAGCGUCUGAUAAUGCCACACCACGUCCUCAUAACUUCAUCUCUUUCAACACUACAGAUGAGGAAAUUCUAUGGUUAAGAAAUAGUCUUAUAGGCAAGAUAUCUCAGGGAGUAGAUUAUGCACAAAUCAGACAUGGAUUAAUUCAGCUAGGCAUCUGCUUCUCUGCUGUCCGUUUCCUGGGGGUUCCCAGGCAAUCAUAAGCUUUGAUGGUGAGAAAUCUAUGCAACAAGCCAUGCAGAAAGGUAUGGAAUGCUGGAAGCUCUACUUUGAUGAAGUUGGCCCGUGGACGGAAAAAGAUGUGAUAGAGAGUCGUCUAGCAUGGAUCUCCAUCUCUCAUUUGCCUAUCUCUGGCUGGAGUCUGAGAUGUAUCUCAAACCUUUUCAUUGUUAAAGAACCAUCUCAACCCAAUAACUUAAGCUAUUAGGUAAGGUUCCAGGAUAUGAUUUGUAUUAUUCUCUAACACACCCCCUCAAGUGAAAGCUCUUUAGGCUUGAAACUUGCACAUGCCCAUAUUAUCUUGUGCUUGAUUUUUAUCAAAUAAUGGAGAUGGUGAGAUUCGAACUCGUGACCGCUUGGUCAUUAAGGCUCUGAUACCAUGUUAAAGAACCAUCUCAACCCAAUAACUUAAGCUGUUAGGUAAGGUUCCAGGAUAUGAUUUAUAUUAUUCUCUAACACUCAUGAACCAUGGACGGGUGAUAGGUUUUGACAAGACCAGCCUAAAAAUCUCUGAACUUCACAGCGUGAAAAUCCUUAUAGGUACUCACUUGCCGGAGAUCCACGACUCUAUAGAUCUCAUGCUAAACUCCAAGUUAGUACACGUACAGCUGGAUGAGAUUGACCUUUUAAAAUAUCCAGAGGCAAAAGGAAUUUCAUAUUCUAUGGCAGAAUUUCAAACCACAUUACUUCAAGGAGAAGAUGCUGACAGUGACUCAGAUGAUGAAGUGUACACUGAUCUGGCUUUUGACUUGGUAGGAGAUGACAACAUUUGCAGGCUGGCUAUUGCUGAUAAGAAUUUUGGAGCUAAUGACAAGGCACACACGCUGGAGGCAAGGAAGCACAACCCACAUGGGACAUACCAGGUCUACGAUCAUAACUUUCCGGCCACAAUAAAUGCCACUGACAACACAGAACGGCUACAUAUCAUUGUUGAAGAUCUCUUUCCAGAAAUAGCGGCUCCUAGGACUCCCCACCACUGUUUCUCUACCAACAAGCUUUCCCAAAAUCAACUCCAAGCAGAACGGGGCCUUGUCUUAUACGACGUGAAUUCAGCAAGCCCACUGUAGCAUCAAAGCAUGGCCUUUAAAAGAGACUUUUUCUCGCCACAACCUUAUACCCCUGUCAGCAAUGAUAAUUCUUUGGAAUCCCACUGCAAAGCCCAAAGCCUGCCUCUUACACCCAACCAACACCGGACCACAACAGCCAAACAACCAAGACUAAAUAAAAUAUCCUCUAUUGGGAGUCUCCUUUCCUUGCACUCUUUAGCAAGCAUAUCUUCUACAGACUCUUACAUUAGGGUGAAUAAUAACCAUAACCUGAAGAAAUCUGCAGCGGAGUCAUCUCACAAUGAAGUCAACAAAAUGAUCCAUUUGGAAGAAGCUAUUGGUCUUGGUAAUUCAGCUCUGAUGGAAAAAAUUUCUGAGCUUAUCAUAAGGCAGCUAGAAAAGGAGAGGGAAGAUUGACAGAAACAACAAUGAAUAGUGAGUUUUCAUCCCUGUCCCUGCAGAUAGAUCUUUUAAUUCUGUCAUGAAUAUUCUUUCUUGGAAUUCCUGCGGCUUGGGCAUGAUGAGGAAACGAAGAAGAAUCACAAAAUUAAUAACAGAAUAUAAGAUUGAUAUAUGUUUCCUGCUGGAAACUAAGCUAGCUAAUUCUUCCAUUGGCUUUGUAUCUCGUAUUUGGAAUGAAAAUCAUAUGAGUUGGUUUAGUAAUGAUGCUCAGGGAUCAAAAGGAGGUCUGCUUGCUAUGUGGAAAAACACUAACUUUGAAGUCUCUAAUAUUGAAUAUGGUCAUGGUUGGAUCGGUUUAUAUGGUAAACAUGUUCACAGUGAUUUUCAUUGCUUUGUUAUUGGCAUCUAUUCUCCUUGUAACUAUCAGGACAGACAAAAACUUUGGGAUGAUCUCAUUCUUCUUAAGCACGCUUUUGAAGUUCCCUGGAUAAUAGCAGGAGAUUUUAAUGAAACACUCUCUCAGAAAGACAAAAAUAGUGGAAUCUGUCAUCCUGUAGACUCAAAUUCUUUUAGCAGAUUUCUGCAGUCUUGUGAGCUCACUGAAUACCCUUUAGCAGAACGUUAUUUUACCUGGUUCAGAGGAGGGUCCAAGAGAAAAUUGGACCGUAUGUUCGCAAACACAUCCUGCUAUCUUCACUUCCCCAGUUUAUCUCUUCGACAACUUCCAAUAGAGUUCUCGGAUCAUUGCCCUUUAAUUCUAUCUAGCUUCUUGCAGGACCAUGGAUGGCAUCCUUUUCGUUUAUUGGACUGUUGGACUCAGUACCCAAAUUUCAAGCACAUUAUUGAAAACUUCUGGAAUGAUGCAUGCUCCCUUCACCCUGGCCGCUUUAAAUUUCUCAAAAAGCUCAAUCAUAUUGCAGUCAGAUUGAGGCAAUGGAAUAAGCUUGAAUUUGGAAAUCAAGAAGCUGCCCUUCAAUGAACCCUUUCAGCUUGCCCUUCAAUGAACCCUUUCAGCUAUCAACAUACUAGAGGAAAAAUGUGAAGAAGAAGGUAUAACCGACCAAGAGCAGGAGCAUUUAGACUUUUUGUUGAAAGACAGCUGGGUUCGCAACAAUCACAUUGAAUCUAUUUGGAGGCAGAAAUCAAGACAGAUGUGGUGCAAAUUGGGUGACAGAAAUAACAAGUUUUUUCACUUGAUUGCCAAUUUCAGGAAGGCUAAAUCAUCUAUCCUUAAAAUCCACCAUAAUGGUAACACUUUUGAUUCUCAGCAGGGUAUUAAGCAGGCUGCUGUGGAUUAUUUCUCUGAGCUGUAUGACUCCCCCUCUGAAAAAAAGUUGUAGUUAAAUCCUUUGGGUUUCAAAUGCCUCUCUAAAGAAUCCUUUGAAUGGCUAAAGCAGGAAAUCACAAUGGAAUAAGUGAGACGCAGUGUAUGGGGUUGUGAUGGGUCAAAAUGUCCUGGACCAGAUGGUUUCAACUUCAAAUUCUACAAAUUAGCAUGGGAUUUUAUUACUCAAGACAUCCUCGAUAUAGUCUUAAGCUUCUUCAGAACAGGAAGGCUACCCAAAGGAAUCAAUACAACCUACGUAACUCUCCUCUCCAAGACAGUAGAACCCAUAGAGUUUAAAGAUUUUCGACCCAUCAGCAUGAUUCAUGGUAUCUACAAGAUCAUUGCCAAAAUCGCAUCCAGACUGAAAACUGUUAUGCAAGAUAUCAUUAGCAUUAACCAAUCAGCGUUUAUAGCAGACCACAACAUUAUAGAUGACUUUAUGAUUGCAAAUGAGCCGGUGAGUGAUUUAAAAAAGCGAAAAGCGGCAGGUCUGAUUUUCAAGAUUGAUUUCCAUAAAGUCUUCGACUCAGUCUCCUGGGAUUACUUAGAUGAUAUCAUGGGUUAUAUGGGGUUUGGCAGAAAAUGGAGAACCAUGAUUUAUGAGUGUCGUCCUCAUCAAUGGAUCUCCUUCAAAAGAAUUCUCUGUUCGGCGAGGACUGCGUCAAGGAGACCCGAUUUCCCCUUUUCUGUUUGACAUAGCUGUUGAGGGCCUCUCGGUCCUCUUUCAAAGGGCAUCUAGUGGGAAUAUUAUCAAAUGGCUGCAAUUUGCAUUAGGAAUUUUCGUCAACCAUCUACAAUAUGCAGAUGACACGUUAAUAUUCAUCCCGACAGAUAUUGAUCAGUUAGUUCAAGUCAAAAGAAUUUUAAGAUGGUUUGCUCUGACUUCAGGCCUUUAUAUAAACUUCCAUAAAAGCUCCAUUAUUGGUAUCAAUGUUGACGAUCACUUGUGCUUGCGCUUGGCUACAUCUAUUUUCUGCAGAUCAGACCCCCUCCCAAGCAAAUAUCUUGGCAUGCCACUAGGAGCCAAUCCAUCUCAUAUCUCUACAUGGAAGCCAGUGAUAGAGAAGUUUCGUAAAAGGCUUCAUAUGUGGAAAGGGAGAUUACUAAGCUUGGCUGGUCGUCUAUGUCUCAUUAAAAGUGUCCUUAAUUCCCUGCCUAUAUAUUUUAUGUCUGUAUUCAAGAUGCCAAACGGGGUAGGCAGACUUCUUUCAUCCAUCCAAAGACGUUUCUUGUGGUGUGGAUGUACCAAGCAAAGAUCUUUCUGCAAGAUCCAAUGGAGACUAGUGAUGCGUGAUAAGAAACAAGGAGGCCUCGGUGUAGGCUCCCUUAUAUCGAAAAACAGAGCCCUGCUGCUAAAAUGAAUUUGGAGACUCUCCUCCCCAUGUACAAGUUUAUGGAAAAUGAUUAUCUUUUCGAUGUACAAUCCAGCUUAUGAGAAUGGGAUCCCAAUUUUCUACAACCAACCCUCUAAGAUUUGGAAGGAUAUUAUGUCCAUUGUUCAAACCGACGUUCACCACGUCUUCACGAAUCAUUGCAAAUUCGUGGUGGGAAAUGGCAGUUUAACAUCCUUUUGGCUAGACAACUGGAUUGGUGACUACCCUCUCAAAACAGCCUUCCCUAGGCUAUAUCUUUUGUCUUCCUCUGAAUCUACUUUGGUGGCUGACAUGGGUAGAUGGAGCAAUGGAAUCUGGCUCUGGUCCUUACAAUGGCGCAGACCUCUAUUUCAUUUUGAACAAGAACAACUAUCACUUUUAUCAUCCAUGCUGGAAUCCAAGCCAAUGUUCUGCCACAAGAUGGAUAAGAAAAUCUAGACCCUCAACAGCGAUGGCCUCUUCAGUGUAAAAUCUUGCUCCAAAAUGAUGGAUCAGCUGCUCUACGGUGGUGCCAAACCAUUCCAAUCUUCUAUUUGGAUAAAACUAACCCCACCAAAAGUGUAACUUUUCCUUUGGCUCCUUGUCCAAGACAAAGUAACCACAAGAGAUUUUCUAUUUCAGCAUGACUACCUCACUCUUCAGGAGUCAAGAUGCGCUUUCUGCAAUAAAAGCUUGGAAUCUUCAAGUCACCUCUUCAUUCACUGCCACUUCACUUGGAAUAUAUGGAUGAAACUGCUUUCUAAUCGGGGCUUUUGCAGUGUUUUUCCAAAAUCUGUUGAUGAUAUGUGCUACCAAUGGUCUUCUAUGGUUAAAGGCAAGCAACAGAAUCUCUCAUGGCAUCUUCUUUUCUCAUGAGUUGUUUGGAAUCUUUGGCUUCACCGAAAUGAUUUAUUUUUAAUGACGCUACCCCUAACUUUCAAAUUUGUUUCUCCAUGGUGCGCCAAAGUAUUGCUUUAUGGCUGAGGCUUGAUUCCAACUCUUUAGAGCUUAAUAUAAAGAAUGUUUAGUCGGGAGAAGUUGGUUUCUUAUGAUUUGUUUGUUCCCCCAUUUGUUGCUCUCCCCUAUUUCAUGCAACAGUUUUUGUGCUUUCCUUUCCUCUAUUGUUCAUUUGAUGUAAGUUAGGCUAUUAUCUUUGUAGCCUUUUUUCUUAAUAAAAAUUUCGACUAUUAACCAAAAAAAAUGCCAACAUCUUUUUAAUAAUAUGUAUCUGAUCGGCACAAUUAUUUAACUUUACAACAAGAUAGACGACUUAUAUAUAAACUUGGAUAUAGAGAUUAAACGAGUCUAGUAGAAGAAGAUGGGAUUAAAUUGAAUAAAAUAUUUCACUAUCUUUCUUCAUGGAUCGUACUUGCAAACAUGUAUGAACACAUAAUGUAUGCAUAAUAUAAAGACAACGAAAAUUAGCACAAGAAUUAGUUGAAACACACACCUUGAUAGAGACAUAAACGAAUGAUUAUGAAUGGAAGGUUCACGGUCACUUAGACACUCGCGCACUUGAUUACACCUUUCUAUCGAUCGAUUCCAACCGCAAAUAUAAUUUUUCAAGGACUUAUGUAUGUGAUGCUACUAUAUAGUUAUAUAUGGUCUCUCAAAGUUUUUUUUUUUUUUGAAUGAUGAUCAGGGAAAAAAACUAAGGACUUGAAAAGCAGAAAUAAUUGAUUGAAUGAAAAUCCUAUGUGCCACUUUCAAGGAUCAAAUUUAAGCUAGCAUCUAUAAGUAAUCUGUUUAUGAAUAUCCCUUUAUCACACUCAAGGAAUAAGGACUAUGAUUUACCCAUAUAGAAGAAAAAGAGACAUUCCUUAUUUUAAAUUUGAUUUACUUAUGAAAUAGGCUAAAGACAAUAACUUUAGCAAUCUAAAGAGAAGUUCCUCUCUUUUUUUCCUUACACUAGGCUUGUUGCAAGUGUGCGGUGUCGCAGUAAAUAUAUCCACUCUUAUAUGGUAUUUGGAAAAUCAAGAAAUGGAGAAAACAAGGAUUUAUUAUUUUUUUUCGGUGGAAAGAGGGAAUGAGAAUCACCACCUAGUAUUUUGAUAACUAUGAACCUUAAUUGUUCUCAGAGAUCGGGCACGGGAAUUGGUUGCGUAAGGAAAAAGUAUUAGCACUCUAAAUACUUCUUACCAAAUGUAAGUUGCAUGGUUUAAUUGUCUAAUUAAACUAGUUGUCUGAUUGUUGGGUUGUCUAAGGUUGAAAACAAAUCCUUCUCAGUAAAUAGAUCCUUAUCUUAUCGGGUAAAAACCUAACCGUUUUAAUGUCAAUAAAAACAAAACUCCCCUUUUAAUAUUGGAUAUAUGUCUUAUAUAUAAGUUUGUAAUCCCAGAUAUUAAAAGAAAAUAAAAUAAUUUUUUGAUAUUUUAGAAAUAUUGGCCUAUCUUAUGGCUUUAAUAAACCAGUUAUUAAAGCAAAAAAUGCAUGCUAAAACAUAUUUUUUGAAUUUUUUAUUAUAUGAAAAUUUCUUAUAAUAUGUGAGAGACGUGGUCGUAUAUAUGAAAACAAAACACUUUUUUUGUUGUUUAGAUUUUUUUUACGUUUCCUAGAAAACCGAGUAUUUUAAUACCAUAUUUGUAUCUUUACAGUAUAAAAAUACAAGUCGAUAUUAAGCAAAAUUGGUAGAAUUGUUUUUUGAGAAAAUCACAUAUUUUUUUAAAAGGAUUUUUGGAAUUUUUUUUAAUAUAAUAUACAAUAUUAUAUAAUAUUAUAUUAUAAUAAUGGAAUGGGUCUGGCCUAGUUGUAUGGGUUGGGCCUAUCCUUGUUGAGUCAAUACUAGCCCAAGAGAGAUUGGGUUGAGGUAUGCCUAGAAAAGAAAAUAGGACGAAGCGGGUCCAAAGAGUUGGGCCAAUAUCGGCCAAAAACAGGUGUUGGGUCGAUGUCGGCCCAACAAAGACUAUUUCAAAGGAACUGGGGUGGACCUGACCCAAUGGAUUUUGGUUUUAGACAAACCCGGUUCAGCCCAUAAACAGUGAACUUUUCAUUGUUCACUAGCAGAAUAGUGGAGAUGAUGCCGAAGAAGGAGAAGAAGGAGGAGGAAGAAGGGAGGGCGGGAGCUUACCUAAUGGUGGCUCACGAUAGCGUUGGUGGUUCUUCUUCCAAACAAGGUGGUUGUGUAUCGAGGAGCCGCUUCGCCGGUGGUUCUUCUUCUUUUUCUCUGUGUUUUUUCCUUUGUUUUAUUUAUAUUCUUUCUCCUCUCUAUUUCUCUAUCUUCCUUCCAUUUUUGUUCUUCUUUAUUUGUUCCUUUUUUUUCUUUUUUUCUUUUUUUCUUCUUCCCUUUCGUUCCUCUGUUCUCCCUUGUUCUUCUUUCUUUUCUUUUUCGUUUAUGUUUUUCAUUCUUUUCUCUCCUCUUUCUUUGUGUUUCUUUUAUGUUUUCUAUUUUUCACCUCUUCCCCCCCCCCUUUUUUUUUUCUUUAUUUCUUCUCCUAGUCCUCCCCUGUAUUUAUAAGGGGUAGGAGGAGAGAGCCACCUUACCCUACUUAAUCACGUCAAAUGGGUAAGGUGGUCGGGCGGCUAAUGGGCUGCCGCACGUAGGGCUUGUCCCCCUUUUUUUUUUCAUCUUGGUAGGUCAUGGGUAUAGGUUGUGUUGGGUUUUGGGUUUUAGGGAGAGAGAGGGAGAGAGAAACAGUUGUUGCAAAGGAGGGGAAGAAAAACCUUUUCCCCCCUGCCUAUACAUGUUCAUAGGAAGAAGCUCGUGAACAGUGUCAUCAAAACGACAUCAUUUGCACCUUUUAUUUUUAAGGAAUAGUGCAUGAAACGACAUUGUUUUGAACAAAAUGUGUCGUUUCAUUAAAAUGAAAAAUGGCGCCAAAGAAGUGUCAAAUUCUAAGUCAAUCCUCAAUUUUUUAUUUAUUCAAUGAAGUCCUUAAUUGCAAUUUUGAUUUUAAGAAUUAAUUCAAUUACAUCCCUGCCAAAUUUAAAUUCUAAAUCAAUUCAAUUUUUAUUUUGAUCUUUGGCCUCGGAUUUAUGCAAUUUAAACCCUAAUUAACCAUCAAACUUUUAAAUUUUUUCAAUUUAGCCCUUGAUUCUCGUCAAUUGGAUCCCUAGAGUUUUUAAACUUUAAUUGUUUCGAAUGACAUCAAAAUUGAGUAUUUAAACACCUAAAAAAGAACAUUUUUACUAAUGAGUUGUGUAAAUUAAAACUGUGGAUUACCAUUUUGGCCUACUAAUUUCACUUGGCAUUUAGGUCUUUCUGGACAUUUUAUUUUAGGCUUGCUUCAAGUGUAUUUCCUUGCAUUUAUUUUAUUAUUUAUUAUUUUAUUAUAAAAUGGAUAACAUAGAUAAUAAUCAAUCACAUAAAAAUACACAAUGAUUUAGGGGCACACACAACUAUAAUAGUUUAUUUCCUUUUAAAUGAAUCCUAAAACUUUGUCCCUACAGUUAAUAAGAGCUUUCUGAAUAUGAUUUCGGCCAUUUUAGUAGUCUCAACAUUUCAUAAUUAUCCUUCUCAAAACACAAUUGACGUGAGUAUCUUUUUAAUCUUCGUCGAUACAGUUGACUCUAAUAUAUAUUAGUCUUUUAUUUUUUUUAUUUUUUAUUUUUUUUUGUAAAAAAAAUAAAAAUAAAAAGAAUAAAAAAUUGAAUUAUGACAAUAACAAUUAAAUUCAAGGAUAAUGUUACUUUGAUCUACUAUAAGAAUUUAAUUUACUCAUUUAACCCACAAAAUCAAUAUUAAUUAACUCAUUUAUACCACAUUUAACAAUUUCAACCCAAACAGUCCUAAUUGUCAUUAAAAUAUAAGAAUUUAAUUUAUUCCUAAUUAAAAAUAAUUAUUUCUAUUUUUAUAAAUUUUUCUUAAAAAGUAAUUAAAAUAAUUGUUUUUUAUCAAAUUUUAAACAAUUCAUUCGUAUUUCAAUUCAUAUAUUUAUAAGAAUUUAAUUUUUUUAAUUAAUUUUUAAAUUUCAUUCCAAAUCUACAAUGUAAAGAUUAAACUGGAUUAUUGUAAAAAUCAAUAGGAGGUCUUGCUUGUUGGAGCUAAUAAUGCCCUCUUUUUUGGCAGCAUAUUCAUGUGGUUUUAUUUAAUUUCUCUGGUUAGUUUAUAAAUUUAUUUUGUUGGUUUCAACAUUAAUUUAUUUCAAACCAAUUUUCUUAUCAAAAUUUUGAGAGUUUUAAAUAAGAAAUUCUAUGUUGUUGAAUUUGUAAUCAUAAUAUUUACCACAUAAACACAAAUAUAAGAAUAAGAGAUAAAUAUAAAAGAGGGGAUUUUUUAAAAUAAUAUUAUCAUUUCUUAUAAAAUUGAUUUUUUUUUUAUUUUUUUAUAUAUCUAUUCUCUUCUAUACUAUAAAUAUUAAUAUAUAGAUAUAAUAACAUAAAAAAGUAGAGAUCCGAACAUAAAAAAUUAUUAUUAUUAUGGGAUAAACUAGCAUGAAAUCUAGAAAUGGAUAAUGCUGGUAAGCCCAACACAAAGCGAUACCCAAUGGAGUCCAACUAAGGUAGUAGAAAGGGCCGAAUCCAACUAAGGUAGUAGAAAGGGCCGAAGGGACUCUUUUUACAAGGAAGCUGCCACAUUUUAAAAUAAGAACUAGAACACUUCAAAAGUUUUUUUUUUUUUUUAAAAAUAUAUUUUUUUCUUUACUUUAAAUUAAUAUUUUUUUGGUAUUUUUAGAUCAUUUUAAUACGCUGAUGUCAAAAAAAUUUAAAGAAUAAAAAAAAUAUUAUUUUGAUACAUUUUCAUGCCAAAAAUACUUUAAAAAGUAAUCACAACCAUUCUCCCAAACACGUUUAUAUAUUCAUCAAGAAACAUGAAAACAAUAAUGGAUGAAGUUCAAGAAAGAGAGAGAGAAAAAGAAUUCAAUGCAUCAAAGAUUGAAUACGUUAGCUAUGGUGGUGAGCAUCACCUACCAUUAAUCAUGAAUCUUGUCGAUCAAGAACUUAGCGAGCCUUACUCCAUCUUCACCUACCGUUACUUUGUUUAUUUUUGGCCACAACUUUCUUUCUUGGUAAGUGUGAUUCUUUUCUUCUUUUAUGUUGUUGGGAUUUUUUUUUGUGUUGUAACUGUGUUUUUGUUGGUGGGUUUUCAAUUUCAGGCAUUUCACAAAGGCAAAUGUGUAGGGACUGUUGUUUGUAAGAUGGGGGAUCAUCGGAAUUCAACUUUUAGAGGUUACAUUGCUAUGUUAGUUGUCAUCAAACCUUAUCGAGGAAGAGACAUUGGUAAUGGCUUCUUCUUCUUCUUUUUAGAGGUUAAUAUAUAUUAGUGAUUAAAGGAAACCAGGGCACUAAAGAUUGGUUGAGGAGGUUAAUAAGUACGAAGAUUGAAAUUUGACAAUAUCUCUCUCUCACUUGCCUGAAAACACCAACACAACUCACAUUCCCCUCAUGGCCUACCACUGUGAUGAAAGAGGUAGAGGGGACAAGCCUUGUGGGUGGCCCUAGGAUGGCUACAUAAUGGCCGCCCAACUUCUUCACCCCUUUGGCAUGACUGGACAGAGGUAAGUUAAGUCUCUUUCUCCUUUCCCCUUAUAAAUACCCCCCUCACCAGGAGGUGAGGGGGAGGACGAAAAGAGUGAAAAAAACAGAAAAAAAAACAAGGAAAAACAGAGAAUGAAAGAAAAAGAAAGUUUGAAGCGAAUAAACAGAAAAGAAAGAGAGAAGAAAGAAGAGAAACAAAGAAAAAAUAGGAAAACAAACUCCUCGGCUUCCUACCAUCUUUUUUUCCCUUACCAAUGUCGAUACACGACGUCAGGCGAUGGCUCCACUUUUUGUUUAUUUAACAAAAAGGUUUUUUUUCGAUUGGGGGAAAUGAAGAAAUCCCAAAUUAGACACUAGUUCAAGAGAUUCAGGUACGGGGUUAGUUAUGAUUAAGGGAAGGUAGACACCACCCUUAAAACAUCCUUUGAAGAGAAAGGUUACCCUUACUUGUGUGUUUUUUAUUUGAUUCAAAUGCUAUUGUCUUUUGAGCUUAUUUGCAAUUUUGUUUUUUUUUUAACGUCGGUCCCUAAAAAUAGGAGACACGUUAAAAAUGACAUCAGUCCCUAAAAGUAGGAGACUCGUCUAAAAUAUUGACGUUUGUCCCUAAAAAGGAGAGUUACGUCUGGGUUACCAAAAGAAAUAAUAAUGGACAUAAUCUAUAUUUCAUAUUUAAACUUUUGACACCGGUCCUUUUUCUGUAAAAAGAGACGUGUCGACAAACAAUAUUCAUUUAUAAAACAAAAAUUAUUUUGAUAUCGUUGAGAAAUGGGUUUAACCAUACUUGAAAAUUAGGCUUUGGACCCACGAACGAUGACAUGAUAAGAUGGGUGUUGGACCCAUGUCGUUAUUCCUUUUAUAUUUGUUUUUUUUCACAUGCAAGAAAAUUUACAAGUAUUUAUAUAUAUAAAAAUAUCAAAAAUACCAUUAGGAACCCCAACAAAUUACCUGAGUGCCACUGUAUAGGUAAAAGACGGAAAUACACUUGAAUUUCUUGGAAAAUUACGAAAAUGCCCCUGUGGCGCGUGUGGCUCAUGCUUGGUUACUGUUGGAGGCGGUGAAAUUUUCCGACGAGAUUGCCGACCAACAAAUGGUUGAUUCUGGUAGAUCUGAGGGAUAGGAUUCUAAUGAAGGUGGUUUCGACGGCCGUUGAUGGCUGACGAGGGAGAAUCGUCGGUUUGAAGCUUCGGGUGGCCGACGAAAUUGCGGCCUUUUUCCGGCCAAAUGGGGAGGAGAAAACGCUGAAAGCGGCCGGGGUUUUGCUUUAUAGGAGGCUAGCAACCUUUCUGUGGUGGUUAGGAGGCUUCACACGGCCGGAAAUUGGAGAUCGGAUGAGAGAGAGAGAGAAUUGCCGGCGAGAGGAGAGAGAGACUCUGAGGUUUGGCGACGGUGUGAAUGCGAGCAUGGUACACCGGUGCAGCUGAAGGCUGUGAACGGUUGGAUCGCGGAUGAACUGAUCCUUCGGCUGUGAUGGGCUUGAUCUGCAAGUUGAUCAGACGGUCCGGAUGGGCUGAUUUUUGAUCUGGUAUGGCGCGGUGUACCAAGAGCUGGGUACACUGGGUGACGUGGCACAACAAGAUCGAAGGGUAGAUUGUUUUAAGGGCUGAGAUGGUUUCGGGUUUUAAUCUAGUGUGGUAAGCCCUAUUGUAUCAUAUUAAAGCAAAGGUCUAGAACUAAACACUAUUAGAUCUAACGGUUAGGAUAUUUUUGGUAUUUUUCAAAUUGUUUUUAAUAAAAACAAUAUCUUACUCGCCUGAAGAAAAACUGAAAAAAACUCAAAUAGUAAUAAUUCUCUUCUCUCUCUAUCUUUUUUUUUCCUCUUCUUCUUCUCCUUUGUUCGUGUUUUCACUGGCUAUAUAUAGCCAAUCAGUAGGGGACAUCAAAAUCUCAACAUUAUCUACUUGCAAGAAAAAAAAAUCGUCGGUACAACUGCCCGCCUGCUAUGACAAUAAAAAUGUUUGCAUUAUUGAUUUUGUUUUAUUAUAUAUAAUAAUAAAUAUUUAUAUGGAUAAAACUAAAAAUUUAAAUCAGUAUUAGAAAAGCCUGUUUCAACUGCUAAAAAUCAAUUUUAAUUACCGAAAAUUAUAUUGAAACACUAAAUAAAAACUUCCGAUGGGUAUCAACUCGGUGAACCGGGUUUUGACCAAGAAUAACAGUUUUGACCCGAAAUGGCCUGAAACUCAUUUUUUAUCCCGGUCGACAUGGUUGGAACCGUAUUGACCGGGUGGACUCGGUUUUGACCAAAAAUGACGGUUUUGACCCGAAAUGGUCUGCAACUCAUUUUUUAUCCUGGUCAACAUGGUUUGACCCGUAUUGACCUGGUGGACUCGGUUUUGGUCGAAAAUGAUGGUUUUGACCCGAAACAGCAUGAAACUCAUUUUUUUACCCUGGUCGACAUGGUUUGACCCGUAUUGACCUGGUGGACUUGGUUUUGAUUGAAAGAUGCGGUUGACUCGAGAAAAAUAUAUUUUUGAAUUUUACACUUUUUCUUAUUUUGGUUUUGGAUUUUUAUGAAUAAUAAUAAAAAUAAAAUAACAUUCAGGAAAAUAUUGGUGAAUCCAAAAUUGGGUUACAAUAGUUGCCCCCUCUUUACAAUGCUUACGAUGCAAAGACAUUGGAAAAUUCAUUUUCUUUUGACUUUGCAUAGUAAGUUUUGUAAAGAAAAACGAUGGCGGUGUUGAAAAAUACACAGAUUUUUCAGUUGGUCUAAUUCUUAUGGGCGACCUGCCUAAGUGAAAAACAUGAAAGUGUUUUCAAUAUUGAUAUAUUUUUUUGUGAACUACUCGUUUGUGAAAUACAUGAAAGUGAUUUCAACCUCGGUCUUGUAAAAUACUUGAAAGUGAUUUCAACAUUGGUAUUGCGAAAUACAUGAAAGUGAUUUCAGUAAUAGUGUUGUGAAAUACAUGAAAGUGAUUUCAGCAAUGGUUUUGUGAACUGACCCGUUUGUGAAAUACAUAAAAAUGAUUCAGCAUUGGUUUGUGAAAUACAUGAAAGUGAUUUCAACAAUGGAUUUUGUAAAAUACAUGAAAGUGAUUUCAGAUAUAUGUUGUGAAAUACAUGAAAGUGAUUUCAGCAAUGGUCUUAUUUUCCAGGUGAUCAACCUGCUUGUGAAAUACAUGAAUGUGAUUUCAGCAUUAGUCUUGUGAAAUACAUGAAAAUGAUUUUAGCAAUGGUUUUAUGAAUAGAUGAAAGUGAUUUCAGAUUAGCCUUGUGAAAUACAUGAAAGUGAUUUCAGCAAUGGUGUUGUGAAAUACAUGAAAGUGAUUUCAACAAUGGUUUUGUGAAUUGACCCGUCUGUGAAAUACAUGAAAGUGAUUUCAACAUUGGUUUUUGUGAAAUACAUGAAAGUGAUUUCAACAAUGGAUUUUGUGAAAUACAUGAAAGUGAUUUCAGAUAUAUGUUGUGAAAUACAUGAAAAUGAUUUUAGCAAUGGUUUUAUGAAAUACAUGAAAGUGAUUUCAGAUUAGCCUUGUGAAAUAUAUGAAAGUGAUUUCAAUAAUGGUUUUGUGAAAUACAUGAAAGUGAUUUCAGCAAUGGUUUUGUGAACCGACCCGUCUGUGAAAUACAUGAAAGUGAUUUCAACAUUGGUUUUUUUGUGAAACACAUGAAAGUAAUUUCAACAUUGGUCCUAUUUUCCAGGUGACCACCCCGAUGAUAAAAUGCGAGGAAACUCGCAAGUGGUCUAAUUGUUCCAGGCGACCAACCCGAUGAUAAAAUUCGAGGAAACUCACAAGUGGUCUAAUUGUUCCAGGCGACCAACCCGAUGAUAAAAUUCGAGGAAACUCACAAGUGGUCUAAUUGUUCCAGGCGACCUGCCCGAUAUUGAAAAAGAAUGCGAAGAAUUUCACGAGUGGUCUAAUUGUUUUAGGCAACCUGUUUGAUAUUGACGAUGAAUACAAAGAAUUUGGCGAGUGGUCUGAUUGCUCCAGGCGACCUGCCCGAUAGUGAAGAAGAAAGUAAAGAAUUUUGCGAGUGGUCUAAUUAUUCCAGGCGACCUGCCCGAUAGUGAAGAAGAAAGCAAAGAAUUUUGUGUGUGGUCUAAUUGUUCCAGGCGACCUGCCCAAUAGUGAAAUACUUGAAAGUGAUUUCAAUAUAGGUUUUUUGAAAUACAUGAAAGUGAUUUCAAUAUAGGUUUUUUGAAAUACAUGAAAGUGAUUUCAGCAAUGGUUUUGUGAACCGACCCGUUUGUGAAAUUCAUGAAAGUGAUUUCAGCAUGAACUUCAGGGUUGAUGAAAACUUCUAAAGGAAGUCAUACUUUUACGGUUGAGAUCUAAUUUGUAAAUCGAUCUCAGAGAUGAUGAAAGCUUCUCAAGAAAGUCUUAUAUCUACGGUUGAGAUCUGAUUUGUAAAUCGAUCCAAGAGAUGAUGAAAGCUUCUCAAGGAAGUCCUGUAUGUACGGUUGAGAUUUAAUUUGCAAAUGGAUCCCAAAGAUGAGGAAAUCUUCCCAAGGAAGUCUUGUAUGUAUGGUUGGGAUUUGAUUUGUAAAUGGAUCCCAAAGAUGAGGAAAGCUUCUCGAGGAAGUCUUGUAUGUACGGUUGGGAUUUUGAUUUGUAAAUGGAUUGCAAAAGAUGAGAAAAGCUUCUCAAGGAAGUCCUGUAUGUACGGUUGGGAUUUUGAUUUGUAAAUGGAUCGCAAAAGAUGAGAAAAACUUCUCAAGGAAGUCCUGUAUGUACGGUUGGGAUUUUGAUUUGUAAAUGGAUCCCAAAAGAUGAGGAAAGCUUCUCAAGGAAGUCUUUUAUAUACGGUUGGGAUUCGAGCUUCUAGUAAAUGAUGGUUGGAGUAAAUCCUCAAUAAAUCAUAUAGCAUUUGGCAAAAGACAUCAUCAACUUCUUUCAUUUCCAAUACUUUCAAAGUUCUCAACUUUUGAAGCUUUAACCAUGUCUUCUUCUUCUUCUUCUAAUGCUAACCCAAACCCUGUUCCUGCAGUAGAGGCUAUAGUUUGGUGCGCUACCUUUGAAGUGAAUGGUCGUCCAGUUACAAUAGAAGAUACUGUAAUGGACAAUGAAGAUACUGCUAUAGCUGUGGCUAGAGAUAUGAUCCUUCCCCGUGAUGAAACAAUGCUGGCAGCCAGGACCGAUAUUGAAGCAGUGAAUCAGUCACUUGCUCUCAGUAUCAGAGCUACUUCAUCUUUGGUGAACAUUGCAGAGCGUCUUCAUGCCAGAGGACUUGAGUAGAAUACUCAAUUUCCUGAUCUCCAUCAUCAGAUCGAGAAUUUACGGAAUAGACUCCGUGAUGGGAGACGUCACAGAAACAACUUGGAGAGGAGAAACCAAGAGCUAAAUGCACGUGUUGACUUUUGGAGGGACUAUGUUAACACACGACACCACGGGUUCGAGGAAGAGAUAGAGCGCAUGCAUAAGCAAUUUGAGGAAUUUCGAGGCAUGAUUAAUCAUCAAGAAGAAAAUAUCCCCAAUCAUCCUCGCAUUGUUUAACAUUUGUACUUGCAAACUUUUUUUCUGAAUAAAAAUCCAUCUUUCUUGUCUUCAUUUAUGAAUUUUGCUUUUAUAGAAUUGCUAUAUUUGAUGUGAUUUAGAAGAAUCUUCAUUUCAUUUGAGUCUCAUUGGAUCCCGUUGGGAAUUUUGUUUCGUGAAAUAUCUGCAAAACAAAUAUGCAAUACUCGUGAAUUGUUCUCUGAUUGAUUGUGUGCACCGUGCCAACACCCAUCAAGAUUGUCAAUCGGUCAUGAACUUGCCUCUAGUUGAAACAUACCCUUCAAGUAUAUGCGGUUAUCCACCUUCAUGGAAUUGUCAUGUCUUUCAGACCUGCAUCUCAUACUUUGCAGUAAAACGCUCAUCGUUGUAUCCUCAGUUUCUUUCUCAAUAAGUUCUUCUCAGCUCAUCUAAUCAAAUUGUGAAAAGAAAUUCCUCGGCCUCAUCAAUGAUAUUGCUCUUAUCACCCAUACUCAUGUGGUGAAGUGCGCAUUUGAGCUUUAAAACAGAUGGUCCCAUGGUUAGUCUAGGUGGGUGUGGUGCAUCCUUCCAACAUUCAUUCAAAAGCAAUCAUGUGAUAACAUCUUUCAAUAGUCAUAGCCAUAUUGGAGAUGAUAAACCAAGAUGAAGAUAUGAAGACGUCAUUCAUGUACACCUUUACUCUCAAUUGUUGUCGGGGUUUACUGGAUCAUAAAUUGUUCUUGAACAUCAUUGCCCUUAAUUGAUCUGAAUGUGCUCAUUCACUGAUUAUCUUUCUUUGAACGAUAUUGUCUUCAAUUCAUUGAUUCAUCAUUUGAUCAUCUCUACCCCCCAGUUGAUUUAAAUACUAUUUGUUUUCCUUCUCGGAGGUCCAUUGUAUUGCCCCCAGAAGUGUCAAGAAGAAUUGAUGUCAUUUCUGUCAGGAAUUUACAAACUCUGUCGAUGUUCUUCUUAUUUGAAAAUCUUUUUUAUUUUGGAAUCAAAUCUCACAUUUCAAAGGUCAUGUCUAUUCAAGUCUGAUUGUUGAAAUAAAAUCAGAGAGAUGUCAGUUUUUGAAAGUAUUUUUGGAAAUCAAGCUUUGUCGGUCAAAGAUCCAACACACGCUAUUCAAUGUAGUCCUUUGAUUGUCUUGUAUUUUGAGAGAGAGAGAAAAAAAUUGACUCAUUGUAAGAUUAAAAUGGCUUUUCCCAUGGUUCUUUGUAUCCAUUUUAAACUAAAAUUUUGGGUAUAUCUUUUGAUUGUUUGUGAUGAGGUGACCUUUUAUGAAUUUCAAGAAAAACAAGGUACCCAAGUCAAAACUUAAGGCUUUAUCAAGAAAGACUGUUUCUUUUUCUUAGCACCAAUUUUAUCAGCAUGCAUAAUAAUUAGUAACUUGAUUCAUGAAGUCAUGACCCUUAAGAAGCUUCUUGUGAUGAUUUUGAGGGUGUAAAUUCCAUUGAUGGAAGGAAUUCUAUGUCUUGAAGAGGAGCUUUGUGGACACUGUUGAAAACUUUCUUUGUAUUUUCUUCAAGGUUUCUCAAAGUCACCGUCUUCUUUGCCAGUGCCUUGCUUAACUUGAAUUUUUGUAUCCAAUUUGGACACCAAGUAAAGAAUUUGCCAUGUUUUUCUAUUUCAUUUUCCAAACAAUUCACAGCUUCAAUUUCGUUGUUCGCAUCUUCCAGCCAUUUGCUGACAUCUUUCUCAAUUUCUUCAGCAUUCCUUUCAGCAGCUUUGACAUCAUUUUGUAUAAGAUCUAGUGCGAAAGCCAGGAUCUGCUUUUGUUUAUUGAAUUCGACAAAAAAAUAUUUGAAACAGAACAUGUAACGAAACUUCCUUAUUGCUGGUUCCAGCAAGAGUUCUGCUAUCUUAGAUAUAAUGGAUUCACCAACACUUUCGAUAGCCAUUUUCUGCCGGUCUGAAAAUCAGAGACCUAAGGAUAACGACUGUGAGAGUGAGUCAUUACAAGUAAAAUUGGCAUUGAGAGAAUGAGAAUAAAAAUUUUAUUACCUUAAUUUGUGAAAAUAUGUGCGAAAAUCAUUGGUAUUGAUUGCUCAAUAAUAAAAUAUAGCGAGGAACAAAAGGAGAAGUCCUUUAGCUCUAUAUGAACCCAUCUUCCAAAGCAAGAAGGGAAGGUAUAAAUAUAGCAAUAAAAAGAUAGAAAUAUACCUUAUUUAUUUUUUAAAAAAUUACCCUAGUAUUUUAUAGUUUAAUUGAAGUUAUAUUUGCUUACCGAGUUUUGAAACUUAUGAGGAAUAUAUUUCAUAUUCUGGAGAAUAUACGGAUGAGUCAAAGUCGCUGAAUCAAAAUUCAUGCUUUAGAGAGUUUUGAAUGCUUUACAGGACCAGUGAAAUAUUGAAGUGAGGAGGGUUCAUAUCGAUUCCAUAAAGUUAAAAAACAGAUCAACUUUUCUUACCCUACUCAUAAACAACGUUGACAAAUUUACGGCAGAUCCCAUAGAAAUAACAUUCUGACACCCCAACAAGUCAGAUCCCAUUCUUACACACCAGUUGCUGAGUUGCUGGAGCCAAAUUCGGGUAACAAAUUAUCAUAACCAACUGAUCCAUUUCGGCUCGGAGGCUUCAGUUUUGUACCAGUCAUCAACUGGUGCUCUUUGCUUUGCAGCCUUUGAGGAAGAAGUAAAAGCCUCCAAAAAUAUCAUCAUUAUUAUUAACAGAUGAACUAGACCCGUUUAACCCACCAAAAUAUAUCAUCAUUAAAAGAUGAUUUCGCACUCGUAUUUUUAGUACUGGAAAACACAAAAUCAUAACCGAAAUCAAACCCAGUGCUAUUUUGUUUUUAAUUCUUUUGAAAAACAUCAAAAAUGUCAAAAUCAUCAUCAAAAUUCUAUAAUUUUGAAUUGCUAAAGAGAGUUUCGUGAUAAUCCAUGAAAGACCUAUCAAAAGAAUUGGAAAUGAAGGUUAAUUUAGAAGAAUAUGAGGAGGGUUUCUGGUUUGAUGGAGGGAAAUUCAAAUAACAAAACUGGCUAUAUGUUUCUUUGAGGAUGAAACAUGCAAGAGAUUCCACCACCAGGACAGACAACAACACUGAAACACAAAUCCACAUGAGAAAUCAAUUUUAAUAGUAAUUUUAUUUUUAAAUUUGAAAAAAAUUACAAGUUCUUCACUGUUUGUUAUUGAAAAGGAAGAGAGAGGGGGGAAAAUGUUAUGUUUUUAGAUGUUUUUGAAUUAUAGGAUGCUAGGGAAAUAUAUAUAUAUUUCCCUAGCAUCCUAUAAUUCAAAAACAUCUAAAAACAUAACAUUUUUCCUAUAUAUAUAUAUUUAUAAAAGAAGAAGAAGAUAGUGUUAAAAAAUCAAAGGGAGCUUUUACAAGAAUACUAUUAUCUUUUUUCUUUUCUCAAAAUCAAUAAAAAAAAUUUCAUUGAAUGAAAAAUAGUAUAUCAUCAAUCUAAUGACUACAUUUAUCUUUACAAUCUUCCAAAGAAACAACUUUAUGUUAAAAAGAGGAGAAAUAUGAUAACAAAAUAAUUUUUAUUGAUUCAAACUAGUGUAAGAGACACUUGUGAGUAAAAGUGUCAAUUCCCAUAAAAAAAAAUGCAAUUUGAUGACAUAAUUAAGGUGGUAAGACUAAUACAGACACUAACAAACAAAUAAAAAUAAUAAUUUGUACAAAUACUCACCUAGCAAAGAGAUGAACGGAUAAAAGGUUCACCACGGUCAAUAUUUUUUUAUUUUUCUUGGUUUAUUUUUUUUUGUUUUGAAAAUGAUGAAUAAUGGGAAAAGAAGAAGAAGAAGAAAAACUUGCAAAGAAGCACUAUUAAUGGAACUAGGUUAUGAUGACAAUCCCUGUAUCACACUCUCAAAUGAUAUAAUUUAUCCAUUAUAUUUUGCAUUAUAUAUAUAAACUAAAAGAGCUAGGCUUUUGAUGGCAUCCAAGUGUAGUUGCUUUUUCAUCCCACUUUUUUGGUUUUAUUUUAUUUCAAUCAUUUAAUUUUGUUUUUGCUAUUUUAUCAUGCUUAGAGUUGUCUUUUUCAAUUUGAUUUGGUGCCAGCUUGGGAAUCACCAUUUUAAUUGUGGUUGUGAUUUCUAAUUGUUUGAUAGUAUUUCAAAAGCUGAUAUUAUAGCCUCUUCUAUAUGUUAUUUUCAGAAGUUACAAUUUAUAGCUUUUCAAAAGCCAUAAUUGCCUGUUUGUUUCUGCGUUUAAAAAACAUUUUAAAAAAAAAUUAAAUUUUUUUAAUUUUUUAUUAACUUUAAAUUAAUAUGUUUUUAGUAUUUUCAAAUCAUUUUGAUGUGCUGAUAUCAAAAAUAAUUUUAAAAAAAUAAAAAAACAUCAUUGGCAUGCAUUUUGACACGAAAAGUUAUUUGAAAAACAACCGUAACCACAUUGUCAAAUUUCCAAAUAAAUUCUUGAUAGAGGGUUGUUUUGAUCUUGAGUGUUGUGCUUGCAAAGGAAUUACAAUUACUUUACACAUUAUAAUUAUAAAUUACUGUUUAAAACAAUUAAGAGAAAGGACCAAUAAUAUAGAGUGAGCAAAUGAAAGCAUAAAUUUAGAUUUUAUUGUGACAUAGAGAUUAGGUAAUUCAUGAAAGUUGGUAAUAAUAUACUGUGAGCAAAGGAACCUGCUCGAAAAAACCAUUCAACAUGAGAUUGCUCUGCUAGGAAAACAUGAUAUCAGCAUCAAACUUUUGAACAAAUAGUGGAGCAUCAAGUCUCAGUCAUCUUGAAGUAUGUCGACAACAAGUCACAUAAGCAUAUGCAAUAGAAACAGAGCAUCAAACUGACAGAGAAAACAUACUGAUACCCUUAUUCACACAGAAAACAUACUGAUAGAUAAGUCGAAAUCUUCUAUGGUAAAUAAGACUGUUACAAUGUGAAGCCAAUUUGUAUCCCGUUGCCAAUGGAACAGUAGGAAUUACUUCCCACCAAUCAAAAACAUAUCUGCAGCACCACAGCUCAAAGACAUGAAUCUCCGUGAAAUCGCCUAUUGAGGAGUUGAUCGUGUAACAACCAACCAACCUUGCCUCAAGCAAACACGAAGAACAAAGACCAUCCAUGCAUAUUUAAUUCACCCAUUAAAAGUUGAAGGAUAAGGAGAGAAGAUAAAUAAUCAUAGCCAUGUUACCUAGUCAGGGCAAGGAUGAAUUAUUAGCAUGUUUCUCAAAUCCCAAUCCCAAACUAAUCAUUUCUCUUCAUUUUGUUGUGCUCAGCGAAGGAACUACCAAAUCUUACUGAAAGUAUUUAAGUGAAGACAACAAAUAGAUGUGUACUGUUUUAUUUGAACUGAAAAGAAUUGAUUGCUUACAGAUCAUUGCAAUCCUUACAAAUAUAUAGUAAACCAAACAAACUGAAUUGCUAACUUAAAGCACCAAAUCAUGCAAAAUGCUACCAUCAUUACCUUCAAAUCUAUAGUUAAUUCCAUUUUUCUAUAAAAGACAAAAUCAUCGGUAUCCAAUAGUUGCCGACUUCACCACGGGUUCAACAUUUUUUUGGCAAGUUGGGAUUCGAUACUAAUGAGCAUAUUUCUUAAGUUGAAAUAGUGCUACCCAAUCUAGGUUACAGUGGGUUGAUGAAUUAAAGAGCAGUUGUUAUUUGACACUGCAAUUAGAUGGCUCAUAUUUGAUUUACGGAGCUAUGAUAUGGGAAUCGUGCUUGUAUCACAUAUAAAAAUAUUUACAUAGUAACAAGCAUUAUUAAAGAUGGUACACUAGUAAGUUUCCAAAUGCUAUCAACAAAUAUUAUAACCUCUUAAUUUAUACAAGGAUUGAGCUAAAUUGCAUACAAGCAAUCCCUAACUUUGGUAGUUUCUUUGUGUUAAAAAUGGAGACUUCUUGGUGUUUGCCGGAACUCCAACUUGGGUAUACCUUUUGUGAACAAGAAAAAAGGUAAAAACAUCUUUCAACGAUAUCAAAUCAUUUAUUCAUAUAAAGUAUUAGUGUUGUCAUUUAAUUUCACUACAUUGUAGAAAAUUCUGAUUUGAUACCAAUUCAUGCUUGGCACGACUGUUACAUGACACCUGGGAUGCUCAGCAACACUACAUCCACAAUCAUGACGACGAACACUGAUGCAGCCACGAAAACAUCAAAACACUAUUUGCUUUGGUAGUAGUAUUGACUGCAAACUUGGUUGACCAACAGAAUCCCUGCCUUCAGCCAACCCCAAAUUUGACUAUCAUCGUAUAAUAUUGAUCGUCACAUUAUAUUUUCCAACUUUUAAUAGGAUUUUAAGGACAAGUUACAGUUGAAAGCUAAUAUAACAACAUUCUUAAAUUCACAUCCUACCGACCAUUAUGGCUAUUAGCUUCCAACCAUUCUCCAUGUUUCACUUUUCUUCAAGUAUUUUCACCAAAAUAAAGCUUCAACCUUUCAAGUUUUGCUUAUAAAGUCAAGAUCCAUGGGAUUAUUUAAGAUUUUAUGGGAAGCAUUUCAAAUAUUUUACGUUUUUUUUUUUUUAAAUAUUGUUAUAGACAUAGAAUCAACAAGAUUGUGUGACAUUCUAUAUUGAUUUUGUGAUAUUUUAAUCACUAAAAGUAUGGGUUUCAGAAAGAUAAAAACCAAACAAAAAAUUGAAAAAAAUAAAAAUUUUCAAACCAACAGAAUCCAACAUAUUGAUCAGUUUUGGUCUGAUUUGAUUCGGAUAUUUUUUAGCUGAAACAAUUAAUAACCAUUUUCAAAAGGUAAGUAUUGACAAGCCUUUCACGAAACCAUGUUCAUUUAUGCUGAAUCAAUCCAAAUCAGGUUUAGGUUGCUAACUCAAACUAACACAAUCCAAAAUUGAAUGCACACAGACUCUGGGUUGUUUCAGUUUAAUGAUUUUUACAGUUUAAUGAUUUUUAGAAAUGUCUAACUGAAACCGAACCGAAAUAUAUGAAUAUUUCUAACUGAGACGCCCCCAAAUACUGAAAAAAUGAUUGGUUUUGUUUUGUUUAGUUUGGUUAUAGCAGAUACCCCUAACAAUCUGCUUUUUCACUCGACAUCAAACAACAAGCACUAAUAUUAUGUCUGUAAGUAAAUUACUAUAAAGUAUAAAAAUAUAUGUGGAUAAUUGAAAAUUUGCUUAGAGUUGCUAAUAAUUCACAACUGCAACAACCAACACGACCAGGUAAUGCUUGGGAAUGGGAUCAUGUAAUGCCCGGGAAUGAGCCUUGGUGCACAAUCAUGAUUGUAACCAUGAUUUAAAAUCAUUUCCACACUAGACUAUCCAAGACAAUUGGUAUUGGAUUGUUAGCAACAAUUCAGUUUAUAAUAAUAAUAAUAAUGUUGAUUCUUUUAUCUCCUACUUAAUGCAAGUGUCCAUCGUGUGCUGAAAUUGAUUGUUUACCUCAAAUUUCUUUUAAAGGUAGAGAUUUCUUGGUUGACAAUGGGAAAAAGUAAUCGCAUGGUUAUUUUCCAUAAGAUUCAUUUGAGUAAAUAUUCUCUAUUGGAGGUCAAUUUCAUCGAAGCAAUUACUUCAAUGAACACGUCCUAACUAGCAACCUCUAAGUAGUCAUCUCCCUCAUCCUAACUUUUUAUUUCCUAAUAAAAUCUCACGGAUUUCCAUCAUGUUCAAAGGAAAAGUUGACGUUGCAAAUGGUGCUCUAAGGAACCAAGUCAUCCUAGAACUAAUCAUCCACCUAAUCUCAUCAACUCCUUGUUGCACAAACAGCUUGUCUCACUUAAAGGGGAUUUUAAUGAUGAACAAACACCAACUCCUUGUUGAUCAAAUACAUAUGCUCAUUUAAACACGAUUUUGCAUUACCUAGAACUGACAAGGCCUAAAAUUCCUGACAUAGAAUUUUGUUUUAAAGGAACUUCAGGAUUUCUAUAUAGGAUGCUUGACCUCAUUAAAGAUAAACUGAGGACAUCCAUAACAUAAAUUAUCUUCCUUGCCCCAAAGUCAGCACAGAAAAACCCUGUUCACUAUAAAGGUUCUGAAUGUUUUUCCUAAAUUUCAUGAUAUGGCAUUAACACAUCAAACACCCAAUUUAGCAUUCUUAUGCAAACUACAACUGCAGAAGGCUUGCACAUGUAGGGGAGGUAGGAAGAGCUGCAAAGUUGUCGCAUCUAUUGUUAUGCUGUUCAGAGUUUCAAUCUCACCAUCCAAUCUGCCAAAAAUAUAAAAGAUCAUGUGCAUGAAUUUGAUCUCAAAGGGGUAACACCUCAUAUGCCCACGGGAGAUACAUGACCAGUGAUGGUUGUUCUAUCCACAAAAUUAGCUAACAUAUGACUUUUUUAUUCAACUACCAUUUCAUGAUAUGAGUUCUCCUAGCCACACUCAAAAGCCCUAGCCGCCAUAUGAACAAAGCACCUAAAAAAUUAACCACCUACCUAAUCUAAUUCAGGAAAAUUUGGUCAAAAUCUCCUACAAUGAAACGAGUUAUUUGAAUGCAUAGUCAGGAAAUUCAGGUAAACACACACACACCUGAUCAUAAAUUUCCUAAAGAAAUUCUGAAUUGUAACAUUGGUAAACAAAGAGUGACAAUAUCAUCACAUUAAAAAUGCAUUUCACUCAAAACAAAUAAUAGCUCAAGAAAAACAAUUGCAAGAAGCCAAUAAAGAAUAAAGUAAGCAGGCCAUAAAAAAGAGACAGAGAGACAUUGUUCCAAUAGAGAAAAGUAAUUAAAACCCAACAACUAAAACUGAGAAAGAAUCAAACCAGGGAGUAACUAAUCCUUUUAAAGCAUUCCAAGAAUGGCAACCAAAUGUAACAUAAUCAACCUGCAAAAACAAACACAAAAAGAAUUAGAAGAAGAAAUCCCAUUAGUUAAUAAGUUAAAACAGCAGCAGCAGCAAAAAGACUAAAAUUUUAGUUAUUUGGACUUGAGAAAAAGCACUGAACCCUCUGUGAAAAUGCCAUGAAAGGGGUGCUAAGAAACCAGGAAAAUAAAAACUUGUAAAAGGGUGUUUUUACAAAGCAAGAAAGAAGCUAGGAAGCAAGGAAGCAUGCCAGCCUACCCUCACGAACUCUGUUUGUUAGGCCAUGUUUGUUUCCCGGAAUUCACUUUCCGGGAAACUAUUUUCCAAACUUUCCUGUUGUCGCACCCGACAUCGCGGCGGCCCUAAAAGUAGUUCUCGAUAUAUGGAAAAAGAACAGAUUUCUGGCAUCUGGUUCUUUUAAGGGAAAAGGUCUUGUUUGAGGAGUCGCCACCUAGUAUUAUGGUCACUAGGAACCCUAACUGGUCAACAGAGAUUCUAUGGCUCGGGAUUGGUUACGUAAAAGGGAAGAUAUUAUCACCCCUUAAACGUUCUGCCUAAGGCAGACUGCAUUGCUGGUUUUGUCUUAAAUUGCUAAACAUUUAUUCGCUGAUGCUAUGAUGAUUUGUUUAUAAUAUUCCUGACUCUGGCGCCAGUGAAUAUUCGAGCUCGAAUAAUUCCAACUCUGGCGUUGGUAAAAAUUCGUAGCUACGAAAAAAAAUUAGAUCAAUAUUUUUUAUUUCUUACUCUAGCGCCUAGUGAAUAAAUAAAUAAAAAUAAAUUUAUUUUUACGCAUGCACAUAUUUUUUUAUUUUUCUAGCUAAAUAAAAUAAAAUACAACGAAUAAAAAUAAUAUAAAUUUAAACCAGUAUUUUUAUUCCUGACUCUAGCGUCAGUGAAUAAACCAAUAAAUUUACAUUAUUUUUAUUCAUGCAUACACAUUUUUUAUUUUUUCUACUUUUUUUUUAUUUUUCUGUUUUUUCUAAUUUUUUAUUUUUUUUGGGCUGGGCCCAUCUCAGCCCACAUAGGCUGGGCUAGACCCAGCCAGCCCAGCCCGGUCACUGGCCUAAGCCAGUGACCCGGCUGGGCCACAUGAGGCACGCGUGAUCCAAAUCACGCAUGCCAGGCCUUUAGUUUUAAAUCAAGACAGGCGGCGAAGAUGAAUUAAUGAAACGCGGGGAAAAAAAAACAGAGCAGAAGACUUACCUGGUUCGUUUGCAGGGAGUUUACGCGAGAUUGCUGAGGGCGACGUUUCUGCUUCGAAUUUCCUCUUAAUUCCUUCUGCUUGUGUUCCCUGUUGUAUUCCUUUCAUGUGUCUCUAUUUCAGCUUGUUUUUCUUCGUCUUUAUGCUCUGUUUUCAGAACACCAUCUCUCUCUCUCUCGGCUGGUUUUCUCUCUCGUUUUUCUUAAGUCAGAACUGGUGAGGGAAGCCUAUUUCUAGUAUGGGAGUUCUGGAGAUGAACCUAAAAAUUAUGUGCUUUGCUUGUGUUUCUCUUCUUUUCGGUUUCUUUCGUCUCUCUCUCCCUCUCUAACCGACCUUUCUCUUCGGUGCUGCUCAGUUUAUAUAGGGCUCGGCGGGUUGAUAACAGGCGGUAGGCUAACGGUCGGCCACCAUUAAGGCGCCCAUAACUGAAGCCAACGGACGACGAUUACUGCUGCAACGUUCCUCCCUCCAUUACUGCAGAAACGGUCACUGGCUUAAAGGAGAAGAAGAUGAACAGCAUCCUCAAAACGACGCCGUUUGGAGAUAAACAGUGGCCAUUUUCACUUUGACCCAUGAAGUUUCGAAAAUUUUAUAAUUAAACCCCUGUUUUAAACAGUAAUUUUCCCUGCAUUUCGGCGCCUUUUACAAGUUAGUCCUUGGACUUUAAUCUGCUGCAAUCGUAUCCCCAAUUAACCCCAAACUUUGCUAUUUCUUCAAUUAAGUCCCUGAUUUCAUUAAUUUAAUUAAAUCCAAAGUCCAAUUAAGUCUAAAACUUAUCAAUUCUCCAAUUAAGCCCCUGAUUGGAUUGAUUAAAUUAAUUCCAAGCUUAAUUAAGUCUCAAAACUUAUCAAUUCUCCAAUUAAACCCUUGAUUGGAUGAAUUAAAUUAAUUUCAAGCUUAAUUAAGUCUAAAAAUUUAUCAAUUCUCCAAUUAAACCCUUGAUUAAAUUAAUUCCAAGCUCAAUUAAGUCUCAAAACUUAUCAAUUCUCCAAUUAAACCCUUAAUUGGAUUAAUUAAAUUAAUUCCAAGCUUAAUUAGAUUAAUUUCAAAGUUUAAUUAAACCCCAAAACUUCUAAUCAUGUUGCCCUUAACCCAAAUUUUAAUUCAUUCUUCAUUUAUCUCAUUUUACUUGUUUUUUUAUCAUUAUUAUUUUUUUAUCAUCAUCAUCAUUUUUUUUAUCCUUUUCAGUAAAUAAAAUAAUAAUAAUAAUUAAAAUAAAAUGGUCAAAAAUUGGGUAAUGACAGUUGCCCCCUCUUUAUAAUAUUUACUAUGCAAAGAUAUUGGAAAAUUUUAUUUUCUUUUAGCUUUGUGUAGUAAAUUUAUAAAGAAAAGUAGAUACAGAAAGAACAUUUUUUUUUUUUUAGUCUUGAAAACUUUGAAAACAGUAGAUUGACACACGACCUUUACAGAGAGAUGUAGAAAUCAAGAAACAAGUCAUUUGGAAGACGACCCACUUUUUUUUUUGUUUUUUUGUUUUGUUUUGUUUUGUUUUGUUUUUUUUUUUAGAAGUGGUCUCAUUGUGAUGGGUGACCUACCCAAGUAAAAAAAGAAAUGAAAAUGAGGGCUCGAAGGCGCGCUCGAAAGAAUGUGAGGGCUCAAAGGCGCUCGAAGAAGAAAGGGAGGGCUCAAAGGCGCUCGAGGAAGAAAGCGAGGGCUCAAAGGCGCUCAAGGAAGAAAGCGAGGGCUCAAAGGCGCGCUCAAAGGGAAGCGAGGGCUCAAAGGCGCGCUCGAAGGGAGAAAGCGAGGGCUCAAAGGCACGCUCGAAGGGAAGCGAGGGCUCAAAGGCGCGCUCGAAGAGAAAAGGAAGUGCUCAAAGGCACUCGAAGAGGAAAGAAAGUGCUCAAAGGCACUCGAAGAGAAAAGCGAGGGCUCAAAGGCGCGCUCGAAAAGAAAAGCAAGUGCUCAAAGGCACUGGAAGAGGAAAGCGAGGGCUCAAAGGCGCGCUCGAAGCGAAAAGCAAGUGCUCAAAGGCACUCGAAGAGGAAAGCAAGUGCUCAAAGGCACUCGAAGAGGAAAGCGAGGGCUCAAAGGCGCGCUCGAAGAGAAGCGAGGGCUCAAAGGCAUGCUCGAAGAGAAAAGCAAGUGCUCAAAGGCACUCGAAGAGAAGCGAGGGCUCAAAGGCGCUCUUGAAGAGAAAAGCGAGUGCUCAAAGGCACUCCAAGAGGAAAGCGAGGGCUUAAAGGCGCUCGAAGAGGAAACCGAGGGCUUGAAAGCGCCCUAAAAAUGAUGAUCAAAGGCUCGAGGGUGCAUUUGAAGGGAGGUAAGGCUCGAAGGUGUUCUCGAAAAGGGAGGUAGGGUUAAGAAACGCAAUACCUUGGAUGGUCAAGGGCUCAAAAGCGCACUUGAAAGGAGACAAGGACUUGAAAGUGCCCUAAAAAUGAUGAUCAAAGGCUCGAAGGCGCAUUUAAGGAGGUGGAAAAACAUAGAGAUUUUUCAGAGGGCCUAAUUCUUGUGGGCGGCCUGCCCAGGUUGAAAAAUUUUCAAAAGUGAAAAUUUUUCAAAAGCAAUUUCAAUCCUGGCCAUUUCAAGUUGGCCUUCCACUUGAUGGAUUCCGUUGGAAUUUUCUCUAAUGAGAUUUGCAAAACUUAUUGUCCAAUUUCUCAAAGUUUAGAUGAUAUGCAUGCAUCUUUACCUGAUUUGAAAUAUAGGCCCCCCAUUUCUUCUUUGUCUUCUUGUUGCUUGACUGAUGAGGACUUGCUACCUCUGAUUUGCGUCAUAUUUGUCACUUGGCUUCUAGCCCACUCGAGUUGGCCCAUGGAAGUCUAUUUCCAAAUUUGUUUGCACAACUUAGCCUUUAUGGUGCCCAUCGUGACCCACUUGCUUGCUAGAGAUUUUCUAUCUUGUCAAAUAAUUUGAGAGGAUCAUUCAUUACUCCUCGUCUCGCUACUAAAAAUAUUCGGUGUCACUUGCUGAAAGGAUCAAACUGUCUUUCAUAAACCAAAAUGCCCCCUUGUCUUGUUGUAGGAAAUAUUCCUCUCUUUUUCUAGAAGAGAAAAUACAAUGUUGCCCCUUGUACUGCUCAUUGCCUCCAAGUGUGCUUUGCCAGCGACUGGGACAAAUAAUGGUUUUAAAAGACCAUUCUCUCAUUUCUCUUUUUGUUCAUUUUGGUGAAGGAAUAUGGGUCCAUAAUAAAUCUUGAAAUCUUGAUCUUGCAUUUUGAAAACAAAAAUUGUUUCGAUGUGAGUCUAAAAUAAUUUGCUUUUGAAAUCUUGCAACUCCUUGGUUGUUUUCUUUUUUGGAAAAGAGAUUAUUUGAUCUUGUGUUUGGCAAAGAGGUCUUUUGGUGAAAAUAUGUCAUGAGAUGACCUUUUUGUUUUCAAAGUGAAGGGCUCGAGAAAAAGCUCGAGGUUUUGUUUGAGAAAAACAACUUAUCUCUUUUUAAACAUUCAUUUUUAUCAGCAUGAAUAAUAAUGAGUAGUUUAUUCUUGAUGUCAUGAAUCUUAUGAAAAAGUAUUCUUUGCAUUUUGAGAGCAUUGUUUAUUGUUCUAGGUUGCUUGCUUUCUUGAUUAGAAAGGACUUUUACCGGCACGUAACGUAAGUUGUGGUUUUUUGCUAUGAAAGAAAAUGAUUCGUAAUGCUCAAAGAGUGUUUCAAGGUUUCAAAGACUGAGGAUCACUAUCAACAGUUUGACUCUUGACGUCAUUCACAUUUUCUUUUGCCGCUCUUCUUUAAUUUGCCCUUUGUCAUUGUUUUGGCUAUCACUUUUUCUUGUGAUUUGGGCAUGCCCCCUAGCAUUUGAGUUUCUUGGGCUCUUUAUGCCUUUUUGGCUUUCUUGCAGCUUUUUCUCUUUUCUCAUUGAAAUUUUCUCUUGCCCCCUAGUGUGGGGUGUGAUUCUAGUCGGGAUUUUUUUCAUGAAAGAAAUAUUAUUCAGGCUAAAAAAAGGAUCGCAAGGGAUGUAUUUAUUUCAGAAUGUGAAAGGAAUAACAAAGAUGACCCUUCAUCAUUUCAAGCGCAAGCAGUUAAGAUCAAUAAACCUUGACCUCAUCCAGUGUGUUGGUUUGGUCAUGAGCAACGAGUUCACUACAUACCAUUAUUCAUACAUUUAAAAACACAUGAUUCAAGAGUCAUGGGGUAAGGGUGUUUAUUUCUUUCUUUUUUUUCUUUUUCACAAUAUUUUUUGGUUUAUAAGUUAAUCACCUCAAUGAUGGAGUUGCUUGAUUCACUUGUCAUUCUACAAUUAGAAUGUGAAAAAUAUCAUUUUUGAAUGAACAUCAAAUUAUUUUUGAAAUCAAAAUACCAGAUCAAUUUUUUUUCAAAACUCCAAUAGGGAAAUGGAUUUUGGUACAAGAGAUGAAUUGCAUCUACGAGAUCACGCAAGGCUUCAAAGGUGUAUUCGUGAGUUCUUAUAACAAAACUCUCUUAAUAAUGAUUGGUCGUAAACAUGAUUGAAUGAGAAACUCAUUAUUUCAUUGAAGCUUUGGAAAAGAAACAACAAAGAACUUAUGCCAACAUGAAUAUUAGCAUGAUAACACAUAAAAGGGGCUAAACAUUUAGUAAUCAUUGAUUGGAAUUUCUGGAAUUUUUCAAUCAUUCAUUCUCCUUGACAAAGGCAUCUUUUCAACACUUAGUUGCAGUCACAUGCAGACCAUUCUCGACCUACUAUCACCAUAACCCUAUUGGAAAAUUUGGGCGGAAAACACUUUCCGGAAGUUAUGAAAAAUUUAGAAAUGUUAUUAUUUGUUGAUAUAUCAAAUUUAAUCCUCAAACUUUUGAUUGCUAUAUAUAAUUUGUUUUGAAUAUUUAUUUUUCAAUUCCAUUUCUUAAAAUUUAAUUUUUAUAUUAAUUUUGCUCCUUAUUUUUAUAAUAUUUAUUUGCUUUUUCCUUAUCAUUUUUUUAUUGAAAUUUUUUAUCUGUCAAAUUUGGUCCUCAUUCUUUUGAUUGUUACUUAUUUUAUUUGAAAUAAUUUAUGAAAUGUUAAUUAUUAUUAUUUUAAUUUCUUCACCUUUCAUUUUUUUAAAAUUUUUAGAUUUGAUUUCUAUUAUUUUGAUUAUUAUUUAUUUUAUUUGAGAUAAUUUAUGAAAUUGUAUUUUUUUUCAAUUUCAUUCUCAUUCAACUUUUUAAUUUGUAAGAUUUGUUCCUCAUUAUUUUAAUAAACUUGAGAAAAUAAAACAUUAAUAAGUUAUUUUCCAGCUCAUUUUCCAUGACAUAACCAAACACUGGAAAAUGUUUUCCAACUUAUUUUCCAUUACACUACCAAACAUCAGAAAAUACUUUCCCGGAAUUCAUUUUCCCCGAAAUUCACUUUCCAAAAAGAAACUACUUUCCAGCAAACAAACGGGGCCUUAAUUUUUUUUUCUCCUUUCAAGUGAAAAAAAAAAAAACAAAGAGCACCAAGAAAAUCUAAUCAGAAAUAUUUUUUUUUUAGUCUGAAAUAUUUUAUGUUGUUGUCUUGGAGAGAUGCAGAUACCGAGGAACAGUUGUGGGGCCACCAUUGGUGAGCAGUGAUACAGUGGCAAGUACGUGAAGUAACGCAUAUUACAGUGCGCAAUGAUAGAGUGAGUCUGGGUGGACAAACUUUUGGUGGUACACGUGGUGCGUAAUGAUUUGACGGCUAUGGAGAGAAGUUACAUGAGGGAAAUAAGAUGAAAAAAGUGGCCUCUCUAGAUUUUGGAAAUGUUCUCUGAAGAAAGAAAGAAAAUAAUCUCAAGGGUGGACAAAAAUGGGGUAAUAUCAGAUUUGGAACAUAAUCUUGGUGAAGAAUAACAUAAUCUAAGGAGAAAUCUAGGGCAAGCCCAGUGAGAUUUGAGCUUAGAUUUUGGACCAAUUUAUAGCUGGAUAAUACCAUCAUGGAUGAUGUCCAGCUGAUAAAUGUUUAGUUACUUGCAAUUCUAUCAUAAAGUUAUCAGAUUCUGUGUGUGUGAGGCUGCCAUAAAUUUCUUUCUUCUAUGAUGGAUAAAAAACGCUAAGCAAUGAACCAUUUUGUCAACCUAGUAAAAAAGGUAUUAUGGUUAUGAUGAGAACUCUACAGCCUGUGAUUCUAUUUUUGAAGGUAUUCUUAUUAUAUUUAUAAUUAUAAGAAUAUUUUAAAAAAACAUGGGUAAAAUAUUAUUCUCACAUCACUAUUUACUGGUCUUAUAGACUUAAAUUCAUAGAUAAUUAAGUAAAUUUGUUGAGGAAAAGCAAAAUUUAACUAUAGAUAAUCAAAGUGAAAAAAAAAACCUCAAAAAAAGAUGGUAGUUUCAAGAUUAAAGCCAAAAAUUCACUUUGAUUCUCAUACUUUUCAGAUAAUGACUUUUUGGUCCCUUAAGUUUUCUCACAUUUUAUUUUUGAUCCACAACUUCAUUUUUCUAUAUUCUCAUUCCCUAAUUUGAUAGAGGAGACAAAAAGUUAUUGGAUUACAAUGUUAGAGAGAGUCUCUGUAACAGCCUCAACAUUUGUAUUCAAAACAAAGAGCAAGGACAUGAUGAUUCAAAUAAGAUUAUGGAAUUUUUUUUUGUAAUCAAUAAAAAAUUCAGCAGAGUUUUUUUUAUAUUUUUAGAUACUAAGUUAUCGACUUUUCAUCUACAAUCCUCAAUUAUCAAAUUUCUUACUCAUCCUAUCAUCCAGAACUUCCUCCUCUCAUUACAUCACAACUUCUCAAUAAUCAAAUUCACAUGUCUAAAUAAUUCAAUAUCCCACAUUUACAUGGAUGCAAUCCAAAGAAUUAUUAUACAAAUUAUAACUGAAGUACAUUACACAAUUCUAAGAUUUACAAAUAAGGACCAUUAACGAAAUUAUAAUAGAAAUAAGUAUAUAAUUAAAGAAGAAAUUCAUAAUUAAGAUUAUACUACACAAAAGAGCUUUCGAUAAACUGUUGACGCAUUAUAUUACAUAACAAAAUGAUAAAUUCAUUCAUUACAAAAAGAUACCCAACAAAAUAUAAGAAAACUAAUCUACUGUUCAACCCGAUAAGGGGAUGUACCUGAAAAUUGAUUUAAUACAAUAAUUCAAUUAGACAGAUGAAAAAAGAUAUCCUGCUUUCUUUCUUUCUUCCUUUUUUUUUAAAAAAAAAAUUAGUCAAAAGAUCAUUAAAUUAACUUGCUCAUGUAGUAUUUAUAUAUAUAUAUAUAUAUAUAUAUAUAUAUAUAUAUAUAUAUAUAUAUAUAUAUCAAUUAAAUUUCAGAAUAAUCUAUGAGUUUGAGUUUGUUUUCUUUUUCUUUUUUCUUUUUUAAUAUCAACAAAAAAUAUAAUUAUUCCUAUCACUCAAUUAACCCGACAUUACUUUCACUAAUAGAUGAUUAAUUUUCCACCAGUCUAUUCAACAAACACUAUUGUCAUCAAUCCAAAAAUUAGUUUAACGUUUCAUCCAUUCAUCAGGUACAAAUCUCAUUAACCAAGAAAAUUAAUUCUUCAUCUCGCCUAUUUGUCAGGGCACUAAUUCCAUUAAAUCAGGAAUUAGUUCAACGAUUUACCCAUUCACUAGGGUACUAAUCCCAUUAACCAAAGACUUAAUUCCUCAUCAUGCCCAUUCACCGGGACAUUAAUCCCAUUAAUUUAGGAAUUAGUUCAACGAUUUGCCUAUUCACCAGGGUUCUAAUCCCAUUAACUAGAGAAUUAAUUCCUUAUCACGCCCAUUCACCAAGGCAUUAAUCCCAUUAGUUCAAGAAUUAAUUCAUCACAUCGCAUAUCUUAUUUUCUAAUAUAAUAAUUUCAUAUUUAUCAACCAUAAUUAAUGAAAUAAAAAUACAUAUUGACCAAUAAUAAAUUCAGGUACCGUGUAAUUACCUGAUGACUAAGCUCGAGCUGAAAUUUCCUGCUGUGGUGUCGGCCUGGCAGCCUCUCUUGAAUUGACAAGUAUAUCACAUCAUUAUUCUACUUUUCAUAUUAAAAUACUCAAUAAAUAAAAUCAUUCCAAUUAUCCUUUUAUUUGCCAAAAUAAAAUCAUUUUGUAAAUUUCCUUCCUAUUCUUUCAAUUUCCACAUUGUAACACAAUUCAUUUCAUCAUUCAAAUCAAUAUAUAUAUUCUUUAAAUUUAUUUAUUUAAUUUUUACAGUAAUUUAAAUCAAAGAAAAACAUAAAAAAAUUUCAUGAUCUAUUCACUCUUUAACAUUAAUAUCAUCUCUUUCUUACACAAUCUCAUCAUCUUAUCAAAACUCUUAAAUUUUUAUUUUUCUUAUUAUUAGUUUUCCAAAAAUCACUUCUUCAAGAACACCUAAAAUUUUGCUUUAAUUACCAUAAUUUCUUACUUUCCCUACUCACUUCAAUAAUCUUAACACAAUUUCACAAUCAAUUGUAAUUUUCUCUAAAAUUUAUCAUGAACCCUAAUUCCUCAUUUCACAAAGUUCAAUCAAUUUAAAGCAUAAAUUCUUCGAGAAUCUUAUUUAAAAGUGUGAGGACAUCUUACCAAGCAAUAACCAAAGCUUUAACACUUUUAAAUUGAGAAAUUUUCCUUGCUUGAAUUUGUUUUUCCUCUCCUGGCCGAAUGCUUCUUUCUCUUUGAAAAAGCAAGUUUUUUUUUUUUUGUUUCCUUAUAUCACACACUUACUUGCACUCAUAUAUAUAUAUAUAACUCUUUUUUUAAAUACCUUCCACAUCCCUCAAUUUUUUCUUUCCCCCUACACACAUAUAAUUACUUAACUUUUUAAAAAUACCUUCUAUAUUCCUUAAUAGUAAAUUUUAUGAUUUUUGGGUAAAAUUUCUUGAAUCCUAAUGCCUGUUUAUACCAAAUUUUAUCCAGGUUAUUUCAAAUUUCACUCAGUUACUCGUUAGUAUUUUCAGUUUCAUGAAAUUCAUUUCCAUAAAAAUUUUAUUCACAUUUUCAUGUUUAUUUAUUUAUAUUUAUUUUUUAUAUAUAUUUUAACACCCGAACAAAACAUUUCAAUUCAGAUUCUCGAAUAUAUCAUCAUUCUUAUAAUUUAAUUUAUCACUUUUCCUCAUUUUUUUUAAUCUUAACUUUUAUUAAUAUCAAUAAUAUUACCCGGGGUUUUACAGUCUCAGUUGGCACUGAUUUUUGCCAUAAAAAAUGGUUGAUUUUAAUGAUUUUUUUUAAUAUCUAUAUGUUUUUUAUAUAUUUUAUAUGAAUAAACUUUAUUUUCAUGACGUGUUUAUAAAAAUAAGAAUUAUUUGUUCUUGGUAAGAAAAAGUGACCUUUAAGAUUAAAAAGAAGAAAAGGAGAAAAGUGACCUUUAAGAUUAAAAGUAUCUGCUCGAAAAAACCAUUCAACAUAAGAUUGCUCUGCUAGGAAAACAUGAUAUCAGUAUCAAACUUUUGAACAAAGAGUUCAGCAUCAAGUCUCAGUCAUCUGGAGAUUUGAAUGCCCAAAUAUAUUCACAUGCUCAUACAAUAACAUUUUAAAAAUGCAUUAUGCAAUAGAAACAGAACAUCAAACUGACAGAGAAAACAUGCUGAUGCAGAAAAUACUCAAGUCGUAGAAAGGAGAACGCAUGAAAGUCCACACAUUAAACCAAAAGAAACACAAAUGGGCAAGCAAACAUGCGCCCUUACUUCUGGAGGCUUGUACGAUAAUGGGCAAGCAACAUUGUUUUUUUGAGGUUCGCACAGUAAUGACUAAAUACACAACAUGACAUUACUCCUGUGCUGUCAACAAUUCUUCUAACUUCUUCAGCAAUGUGAAGCCAAUUUGUAUCCCAUUGCCAAUGGAACAGUUGGAAUUAUUUCCCACCAAAUCUAAAACAUAUUCGCAGCACCAACCUUGAAAUCAUGUAACAGUUAACCACCAUUCAACAUGAGAUUGUUCUGCUAGGAAAACAUGAUAUCAAACUUUUGAACAAAUAGUACAGCAUCAAGUCCAAAUAUAUUCACAGCUCAAAGACAUGAGUCUCCAUCUUCUUUCCACCCCAUAUUUCUGGUCCACUCUCUAUUAAUGCUUGAAUCUUCAGCUACUUCAGGUACCUGUAAACCAAUUCAAGCAUGGCAUGCUCAUUUAACUUGUAAUCUUAUUAUUGAGAGAAACAAGAAACAAACAUACUAAAAGAGAGGCAAGAAAUCAAGUCAAAUCAGCAGCACCUCUGAUUGAGCACUCAUUGAACCAUCUGGUGUAGUAGCAAAUUUUGUGGUCAGCUUUGGACAUUGAUGGACCUUCAACUUCUCCAAACGAGGGAAUAAGAAAUAAUCACACCAUCCGAAACUAAAACAGACAAUACUUGAUAAUUGUUCUAGCGACAACUCCUUUAGAUUAGGAAGCACUAUCUCCUUCUCAACGUUGAUAGGUGAAGCUUGACCAUCCUGCUCAGGAGACUCUGGAAUUAUUUCCCUUUCACCAUCCUCUUCUCUGAUAAUAUGCUUCAAUUGACCGCAUUUACUUAUGUAAAGUCUUUGUAGCUUUGGCAGACUUCGAGCGAGGGACGGUGUGAAGAUAAAUGUCAGUUUGUUGAGAGACUCCAAAUUCAGACGAUUAAGACUUUGGAGGCUGACAUGUCUAGAUUGUUGUAUUAAACUCAAUCCAUCCAGAAGGUCAAGGAAGGCAGCCACCAGCUGUCACCGCCCAGCCACCAACCGGCCAGCCGCCAGCCACCAGCUGUUUGCCGCCACAGCCGCCAGCCGCCUUCACACUUGAAGGUUGAAUUUUCUUGUUUUGAAUUCGUGUAUAAAUAGCAAGCUAAGCUUAUGUUAUUCUGUGUGGAGAGAGUAGAGAGAAACACUAGAGAGAAAGAGAGAGGGCGUGUAUUGUGUUAAGCUUUUGUGUUAAGUAAUUGUAAGCUUUUGUUCUUGAAAUAAAACAGUGUGUUUUAUCCCCUCCGAGUGUUUCAAAGCCACCACCAGUGGUUUCUCCCACCAACAAUUGGUAUCAGAGCCCCGUUCGUCAGAAAACAGAAGUGUUUUGGGAGAUAUCCGAAUUUUCAAAGUUGUCAAAAACAAGUUUUGAUCAUUCCAUUGUAUAGAGCUCAUCCAUACGAACUCACUGCCGCAAAAAUCAGCUCAAUCGGACACCGGGGUGAGCCACACGCGCCGCCUGAAGAUCCGGUGACUGUAGCCCAGUCUCACCCACGCGCGCCAGAGGAAGAAGACGAGUGACGUCCACGCGCGCCAUAUUUGAGCCGUUAAGCCGAGCCGAGCCGAGCUGCAAGCCAAGCCUCCAGCCGCGCCGAAGAAUAUUCCCAAGAAUAUUCCCUUUUCAAGCCGAGCCGCUAUUAGCCGAAGCCGAGCCGAUAGAAUAUUCCACAGAAUAUUCCCGGUUCAACCCAGCAAACCGCCCGACGCCCAGAAUUGGUUUUUUGACCGGUUCACCCAUUUUCUGACCUGAUUUCUACAAAGUCAAACCGGUUCCCGACUAUUUCGACCAUUCCGGAUCGAUCUACAAUGUCGGUUUUGCCAAAUUCAACUCCCAGAAGGAGAUAUAGUCAUUAAAAGAGCAAAAUGACUACAGAAAGUACACAAACACUCAUCCCGAAGCUGACCAAAGACAACUAUGAUAGUUGGUGCAUAAGAUUAAAGGCAUUUCUUGGUUCACAAGAGUGUUUGGAGAUUGUACACUAUGGUUAUGAUGAACCAGAGUCUAAAGAAGAAGAAGAUGCUUUACAAGAGGCACAGAAGCAAGCCCUGAAAGUCAACAGAAAGAAGGACAACAAAGCAAAGACCAUCAUCUACCAAGGUCUUGAUGAAGAUACAUUCGAGAUCAUAGCUUCCGCUGAAACAUCAAAAGACAUAUGGGAGGCUCUCCAACAAAAAUACAAAGGUGCUGACAGAAUCAAGAAGAUUCGUCUUCAAUCUUUGCGAGGUGAAUUUGAGUUAUUGCAAAUGAAGUCCUCAGAAUCUAUUUCUGAUUAUCACACAAGGAUUAUGGUGAUAGUCAAUCAGAUGAGGAGAAAUGGAGAAGCCAUCAUAGAUUCUCGAAUUACUGAGAAAAUUUUGAGAUCCCUAGAUCCAAAAUUUGAUUUUGUUGUUGUCGCUAUUGAAGAGUCCAAGGAAGUGGACAAGUUGACAGUUGAUGAGCUUAUGAGUUCUUUGCAAGCUCAUGAGCAGAAGAUUGUAAAGCGAAAUGGAGAUAAGGCCAUCGAGCAUGCCUUACAAGCAAAGAUGUCUCUCAAGGACAGAUAUGAGCAAGGGGAGACUUCAACAAGUGGAUAUACCACUCAAGCAGGAAGUCAACAAUCCAGAGGAGGAUUCCAGAGAUUCCAAGGAAGAGGUUCUUGGAAUACAAGCUUUAGAGGAAGAGGUGGUAGAAACACCACCAGAGGAGGUAGAGGACAGCAAGCAUUCACUCCUAGAGGAAGAGGAGGCGGUUACAAUAACCGUGACAAGAGGAAUAUCCAAUGUUAUAGUUGCAAUCAAUUUGGGCACUAUAGCACUGAAUGCAGAAGGAAAGCUCCGUUGGAGAUACGUGAGCAAGCCAACUAUGCAGAGAAGGAUGACAUAGAAGCUGCAUUUCUUGUCCAACAAGAACUUGGCGAGAAACAGGAAAAUAUAUGGUAUCUAGAUACUGGAGCCAGCAAUCACAUGUGUGGCUACCGAGAGUUAUUUAGUGAUCUAGAUGAGACCAAGCAAGGUCUAGUUACUUUUGGAGAUACCUCAAAGGUUCCAUUCAAAGGUAAAGGCAGCAUCCCAAUCAAGUUGAAGAACGGCGAUUCCAGCUACAUCGCCAAUGUUUAUUAUGUCCCAGCCAUAAAGCAGAACCUGAUCAGCUUAGGUCAACUUUUGGAGAGAGGAUAUACUUUUUACUCGAAGAAUUGCCAUCUGACAAUUAGAGACAACAAUUGGAGAUUAAUGGCCUAUGUGAAAAUGUCCAAGAAUAGGAUGUUUCCUUUGAACAUCCAGUAUGAUGCAGCAAGGUGUUUGAGUGCCAUCACCAACAGUGAAGAAUGGCUCUGGCACCUGAGGCUUGGACAUCUGAAUUUCACGAGCUUGAAGAUGCUAGCAAGCAAGAAGAUGGUCAAAGGUAUGCCUCACAUUGAUCAUCCAGAUGAAGUCUGUGAGAGUUGUGUCCUCAGCAAACAUCACAGAUCCAGUUUUGCCAAAGAAGUCAACUGGAAAGCAAAGAGGCCACUGGAGUUAGUACACACAGAUGUGUGUGGCCCAAUAACGCCUAUGUCGACUGGACAGAAUAGGUACUUCCUCACUUUUAUUGAUGAUUUUAGUAGAAAGACGUGGAUAUACUUUCUGAAGAGGAAGUCAGAAGUAUUCAAUUGUUUUAAAGAUUUUAAAGCAAUUGUGGAGAAGCAAAGUGGUUACAUGAUCAGAACAGUGAGAUCUGAUCAAGGUGGAGAAUAUACAGCAAAUGACUUUGAAGCCUUCUGUACACAACAAGGCAUCAGACAUCAAACAACGCCUGCUUAUACACCACAGCUGAAUGGUGUAGCUGAAAGGAAGAAUCGCACGAUUCUUGACAUGGCAAGAAGUCUGCUCAAAGCAAAGAAGUUGCCCAAGCAAUACUGGGCUGAAGCUGUAUCAUGUGCAGUGUAUCUACUGAAUCGCUGCCCAAACAGAAGUUUGCAAGGUGUCACUCCAGAAGAAGCUUGGAGUGGUCACAAACCAAGUGUUACUCAUCUACGAGUCUUUGGUUGUGUGGCAUAUGCAAAGAUCCCAGAUGCAAGAAGGAGAAAACUCGAUGAUAAAAGCGAGAGAUGCAUCUUUGUGGGAUAUGGUGAAAGAAGGAUGGGAUACAAGCUGUAUAAUCCCAUCACGAAGAAGGUGAUUAUGAGUAGAGAUGUUAUCUUUGAAGAAGAUAAAUCUUGGGAAUGGACUGAUAAUAAAGAAGCAGUUAGAUGGAUCAACAUUGAUUUGAUCCUUGAAGGUGAAGAAGUACCAACAGUACUUGUCGAAGAACCGAUUGUGCCAGCAGCUGAACCACAAAGUCCGGUGAUUAUACCAGCAGCUGAACCACAAAGUCCAGUACACAGAUUCCCUGUAUUCAACAGGAGGAACACACCAGGAGCAUCAUCAUCAACACCAGCAGCAGCAUCCUCGUCAGAAGGACCAAGAAGGAUGAGAAAUCUUGACGAGUUGUACGAUGCCACGCAAGUCAUCGAAGAUACAACUCUAUUUUGUUUCUUUGCAGACAAUGACCCACUUAGCUUCAACAAAGCUAUCACAGAAGAGAAGAUAGAAGCAAUGGAUAAAGAAAUGCAUGCCAUUGAGAAGAAUGAUAUCUGGAAGCUGACUUAUCCACCAGAAAGCAAGAAAGCAAUAGGUGUCAAAUGGGUCUAUAAGAAAAAGAAGAAUGCAAAAGAAGAAGCGCAAAAAUACAAAGCCAUUGAAGAGGGAAACAUUUAUCAGAAUGAAGUUCAUGCUUGGCAUGACAUCCCUCGAUUGAGUUUAAAGGGGAGAUUUGUUGUAUUAAACUCAAUCCAUCCAGAAGGUCAAGGAAGGCAGCCACCAGCUGUCACCGCCCAGCCACCAACCGGCCAGCCGCCAGCCACCAGCUGUUUGCCGCCACAGCCGCCAGCCGCCUUCACACUUGAAGGUUGAAUUUUCUUGUUUUGAAUUCGUGUAUAAAUAGCAAGCUAAGCUUAUGUUAUUCUGUGUGGAGAGAGUAGAGAGAAACACUAGAGAGAAAGAGAGAGGGCGUGUAUUGUGUUAAGCUUUUGUGUUAAGUAAUUGUAAGCUUUUGUUCUUGAAAUAAAACAGUGUGUUUUAUCCCCUCCGAGUGUUUCAAAGCCACCACCAGUGGUUUCUCCCACCAACAUAGAUGGCCCCUUCCAUAUACAUUUGAGCUCAGGUAAACAUGACAGCCGUAACUCUGUUAAAGAUGACAGAAGCGGUAGCUCCUUCUCCUCACUACUUCCUUCAUCAGGCUCACCUAAUUCAAAUACCUCUUCCAAUGAUUUACAGCUGUCAACAAUCACCUCCUCUAGAUUGUUCAAAGCUCGGAGCAAUUUUGCUGGAAACGGAGUGCGAACAUCCCCACAAUCGUCCACUCGUACAAAUUCUAAUCUUUGUAAGAAGCCGUUUUGCUGCCCAUGGACGACCAUCUUAUCAGAGAACAAUAUUAUAUUUUUUCACUCAUAAAAACAAUUUAUAUGAUGAGAGAAAAAAAAAAAAACAGGAUUACAUACUUUUUAGAGAUUACAUAUUAUUGUUUCAGUUUUUUUCUUAAUUAGAGAUAAGUUAAAUAAUAAUUAGAUUUUUGCGAAAAAAGGUUACUACAACUCCUAAUAAUUAGUUUCAUGUAAAAAAUAAAAAUAAAAAUAGUAACUAAUAUUUUUAUUUUAGUUAUAAAGUUAAUAAAUUUUUAAAGAUAUUUUAAUUGAAUUAAAUAUUUGAACACAAAAUAAGCUAAUAUGAUUUCUAUGAUUAAUUGUUGGUAUUAAGUUUCUUAUAUUUAUAUAUGUUUAGAUAAAACAAAAAAAUAAGCAGUGACGAAGAAAGAAUAAAUCUAACAGAUAAUAUAAAUUACGUAAAUCAUGAGGCAGUUAAAUCUAACAGAUAAUAUAUUUCAAAUGAGGCAGUCAAAUCUAACAGAUAAUAUAUUUCAAAUGAGGCAGUCAAAUCUAACAGAUAAUAUGUUCUUCCAUAUGAUUAAUUUUUAAUAACGCAGACAACAAUGAGGCAGUUAAGUUUUUUAUAUUUAUAUAUGUUUACAUAAAAAAAUAAAUCAUAAAAAAAUAAAAAUAAGCAUUUAUCAAUUACUUUACUUUUAGAAAUUGGGAGGAAGAAAGAAUAAAUUAUCGCAAUUGACAAUUUAAUUUAGUGGAGAAAUAUAAAUUACGUACUUGUAGCUGUGCCAACCAAUUACCCACUUCUUCGUGGCCUUCAAUGGUUAAUCUUUGCAAGGGCAAUUGAGCAUCAAAAUUCCUUGGACCUAAAAAGCUGUAAUUAGAUUGGAGCCAAAGAGAAAAUUCUCUUAGCCGAGGGAACUUGAUGAUGCCAUCUCUGGUAAGUGCAUCUCCUUCUCCACCGUAAAAUAUUUGCUUUAAAUUGUCAGCACGAGCAAUCCUCAUCUGUUCCAGGUUCGUAAGACUUGGAGACAUGGAGACAGGGAAGACAUAUUCCAGUGAAAAACAGAAAGAUAUGUUGAUUUUUUUUAAUUUUGGGAAGCGAGGAGACUCUGGAAUUAUUUCCCUUUCACCAUCCUCUUCUCUGAUAAUAUGCUUUAAUUCACCGCAUUCAUUUAUGCGAAGGCUUUCUAGCUUUGGCAGAUUUCGAGCGAGGGACGGUGUGAAGAUAAAUGUCAGUUUUUUGAGAUCUGAAACUUUCAGAUGAACAAGAUUUUGGAGGCUGACAUGUCUGGUGGGCCCCUUCCAUAUGCAUUUGAGCUCAGGUAACUCUUGCAGCUUUAACAGUGUUAAAGAUGACAGCAGCUCCUUCUCCUCACUGCUUCCUUCAUCAGCCUCACCCAAUUCAAAUACCUCUUCCAAUGAUUUACAGCUGUGAACAAUCACCUCCUUUAGAUUUUUUAAACCUUGCCGCAAUUUUGCUGGAAACAGAGUGAAAACAUCCUCACAAUCCCUCACUUUUACAAAUUCUAAUUUAUGUAAAAACAAUUGCUCAAAUGUCUUCGCAUUGAAGGAUGUACCAGCCAAAAUUAAUCUUGUCGAGGUUGGGUAUCGUCCUGCAUCAAACCGAUUCCCAAAUAUUAUAUCAUAUUUGCGCAAGCUAACUGGAAAAACAAAAUCUCUGGGAAUGCAUUCAACCUUCGGUAUCCACAAUGAUAAUACGGCUAACUGAGACAACGAAUUUAGUUCUGUUAGGCUUGCAUUCAUUCCUCCUGUGCUGUCACAUCCAACAGCAUCCCAUCCCUGAAAGCUGCGAUCCCCGAUCAACAGCUCUUCUAACUUCUUCAACCUUCCAAUCAAAUUCACAGGGAUCCUUCUUAGCCUUUCACAACCUGUCACAUCCAACAACCUUAACUCCUUGAGCUCUCCUAUUUCAUCAGGUAAUUCUUCAAUGGAUAAGCACCGUCUAAGACCAAGAAUCUUAAGUCUCUGCAGCUUUCUCAACCCAAUGAGGUCCUUGCAUCCACACCUGAUCAACACCAACGAUUGAAGUUUCGUUGAGAGUUCAAGUGAUUGCAAUGACAAGCACCCUCCCUUCAGAGACAAAACUUCAAUUUCUGUCAUCCCUUCAAAAAACCUCUGAGGAACAUUCAAACCAGAA